rnacentral:lncRNA from 1 species
CUCUGGUAAGAUGGGACUUGGUUUGUACAAGUCUCCAGUAGCUUUCAAAGUCAUAAAAACAUCCAUAUUGAUAGGUGCACACACACAUUUCAGAGAAUACCUCUGAAAAGGGCACCUUGUAGCAUAUUGGACUUUUGAGUGUUAAAAACCAUGUCAUUAGUGAGGCCUUCAUGGGCCUUGCUUUAGAUGAGUUUAAUGAAGUCUUAGGAAGCAUAAAAAGUCAUUGGAGUGCUCAAUUGAGUUAGUUAAGUGAGUUACAAGUUGAUAAAAUCAGGGCAGUGUGCACAUCAGGGUAGGCUGCUCUGUGCCAACUUGGCAUGGAGGCCUAGAGAGGCCUGAGCAAGGCCUUAGUGUCAAACCAAUUGCACAACUUAGGUUAAGGUCUUAGGAAUCCAGAGGAGUCAAAAUUUCAUUAAGGCACAAGGUGGAAACAUUUGUUUUUGCCAAGGCACUCCAAGGGGUGCCAAACUGCCUAAACAGAGUAGUCACUAGAGUGCAUUAGUUUUUAAAGGUCCUUGUAAGCAAGGCCUUUGAGUCACACCACUUCACAAGGUUAUUUUAGGAUCAUAUCAACCUGUAGCAAUUAAUUUGGAGUGAAUGCCUUAAGUGGAGAUGCCUCAUUUCCACUAAAAUACACAAGUGUCACACAUGGAGUCACAUUUUAGAACCAACUUAAAAUACAUUGCAUUUGAGUGUGUCAUCAGUGGAGCCUUGACCUCAUAUUGAGUUCAUAAGUUGAUUUAAGUCAAUGCACUUAGUUUAGAUGCAUCAUUCUUGUCAAGGCACACAAGUGUUGCCAAGGUGAGCAUACUAGUAAGCCAAUUUGGAUGCACUUCAUUUGUGAAGCUUGUGAGGAGGGGCACAAGUAUGCCUUACCCUUAUUUGGUUAAGUUGAGGUCAGUAGAGUAUAAUUAGGAAGUAUUGGUCUUAGAACCUAUGUGUUACUUGACUAAUUGCUUAAGUGACUUAGGCAUAAUUAGAGAUUAUUAAGUGAUAAUAGUUAAGUAAUAAAAUGCCAUGCUUUACUUGUUAUGUGAAUUACUUGACAAAUAUGUGACUUGUUAUUAAUUAAGUUUAAGUGUAUAUAUUUAUAUAUAUAUGUGUGUGUGUGUAUAUAUAUAUAUAUUUAUACACGAAAGGGUAGUUAGCAUUGUAGUGACGAGGAUACUAUUAAUUAUAGGUGCAAGUAGGAGGCCAGGCAAGGAACCCCUGGAAGGGAAGCAUCUAUACAAGAGUUCCGUAAGCUUAAUCCAGGCAAGUGAAACUCUUCCUUUAUACUUGCUUGAUAAUUGUAUACCCUGUGAAUACAUUGAUACUGCUUAUCUAGAAGUGAAUCACCUUAUCAUCCCCUUAUGAUCAAACUUUGGAUUCCAAUCAUACCCUUAAUACUUGAAUUACCCUUUUCAUAUAAUAUCACCUUACACCCACAUGAAUACACUCUAAUAGUCCCUUGAUGAAUAAUGAGAAUUUGAUACUCCACAUUAAACUGAAUUAUCUCUUUUGGAACCCUGAUCUUAAUAACAUUUCCUAUUUUAGAAAGAUCACUUAUGUUUUGAAAACACCCUUGCUUAAUGACUUGUCCUUGAUCAAGACCCCUUUUUGAAAAUGAAUUGAAUUGAUAUGACCUUAAAAAGGAAUUGGAUAAUAUUUUAUUUAAGACUGAGGAGCCAGUCAAUUAAUUGCAGCAUCAGUAGCGGGGAGCCUGAUGUCUGUUUAUGGCCAAUGUGUGCCGAGGAUCCAUUGUUGCUUUUGCACUUGUUUAUAUUGCAUACUGUGAACUGUUAUGUGCUGCUUUCACUUGCUGAGCUUUUGCUCAUAUAUUGUAUUGUUUAUUAUAACCCUUCAGUGAAACCCGAGAAUGGCUCGUUUCAAGCAGACCGCCCGUAAGACCACCUCAGGAUCGGGCAUUGCCUACCGCCAUAUGAUGGAGCAGGUUGGGAACUCGUAGUUCCCUAGUUUUAUCUUUUGAUACUUUUGGGGAUUAAAACUUGUAGUAAUGACUUAGAUAUUAUUUUGGUUUGUAAUAACUUUAGAUGUUGUUCAUACAUAUUCCUGGUGAUUCCGGGGUUGUGGAUUUUAGACUUGUAGUUUAAUAUUUUAUAAGUCUGUAGUUUAAUUAUUUAUCGUAUUAUGCAUGCUUUAGUCGGUUAGUAUUGUGUGUCCGUCACAGUCUCAAACAAUUGUUAUUGGCAGUAUGCACCCUAAAGUUGGAAAAGCGCUUCGCUUUGCACCCCUUUGAACACUCUCUGUUUAAUUGACCUUUAAAAUUAACAGAUGUUGGGUUUACACUUUGCACCCCACAAUUUUAAUUUUUUUUCAUUAGUAUUUUGAUUUUUUUUUUCAUGAAUUAGAAAAUUGUUUAUCAUACAGUAAUUGCCUUUCUGUGCUUAUGAAUCAACUUUUCGAUGCAGAUCAAAAGUCUUGCUCAAGAAAAUCCAGGCCUGAUGACUUUGAGAAGCACUGAUUUUGUUGCCAUCCAGUUGGAUGGUUGUUGCCUGGUAUGUAAUCUUGUUGCAGAAAGAAAAACGUCAUAGAUGCAGUGUUGACAUGAGUCUGAUAGCUAGUUUAUUUGAGAACCCUAAAAUUACUAUAUAUGUUUUCUAUUUUGUUGGAUUCAGAGAUAAUUCAAAUUUUCCCUUCCAAGUCGUCAUUGCUAGAAUGCCAGAAAAAAUGAUAAUUUUUAAUAUUUUGCGCUCUUUAUUUGUGAAGCAAGCGUUUAAUCUGAGUAAGGAGAAUUGUCGUCUGUGGUAACUAUCAUUUAUAAUCGUUGUCACUUGGCCAGAAUUGUUGAAUAUUCUAAUUGUCAGAUUGGAAAAUUUAAAGGCAGAAAUUGUGACGUGUAGCUGGCAAAUGAAAUUUUAUUUCUUGCAUUAGGAACUGAAGAGGUAUAACACUUAUUCGCUACAAGAUUAAUUAGUAACAAAUCUUCUUGCUUCUCUUUAGGUAUCCUAUAUAUCAAAUCCCUGUUAAACGAGUUGUGAAGGAGUUAGACUUAUCUGCAGCCUUCAUUACAUUACAUACAUUGUCCUCCUUCCAUCAAGGUAAAAGGAUAUCUUCCACGCAGUUUAUUAGCUAGAUCUCCCUUUUGGUUUGUAUUAUAUGAGUCGGCAACAAACAUUACAUUUCUAAUUUUCUUCAUUGUUAUGCACCCUAAAGUUCAAUGAUGACUCUAGGCUCGCAACUUCACGCUGUAUAUGUGUGUGUGUGUUCGCGAGAUAUGCUCUAUAUAUAUCAGUGAUAUGUUAUGUAAAAAUUAGUGAUUUCUGUAGUUAAUAAUAGUCAUAGGAAACUGACAAGAAACUUGUUUUUAAUUUUUGGGCUAAUUUGGCUUAUAUUGGAGUAGGACUUAUAUACUUUAUUCCAGACACCCCAUUGUUAUUUCUCACGCAUCUUUUCUUGUUAUCGCACAUACUUUCAAUCUCUUAUGAAAAUAAUUCCACCUUCCGCAUCAGCCUUUCGUUCAUAAUUUACCUUCCGUGAGCGGAACUAGCCCAUGACUCCCGGCCCAAAAAAUAUUUUUAUAAAAUUUAUAUAUAUAUAUAUAUGCGGCCCAAUAUAGUUUCAGCCUAGGUAGCCCAAAAUAUCAAAACCUAAUUCUGUAGUGCAACUUUGCUUCUCUAGCAAACUAAACCUAAUUCUAGUCUUCAUAGCCCACCUAAUUAAAAUCGCCUCUACUCCGUCGCUGUCGCUUUGUCUCCCAGCCGAGGCGGAUUCCAAAUCCUGGUUCCGUCCCAUGUGAUUGUUUGUGUUCACUGUUUGCACGCAUUUUGAGGUUCCUAUAACGUCUCGUUCCAUAACUUUUUUUUUUGAAUAAAAGUUUAAAUGACAAAAUUUUAUUCACGGAAUUUUUUUAAAAAUUAUUAUGAAACAAUACUUUAUAGGAGGGUCAAAAUGCGUGCCAAAAAGUAACAUAAAGAACGUGUUAGGACAGAGAGAGAGUAUAACGAAUAUUUGUACUUGAUUCAUACAUAAUCAAUAAGCCAUUAUCAUAUAUUUAUAUCUUACUUUGAAUUUCUAUUUCUCUGUACAUAUUUGGAGUUAAUGGAAUGUUGGGUUGUGAUUUUUGAGUCCCAAUCUAUGAUAUAAAGUUUUCAAUAAAGCAUAAAGUGAUCAUGAUAAAAUUACAUGAAAUCCUUAUCAUAACACACUUUAAUCAUCUUUUAAUUUUUGGUUAUGGUUCGAUCUUUUCUUAAAAUUAUAUAUUGCAUAUAUCAUUGUAUUAUUAAAUUAGUCCUUGAAAUUCAUAUUACAAAAAUAAUUUGAUGUUCAUCUUAUUUCAGUUUAUGUAAAAGAAUUAUUCUAAACAAUGAAGAAAUUGCUCCAACAUGACUUAAAAUGCCUUCUUCAUCAUGUGCUAAGCAGGUAAUAUUACCUUUUAUUGUAGUUAUUAACAGUACUGCUCUAUUUAAUGAUAAAGAACUCAAUGAGUUAAAUACCGGUAAUUAUGUUGUCUUGAUCCAUUUUUACCACCACAUUUCAGGUUGUCAAUAUGGUUGAGGACUUGGACUUUGAAGAAGAAAGCAGUGAUAUACGCGUCAGGAGGAGGCAGAGGCAGGCUUAAGAAAGUGGUAAGCUCUUUUACACAUAUAGGCCUAUAUAAAUUGAAUUGAUCACUUGUUAUAUACCUAACGAUAAUUUCUUCCCUUAAUUAAUAUAAACAGAAAAAAGUAUAAUUUUUUUUAUACAUAUCAAGUAUAUGUAAAAGAAUUAUUCUAAACAAUGAAUAAAUUGCUCCAUCAUGACUUAAAAUGCCUCCUUCAUCAUGUGCUAAGCAUGUAAUAUCGCAUUUUAUUUUAGUUAUUAAUACUGAUCUGUUUUAUGAUGAAGAACUCAAUAAAUUAAAUACUGGUAACCAUGUGUUUGUUUCCCCUUGCUAUUCUUAAAAUGUGUGCACAUAUUACAUACAUAUGUACAUAUGUACAUAGUAGUGUAUAUUUACUGAGCGUAACGCAUGUAUUUGUUGUAAGAAUGUUUAUUUAAAAUCUUUCCUAUAUAGAGUGUUCCUUAUGGUGACUGGUUUUGAAAUUCAGGUCGGACUUGGGAUGUAUUCGUAUAAGAAUCAGCCAGGUGCCUUGCAGUAUGUGGAGAAGCAAAUGCUCUCCACGAAGAGCCUGCUUGCACCAUUCUGAGCCACAGGUGUUGAAUCAUGACUUGCAUCUGGAGCGAUUGCUUUCUGUGAGGUCUUAAUUUCUUCAGUUAGUCCUCCAGGAACGUUUAACUCUUUUGGCACCAGAUUUACUUGCGUAGAAUCACGAACAACAGUUUUUGGUGUCUGACCAUAUCCCACAUUCACNAUAUAGAGUGUUCCUUAUGGUGACUGGUUUUGAAAUUCAGGUCGGACUUGGGAUGUAUUCGUAUAAGAAUCAGCCAGGUGCCUUGCAGUAUGUGGAGAAGCAAAUGCUCUCCACGAAGAGCCUGCUUGCACCAUUCUGAGCCACAGGUGUUGAAUCAUGACUUGCAUCUGGAGCGAUUGCUUUCUGUGAGGUCUUAAUUUCUUCAGUUAGUCCUCCAGGAACGUUUAACUCUUUUGGCACCAGAUUUACUUGCGUAGAAUCACGAACAACAGUUUUUGGUGUCUGACCAUAUCCCACAUUCACCGCACCAUCUGGACCAGGCGCCUCAGACGGCUGAGGCUGAAGAAAACCCAUUCCAAUAUUAAGAUCACCAUAAAGUUCAUCGUACUCAUCAUCAUCGCCAAUCAAUUCAUCCUGGCGCUGCAUGAUUUGUGAAAGGAACCAAAUGAAAAGAGACACGGAAGGCUUUAACAAAAGUGAUCUGUAAGUGUAAGGAGCGUGAGCAUAUAUGUAAGUUACCUAGAAUAUAAGAAUGUUGUAUUAGAACUGUAUAUAUGUCAUCGUGCUCCAACCUCAUGUAUGCCAGUAAGUUUGGAUCAUUUUUGGUGUUAAUGGUUGCAAUGUGUGUUGGGUGAGACAUAUCAUUUUUUUGAAUAAUUUUUGGUGUUAAUGGCUGCCAUGCAUUUAAUUGGGCAGACAUUUGAAUUUGAUGUCUUUUGAAAUAAUUAAUAAUUCUUUGUGAAUUUUUGAAACCUCUACCAAGAUCUUUUUAACUAUUUUGUUUCAAUGAUUUUGGCUAUGGUAACAUUUCAGUGUGCCAUCUUAAUAAAGAGGUAGUUCAGGGAUGAAGCAAAGUAUGUGUUGUAACACCUGAACUUAAUAUGCAACUUAAAAUAACCCGCACUUCUGAUAAUUAUAACGAAUUAUCAUCUGAAGAAACAAGCUACAGAAUCCUAGCUGGUAACAAGAUGCUACAUUGAGAAUUUUCGUUAAGUUGUCUUGCAAGGUUUCUAUUGCUUUGUCUUCAUUCUUGAAGCUUGAAUGAGUAAGUUAAGGGACCAACUUCAACGGAGUUCUGUUGUAGAAUGGAUGGAGGUAUAAUAAGAAACCAUGGUAUUAUACAAUUAAGAAAGCUAAUAUCAGAAAACCAUGGUAUUGGUCCUAUUUAGAAAUUAGCCGUUAGCUGCUAGCGGAUUGAAUUAGAUGUUUUGACUAGCUGAUGAAAUAGAUGUUUUGACUAGCGGAUUGAAAUAAUAUAUAGUUUCUUGUAAAUCUGUUUGGUAAAUAGUUGAUUGAUUAGCUUUUUCUGACACAAACCAAAAUCUCUAACCCAAAAAUUUCCUCAAAGUAGGUUUUUUAGAAUUAGUUUCUUGGAACCAAACCUCUAUUUCAACCCUCUAACUAUCAAACACUAAUAUUAGCGGAUUCUAGUAAUCAAACUUCUAACUUCCAAACUGGGCCAUUAUGUAGCAUGAAACAUUGAAUAAUUGAGAAAAAUAGGAAAAUAAAAUUACCCAUUUACAUGUUCUCCAAGAAUAUUUCCAACUUCUACAAGGGCUUCUCUCCACUUCUCCACCUUGUCAUUGUGCCUCAUUUUAUGCUUUUUUAGUGCGAGUCCAUAAUUUCCUAGCUAGUGUUUGAAAUCGCGAAUUUCAACCUAAAAAAAGAGUGGUAUAAUAAAAUAAGAGGAGUUCUUACGUUCAAGGAUGAGAACAAGUUCAUCAAGACACAUAAUUCUGGGAAAAUACAAUUAGGGCGCUCUUAGAGUUUUUGAUCACCUAUUUGAUUGUCGUCUUGUCGAAAACACCUCAUCUCCGACACGUAUAUCACUCUUGUCCAUGAAAGCUACAAAGCCUUGGGCCUUUAAAGCCUCAUAUAGAAAGCAUGUGAACUUGUAGCGAGUUUCCCCUCUGAAGCUCAAGAAGACAUGAGAAAUGACGCUUCUUUGAUCAUGGUGAGAUAGCUCCUAGAUUAGGAGGAGGCUUUAAGAUCUCUAACCAUAACAUGAAAAGUCAACUACAUUCCUACACAUUAUCAAGAAAAAAAAAAUCUUCUGAUAUAAAUUGAAAAAUUAGUUGAAAUCUAUGCUAAUAAAAAUACAUCAAAUUAACGAUGGAACGAGUUAUUUGGCGGAAAUUGUACUCAUAUUAUGAUUAGUUGGAUUGCUUUUAAAAGGCAAACUAAAUGUAGGAACUCAACUAGGUAAAAUUUCACUUCAUCUCCUACAUGCAUGCAUGUCGGUCAGACGGUCAAUGAGUUUCACCUCCCCCAUUUUUUUUUUUCCGGGACACUUUACAUUCGGUGAAUAAGAUAUUAUCAGGGGUUUUCUCGUAAAUACCCAAGUCCAAAAUAAUUUUUUUUUUACAAAAAUACUACAUUUUUCCCAAAUAUUUUACAAAAAUACCAAAUUUUUGAAAAUAUUUACAAAACUACUAUAUGCAACUAUACUUGCAAUCCCUGCAGGGCAAAUUAACUAAAGUUACAUCAUGUUGCAUCUAGUUGCAGAUCGUAUUUUUGCAAAUAUUUUCUAAAAAAUUACUAUUUUUACCAAUAUUUUCAAAAGACAGUAAAAUUACGGGAAAAAAACCUAGAAAAGUGGUGGUCUUGAUAAUUGCCGUUAAAAAUUCCAGAUAAAGCAGCUGUAAAAUGUCCUACACAACUGGUUUCAAAUUUCUAUUUACAGUCUAGCUUGUUUUCAAUAUAUAGGAUAUGAUUAUUUUUUCAUGAAAACUAUUAAAAACACUUUAUAUUAUUAGAUUUUGUAUUGAAUACUCAUAGUCACACUUGUAAACAGAAAAUAGAGUACGAAAGACUUUGAGUGGGAGAUUAGGUAAAGGAUCAAAGAGGUUAAUCGGCGUUUAAAUUAGUUGUAAUCUUCACUCUUGUAUCAUACGGUAAAAAAAUUGAUAAUACAUUAGUUUUGAAUUGAAGUUAUUUAUCCUAAAAACUCUAUUUGACUUCCAAAUUGGCUAAAUUCUUAUAAUGUAACGAUUUUCCUGCCAAAAAAAUUACACUAUUACCAGAAUUAUUCAUUUUCUUUUUUGAAACUCAAACAAUUUAAUUUACGAAACACAUAUAUAAAAUUGCUAUUAUGUUUCAGAAUUCAAAAAAUAAGGAGUUCAUUUAUUAUUAUUAGUAAAAUCCAUAUUAAUAUUAUAAAUAACUAAUAAAUUUAAUAAUUACGGAAUUAAUAUGCAAGUAAAUGCAACCAAAUUUUAGUUUAGUUAAUUGGCUUCGCAGGGAUUGCAAGUAUGAUUGCAUCUGGUUUCAAGUAUAAUUGCAUGUGGUUGCAUACAGUAUUUUUUCAAAUAUUUGAUAUAUUUGUAAAAUAUUUGAAAAUGAUGUAGUGUUUUAGUAAAAAAAAUAUUUUGGAUUUGGGUAUUUAUGAGAAAACCCCAUUUAACUAUUUGACUACCUCUUACUUGAUAUUUAUUGGGGGAGAUGUUAAAAUGUCCAAUUCUAAUCUCUAGAACUUCAUUUAUAGUCUAAACAAAGUUUAGGGGGUAUAGUGUCCACAAAAUCAAAAUUUCACUCUAACCUAUAUUAGCUCUUUCACAUAAAAUGAGAGAGUCAAAUUAGCUCAAUUUGUUCAAAAAUUAAAAUAUAUAUAUUUUUCUACCAUUAAACACUAAAAUUGAUUUUUAAUAACUUGUUAUCAACAAAAUACUUCUAUAUAUAUUUCAUUCCAGACACCCCAAUGUUAUUUCCCAGGCAUAUGGCACAUCCUUUUCAAUCUCUUAUUAUAAUAAAAAAUCAUUCAACAUUCAUCACUUCAUACAAUCAUCCCUUCAUCUCCUUAUUCUCUCUAUUUAAAAUUUCACCUUGGGCAUCAGCCUCUCGUUCAUAAUUUACCUUCAGUACAGGCCGGAACUAGCCCGUGACUAGGUGGAUUCCAAAUCCUGCUUCCGUAUGAAUCUGUCUUCUUAAUUUAUCAUUUUUAGUGUAAUCACUACAUCACCAUCAUCCACAGCAAUCAUUGUAUAUAAUGAUCUUUUCAAUAUAUCCUAGCUAUAUCUGACGAUUUGUGCUCGAUCCACGCCUAAUGGGUAAGCCAUGGUCAUAUAUUCAAUUUUUAUUUUGGAUUUAUUUUCAAUUUUACAUAUUAGAAUUUAAUCCAAUGAUGGGUUUUAUUUUUGAAUUUCAAUCUAAGAUAUAAAAUUUCCAAUUAAGCCUAAAUUUAUCUCUUUUUAUAAUGUAAACACUAUAUCACCACCGUCCACAAUAAUCAUUUCUAUGAUGUUCUCGAUAUAUCAUAAAUAUGACGAUUUGUGCCUGAUUAGUUCAUGCCUAGUAUGCAAGUCAUUGUCAUAUAUUUACUUCUUAUUUUGGAUUUAGUUUUAUUUGUACAUAUAUUAGUUUAAUUGAAUGUUGGGUUAUGAUUUUUGAGUUUCGAUCUAAGAUAUGAAGUUUCCAUUAAAGUCUUAAUUAUCAUGUUUUUAGUAUAAACACCAAUUCCACUGUCUUAUGUGAUUGUUUACGUUUAUUGUUUGCACGCAUUUUGAGUCUCCAAUAAAGUAUAUAUAGUUACACAACUUUUUUUUAGUAAAAAUUUAAACGUCAUUGUUAGGACAGAGGCAGUAUAACAUUACCACUAUCCACAACAAUCAUUGUUAUGAUGUUCUUGAUAUAUCAUAUAUUUGACGAUUUGUGCUUGAUUCAUGCAUAAUCAAUAAGCCAUUAUCAUAUAUCUAUAUCUUAUUUUGGAUUUCUUUUUCUUUGUACAUAUUUGGAGUUAAUGGAAUGUUGGAUUGUGACUUUUGAGUCCCAAUCUAUGAUAUAAAGUUUUUAAUAAAACAUAAAGUGAUCAUGAUAUAAUUACAUGAAAGCCUUAUCAUGACACACUUUAAUCAUCUUUAUUUUGUUAUGGUUCGAUCUUUCCUUAAAAUUAUAUAUUGCAUAUAUCAUUGUAUUUUUACAUUAGUCCUUGAUAUUUUAUAUUGCAAAAAUAAUUUGACAUUCAUCUUAUUUCAGUAUAUGUGAAAGAAUUAUUCUAAACAAUGAAGAAAUUGCUCCAGCAUGCUUAAAAAGCCUCCUUCAUCAGGUGCUAAGCAGGUAAUAUUUUUUAUUGUAGCUAAUAUGUUUUACUAGUUAUUCAUUUAUAAUUUAAUUAGUAAAUUCUCUUGUUAAAAUUUUUUUCAUAGGAAUUUUAAUCAAUGCUUUUCAUUUGUAAAAGUAUACAAUCUGGCCAAAACAAAACAUUGGUAUUUCAUUAAAGUUGGACCUCAAUCCACAGCUUAGUCUAAAAUACUAAGUAUUAAUUUCCAACAAUCCCCACAAAUUAAAUGAGAUUAAUGGUCCAAUAGCACUCAUCAGGCCCCCCGGGUAGACACCAUACUUGACUAGGUGAUAGUUUCUAUGAUCAGAUUUUGUAUGUAAUUUAAUAUAUUUCCACCAUAUAUUUUACAUAUGGCAUUUCAUUUGUUCUUUCUAAAGCGGGUUCAAUAAAUAUCAGCAGUAUUUUGACCGGAAAAUCUGUAGCUAAGCUUGAAGCCGGAAACACUCAUCUGCUUAAGAAAUGCACGUGUUCAAACCCGAUAUUUCUGACAUUCUCUCUGAAAAGGGUGCUGCUAAUAACCUGGUGAAGUUUAAGUUCGAAUAAAAAGGGGUAGGGUUUGCAGGGGAAGAAAUGAGCAGCCGUGGAAAGAAGAAAGCGAGAAGAUCACAACAACAACAACUCGGAGAUGAAGACAGAAUCAGUAGACUGCCGGAUGAACUGAUUCACCAUGUCCUCUCGCAUAAUUUGCAUUGCUUAAAUCUUGAUUUACCAUAUGAUAGUAAACCCAUUAACUUAUCUGCCUUCACUUCCGAGUCGUUAAACAAGCUUACAUUAAAAGUGAAUCUCCAAGAAUGUGAACUGAUAUCGGAUUGCUGGGAUUUACCUUGUUUAACAACUCUGCGCCUGAAGGGUAUGGAUCAUCAUAGUACAUUUUCGGAUAAUUGGUUCACAAUCAAAUGCUUGCCUGCCCUAAGAAAACUGCAUCUUGAUGGUUAUAAUCUAUCAGAAUCAUCGUUUUCUUUCCACUUGCCAGCGUUAACAACCCUCUGUUUGUCUAGCUGUAGAUUACCCGCAACAGUUUGGGACUUCCCAGCUUUAAAAUGUAUAGAACUACGUGGUGGAGAAUUACAUAUUCUCUGCGCCUGUUAAUCUACACAAUCAAAGUAUAUGUAAGUUACCUAGAAUAUAAGAAUGUUGUACUGGAACUGUAUAUAUGUAACUGCCAAGUAAAAUGAUUAUGAGAUUGUUGGAUAUAAUAUAUGUUUUCAAAAAUUCUUCUAAAAUCCAAGAUUUUAAAGUAUUUUACUGAAGUCCUAACCACCCUACAUCAACUCUAUGAUUCUUAAACUUAAUUUAGCUAGAGUGUAUAAAAACACAAAAUCACUUGCAAUCUACUAAAAUUCAUAAACUGUUAUUAAUUUUUUAAUAUCUGAAUUAAGAACCCCUCUUUUUGUCUAAUUUUGACUUUAUUCCUUCUGAAUGUGUUCAAUUUGUAUUUUCAGAAUGCUAUAAACAUUUAUAUUAUGUCCCUGCAUGUUUAUCAAUGUCAAAAUAAAAGGAAGGAAUAUAAAUGAAGGAAUAAAUUGAGAAAAUCAAAUUACAAGAUGAGACUCUGAGUUGUCUACUUUAUCAAGGCAGUAAUAAUAAAAUUCAGUAAAAAAACUGACACAAUACCGUAAAGAAAUACGCUACAGGUUCUCCUACCAAGAUAUAGGUUCGAUCCUGGCUCAACCGAGAACUAUUAUUAGAAAAAGUACAAAUUGAAACCAGUAUAAUUAGCCAUAAAGAUUAAGACCUUCCAAGAACUCUUCAUCACAUUCCAAAGCCGUCAUGAAAUGCGGAGGCAAGCAAAUAUCAAGAUCCAUGCUUCCUCCUCCUUCAGGCCCUGGAUACAAUGAAACUUUUCCAUCAAACUUAUCAGCACAUCCGCUCCGAAUUGCCACAGCUUUUCCAAGUCCGAAUUCAUUUCCAAACAUGUCAAACCGCGGUGAGCCUCCAAUCAUAAUGCUACACGGAUCAAAAAAUUGCCCGGGUUGGUAUACUGAAGGACUCUGCAUCCAAUCAGCUAUGAACUUCUUUAAUGCCUUAUCAUCUUGUUCAGCCACAGUUUUGUGCACUAGCAAAGCAGCCCACUCGAAAUCAUUUAUCAGCAGGUUUCCUGCUGUAGUCGUAGCUCUCACCACCUGAAUACAGUUUCCAAAGUAAUUCUGUGACAAUGGAGGAUGUAAUCUUGCUCUGUUAUUCAUAGCCAGUUUGCAACCUGUGAUCUGAUCUUGUGGUAAGCCACGAACACGAGUCAUACAUCUCCACAUUAAGGCAGCCAAGGCCUGUAAACUUGAUAUUGUAGUGCUUUUGUUUAUGCAUUUAGCGUUUGCCUUUGCUUUGAGCCUUGCCAAGGCUGCGGCUUGAAAUUGAAAAAUCCUUUGUUUAAGCUCCGGAGCAUCGUGCCUGCUUAUGAUGAAUUGAUCGGUAUGAGUGAAAGGGAGGCUAAAAACAGGACCAUAUCCGUCAGGAAACCAGCGUUCAUGAAUAGGUGGCCGCUUGAUUUCUGAACCGUCGUCACCAAUAUCUUUCAUAAAAACUUCUGAUAAAGUGUUGAAAAAAUGCCAGUAAGAGGUGCCAUCAACAACAGAGUGGUUAAGCGAGCAUCCAAUGAAAACACCAUCUUUUAGCUCGGUGACUUGAACAGUUAACAACGACACCUUUUGACCAUCAUGAUUAAUUGCCCUGUUAUGAUCAAAAAAAGAUUCAACGACUGAAGGCACAUAAGUUGGUGACAGAAUAUCAGAAAUCGUCAAAUUCACUUUCGCAUGGACAAAUCUAGCACCAGGGCUAUUAACACAAUCUAUAAACACCACAUAAGACUGCGGUGAUUCUUCCUUUUUUGUCACAAGGCGACCUGCAAGUGGAUAAAAAUGCGCAAGAGUAACAGAGAGAGAUUUUUUGAGCUUCUGCACAAGGACCUCGACUGAAUUUUCUCGAUCAUUUGUUACCGUGGGUUUCUUAAACAAAAGACCCUUUUGGAUGUAGUAAACUGAGAGCAUGGCAAGAUCAAAGGGCCCUAAAUGAAAUGGGUGUUUUGCCUUUUGGGGCAAAUCAGAUGGUCUGAUCAAACAUUCUGAUACGAGCUCAACUGUUUCAGAGUACAUUUUGUUCUAAGAAUGAGAAAGUGGCUUAUGCAGCUUAAGAGACUCGAGCUAUCUAUCUAUCCAUGUAUAUAUUUUACUUAAUGUUAAUACUUCCUCUGCUCUAUUCAUUUUUAUACAUUUUCUUUUUCUGGAUAUGAGAUCUAAUGAUAUAUUCAAAUGGUCUCUUCACUUCAUCCAUUUUUCCUAAAUUCUUUCACUAAGUUAUAUUUUUUUUAAUUUUUGUGUCCUACCCAUAUGUAUAUUACUUAAUGGGAUGGAGAGAGUACAUGACUAUUUAAUGCUCUUUACAGUAGAAAAACUGCAAGAUGUAGAUACAGCUACAGCGACUACGUAUUACACCAGCAGUAUAAUACAAGCUCUUAUCAGUUUACAUACAAGCCUGUAAAUAGUAGAGUUCCUGUAUAAGAUGAACCCAUAUAUAAUUAGCAAAAAGAAAAAAAGUGAACCCGCAUAAAACAAAAUCUUAUUUGCUUUGGAAGAAAUAAAAUGGCACGUGGGCUGCAAGAGUUAUUCAACCUUGUCUUUUUAUAUUCCAUAAAGGGGAGCUGGUCAAUUGUUAGUUCAUCAUAAAUACGAUCUCCUGCCUCUUAUUUUCUUACAAGUUUUUCAUUAACAUAAAUUAUUCAAAAAAUAAAUAUUUAUAUAUUAUGUAAAGCUAUCACAAUAAUUCAAAAUGUUUAUUUCUCAAAUAAACAAACUAGAAAGACACCCAGAUGGAGUAUAACACGUAUGGGAUGAGAUCAUACAAUUCAAUAUGCAAUUUAAAAUACAGAUAUUUGAUUUUUUUUUUAGUUUCAAAUAUGUUGUGUACUUCUGUAAAAAAUAAAAAUAUGUUGCGUACAGAUAUCGGAGUUGGUGGGUCUGCGCAAAAUAAUACUAGUAGAGGAAAGUUGGUAACAAAAGUCUUAAAAUAAUGUUGGGCAAUUUUUUUUUUUUUCAAAGAGAUUAUUGCACUUCUACCCCUAAAUUUUAAGUCAUGAGUAAAUAAGUUCCCACACUUUUAAAGAAUAUUUUUUUUUUGAUUUUUCUGAAUUUAAACAUUAAAAAGUGAGUUAUUUUAUACUCAUUAUUUAACAAUAAAAUAAGAGCUUAUUUUAGAAAAAAUGGGAUUUUAUAUACUUUUUUCAAGAAAUAAGCUCCUAUUUUUGAAAAAUUAAAAUUACUCAAAAAUCUCAUUAAUAUUAAAUCAAACGCGAUUGCAAGGACUAGUAUAACACAUAAUUAUUUAUAACAUAUAUUCAUUUUGUCCCACCAGGUUGUAUAUAUUGAGGAUGGAGAUCCCGCACAUAUUUUAACGCUAAGUUAAACUAUAGUCUUAUAAAUUAUUUUCAAUUUUUUUAUUUCAAAUAAAAAUUCAAUCGAGACUCAAAACUCGGCUAAGCUCAAGCUCGAUUAAAAAGUUCGGGACUCGAGUUUGAGCUCGAGUUCGACCGAGUCUUUAAUUUUAAGUUCGAAACUCGGCUCAUUAACAGUUCGAUAGGCUCGAGUUCGGUGUGUUUGAGUCUUGAGGAGGUGCCCCGCCCAACUUGUAGUUUAAAAUUAACAAAAAAUAAUCAAAACCGACCUACACAAAACACCUGACAGGAUAAAAUACUACAAAUAACGACAUCCUUUUGCUAAGUUGACAAGAUUUUGACAAAAUUAAAACAAUCGAAGCCACUUGGUCGGUUUUAAUGUUGACGUGUUCAGGUAAAACGUGACCGAUUUGUCAAUCAGUUAUGUGUUUGAAUAUUGUUAAUUAAAUUUCUAUGAAUCUGUCAGACAAAAUGAUGUUGACGGUAAAAUCGACCAGCUUAGUGGUCUGUUUUAUUCAUUUAUUUAUUAUUGUUAAAUAUAAUUAAUCUUUUAAAAUGGAAAAUAUAUACAUUGCAUAUGAGGCAAGAAGACUUUUCAUGUUAAGUGACAUAAAUGACCACCUGAUUUAGACGGAUGGUCUGUUUUGUCAUGACUAUAAAUAUCCAGCUUUGAUUUUCAUUUUGUUGACAUAGUGAACAAAACACAGAAACCAAAAGGAAAGAAGAAGAAAAGGGAAAGGAAGGAAGGAGGGAGAAUCAAAUAUUAAAACAAAGAAGCUAUUUUUCUUAAUUCAUGAGCACAUUCAAAUUUGUAUGCAUGUUAUUUAUUUCAAUUUUUUUAGAUAACAUGUUAUAUAUGUGAUGUUCAUGCAUAUGUAUAUAUAGAUUUAUGUAGAUGGCAAAUAUUGAUUGAAGUUGGAUAUGUAAUCGGCUACAAAGAGGUAAAUUACCAUUAAUCAAGAAAUAGAGAAUGUGUAGAGGAUUUUUUUUUUUUUUUUGAAUAUUGAAAGAUUUAAAAUGAAGGGAGAUAUAAUGAAAUGCCUUUGUAAACUCUGUAAAAAUUUAAAUUAGUUAGGGAUGGCUUGUUAGUAGUUGGUUGUUUAUUGGUAAGCGAAAAUGAUUGUUUGUUGGUAUUGGCAGUGAAAAAAAGCUACUGAAUACAUUUCUUUUGAUAAAAAAACACCCAAAAAAACAGACGGGAAAAACUAAUAACCAACCACUCUUACUAUUUCUUAACCCAGAAGACCGACUGUCAAAACUCAUAAGCGACCACUCUAACCAUUAAUUAACCCAGAAAAUUGACCAUAUUCAAAAAAUAGUGGUUGGUUUUACAAAUCAAAGAUCAAAGCUAGAAUGAUCUCGACCACUUAUCAGUCUGUUUUAUUGCUUACCACAAUGAACUAGAAUUAAUCCGACAAAUGGUUUAUAACCGACCCCUAUCGGUCGGUUUUAUUUAUAAGUUCUAUAUAUUCUGAAUAAACCCGACCACAAUGUCAUAACCGACCACUUUCUAGUCAGGUUUAGUGCUUGCCAAAAUCAACUGAUAUAAACCUGAUAUCGGUCCCUUUUAUUCUUUUUUUAGAUUUUGACCGGUCAAUCAUGCGCAACUUAUAACAUAUAUACCACAACACGGUCAAUUAUAUUAACCCAUGUGGCACUCUAUUUCCAGGUGGUAGUGUUGGACCCACAAGUUGGGAGUUUUCGUUUCAAAUUAAACCGACCAUAACGUUGGUUGAUUUUGUCAGUUAAACACGACCAAGUUGGCUAAACCAACCAACUCCUUAGUUGGUUGGUUUAGCCUGUAAAACCGACUGUUUCGAACAGUAAUCGAUCAUAUAUGUCGAUCGGUUUUGUUGAUGAUUUUGUAGUGUAAGUAGUAAGUUAUAUAAUGAUUUUUAUAUUGCCAUCAAAAUUAUUCAUAAGACUUCAUUAAAAUUGUUAAAACAUCAAUUAUCGCACUAUAUGAAAAUGUGACUACAUAGUUGAAGAAUUAGUUGUCACAAUUCAUCUUGAUUUCCAAAAUGAAUCAUUUCUUUUAAAAUAUAUUUUAUAUAAAGUGCUCCCGUCAAAAUAAUUUAUGGGCGGCCUGCCGCUAAAUACAACUAUGAUGAGAAUCAAUCCAAAAUAAGUGUAUAACUGGUUUUGAUCAUAAACGUCUAAAUACUUAUGUGAUACAUUUUUCUCUCAAUUUGCUAAAAACAAUUUUUUUAGUUAUUAUAUUGUUCUCUUCUGGGAUAUAAUACAUUACUUUAAACUAUAUCUUCAUCGUAACUCUCAUGAUCAAUCAAAAUAUAAAUAAUAAACUAUUUUGAGUGAAAGCAAAAAGAGAAAAAUUAUUUAAUCCUAAGUUAGAGCAAUACCAACAGUACAAAUGACUAAAAAUCGUUACAUUUAAUCAAACUAAAGAAAUUUGCACCCAAAACUUAUAAGAAUUUGAAUUAUUUUAUUAAUUCCAGUUCCAAAAAAUGAUCGAUUCGGCCAAUCAAGAACAUUUUCACAAGAAUUCUAGAUUUUGAAUAUUUUGUAUUACAAAAUUUUAAAAAUAAAUCUUUUUUUAUUAAUCAAAUACUAAAUUCUAAAUGUGUUAAACUCACACCCUAAAGAGAAGACUAAUUAUGCAUAACUUUGAAUAAAUUCUAACACAAGCUAUAAAAUAUUUAAAACAAAUAAUAACCAAAUUAAUAAGUAGACAAAAAGAAGAUACUAAGUAUUUUAUCAACAAACGAGCCCCUCUCUCUCAUACAUAAUGAUGCCUAUAUUGUUUUUAUAUAAAGUAUAUCACUAUUGAAAAAUUCUAGCAAUUUACUCGAACUUACAUAUAUUUCUAAUCUGAAAAAUACCUUGUGAUUGUUCCUUUAGAUUACAUAACAUAUAGAAAAUCAAGUCAUAUUAGUUUUAAUAAAGUUGGAAAUUAAUAAGAAAAAGAAACGGUUGUAACAUCACAUGUCAAGGUAUUGAAGAUACUUAGCAAAACUCUUGCUAUAAUAAUGUCUUGCUAGGAAAAUAACACUGAGAAAGAGGUAAUGUCCUUCUUUCUUAUGGCAUAAAGACCUCGGAUUUGAUGGAGCUAGUGAAUCAACAAAAUGUUUGAAUUUUCUAACAAUUUUAUUAAUUAAUAUAAAAUUUCAUGAGUAAUAUUUUUUAAAAAUAAAAGGUCAUAUCUAGAAAGGGCAACAAGAAACUAUUUUAAACUACAACUUCAAAUAUGUAUGACAAUUUACUAAAACCGACACGACUUGCCUUAAAAUAGAUUUCUCAUUCACAAAAAUUGAAAAAUUAAAUCUACAAAUAAUAUUAACUUUAUGAGAUAAGCAAUUAUUCUAAUGAAAAUAUAAUUUGUAAUAAUUAUAUAUGUAUAUAUAUAAACACACACACACAUAUGUAUACAUGAUUUUAAAUCGUAUAUAUAAAUAAACACGCAAGUGCAAUGUCGGAUCUAGAAUUUUAACAAGGAGGGGGUUUCAUUAAUAUUAAAAAAAUUAGUGAAGUUGAAUCUUGCGGAAGGGGGAAGCAGUGAAGCAUUGAACUAGAAGUCGAGCAAGAGCAGCAAAGCAUUAUUUUUUUUUUAAUUCAUUCACUUCACCGGCGAUAGUGAGAGAACAUUAGGUAUAAUAUAGUAAAAUAUUUAGCCAAUGGACUGGGCUUGCAAUAAAAAAGAACCGGUUCAAAAUAAUUGGAGUGGGCUCAUUUAUAAAAUACACCAAUUUUAGAAAGAUAAUUGAAAUUUCUAUGGACUCAGGGGUGGCCUCAAGCCCCUAAGCCCCCAUAUGUAUCCGCCCCUGCGCAUAAAUUCAUUGCCAGUGCUAUGAUUAUUUCAUUAACAUCUUCUCUUUUCCUUUUCGCAACCUUUCAAUUAUCUUCCCAAAGAAACUCUUGUAACAAUAGCCUUUCAUAACAUAAUCUCUUCCUUGCCUUUUUAUUUUCACUUAAACCUCUCUACAUGUUUUGUCGACCGAUUUAUAGCUAAUUUGUGAAUCGGCGCCUGAUGUAGCCUAAUUUUUCUUAUUACGCUUACGAAACCUCCGAUCUCUCACUUUUGUCUAGUUUUAUCCGAUCUAUUUCCAAUCUAGUUGUUAUACUAAUUACAAAGCAUUUGAGUAGUAUGACUUUUUUCUGAUUCAAUCGGUAAGCUCAUUAAAUUAGAAUUCAUUUAUGUUUUUUUUAUCGGUUUUGUUAGAUAGAUGCAGAGUUUUAUAUUGGGGGUUGAUGCUUUUGAGUUUUGAUGUAGAUCUGAUGUUUGUAAAACGGAUCUCUUAAAUUUUAGAUCGCAAAAUUAAUUUGUUAUGUUCUCUAUUUUUUCCGGUUCUUGCAUAUAUGGAAUUGUUAUUGUAAACAAUGAAGAAAGUGCUUCAAGAACAUUUCAUUCUCAUCACCUUCUUUAGAUUUGUGGAAUCCAGGUAAUUUUAUAUAAUAUUGGCUUAACUACUCUUUUAUAUAUGUUUUACUAAUUAUUAAUACCAAAUUUGUUGAACUGACUUUUUUUCAUAUUUUGUCAUAAUGAUUUAAAUUAAUAAAUUUGUUUAGACAAAUUAUAAUGCUGUUAAAAAUAACUAAGAAACAAAUAUUUUUGUAUACUAUAGUCUUUGGAGUGUUAUUAUAUCUGGAGUGAUGAGAACCCUAGACUUUAAUUAACAUGUGUUUGAUUUUUAUUAUAUAAGUAUAGAUAAUCAAUUUAGUAAUCUUUUCAUAAUUUUAUUUAUAUUAUUAACACUAAUAUAAGUUUUAUUAUUUCGAAAUAUAAGUGAUCACCACUACACACCACAUAUGUUAUCACACACAUCUUGUUGGAGUAGGUACAAGAAAUUUUUAAUUACUCCACAAACACAUAUGAGAUCUGUUAAAUAAAAAUUGGCUGAUUUAGCUUGUUCCAUGAAAGUGCAGAUGAGAAUUGGAAAAAGAGGCCUACCAACUGUAUGUAUUCUUUCUUUUUGUGAAUCUUUUAGUUUACAGGUUAUUAAGUUCUUUGUUUUUGUGAAUCUUUUAGUUUACAGGUUAUUAAGUUUAAAAUAUUGAUCACGAUUUUGGAUCCUUAACGGCAAAGGAGUGAUCUGAUCUUCAUUUAACACAUGUCAUUGCCAAUCGCCAACAGACCUGUAAUUGUUAAAAGGGGAAAGGAUAUUGUUGAGGUUAAGCCACAGGUACGUCUCUCAUCUCCCACUUUCCUCUACAUUGUAUAAUAACUUACUUAACUAGCAAAACCUGUAAGAGCAAGUCCAAUAGGUUACUUAUAUGAUAUCCUAAACUCACAUUUAAGUAAUGUGUCAAAAAAAUGCACUCCAACACUAUCCUAGUGUUAUCCUAAAUCACUAGCACAACUUUAAUUAUUCUAGCCAUUACCUAUUUAUAAGUAACCCCUAGCCAUUACCUAUUUAAUAUUUAUGAAUAAAAUAAUCAUCUCUCUUCUUCUUCUUUUGUCUAUUCUCUCAUUUUCCUCUUCUCUCUCUCAAAUUUAUUAUUAAAAUAAUCUUAGAAGAACAAAUAUAGGGAUUGCUAUUGGAGUUGACACUAAAAAUAGGUUACCUAAAUCACUAAGACAUACUAGCACUCAUUAUUUUAUAUUAUUUAUAAGUAAUAGGAUAAGUAACCUAUUGGACUUGCUCUAAUAUGUAGGAUGCAAGCAAAGGCUUGGUCACAGAAAAGGUAAUCUCGACAAUGGUUGGUAACAGCAAGGCCCCUGAUUCAUCCUCUACAUUGGAGAUGAUUGGUUAGAUGAAGACAUGGAGAGUGUAUUUGGAAGAUUGGUUCAUCUGCAGUGGUCCUUGCUGUUCUGGAAAUCUUUUUCUACACUGUAGAGCAAAACCCUAGCAAAGCCAAGUACUAUGUCGACGAAACUUCUGAAGUUCCGAAGCUGCUCCAUAUUUGUCAUGUUCUGAUUUUCACUUCCAGCAAUCAAAACAUUAUUUGUAUUUUCAUAAUUGUCACCAGGACCCGUAUCAUUGAGCCAACUGGAAAAAUCUUCCAAUUCAAAGUCAGUGUAAUCAAUUGGACGUUGAUGCUCAGAAGGAAACUCAGAAAAGGGUAUUUCCCAGAUCUGAUCUUCUGAUGUAUGGUUAGGGGACAAAGAAGAUUGAUAAUGAUUUUUUGGAGAAUCAACUCUGUCGGGAAGGACUUCACCUCCAUCAGCUUGUUUUUCAAUUGGUAAGAUAUGAAUCAAAGUGAUAACAAAGAAAACUUGUUAAUGUGUGUGUGUGUAUAUAUGGGGGUUUUUGUGCAUAUGAAAUCAAGAAUUUGAACAAAAGGAGAUUAUGUAGAUCUUUUUGUUAAUCUAAUCACACUAUUGUAAGAGGGUGAAGAUGGUGUAUGAGAUGGGUAGCUAGCUCCUCCGAUGCAACGCUACUUGUAAAGUGGAGCCUAAAUUACUAGCCACUGAUUUUUUUUCAUCUAACGAUCCAUACCUCGAGAUGUUAUCUUUUCUCGUGUAAUGCUCCUUAUCUUAUAUUACCUUACUUCAGUGUAAUACUUCUUAUGAGUGAAUACUUAAUUAGCCACGUAUUACACUGACCUAAGGUAAUAUAGGAUAAGGAGCAUUACACGAGAAAAGAUAACAUCUUAAGAUAUGGAUCGUUAGAUAAAAAAAAUCAAUGGCUCGUAAUUUAGUCUCCACUUUACAAGUAGCGUUGCAUAGGAGGAGCUAGCUACCCAUCUCAUACGACACUAUCUUCACCCUCUUACAAUACUGUGAUUAGAUUAACAAAAAGGUCUACAUAAUCUUCUUUUGUUCAAAUUCUUGAUUUCAUAUACACACAAACCCCCAUAUAUAUACACACAUUAACAAGUUUUCUCUAUUAUCACUUUGAUUCAUAUCUUACCAAUUGAAAAACAAGGUGAUGGAGGUGAAGUCCUUUCUGAUGGAGUUGAUUCUCCAAACAAUCAUUAUCAAUCUUCUUUGUCCCCUAACCAUACAUCAGAAGAUCAGAUCUGGGAAAUACCCUUUUCUGAGUUUCCUUCUAAGCAUCAACCUCCAAUUGAUUACACUGACUUUGAAUUGGAAGAUUUUUCCAGUUGGCUCAAUGAUACGGGUCCUGGUGACAAUUAUGAAAAUACAAAUAAUGUUUUGAUUGCUGGAAGUGAAAAUCAGAACAUGACAAAUAUGGAGCAGCUUCGGAACUUCAGAAGUUUCGUCGACAUAGUACUUGGCUUUGCUAGGCUUUUGCUCUCCAGUGCAGAAAAAGAUUAAUUGCUUAUAUUUUCAAAUUAUAUUUUCAUUAGAAUAAUUGCUUAUGGGAAGGAAACAGUUGUAUAAUAAGUUUUCAUUUUUAUGAGUUAAAAAUUUGUAUUUCCUUGAUGAAUUCUUGUUUUGUACUCUUUAUCGUCACAAAUAUAUUUAUAGUCUGCAAAUAUGUAUUGUUCAUUUGUAAUACCAAAAUAAUUUUGUAGUUCAGACGUAAGUAUUGGUAUGUGUUUUAUGUUUACAAUUUAGAGAGUACUGCAUAGAAUCUUUGUGAUGUAUAAGAUUAGCUCUAUAUUAAUUUACAAAUAUUUUUUUUGAUGAUCUAACUGUAGGGAUGUCGAGAACUAACAAUAUUAGCCAUGUAUAAAAAAAAUCAAAAAAAUGUAUGUUUAUUUUGUAUGUUUUUUUAACAAUACUAAUCAAACGUAAAUUUUGUCUUAUUAUAAAAGGUAUUUUUUGUCCUGUAGUGUCUAACUGACAACGGUUGUUAUAUGCACCUAUGUUGUAUCAUUGAAAAUGACACAACUGUUAGAAAAGUUAUACCGUAAGUGAAUCCAUUGUAUAAAUUAGGCUCCAACAACGCUUUAGGGAAAAUCGGUUGUAUAAAAGUAGUGUAGACAACGGUUUAUGGGAAGGAAGCCGAGAGUUAAAAAUUCGCAUUGAUUGGAUCAAUUCUUGAUCUAAUGCAAGAAAAACAUAUGACUAUGAAGAACUUGACUAUUUUGUUAUAAUUUUAAUUGGUUAGGACAUUUGAAUGUUUGCACUCUCUUAUGUACGUUUAUUUUCUUAAAAGUCAUUCAGUGAGACAACAUUUUAUUAGUUAAAGGCUUGUCUAUAAGGCCAUGAUACGAUGCUAACAAAAACACUUGUAUGUUAACUUCCCCGUCACACAAGACUAUAUGGAACCCUUGUUUGAACUACUCGUAAACAACACAACAAAUAAAACACUUGUCUAAUUUACAACGGUUUCUUGGAAUAUUGUCUGAAGUUUCUUCACACAUUGACGCUAAAAAUAAUUGUCUAACGUGCAUCAUUACACAAUACCACUGUUAAGAUACCGUUGUCUGAUUAAAUUUAGUAGACAAUAGUUUUUUAACCGUUGUACGUCGUAGGUGUUAGACAAUAGUUUUUCGAUCGAGGACGAAAAUAAAGUGUUGUGUCUUUGUUUCGGCCAACAGUUUUUUGAGCGUCCGUUAUCUGACUAGUGUUGUCUGAUACUGUUUUUGUUGUAGUGCCAUAACUAGCAUAAAAAUUCAACUCCAGCUCUGACAUUUACUUGCCAUUUUUUUUUGAUACGCAAAUGUAAUUCAUUUCCACUUAGAGAAUGCAGUGUAUGAUUUUGGUUCAUUUAAAGAUAAACAAUUUUAAUGUCGCGUGAAGAAUAUUGUUCUGAUAAUAAACUUUUGACAAGAAUAAAUACUGAUGUGAAAACCCAAACUUCUAAUAACAAUGAAUUCAAAGGUUGGCUAAGAUGAUGUUAACUUCACAAGAUGAGAAUAAGAUGCAGGUGCACAACGGAGUCACAUGUUUAGACUUUCGUUAGAAAAAACUAACACAUGUCAUCACAUUGAUGCAAUACUAGGAAAAUACAAUUAGAACAAUGAACAAUAAAGCUAAGUAAUUCACCAGAAUAUCACCAAUAUUAUAGAAUCACUAUAAGAGCUCAUAUUCAAUUAUGAAACCAGCUACAGGAUUGAAACCCCAAAUUGGUUUAAAAUUGAAAUUAAUUGAAAACCUAAUGCUAUCGAAAGCUGAAUACGAUGUUGUACAAAAUUGAAGCAAUAUUGAAGUUGACAGGUUUUUUUCAAACCUAAAUAUAAACAUCUAAAGUUGAAUAUCCAGAUCUUAGAUGUACAGAAUUUGCAGUGAAUCGCCUGGCAAGAUUUGUUGAGAUAUGAAAUACCAAAUCCAAGAAUUAGGCUUGGAAAUGCUAAAUCCAAGAAUUAACACCAAUUUACGGCCAAAAACAGCAAUUAAAAGUGUUAACAACAACGAGACAGAACAACGGAAGUGAAGCAGUGCCAUUGAGAGAACAGAGAUUGAAUGACACCGGUGCUAAUUGAAUGAAAACCAGUGUAAGAUGAAGGGAAAACGUUUUAUGUCGAUGAAGUAUAUGGACUGGAACUGUAUGUGGAUUGGUACUAUCUUCUAUUAUUCUUAUCAAAAUAACAUUAGUAACAUUCACUUUUUGUUUGGCAUUUAGAGCUGGGAAAACAAACUCCCACAACAACAGAAUCACCUCCAAUAUUUGGCGCCAGAAGGAGGGGGUCUCUGGCCAAUACAACAACAGAAUCACCUCAAGGAUGGACGGAGACGAAGGCGCUAGAUCCCGAAACAAACGAGAUCCUGGCUGUGUAGUCGCAGGAAAUAAAUUUAAGGCGAGAGCUCGGUCCAAGCAGACUCUUCGGGAAAGAGCCUUGGGCUAGCUUCGAAGGGGAGCCCGCCCGGUCAGGUCAAAUCCAAUAGGUAGAAGCAAAAGACAAGGUCUUUUGAAUGAGAGUACAAACUUGAAAAGAGUUCUGACUAGUGACGCUCGUCUUUACCAUGAAAAAAUCAAAGCCAAGACUAAGCUCUGGAAAGCACAACUAAAGGACUUGAUAUCCUAGAGAUGGAGGACGAGAAUAAAGCCCUAGAUAUUGAGGGCCGCCUACUUGAAGCUACGGUCUGCCAAAUGAAAGCCAUAAUGUGUCUUAGGACCGAGCUGAAAGGCGGCUUGGAUGAAAACUUGUGUAAGGAAUAUCAAACGGAGGACCAUGAGCCCUCUUGAAAAACUUCCGUGUACAGUGAGUAUACCAGCAGAGAGGACUCCGAGGGAUCAUAAAACUCUAGGCGUCACAAGAGAAAAAUGCCCUAUGAGGAGAGGAGAACUUAGUAGCCUCGGAGCUGAGGACACGAAUAACCAUGGACCUAGCUAACCCGCCCGCCUCAAGGAAAACAUUGUUAGGAAGCAUGGACUUAACAAGCAAGUCCUACCAUUUACCAUUUGCGCUCAACGCGCAUUUCAUGAGAGAACCGUUCAUGCUCAACACACAUAUCUUGAGAUGAUCAGCUGACAGACACUUGAAUUGAGCUGCUCGCUAAGAGACACGAUUUUAUGCUCUUCUUACAAAGACUGGCCUUGCCAAAAGAAAGUCCAUCUUGCAGGGCGUGAUUACGUUAUAAUUUAAUAUAUAUGGAUAAUAUAGAUUCAAGUGUUACCGACAGCCUUCUGUUGUUGUAUAAAUAGUCUAACUCUUAUCAAUAAUACAAUGAUUCCUCAUUUUGCCCUAAUUUUGUCAUACUAAUCCUUCAAAUUAAUCACAUAGUCCAGUUAAGGUCACCUUCUUGCUUCUUGAUCAUUUUUCAGAAUAUUUAUCAACAAUAAUAUUCUCAUUUCUAUAAUUCAUCACAUGUAUACCUUAAAUGACUACGGACUGGCAUGCUAUUCAUAGAUACUGCUUUAAAAGAUCCUUGGAGGAGAAUCGUGCCUGUUGAGAGAUCCUCUGCACAAUGAACUAUGGUAAGAAUUUAACCAACACACGAUUCUCUUCAAAGAAUUGUAAAAUAGAUAACUUGUUAUGAGAAAUAAAAGGAACAUGCAGAACAUUAGUAAAUUUAAAGGUGGGUAAAGAGGUAAGGAGAACUGGAGAAGGAAUAUAAUGAACCAAUAUGAGAUAUCGGAAGAGAGCACCUGUCGUCAAUGCUGCUUCGGUAUCGUCAACAAACUUGAGUAAAUCAUGGCCAAAGGGAACUGAAUGGAUCUUGGUUUUGCAGGAGAGAUAGUUCAGGGGUAAUUGCUGAAAUUAAUGAGAAUGAAUGGUGCAGAGGGGUCAUUUGAGUUAAAUUAAUGGAGUUAUCCAGGCUGCCCACCAUGUUAGAAUAGCUUAGGUAGGUGGGUUAUAAAAAAAUUGAACUAACAAGAUAGCAAUUUCUCCUAACAAGUUAUAGGUGCAGGACGUGAACAAGCUAAAUAUCUUAGUUAGUACUUGUAAGGAGGCCCGUUUAAAGCCACGAAAUGUGGAACUUACAGUUAAAUAAUUUCUACAUUUCUCCCCAGCACCUCCCUUCCCCAUAGAUUAUUAGAGUAACAGGGAAUAGGGAUGCUCUAACUAAUAAAUUAACUCUCACAAAUUGUGUAGAAAACACUUCUGACCUGUUUCUAUUUCAACAGCUUAUUUAUUGAUUUUAGCAAAUGUUUUUUCUUUUUAACACUUUUACUGACAAUUGUUUUCAUGAAAGCUUUUUUCGGUUCAGGAGAGCAUUUAUCUGGCCAAGGAGGGCAUUUUUCCGGGCAACACUGGUCCGGAGGGCACUUUUCUGGGCAACACUGAUCGGGACAGCACUUUUCCGGACUACACUUUUUCGGAGGGCACCUUUCAGGGGAGCACUUUUCUGGACAACACAUUUCUUGGCAGGAGUUAUCAACCACACUACCGAAAGGAGCCACUAGCUUUGGCGUAGGGAGGCAACAUUCUGGGUACUUAACAGCUAAUUUUUCCCGAAGCAUCUUGACAGUGUUCUGGAUGAAAGUGCUCUGUAGACUGGAAGUGUUAAACACAUUAUUAAUAUAGAAACUCUGUAUAUUCACAAGUAAACAACAUUAUAUACUAGAGAAAUUGUUUAGAAAUUAAAAUUUUAGGAAGAAAAUAUUUAAAAAUAUGGAAGNUUGUCGUUGUGUCUUGCCCUAUGCUUUUCAAGCGCAAGGCCGUAAUUCCCAAGCUGGUAUUUAAUAUCUCUGAUUUCAACCUCAUACAAAAUUAGUAUGAUAAAAUAAUUGGAGUUCUAAAGUUGAAAACAAUUUUAAGUCCCGGCUUUAAACCGGACAAUCAUGCUCGAAAGCAUACUUCCCCAGCCUAGAUCAUCUUUAAGUGAGAAAGUGAGGUAGUCCCAACGAGUCCAAGUAUGGAGUGUCUUCUGGGGGUGGCAAUAUUGGACCUGACCCGACAACCCAAAACGAAUUCGACCCGUAAAAUACGAAUUCGGGUUAGAGUUUUUCGGGUUCGGGUCGAAUUCAGGUUGACCCAAAAUCAACCCAGAAAAAAAGGGUCAUUUCGCGUUGAAUUCGGGUUACCCGAAAUUGACCUAAAAUUAAUAUAUAAUAUAAAUAUUAUAUAUAUUUAUAUUAUUUAUAAAUAUGGAAACUAAUAUAAUAUAAAUAAUAUAUAUAUAUAUAUAUUAUUUAUAUUAUUUUGAUAAUAUUUAUUAGUUAAAUUUUGAUAAAAAAUUAUUUAAUUAAAUAAAAAUUAAUUUAUUUGGAUUAAAAUAUUAUUUAUUUAUUAUUUAAAAAUUAUAUUAUUUAAUAAAUAUUAAUUUUCGGGUCGGGUUCGGAUUACCCGCGGGUACUGUGGGUUGGGUUCGGGUUGGGUAUUUUGACCCAUUAAAAUUUCGGAUCGGGUUCGGGUUGGGUAAAAUUUUUGACCCGCGACUGUCAACCCGACCCGAACCCAACCUGAAACCCGAAAUUGCCAGCCUUGUGUUUUCAACACAGCCUAGGUUAGCAAGCCCAAUGGCUAGCGCCUGGAUAAUUUUUCAUAUUAGCGAUCCAACAUAACUGUGAACCAAAGUGACUUGUGAUAUCCACUAAAUGAGCGCAUCUUGAUGGUCCUUCAAUUGUGGGUCUGCCAAGGCCCAUGAGAAUAUCGGGAGUAACAUCUUAUUAGAACAAAAACCUAUCCUACAUUCUUAGUUUGAUACACCAUCCCUUCCUCUUCUUGUUAUCUCCGCUUGAAAGUAAAACUCUACGGUCCGCAUCAGCCUCGCCUUCCUAAUUUAUCAUUUCCACCCGCUUCUGUUAUUAACUUAUCAUCUUUUUAGUGUAAAAAUUAAAUCAAUGCCAUCCACAACAAUCAUUGUUAUGAUAUUUUUCGAUAUAUGACGUGUCUGAUGAUUUGUGUCCAAUUUUAUGCAUAAUCGGUAAGCCAUUGUCAUAUAUUUACUUCUUAUUUUGGAUUUGUUUUUGUUUGUACAUAUUUGGAUUAAUUAAUUGAAUGUUGGAUUUAAUUGAUUUUUGAUCGAGUUCCGAUCUUUGAGUUCUGAUCCAAGAUAUAAAGUUUUCGAUAAAGUAUAAAUUGAUCAAGAUGAUUGUAAUUAGAUGAAAGUAUCAGUGUGACACUCUUCACACUUUAAACAUCUUUAAUCUUUCAAUAUAAUUCUUUUCUUCGAAUCAUAUAUUGUAUAUAUCUUUGUAUUUUUUAGCUAGUUCAUAAAAUUUUAUAUUGCAAAAAUAAUCUGAUGUUCAUCUUAUUUCAGGAUUUGUGGGAAGAAUUAUCCGAAAUAAUGAAGAAAAUGCUCCGGUAUGACUUGAAAGCCGCGUCCUUGUCCUUGAGACAUGUACUACAUAGGUAAUAUCUUUUAUGGUAGCUCAUGUUUUGUACCGGUUAUUCAUGUCGAAUUUAUUACAUUAUCUUGUUACGAAUUUUAUCAUAAAAAUUUAAAUCAAAGAAUUUAUUUCGGCAAUAAUUAUGUUUUUAAUUGGUAAAGAAAUAUAUAUUUUUAUUUAAGAAUUAAUGUUUUUUGAAUUUUUGGAUUUCACCGUAUCAUCUUUAAGCCAUGUCCUUGUCCUUGAGACAUGUACUACGUAGGUAAUAUCUUUUAUGGUAGCUGAUGUUUUGUACUGGUUAUUCAUGUCGAAUUUAUGACAUUAUCUUGUUACGAAUUUUAUCAUAAAAAUUUAAAUCAAUGAAUUUAUUUCGGCAAUAAUUAUGUUUUUAAUUGGUAAAGAAAUAUAUAGUUUUAUUUAAGAAUUAAUGUUUUUUGAAUUUUUUUUAUUUCACCGUUUCAUCUUGAAACCGCGUCUUUUAAUUAAAAUAUAUUAUAAUAUAUUCUUAGUUUAGCCCAUCUGCAGGAGGGGAUGUUCCUAUUGUUAGGAAUUGUCCCACAUCGAUAGUGGAGGUGCCCAAAACCAAAGCCGUGCAGGCUCGGCCCAAAACAGAUAAUAUCAUACUAUUGUCGUGUUAGGUGACAUGAAGAAGAGUUAAACAGUGAAAUAAACAUAAAUGAGGCUACCAUCUAAUUAGACUUAUGUAUGGUCAAGAGCUAGUUACAUUUAUAUUAAAAGAAAGAGAGAUUGACACUUUGCACCCCUUAUGUUUAGGCGCUUUUUCGAAUUGGUCCCAAACUUUUUUUUGGCAGUAUGCACCCUAAAAUUUGAAAGCGCUUCGCUUUGCACCCCUUUGAACACUCUCUGUUUAAUUGACCGGCGGUUAAAAUUAACAAAUGUGGGGUUUACACUUUGCACCCCACAAUUUUAAUUUUUUUUUCAUGAGUAUUUUGAAAUAUUUUUUUUCAUGAAUCAGAAAAUUGUUUCUCAUACAGUAACUACCUUUCUGUGCUUAUGAAUCAACUUUCCAAUGCAGAUCAAAAGUCAUGCUCAAGAAAAUCCAGGCCUGAUGACUUUGAGAAGCACUGAUUUGUUGCCAUCCAGUUGGAUGGUUGUUGCCUGGUAUGUAAUCUUGUUGAGUGUUGACAUGAGUCUAAUAGCUGGUUUGAGAACCCUAAAAUUACUAUAUAUGUUUUCUAUUUUGUCGGAUUCAGAGAUAAUUCAAAUUUUUCCUUCCAACUCGUCAUUGCUAGAAUGCCUGCAGAAAAAAUGAUAAUUUUUAAUAUUUUGCGCUCUUUAUUUGUGAAGCAAGCGUUUAAUCUGAGUAAGGAGAAUUGUCGUCUGUGGUAACUAUCAUUUAUAAUCAUUGUCACUUGGCCAGAAUUGUUGAAUAUUCUAAUUAUCGGAUUGGAAGAUUUAAACCAGGGCAGAAAUUGUGACGUGUAGCUGGCACAUGAAAUUUUAUAUCUUGCAUUAGGAACAGAAUAGGUAUAACACUUAUUCGCUACAAGAUUAAUUAGUAACAGAUCUUCUUGCUUCUCUUUAGGUAUCCUAUAUAUCAAAUCCCUGUUAAACGAGUUGUGAAGGAGUUAGACUUAUCUGCAGCCUUCAUUACAUUCCAUACAUUGUCCUCCUUCCAUCAAGGUAAAAGGAUAUCUGCCACGCAGUUAAUUAGCUAUAUCUCCCUUUUGGUUUGUAUUAUAUGAGUCGGCAACAAACAUUACAUUUCUAAUUUUCUUCAUUGUUAUGCACCCUAAAGUUCAAUGAUGACUCCAGGCUCGCAACUUCACGCUGUAUAGGUGUGUGUGUAUAUUCGCAAGAUAUGCUGAUAUGUUAUGUAAAAAUUAGUGAUUUCAUACAAUCGUCUCUAUAUCUUCUUAUUCUCUGUACUAGCCUUUAACCCGUGCAAAGCACGGGCGCUUAUAUAACUCGUAAUUUAUUAAUUAUAAUUUAAAUCUUAAGACCAUUUUAUUAGUAUUUUAGUAUUAAUAAUUUGGAUUUUAGUUAAAUUAUAUUAACCAACUGAUUAUAUCUUCUAAUGGAAAUUUAGCUUUCACAAUUUAUUAUCUAUCUAUAAUUAUUUUUCUGAUAUUAAUAUGUGAUAGUUUAUUAUUCAAUUAAUUUUAAAUCAAAAUUUUCAUAUUUCAUAUAUCUUCAUAUUUUACGUAAUGGUUCGUGUUUGUAAUGAAAUAGAACACGUUAGAGUUAAAUUUCGAGUAGAAUACGUUAUAAUUAAAAAGUAGCGUCUCUAAUUAUUUAUAUGUAUUUUAGACAAAAGAUAUUCAAAAUUGUAUAUUUAUAAUUAGUUAUACAUUUAUCUAUAAAUUUUUUUUAAUAUUAAUAUAUGUUAUUAACAAUAGUUUCAUCUUUUUCAACUAAUUAUAAAUUAUAUUUUAAAAAGAUAUUAAUAUACAUAAGGAGUGUUUUUAGUAUAUGAAACUGUUUAAUAGCUAUCUACAUGUUGUAGACUUUUAGUUUUAGAGGAGACUACUAAACCAAAUUUUGUACGACUACAAAUUAUACCUAUGUUGGCUUUUUAUAGUAUAGUAUAGAUUACAAAUUCCACCUUCAGCAUCAGCCUUUCGUUCAUAAUUUACCUUACGUGAGCGAAACUAGCCCAUGACUAGGGUGGGCUGCAGCCCGGCCCAAAACAUGUUUUUAUAAAAAUUUUAUAUAUAUCGGCGGGCGCAAUAUAGUUUCAUCCUAGGUAGCCCAAAAAAUCAAAACCUAAUUCUAUAGUGCAGCUAUGCUUCUAUAGCAAACUAAACCUAAUUCUAAUCUUCAUAGCCCGCAUAAUUAAAAUCGCCUCUACUCCGCCGCUGCCGCUUUGUCUCCCAGCCGAGGCGGAUUCCAAAUCCUGGUUCUGCCCCUACUUUCAUAUCAGCCUCUCUUCUUAAUUUAUCUUUUUUAGUGUAAUCACUGCAUCAUCAGCAUCCACAACAAUCGUUGUGAUGAUCUUUUCAAUAUAUCAUAUAUCUCACGAUAUGUGCCCGAUCCAUGCCUAAUGGGUAAGCCAUUACCAUAUAUUUACCUUUAUUUUGGAUUUAUUUUUAAUUUUACAUAUUUGGAUUAAUUAAUCCAAUGAUAUAUUUUAUUCUUGAAUUUCAAUCUAAGAUAUAAAUUUUCCAAUUAAGCUUUAAUUUAUCUUCUUCUUUUUUUAGUGUAAACACUAUAUCACCACCAUCCACAACCAUCAUUUUUUUGAUGUUCUCGAUAUAUCAUAAUGACGAUUUGCGCCCGAUUAGCAUGUCUAAUCUGUAAGUCAUUGUCAUAUAUUUACUUCUGUUUUGGAUUUAUUCUUAUAUGUACAUAUACUGGUUUAAUUGAAUGUUGGGUUAUGAUUUUUGAGUUUUGAUCUAGGAUAUGAAGUUUCCAAUAAAGUCUUAAUUAUCAUCAUUUUAGUAUAAACACUACUCCUUCCGUCCCAUGUGAUUGUUUGUGUUCGUUGUUUGCACGUAUUUUGAGGUUUCUAUAAAGUCCCGUUCCGUAACUUUUUUUUUGAAUAAAAGUUUAAAUGACAAAAUUUUAUUCAGGGAAUUUUUAAAAGAAAAUUAUUAUGAAACAAUACUUUAUAGGAUUGUCAAAAUGCGUGCUAAAAAGUAACAUAAAGAACGUGCUAGGACAGAGAGAGAGUAUAACGAAUAUUUGUACUUGAUUCAUACAUAAUCAAUAAGACAUUAUCAUAUAUUUAUAUCUUAUUUUGAAUUUCUUUUUCUCUGUACAUAUUUGGAGUUAAUGGAAUGUUGGGUUGUGAUUUUUGAGUCUCAAUCUAUAAUACAAAGUUUUUAAUAAAGCAUAAAGUGAUCAUGAUAAAAUUACAUGAAAGCCUUAUCAUAACACACUUUAAUCAUCUUUUAUUUUUUGGUUAUGGUUCGAUCUUUUCUUAAAAAUAUAUAUUGCAUAUAUUAUUGUAUUUUUAAAUUAGUCCUUGAAAUUCAUAUUACAAAAAUAAUUUGAUGUUCAUCUUAUUUCAGUUUAUGUAAAAAAAAUUGUUCUAAACAAUGAAGAAAUUGCUCCAACAUGACUUAAAAUGCCUUCUUCAUCAUGUGCUAAGCAGGUAAUAUUACUUUUUAUUGUAGUUAUUAACACUGCUCUAUUUAAUGAUAAAGAACUCAAUGACAUAAAUACUGGUAUGUUGUCUUGAUCCAUUUUUACCACCACAUUUCAGGUUGUCAAUGUGGUUGAGGACUUGGACUUUGAAGAAGAAAGCAGUGAUAUACGGCGUCAGGAGGAAGCCGAGGCAGGCUUAAGAAAGUGGUAAGCUCUUUUACACAUAUAGGCCUGUAUAAAUUGAAUUGAUCACUUGUUAUAUACCUAACGAUAAUUUCUUCCCUUAAUUAAUAUAAACAAAAAAAACUAUAAUUUCUUUAUACAUAUCAAGUAUAAUUGUGUUCAAUACUAGAAUUCGACCACGCAUCAAUCAAAUUCCAUGGAAAAAAAACGUGAGUGGAAAAAGAGUUAAUUGUAUUUCGCAUCCUUACGCUUGGGUCCAAAAACACUUUAGUAUAUAUGCAAACUUCUAGAAAUUGCAUAUGGCAACCCACUCAUUAUUUUAUGCGCUUCAUUCUGCACCCUUUCCAUCAAAACUUGACGGUUCUUUCAUGCCUCAAUUGCGAUAUGCAAUUUCCAAAUAUGAAGAGAAGUUCACUUUAUCAUUUCUUGCAAAUCCUGAACAUAUCUUUCAACAAAGCACCUGGGCAACUAGCUUUCAUCUUUUCAUGUGUGCAUUUAGUUGGUGUAGGUUAAUUCUCUUCAUAUUUGGGGAAAACACAUCAAGCUUUUAAUCUGUACACUAUUGUUGUAAAGAUUGUCUUAAUUAUCAUCUUUUUAGUACCAAUAUUACUCCCUCCAUCCCAUGUGAUUGUUUAUGUUCACUGUUUGCACGCAUAUUGAGACUCCUAUAAAGUAUAGUUCCAUAACUUUUUUUUUGAAUAAAUGUUGAAACGUCAAACUAAUUUUAUUCAGAAAAAAAAGUUUGAAAAUUAUUAUGAAACUAUACCUUAUAAUAGUGUCAAAAAUGCGUGCCAAAAAGUAACAUAAAGAACCUGCUAGGCUUGAGAGAGUAUAACACCACAAUCUACAACAAUCAUUGCUAUGAUGUUCUUGAUAUAUCAUAUAUUUGACAAUUUGUGCUUGAUUCAUGCAUAAUCAAUAAGCCAUUAUCAUAUAUUUAUAUCUUAUUUUGGAUUUCUUUUUCUUUGUACAUAUUUGGGGUUAAUGGAAUGUUGGGUUGUGAUUUUUGAGUCCCAAUCUAUGAUAUAAAGUUUUCAAUAAAGUAUAAAGUGAUCAUGAUAUAAUUACAUAAAAGCCUUAUCAUGACACACUUUAAUCAUUUUUUAAUUUUUUGUUAUGGUUCGAUCUUUUCUUAAAAUUAUAUAUUGCAUAUAUCAUUGUAUUUUUAAAAUUUGUCCUUGAAAUUUGAUAUUACAAAAAUAAUUUAAUAUUCAUCUUAUUUCAGUAUAUGUAAACGAAUUAUUCUAAACAAUGAAUAAAUUGCUCCAUCAUGACUUAAAAUGCCUCCUUCAUCAUGUGCUAAGCAUGUAAUAUCGCAUUUUAUUUUAGUUAUUAAUACUGAUCUGUUUUAUGAUGAAGAACUCAAUAAAUUAAAUACUGGUAACCAUGUGUUUGUUUCCCCUUGCUAUUCUUAAAAUGUGUGCACAUAUUACAUACAUAUGUACAUAUGUACAUAGUAGUGUAUAUUUACUGAGCGUAACGCAUGUAUUUGUUGUAAGAAUGUUUAUUUAAAAUCUUUCCUAUAUAGAGUGUUCCUUAUGGUGACUGGUUUUGAAAUUCAGGUCGGACUUGGGAUGUAUUCGUAUAAGAAUCAGCCAGCUGCCUUGCAGUAUGUGGAGAAGCAAAUGCUCUCCACGAAGAGCCCCUGCUUGCACAAUUCUGAGCCACAGGUGUUGAAUCAUGCUCGCAUCUGGAGCGAUUGGUUUCUGUGAGGUCUUAAUUGUUGGGUUCCGUCCCGAAUUCCUAAAUAAGUUAAGAAUCCUAAUUUGAGAAGGUAUCUUAUUUAUGAUAAUUGAGGUAAUCCGAUUCUUGGUAGAAUAUUAAUUGUGGAAGGAUUUCUAUCCAAGAUAGGAAAAGAUGGUAAUUAUCAUAAAUAGGAAUUUGAAGUAAAUUAGGAUUAGAAUAUUUGUGGAUGCCUAUAAAUAUAGUUAUUUGUAGGAGUUUUAUUGUAUUGCAAAAGUUAGAGAGUUGUGUGAGAGAUACACAAGAGAGAACUUUUGUGAUCAAGUUGAGGGGUUUGUAUACAAGAGUGUUGAGUGAGGGAGCGACUCCAAUCUUGUAAUACAUUCAUAUUUAGUGGAUUGGUGGUUUUACCCUCCCUUGAGGGGUUUCCACGUUAAUUGUUUGUGUUCUUUACUUUCGUGCUUGUUAUUGUGUUUGAUUAACGUCAAUCUAUAGUGGAUGCGAUCCUAACAAACUGGUAUCAAGAGCUCAGGUUCGAGAAGUAGAUUCGACGUUAAAGAGGAGACAAUCACGAAGUAGGCUGUUUGUGUUGUUAGUUGGUCUUGAGUUGAUUCUUUGGCUUGAUGGAGGAACUGAAAUCGUUGAGGAUUGAUGCACCCAAGUAUGAUGGGAAGACGGAUUUCACUAUGUGGCAAUUAACCGUCAAGGAUGUGUUAAUUCAACAAGGACUUGAUGAUGCCUUGGAGAAGACAAAGCCAAAAGAGAUGAGUGAUGCAGAUUGGGCGAAAAUCCAGAAGAGAGCGGCGAGUACAAUCAGGCUGGCACUUGCACCCGAAGUGAGAUAUAACGUGUUGAAGGAGUCGACACCAAAGGAGAUAUGGGACAAGUUAGCAAACAUAUACGCUUCAAAGUCGUUGACCAACCGACUUAAUUUGAAGAUGGAGUUGUACUCAUUAAAACUGGAUGAAGAAGGUAAUCUCCAUGAUCACAUUAGUUGUUUUAAUCAGCUGGUAUGUCAUCUGGCUAAUGUUGAUGAGCCGAUGAAAGACGAGGAACAAGCUCUGUUGCUGUUGUCAUCAUUACCGAAGUCCUUCAAAUAUUUUAAGCAGACGUUGUUAGUGGGGAGGACGUCUCUUACGCUUGAUGAUGUGUUAAAAGCGCUAAGAGAUAAUGAGAGGAUGACAAAGGAUGUUGUUUCUCAAAGUGGUGAGACAGUUUUAGCUGUCCAAAGUGCUGAAAGAGGGAGGAGUCGCGCGCGCAAUGACCUGCAAGGAAGAAGUAAAUCUCGGCCGAGUAAGAAGGAUAUGAGCACUGUUGAGUGCUAUUAUUGUGGUGAAACAGGUCAUAUGCAGAUGUUCUGUCCGAACUUUAAAAAAGACAUGAGAUCUUGUAAAGAGAUGAUGGAAAAGAACAAAGUUGAAGAUGCGCACUCUACACAUGUGAUCGAGGAUGGAGAGUUUUUGAUGGCGAGUGAUGAUAUCGUUUCUGAUUCGGUGAUGAAUAAAUCAGAAUGGGUGAUGGAUUCUGCUGCUUCCAUGCACAUAUGUAGGGAUCGAGCGAUGUUUGAGACUUUAUGCACGGAUGAAGAUCUUGGUAAUAUCAUUGUGGGGAAUGAUGAGAAGAUGAAGGUUCACGGCGUUGGAACUGUUUGUCUUAAACUCCAUGAUGGUACAAUCAAGAAGGCUCUCAAUGUGAGAUUUGUACCAGAUGCAUCAAAGAACGUGUUGUCUUUGAGCGUGUUGGCAUCACGAGGGUACAGAUUCGUUGGACGAGGGCGAAGUUGCAAGGUGUAUAAAGGAAAGAGCUUGAUUCUACGAGGGAUGAUGAACAAGAAGAACAUCUAUUGUUUAGAUGGUGGAGCAACGAAGAUGAAGACCGAGAAAAAGGUGAGAUUCUCGGAUUCAGUUGAAGUUUUAGAGAAUUCGAUCCGAGGGAGGAUUUGUUGGGUUCCGUCCCGAAUUCCUAAAUAAGUUAAGAAUCCUAAUUUGAGAAGGUAUCUUAUUUAUGAUAAUUGAGGUAAUCCGAUUCUUGGUAGAAUAUUAAUUGUGGAAGGAUUUCUAUCCAAGAUAGGAAAAGAUGGUAAUUAUCAUAAAUAGGAAUUUGAAGUAAAUUAGGAUUAGAAUAUUUGUGGAUGCCUAUAAAUAUAGUUAUUUGUAGGAGUUUUAUUGUAUUGCAAAAGUUAGAGAGUUGUGUGAGAGAUACACAAGAGAGAACUUUUGUGAUCAAGUUGAGGGGUUUGUAUACAAGAGUGUUGAGUGAGGGAGCGACUCCAAUCUUGUAAUACAUUCAUAUUUAGUGGAUUGGUGGUUUUACCCUCCCUUGAGGGGUUUCCACGUUAAUUGUUUGUGUUCUUUACUUUCGUGCUUGUUAUUGUGUUUGAUUAACGUCAAUCUAUAGUGGAUGCGAUCCUAACAUUAAUUUCUUCAGUUAGUCCUCCAGGAACGUUUAAGUCUUUUGGCACCAGAUUUACUGGCGUAGAUUCAGGAACAACAGUUUCUGGUGUCUGACCAUAUCCCACAUUCACCGCACCAUCUGGACCAGGCGCCUCAGAGCUGAGGCUGAAGAAAACCCAUUCCAAUAUUAAGAUCACCAUAAAGUUCAUCGUACUCAUCAUCAUCGCCAAUCAAUUCAUCCUGGCGCUGCAUGAUUUGUGGAAGGGGCCAAAUGAAAAGAGACACGGAAGGCUUUAACAAAAGUGAUCCGUAAGUGUAACGAGCGUGAGCGUAUAUGUAAGUUACCUAGAAUAUAAGAAUGUUGUCUUAGAACUGUAUAUAUGUCAUUGUGCUCCAACCUCAUGUAUGCCAGUAAGUUUAGAUCAUUUUUGGUGUUAAUAGUUGCAAUGUGUGUUGGGUGAGACAUAUCAUUUUUUUUGAAUAAUUUUUGGUGUUAAUGGUUGCCAUUUAAUUGGGCAGACAUUUGACAUUGAUAUCUUUUGAAAUAAAUAAUUAUUUGUGAAUUUUAGAAACCUCUACCAAGAUCUUGUUAACUAUUUUGUUUCGAUGAUUUUGGCUAUGGUAACAUUUCAGUGUGCCAGCUUAAUAAAGAGGUAGUUCAGGGAUGAAGCAAAGUAUGUGUUGUAACAGUACCUGAACUUAAAAUGCAACUUAAAAUAACCCGCACUUUUGAUAAUUAUGGCGAAUUAUCAUCUGAAGAAACAAGCUACAGAAUCCUAGCUGGUAACAAGAUGCUACAUUGAGAAUUUUCGUUAAGUUGUGUUUCAAGGAUUCUAUCACUUUGUCUUCAUUCUUGAAGCUUGAAUGAGUAAGUUAAGGGACCAACUUCAACGGAGUUCUGUUGUGGAAUGGAUGGAGGUGGGAACUGUGAUGGGCAGCUUCUCGAGGAUCGGUUGCUGCUCUGGUUAGUUUAUUUGGACCAUAGCACGAAGUUUGAUGGGUUGGACUUGGAAUGGACAAAGGAGGUGUUUCGUAGUUGUGUUUAUGUGUCAAAACUACUAGCAUUAACUAUUACUGGCAGGAUCUGCUCACAACUAUCACUGUAGAGGUGUGGGCCAUGAGUAGCUUCAGCUUCGAGUCUUCGACAACUAAAAUUGAGCCACUUGUUACAGCAAAAAUCAAGGUUUUGGCUCGAUUAGGGGUGAGCAUUUGGUGCUCAUAAUGUACAUGUUUAAUAAAGCUAUGAACAUACAAGAGUUCAAUAAGAAAUUAUUAGACUUCCACAUUCUACAAUGAGUGUGCUGAAAUAUAAAGAAAAAUCCAUUCAACAACCAUUAAACUAAUGCAAUAGUUUCUCCAAGUGAAUAGCUCCACAAAAGCAGUCAACAACUGCAAAAAAUAUUACAAAACCUUCAAUGCGAGGGAAGUCUUAAAAACCUUCCCCAUGAGUUGAACUCCUUCCGCCAAAUGGAAGCUUUUCACUGCUCUUUCGGUGACAUAAAGCAUAUUCAAUACCAACAUAAGCUUUUGCUUGUCCUCAAAAUCAUCUAAACCCUCUACCUCCUUCUUCUCCACACAAAUCUUCCCAUUCACAAUCACCAUGGGAAACCUCACCUUUUCUUUACCCACCAGCUCUUCUAGCUCUUUCAAAUAUAUAGCCUCUUUUGAACAGUUUCUCUCCUCAAAUACAACAUUUCCAAUCAACAGAACCUUCUUUGCCAACCCAUUUGCGCCUAGGCCAUAUUGUUAGCACUCGUUGUGUAAAGAAUUACCUUGUCGGUAGAUGGCUCAUUUCUGGACAAGGAUGAUGAAGUACUGCCUCGUAAAACUGAUCUUUCAGGCACUGGGAGCCGGCAUUCUGGACAUUUGGCAGCCAGUGUUUCCUUGAACAAUUUCACAGUAUUCUGGACGAAAGUGCUCUGUUGCCUAACGAAAAACCAAACACAUUAUCAUCCAACAAUCCAUAAAUAUAAUAAGAAACCAUGGUAUUAUACAAUUAAUAAAGCUAAUAUCAGAAAACCAUGGUAUUGGUCCUGUUUAGAAAUUAGCGGUUAGCUGUUGGCAGAUUGAAUUAGAUGUUUCGACUAGUUGAUGAAAUAGAUGUUUUGACGGAUUGAAAUAAUAUAUAGUUUCUUGUAAAUCUGUUUGGUAAAUAGCUGAUUGAUUAGCUUUUUCUGACACAAAUCAAAAUCUCUAACCCAAAAAGAUCCUCAAAGUAGGUUUUUAGAAUUAGUUUUUUGGAUCCAAACCUCUAUUUCAAUCCUCUAACUAUCAAACACUAAUAUUAGCGGAUUCUAGUGAUCAAACCUCUAACUUCCAAACUGGGACAUUAUGUAGCAUGAAACAUUGAAUAAUUGAGAAAAAUAGGAAAAUAAGAUUACCCAUUUACAUGUUCUCCAAGAAUAUUGCCAACUUCUACAAGGGCUUCUCUCCACUUCUCCACCUUGUCAUUGUGCCUCAUUUUAUGCUUUUCUAGUGUGAGUCCAUAAUUUCCUCGCUAGUGUUUGAUAUCGCGAAUUUCAACCUAAAAAAAAAGUGGUAUAAUAAAAUAAUUGGAGUUCUUACGUUCAAGGAUGAGAACAAGUUCAUCAAGACACAUAAUUCUGGGAAAAUACAAUUAGGGCGCUCAUAGAGGUUUUGAUUCCCUCUUUGAUUGUCGUCUUGUCGAAAUCACCUCAUCUCCGACACAUAUGUCACUCUUGUCCAUGAAAAAGCCUUAGGCCUUUAAAGCCUCAUAUAGAAAGCAUGUGAACUUGUUGCGAGUUUCCCUUCUGAAGCUCAAGAAGACAUGAGAAAUGACCCUUCUUUGAUCAUGGUGAGAUAGCUCCUAGAUUAGCAUGAGGCUUUAAGACCUCUAACCAUAAAAACACUUUAUAUGAUUAGAUUUUGUAUUGAAUACUCAUAGUCACACUUGUAGACAAAAAAUAGAGUGAAAGACUUUGAAUGGGAGAUUAUAAAGUAAAGGAUCAAAGAGGUUAAUCCGAAAUUAGUUGUAAUCUUCACUCUUGUAUCAUACCGUAAAAAAAUUGAUAAUAAAUUAGUUUUGAAUUGAAGUUAUUUAUCCUAAAAACUCUAUUUGACUUCCAAAUUGGCUAAAUUCUUAUAAUGUAACGAUUUUCCCACCAACAAAAUUACACUGUUAACAAAAUUAUUCAUUUUCUUUUUUGAAACUCAAACAAUUUAAUUUACGAAACACAUAUAUAAAAUUGCUAUUAUGUUUCCGAAUUCAAAAAAUAAGGAGUUCAUUUAUUAUUAUCAGUCAAAUCCAUAUUAAUAUUAUAAAUAACAAAUAAAUUUAAUAAUUAGGGAAUUUAGCAAAACUACCACUUUUUCUAGGUUUUUUUGCGAUUUUACUAUCUUUUAAAAAUAUUUCCAAAAAUAUUAACUUUUUAGAAAAUAUUUGCAAAAAUACGAUAUGCAACUAAAUGCAACCAAAUUUUAGUUUAGUCAAUUGGCCUCGCAGGGAUUGCAAGUAUGGUUGCAUCUGGUUGCAAGUAUAAUUGCAUGUGGUUGCAUAUAGUAUUUUUGCAAAUAUUUUUAAAAAUUUGAUAUAUUUUCAAAAUACUUGAAAAUGAUGUAGUGUUUUAGUAAAAAAGAUAUUUUGGACUUGGGUAUUUAUGAGAAAACCCCAUUUAACUAUUUGACCACCUCUUACUUGAUAUUUCUUCAGGGAGAUGUUAAAAUGUCCAAUUCUAAUCUCAAGAACUUCAAUUAUAGUCUAAACAAAGUUUAUGGGCAGAGUGUCCACAAAAUCAAAAUUUCACUCUAACCUAUACUAGCUCUUUCACAUAAAAUGAGAGAGUCAAAUAAGCUCAAUUUGUUCAAAAAUUAGAAAAUAUAUUUUUCUACCAUUAAACACUAGCUAAAAUUGAUUUUUAAUAACUUGUUAUCAACAAAAUACUUCUAUCAUAGGAAUAAAAUCAUAUAAGAGGUUGUAUAGAUAUAAGUAUAUAGUUCAUUCUAGACACCCCAAUGUUAUUUCCCACGCAUAUCGCACAUCCUUCAAUCUCUUAUUAUAAUAAAAAAUCAUUCAACAUUCGUCAAUUCAUACAAUCAUCCCUUCAUCUCCUUAUUCUCUCUAUUUAAAAUUUCACCAGCGGCAUCAACCUCUCGUUCAUAAUUUACCUUCCGUACAGGGCGGAACUAGCGCGUGGCUAAGGCGGGCUACAGCCCGGCCCAAAAUUUUUUUUUUAUAAAAUUCAAUAUAUUUUUGCUUACCAAUAUAGUUUCAGCCCAAGUAGCCCAAAAAUCCAAACCCUAGUGCAUCAAUGCUUCUCCAUAUAAACACCUCGGUUGUCUCUAUUCUUCACACCCUGCACAGUUAAAACCGCCGCUACUCCGCCGCUGCCGCUCUGUCUCCAAAUCCUGGUGGAUUCCAAAUCAUGAUUCUGCCCCUGCUUCCGUAUGAGUCUCUCUUCUUAAUUUAUCAUUUUUAGUGUAAUCACUACAUCACCAUCAUCCAGAACAAUCAUUGUAAUGAUCUUUUCAAUAUAUCCUAGCUAUAUCUGACGACUUGUGCCCGGUCCACGCCUAAUGGGUAAGCCAUUGCCAUAUAUUUAAUUUUUAUUUUGGAUUUAUUUUCAAUUUUACAUAUUCAGAUUUAAUCCAAUGAUAGGUUUUAUUUUUGAAUUUCAAUCUAAGAUAUAAAAUUUCCAACUAAGCCUAAAUUUAUCUUUUUUUAAUGUCAACACUAUUUCACCACCGUCCACGAUAAUCAUUUUUAUGAUGUUCUCGAUAUAUCAUAAAUCUGACGAUUUGUGCCCGAUUAAUUCAUGCCUAGUCUGCAAGUCAUUGUCAUAUAUUUACUUCUUCUUUUGGAUUUAGUUUUAUUUGUACAUAUAUUGGUUUAAUUGAAUGUCGGGUUAUGAUUUUUGAGUUACGAUCUAAGAUAUGAAGUUUCCAUUAAAGUCUUAAUUAUCAUCUUUUUAGUAUAAAAACCAAUUCUAAUGUCUCAUGUGAUUGUUUACGUUCAUUGUUUUUGCACGCAUUUUGAGUCUCCAAUAAAGUAUAUAUAGUUCCAUAACUUUUUCUUAGUAAAAAUUUAAAUGUCAAGCAUUUAUUCAUGAAAAAAAAUUUAAAAUUAUUAUGAAACUAUAGGAGUGUCAAAAUGCGUGCCAAAAAGUAACAUAAGGUAACAUUACCACUAUCCACAACAAUUAUUGUUAUGAUGUUUAUUGAUAUAUCAUAUAUUUGACGAUUUGUGCUUGAUUCAUGCAUAAUCAAUAAGCCAUUAUCAUAUAUUUAUAUCUUCUUUUGGAUUUUUUUUCUUUGUACAUAUUUGGAAUUAAUGGAAUGUUAAGUUGUGACUUUUGAGUCCGAAUAUAUGAUUUAAAGUUUUCAAUAAAGCAUAAAGUGAUCAUGAUAUAAUUACAUGAAAGCCUUAUCAUGACACACUUUAAUCAUCUUUUUUUUUGUUAUGGUUCGAUUUUUUCUUAAAAUUAUAUAUUGCAUAUAUCAUUGUAUUUUUAAAUUAGUCCUUGAAAUUUUAUUUUGCAAAAAUAAUUUGACAUUGAUCUUAUUUCAGUAUAUGUGAAAGAAUUAUUCUAAACAAUGAAGAAAUUGCUCCAACAUGCUUAAAAAGCCUCCUUCAUCAGGUGCUAAGCAGGUAAUAUUUUUUAUUGUAGCUAAUAUAUUUUACUAGUUAUUCAUUUUUAAUUUAAUUAGUAAAUUCUUUUGUUAAAAUUUUUUCAUAGGAAUUUAAAUUGAUAUGCUUUUCAUUUGUAAAAGUAUACAAUCUCGCCAAAACAAAACAUUCGUAUUUCAUUAAAAUUGGACCUCAAUCCACAGCUUAGUCUAAAAUAUUAAGUAUUUCCAACAAUCCCCACAAAUGAAAUUAAUGGUCCAAUAGCACUCAUCAGGCCCCCGGGUAGACACCAUACUUGACUAGGUGAUAGUUUCUAUGAUCAGAUUUUGUAUGUAAUUUAAUAUAUUUCCACCAUAUAUUUCACAUAUGGCAUUUCAUUUGUUCUUUCUAAAGCACGUUCAAUAAAUAUCAGCAGUAUUUUGACGGUAAAAUCUGUAGCUAAGAUUGAAGCCGGUAACACUCAUCUGCUUAAGAAAUGCACGUGUUCAAAACCGAUAUUUCUGACAUUCUCUCUGAAAAGGGGGCUGCUAAUAACCUGGUGAAGUUGAAGUUCGAAUAGAAAGGGGUAGGGUUUGCAGGGGAAGAAAUGAGCAGCCGUUGAAAGAAGAAAGCGAGAAGAUCACAACAACAACUCGGAGAUGAAGACAGAAUCAGUAGAUUGCCGGAUGAACUGAUUCACCAUGUCCUCUCGCAUAAUUUGAAUUGCUUAAAUCUUGAUUUACCAUAUGAUAGUAAACCCAUUAACUUAUCUGCCUUCACUUCCGAGUCGUUAAACAAGCUUACAUUAAAAGUGAAUCUCGAAGAAUGUGAACUGAUAUCGGAUUGCUGAGAUUUACCUUGUUUAACAACUCUGCGCCUGAAGGGUAUGGAUCAUCAUAGUACAUUUUCAGAUAAUUGGUUCACAAUCAAAUGCUUGCCUGCCCUAAGAAAACUGCAUCUUGAUGGUUAUAAUCUAUCAGAAUCAUCGUUUUCUUUCCACUUGCCAGCGUUAACAACCCUCUGUUUGUCUAGCUGUAGAUUACCCGCAACAUGCAGUUUGGGACUUCCCAGCUUUAAAAUGUAUAGAACUACGUGGUGGAGAAUUACAUAUUCUCUGCUCCUGUUAAUCUACACAAUCAAAGUAUAUGUAAGUUACCUAGAAUAUAAGAAUGUUGUACUAGAACUGUAUAUAUGUCAUUGCCAAGUAAAAUGAUUAUGAGAUUGUUGGAUAUAAUAUAUGUUUUCUGAAAUUCUUCUAAAAUCCAAGAUUUAAAAGUAUUUUACUGAAGUCCUAACCACCCUACAUCAACUCUAUGAUUCUUAAACUUAAUUUAGCUAGAGUGUAUAAAAACACAAAAUCACUUGCAAUCUACUAAAAUUCAUAAAUUGUUAUUAAUUUUUUAAUAUCUGAAUUAAGCACCCAUCUUAUUGUCUAAUUUUGACUUUAUUCCUUCUGAAUGUGUUCAAUUUGUAUUUUGAGAAUGCUAUAAACAUUUAUCUUAUGUCCAUGCAUGUAUAUCAAUGUCAAAAUAAAAGAUAGGAAUAUAAAUGAAGGAAUAAAUUGAGAAAAUCAAAUUACAAGAUGAGACUCUGAGUUGUCUACUUUAUCAAGGCAGUAAUAAUAAAAUUCAGUAAAAAAACUGACACAAUACCGUAAAGAAAUACGCUACAGGUUCUCCUACCAAGAUAUAGGUUCGAUCCUGGCUCAACCGAGAACUAUUAUUAGAAAAAGUACAAAUUGAAACCAGUAUAAUUAGCCAUAAAGAUUAAGACCUUCCAAGAACUCUUCAUCACAUUCCAAAGCCGUCAUGAAAUGCGGAGGCAAGCAAAUAUCAAGAUCCAUGCUUCCUCCUCCUUCAGGCCCUGGAUACAAUGAAACUUUUCCAUCAAACUUAUCAGCACAUCCGCUCCGAAUUGCCACAGCUUUUCCAAGUCCGAAUUCAUUUCCAAACAUGUCAAACCGUGGUGAGCCUCCAAUCAUAAUGCUACACGGAUCAAAAAAUUGCCCGGGUUGGUAUACUGAAGGACUCUGCAGCCCAUCUGCUAUGAACUUUUUUAAUGUCUUGUCAUCUUGUUCAGCCACAGUUUUGUGCACUAGCAAAGCAGCCCACUCGAAAUCGUUUGUUAGCAGGUUUCCUGCUGAAGUCGUAGCUCUCAGCACCUGAAUACAGUUUCCAAAGUAAUUCUGUGACAAUGGAGGAUGUAACCUUGCUCUGUUAUUCAUAGCCAGUUUGCAACCUGUGAUCUGGUCAUGUGGCAAGCCUCGAACACGAGUCAUACAUCUCCACAUUAAGGCAGCCAAGGCCUGUAAACUUGAUAUUUUAGUGCUUUUAUUUAUGCAUAUAGCGUUUGCCUUUGCUUUGAGUCUUGCCAAGGCUGCGGCUUGAAAAUGAAAAAUCCUCUGUUUAAGCUCCGGAGCAUGGUGCCUGCUUAUGAAUUGAUCGGUAUGAGUAAAAGGGAGGCUAAUAACAGGACCAUAUCCAUCAGGAAACCAGCGUUCAUGAAUAGGUGGCCGCGUGAUUGCUGAACCCUCGUCACCAAUAUCUUUCAUAAAAACUUCUGAUAAAGUGUUGAAAAAAUGCCAGUAAGAGGUGCCAUCAACAACAGAGUGGUUAAGCGAGCAUCCAAUGAAAACGCCAUCUUUUAGCUCGGUCACUUGAACAGAUAACAAAGAUACCUUGUGACCAUCAUGAUUAAUUGCCCUGUUAUGAUCAAAAAAAGAUUCAACGACUGAAGGCACAUAAGUUGGUGACAGAAUAUUAGAAAUCGUCAAGUCCGCUUUGGCCUGGACAAAUCUAGCACCGGGGCUAUUAACACAAUCUAUAAACACCACAUAAGACUGCGGUGAUUCUUCCUUUUUUGUCACAAGGCGACCUGCAAGUGGAUAAAAAUGCGCAAGAGUAACAGAGAGAGAUUUUUUGAGCUUCUGCACAAGGACCUCAACUGAAUUUUCUCGAUCAUUUGUUACCGUGGGUUUCUUAAACAAAAGACCCUUUUGGAUGUAGUAAACUGAGAGCAUGGCAAGAUCAAAGGGCCCUAAAUGAAAUGGGUGUUUUGCCUUUUCGGGCAAAUGAGAUGAUCUGAUCAAACAUUCUGAUACUGAGCUCAACUGUUUCAGAGUACAUUUUGUUCUAAGAAUGAGAAAGUUGCUUAUGCGGCUUAAGAGACUCGAGCUAUCUAUCUAUCCAUGUAUAUAUUUUACUUAAUGUUAAUACUUCCUUUGCUCCAUUCAUUUUUGUACAUUUUCUUUUUCUGGACGUGAGAUCUAAUGGUAUAUAUUCUCAAAUUGUCUUAUUACUUGAUUCACUUCACCCACUUUUCUUACAUUCUUUCACUAAAUUAUAUUUUUUCUUAAUAUAUGUCCUACCCAUUUGUAUAUUAUUUAAUGGGCCGGAAGGAGUACAUGACUAAUAAUGCUCUUUACGGUAGAAAAACUGCAAGAUGUAGAUGCAUGUGUUAAAAAUUCAAACUCUCUGAUAAUACAGCUACAGCGACAGUAUAAUACAAGACUUAUCAGUUUACAUACAAGCCUCAAGCCUGUAAAUAGUAGAGUUCCUGUAUAAGAUGAACCCAUGUAUAAUUAGCAAAAGAAAAUAAAAAUGAACCCAUAAUUGCUCGGAACCACGGUUGGAAAAAAAGGGAAUCGGACUUAAUCCGUAAAGUCAUGGAACACAGAUUAAUUAGAUUGAUCGGAGACUAAUCGGAUAAUUAAUUAUAUAAUCAAAUAUUUAAUCAGUUCGAUAACAUAAAUUAAUCGGUAAUUUUUUUAAUUUUUUAAUGUCAAGUGAUUAAUCGGUGAUUAAUAGUGAUUAAUCACCAAUUUCCAGAAGAGAGCUUAAAACAAAUAAACUGGCAAACCGGCACGUGAAUAUAAGGGGGGCUGCGAGAGUUAUUCAACGUUGUCUUUAUAUUCCAUAAAGGCCAGCUGGUCAAUUGUUGGUUCAUCAUAAAUACGAUCCUCUACCUCUUAUUUUCUUAUAAUUUUUUCACUAACAUAAAUUUUAGGAUAUAUAUCAAAUAUAGCUGCAUAAUUUAUUUAAAAAAAUUUCUUGUAAUAAAAAUAUUUAAAUAUUAAAUUUUAUUCAAAAAAUUAAUAUUUAAAUAAUUUAUAAAAUUAUAUUUUAUAAAAAUUUAAAAUAUUAUUCCUCAAAUAAACUACUCCCUCCAUCCCAUUUCAAGUGUCUUGUUUUGACUUUCAACAGUCAAACUGACAAAAUUUUGACUAAGUAUAAAGAACAAAAUUUUUAUUAUUUUAAAAAACUAAAAAUUAUAUUUUAUAGUAUAUUGUAUGUACUUUAUAAUGACAUCAUUUUUUUUAUUUUUCAAUAUUAUAUUAUAUGUAUAAAUUUUAGUCAAAAUUUAGUGAAUUUGAUCAUUGAAAAGUUAAACAGGGUCUCCGUAUGUUAGGGAGGGCUUAUCUAACACAGUGGAGCCGUUGGAUCUAUAUUUUAAGGAUUCAGAUUCAAUCUAAGUGUUUAAUGAAUCCGUUGUUAAUAUAUAUCCGUGGACCGUAAAAGUUUCAUUCCGCGAAUAUUAUCCGUGGAAAGGCGAACUCUAGUUCGGCGAAUAUUAAUAGCGGAUCUACUAAAAUAUAAGAUUAAAUCUGAACUUUUAAAAUAAAAUAUAGAUAAAACAGCCCCAUAUAACGAGUUAGAUGCCUUACCUGACACACAGUUGUCGGAGAACAUCCUGCAGACUACAAAUAUGUUGGGUACAGAUUUGGAGUUGGUGGGUCUGUGCAAAAUAAUACUAGUAGAGGAAAGUUGGUGACCGAAUCUUAAAAUUAGGCCUGGCAAUCGUGUCGUUCCGUGUAUUUUCGUUUCGUGUACUUUCGUGUUUUCGUGUACUCAUGGCUAAAACCGAAAACGACCCGAAAUCAAAUCGUGUACCUGUUUACCUGAACCGAACACGAAACGAAAUAAUUCGUGUUUACACGAAACGAAACGAAAAGUACACGAAAUCAAAUCGUGUACUUCCUGUUUAUACGAAACAACCCGAAAUAAAUUACCCAAACACAAGAAAUAUACACGAAAUCUUUCAAGAUUACACGUAGAAUAAGUUAAACAAGUUCCAAAAUACAACUUCAAAUUCAGAACAAGGCUUAAUUCUUAAGUUUGCAACAACAAAAUAGUUCAAGGAGUUCAAGGCUGUUAUGCAGAUUAAAAUAACAUUAAAGAGUAGAAUUCAUCUUCUUCCAAUCCAUCCAUCCAUCCAUCUGUAAUAAGUUAAUAACAAAGCAAACGUGAAUAAUAAGUUAAUAACGGGCUGAAAUUACCUUAUCUGUGUAAUGUUAUCAGCCAUUUUGAAGAAGUCGAUAAGAAGGAAUUUAGGUUUAGAGAGGUGGAGGAGAUUUGUAAUGAAAGAGGCAGAUCUGGUUUGUAAAGUGAGGCGGCUGUGCUUAAGGGAUUAAGUCAAAAACCCUAGUCAUAGUAUCAUGUGCAUAUCACGUGACUCUCUAUAUUUUAAUAUUGAUAUAUAUAUAUAUAAUAAGUAUAUAUAAUAUAUAAUAUGAUAUAUAAAAAAUAAAAAUUAUAUAUAAAAUAUUUCGUGUACUUUCGUGUACCCAAAGUGAAAACCCGUAUCCGACCCGAAAUUUAUCGUGUAAUUUUGUGUUCGUGUACUUUCGUGUUUCGUGUACCUAAAAUCAAAAACCAUAACCGUUUAUUUCGUGUCGUUUCGUGUCGUGUUAGCGUGUCACGUGUCAAAUUGCCAGGCCUACUUAAAAUACUGUGUUUGGUAAACAUUUAUUUUACAAAAUAAGAUUUACUUUAAAAAAAAUAUCAACUUUUAAUUCUUUUGAAUUUAAAUAUUGAAAAUUGAGUUAUUUUAUACUCAUUAUCCAACAAUAAUAUAAGAGCUUAUUUCGGAAAAAAAUAGAAUAAAAAAUAGAAUUUCAUAUACUUUUUUCAAAAAUAAAUUCUUAUUUCUGAUUUAAAAUUACUCAAACAUCUCAUUAAUAUAAAAUCGAAGGCGAUUGCAAGGACAAGUAUAACACAUAAUUAUUUAUAACAUAUACACCUGGUUGUAUACAUUGAGGAAGGAGAGCUACCCUGCACAUAUUUUAAUGCUACGUUAAAUUGUAGUCGAAUAAAUUAUUUUUAUUUUUUAUUUAAAUGAAAUUUAAUGUUUAAAUUUUAUUAAAAAGGCAAAGAUUAUAAAUAAAUUGUUAAAAUGUCACUAUAUUCAUCUUAAAAUAUGUGUCGAAUAUGGAAAGAGAAUUUGUAUACAAGUGAAUGGGCAGGGAGAGUACCGGUGAAUAUAGAAAUGAACACCGAUGUCCUCAAAUUCAAGUGUCGUAGUUAGAAUUAAUUAACUAACUAUUAUAAACUUUAGCUUAUAUUUAUAUUAAAAACAUAUUUUAUAUAUUUUAAUUCAAAAAUUUUGAAACACUUAAAUGUAAGGGGUUAAAACGACAUUCAAAUAUGUAAACCUUGACAACUGUGAUCCUUUACAUAAAAUUAUUUAUCUUAUUUAUGAAAAAAUAUCAUCAUUAAUAACAAAUUAUUUAAAACAAAAAAAUAUGUUAUUUUAAUAUACUUAGUCUUCGUCUAAAAUAAUUAUUUAUUUUGAAUUUUUAUUAUAAAUAAAAAAUUUUAUUUGAUGUAUUUUUGUGGCAACACUAAGCUAUAAGGAUGUAAUCGAGCAGAACCAAGUUGAACACUACCAGGUUCAACUCGAGCUCGAUUAAAAAGUUCGGGACUCGAGAUUGACCUCGAGUUCGACAGAGUCUUUAAUUUCAAAACUCGACUCAUAAACAGUUCAAUAGGCUCGAGCUCGGCCGUAUGUGUUUGAGUCUUGCGGAGGUUCCCCACCCAACUUGUAGCUUAAAAUUAAAAAAAUAAUUAAAACCGACCUACACAAAACAUCUGAUAGGAAAAUCGACUGACACUUAACGGUCGGGUUACAAAUAACGACAACCUUUUGCUGAGUUGACAAGAUAUUGACAAAUUUAAACCGAUCAAAGCCACUUGGUCGUUUUAACGUUGACGUGUCCAGGUAAAAGGUGACCGAUUUGUCGGUCAUUUAUGUGUUUGAAUAUUGUUAAUUAAAUUUCAAUGAAUCUGUCAGACAAAACGAUGUUGUACUGGCUCUAACGGUAAAAUUGACCGACUUAGUGUCCGGUUUUAUUUAUUUAUUUAUUAUCGUUAAAUAUAAUUAAUUUUUAAAAUGAAAAAUAUACACGUUGCAGAUGGGGCACGAAGACGUUUCAUGUUAAGUGACACAAAUGACCACCUGAUUUAGACAUGACUACAAAAAUCUAGCUUUGAUUUUCAUUUUGUUGAAAAAGUAAACAAAACACAGAUUCCAAAAGGGAAGAAGAAGAAAAGGGAGAAGACGAGGAGGGGGGAGGGGCGGGAAGAAGGGAGAAUCAAAUAUCAAAACAAAGAAGCUAUUUUUCUUAAUUCAUGUUUAUAUAUGCAUGUCACUUAUUUCAAUUUUUUCAGAUAACUUGUGAUAUAUGUGAUGUUCAUGCAUAUGUAUAUAUAGAUUCAUGUAGAUGGCCUGAUCAAAGUUGGAUAUGUAAUCGGCUACAAAGAGGUAAAUUACUAUUAAUCAAGAAAUAGUGAACGUGUAGAGGAUUUAUUUUAUUUUUUGAAAUUUGCAAGCUCGAAAAUGAAAGGAGAUAUGAUGAAAUGCCCUUAUAAACUUUGUAAAAAUUUAAACUGAUUAGGGAUAGCUUGUUAGUUGUUGGUUGUUUAUUGGUAAUGGCAGCGAAAAUGGUUGUUUGUUGGUAUUGGCAGUGAAAAGAGACUAUUAAAUACAUUUCUUUCUAUAAUAAUACCUAAAAAACUAACCGGAAAAACUCAUAACCAACCACUCUUACUAUUCCUUAACCAAAAAACUGACCGCCAAAGCUCAUUAGCGGCCACUCUAACCAUUACUUAACCCAGCAAAUCAGCCAUAUUAAAAAAUAGUGGUCGGUUUUACAAAUCAAAGAUCAAGCUAGAAUAAACUCGACCACUUAUCAGUCGGUUUUAGUGCUUAUCACAACAAACUGGAAUAAACCCAACAAAUGGUUUAUAACCGACCCCUACCCGACCACAAUGUCAUAACCGACCACUUUCUAGUCGGGUUUAAUGCAAGCCAAAACCAACUGAAAUAAAUAUGAUAUCGGUCUAUUUUAUUCUUUGUGUAAACUUUGAUCGGUCAAUCCUACGCAACUUAUAACAUACCACAACACGGUCAGUUAUAUUAACCCAUGUGGCACUCUAUUUUCAUGUGGUAAUGUUGAACCCACAAGUUAGGAGUUAUUGUUUCAAAUUAAACCGAACAUAACGUUGGUUGGUUUUGUUACACCAAGUUGGCUAAAUCGACCACCUUAGUUGGUCGGUUUAGCCUAUAAAACUCGCUGUUUCGAGUCGUAACCGAUCAUAUAUGUCGAUCGGUUUUGUCGAUGAUUUUGUAGUGUAAGUAGUAAGUUAUAUACUCCCUCCGUCUCAUAAUAAACGUCCUCUUUUUUUUCAAAUUUUUUUCACGCAUUUCCAAGCUUAUAAAAAGUAUACUUGUAGACAUUAUUUUCUUGUAUUUUUUAUUUUGUAUUAAAAUUUGAACUUCCAGUUUUUAUACAAAAAAAACGAAAAAAUAAUAUCUACAAGUAUGCUUUUUAUAAGCUUGGAAAUGCAUGAAAAAAACUUGAAAAAAAAGAGGACGUUUAUUAUGGGACGGAGGGAGUAAUGAUUUUUAUAUUGCCUUCAAAAUUGUACAUAAGAUGUCAUUAUAAUUUUAAAACAUCAUUCAUCGUAAUAUAUGAAAAUGUGACUACAUAGUUGGAGAAUUAGAUGUCACAAUUCAUCUUGAUUCCCAAAAUGAAUCACUUUUUAUAAAAUAUAAUUUAUAUAAAGUGCUCCCAUCAAAAAUAAUUCGUGUGGACUGCUUAAAGACGCGAUCCUUAGACGAGGGCUGCGUGGUGAUUGCUUGUUCCGGACCUCCAUCUUUCGCUAACGUAAAGCUUCAACAAGGUAUUAUUUCGUAUCUCCAUGAUCAGCCAUACUUUAUAGAUGGAUCCUCGGGUUAGGGUUUCGGAUUUUUUUUAUUUUACGUCGAUUAUCCGCUGCGUUUUGUUGCCCCGAAACCCAACAAUUGUAUUGUUCUCUUCCAAGAUAUAAUACAUUACUUCAAACUAUAUCUUCACCGUAACUCUCAUGAUCAAUCCAGAUAUAAAUCAUAAAAUAUUUUGAGUGAAAGUAAAACGAGAAUAAUUGAUUUAGUUCUAAGUUAGAGCAAUACCAAUAGUACAAAAGACUAAAAAUCGUUAUAUUUAAUCGAACUAAAGAAAUUUGCGCACAAAACUUGUAAGAAUUUGAAUUCUUUUAUUAAUUCCAGUUCCAAAAUAUGACUAAUUCGACCAUUCAAGAACAUUUUCACAAGAAUUCUAGAUUUUGAAUAUUUUGUAUUACAUAAUUUAAAAAAACUUAUUUUUAUUAAUUAAAUACUAAAUUAUAAAUGAGUGAAACUCACGCCUAAAGAGAAGGCUAAUUAGGUAUAACUUCGAAUAAAUUCUAACAUAGGGUAUAAAAUUAAAACAAAAAAUAAUCAAAUUAAUAAAUGGACAAAAAUAAGAUACAAGUAUUUUAUCAACAAACGAGCCGCUCUCUCUUGUACGUAAUGAUACCUAUAUUGUUUUUAUAUAAAGUAUAUCACUAUUGAAAAAUUCUAGCUAUUUACUCGAACUUACGUAUCUUAGUAGCCAUUGGUCUAGUCUAAGAAUUGACCCCAAAAUACCUGAUCCGUAAAAUACCUUGUGAUAGUUCCUUUAAAUUACAUAACAUAUAGAAAAUCAAGUCAUAUAUUAGUUUUAAUAAAGUUAGAAAAUUAAUAAGAAAGAGAAACGGUUGUAACAUCCCAUGUCAAGGUAUUGAAGAUACUCGAUCAAAACUCUUUCUUUAAUAAUGUCUUGCUAGGAAAAUAACACUAAGGAAGACGUAAUGUCCUUCUUUCUAAUGGCGUGAAGGCCUCGGAUUUGAUGGAGCUAUUGAAUCAACAAAAUGUUUGAAUUUUCGAACAGUUUUAUCAAUUAAUAUAAAAUUUCAUGAAUAAUAUUUUAUAAAAAAUAAAAAGUCAUAUCUAUAUAUAAAGGGUAGUUGGAAACUAUUUUAAACUACAAGUUCAAAUAUGUAUGAAAAUUCACUAAUACCGACUCGACUUGCCUUAGAAUAGAUUUCUCAUACACAAAAAUUAAUAAUAAUAAAUUUAUAAAUAAUAUUAACUUUAUGAAAUAAGCGAUUAUUCUAAUGAAAAUAUAAUUUGUAAUAAUAUAUGUAUAUAUACACACACAUAUAUGAAUACAUGAUUUCAACUCAUAUAUNGUCGGUAUAUAUAUAUAUAUAUAUAUAUAUAUAUAUAUAUAUAUAUAUAUAGAGAGAGAGAGAGAGAGAGGGGUUACUCCGGUGGGAACUUCUUAAAAUGAGAACUGUGAGAACUUCCUUAAUUUAUCAUAUUUUGGCUAAUCUAAACAUCAAACUAGUGGAAAACCAAUAUAAAAAAUGUAUAUAAAACUAAUCUCUCCCUAGCUAGUCAAAAAAAAAAAGUCCACUGCCACGUCAUCAUUGAUUUAAUUUUAUUUUUAUUUUUAUUUUUUUUUUGGCUAUCUAGGUGGAGACCUUAAUGAUAUACAUUUUUUGUGAAGGUGCCCCUGGCGGGGCCCUUCAAAUGAAUGAGAUUUUGAUAAAUUAAAAAAGUUCUCACGGUUCUCAUUUUAAGAAAGUUCUCAUUUGAGCAAGUGCCUAUAUAUAGAGGGUUAUAUACACACGCAAAUGAAGUGUCGGAUCUAGGAUUUUACCAAGGAGGGGGUUUCAUUAAUAUUAAAAACAAAUGAGUGAAGUUGAAUCUUGCGGAAAGGGAGACGCAACGAAGUAUUGACUAUUGAAGUUGAGCAAGAGCAGCAAAGCAUUUUUUUUCUUUUAAUUCAUUCACUUCACCUGCGAUAGCGAGAGAAUAUUAGGUAUAAUAUAGUAGAUUAUUUAGUCAAUGGACUGGGCUUGCAAUAAAAAUGAACGGGUUCAAAGUAAUUUGGGUGGGCUCGUUUAUAAAAUACACCAAUUUUAGAAAGAAAAUUGCAAUUGCUAUGGACUCAGGGUGGGCUCUCAAGACCCCUUAGCCCCGUAUGUAUCCGCCACUACACAAAUGUAUACAUAAAUUCAAUGCUAGCGCUAUGAUUAUUUCAUUAACAUCUUCUCUUUUCCUUUUCACAACCUUUUAAAUAUCUUUAUGAAGAAACUCUUGUAAAAAUCGCCUUUCACAUAAUCUCUUCCUUGCCUUUUUAUUUUCAGUUAAACCUCUAUGCGUUUGUUGUCGACCGAUUUAUAGCUAAUUUGUGAAUCGGCGCCUAAUAUAGCCUAAUUUUUCUUAUUACGUUUACGAAACCUCCGAUCCUCUUCACUUUUGUCUAGUUUUAUCCGAUCUAUUUCCGAUCUAGUUGUUAUACUAAUUACAAAGCAUCUGAAAGCAUCUGAGCGAUCUGACUUUUUUCAGAUGCAAUCGGUGAGCUCAUUAAAUUAGAAUUCAUUUAUAUUUUUUUUAUCAAUUUUGUUUGGAUAGAUGCAGAUAUUUAUAUUUGGGGUUGAUGCUUUUGAGUUUCUAUGUAGAUCUGACGUUUGUAAAACGGAUCUCUUAAAUUUUAGAUCGCAAAAUUAAUUAUUAUGUUCUUUGGUUUUUCCAGCUCUUGCAUAUAUGGAAUAGUUAUCAUAAACAAUGAAGAAAAUGCUUCAAGAACAUUUCAUUCUCAUCACCUUCUUUAGAUGUGGGGAAUCGAGGUAAUUUUUUAUUAUAUUGGCUUAACUACUUUUUUAUAUAUGUAUUACAAAUUAUUAAUACCAAAUUUGUUGAACUGAUUUUUUUUUCAUAUUUUGUCAUAAGGAUUUAAAUUAAUAAAUUUGUUUAGACAAAUUAUAAUGCUUUUAAAAAUGACAAAUAAACAUAUAUUUAGUAUACUAUCAUAUUUGGAGUGUUGUUAUAUCUCGAGUGACGAGAACUUAGACUUUUAUUAACAUGUGUUUGCUUUGUAUUAUAUAAGAAUAAUAGAUAAUCAAUUUAGUAAUCUUUUCAUAAUUUUUAUUUAUAUUAUUAAUAUUAAAUAUAAGUUUUAUUAUUUUGAAAAAUAAGUGAUCACCACGACACACCAAGUACGUUAUCACACCCAUCUUGUUGGAGUAGGUGCAAGAAAUUUUUAAUUACUCCUCAAACACAUAUGAGAUAUGUUAAAAAUUGGCUGAUUUAGCUUGUUCCAUGAAAGUGCAGAUGAGAAUUGGAAAAAGCGGCCUCCGAACUGUAUGUCUUCUUUCUUUGUGUGAAUCUUUUAGUUUACAGGUUAUUAAGUUUAAAAUAUUGAUCACGAUUUUGAAUCCUUACCGGCAAAGGAGUUGUUUGAUCUUCAUUUAACACAUGUCAUUGUCAAUCGCCAACAGAUUGUUAAAAGGGGAAAUGAUAUUGUUGAGGUUAAGCCACAGGUAUGUGUCUCUCAUCUCCCACUUUCCUCUAUAUUGUCUAAUAAUUUACUUAACUAGCAACACCUGUAAUAUGUAGGAUGUAAGCAAAGGCUUGGUCACAGAAAAGGUAAUCUCGACAAUGGUUGGUAACGGCGAGGGCCCUGAUUCAUCCUCUGCUGCAUUGGAGAUGAUUGGUUAGAUGAAGACAUGUAGAGUGUAUUUGGAAGAUUGUUUCAUCUGCAGUGGUCCUUGCUGUUCCGGAAAUCUUUUCCUGCACUGUAAGCAAAAGCCUAGCAAAGCCAAGUACUAUGUCGACGAAACUUCUGAAGUUCCGAAGCUGCUCUAUAUUUGUCAUGUUUUGAUUUUCACUUCCAGCAAUCAAAACAUUAUUCGUAUUUUCAUAAUUGUCACCAGGACCCGUAUCAUUGAGCCAACUGGAAAAAUCUUCCAAUUCAAAGUCAGUGUAAUCAAUUGGAGGUUGAUGCUCAGAAGGAAACUCAGAAAAGGGUAUUUCCCAAAUAUGAUCUUCUGAUGUAUGGUUAGGACCCAAAAAAGAUUGAUAAUGAUUUUUUGGAGAAUCAACUUAGUUAGUAAGGACUUCACCUCCAUCACCUUGUUUUUCAAUUGGUAAUAUAUGAAUCAAAGUGAUAAUAGAGAAAACUUAUUAAUGUGUGUAUAUAUAUCAGGGUUUGUGUGUAUAUGAAAUCAAGAAUUUCAACAAAAGGAGAUUAUGUAGACCUUUUUGUUAAUCUAAUCACAGUAUUGCAAGAGGGUGAAGAUGGUGUAUGAGAUGGGUAGCUAGCUCCUCCGAUGCAACGCUAGUUAUAAAGUGGAGCCUAAAUUACUAGCCAUUGAUUUUUUUUCAUCUAAUUAACGAUCCAUAUCUUAAGAUGUUAUCUUUUCUCGUGUAAUGCUCCUUAUCUUAUAUUACCUUAUGUCAGUGUAAUACUUCUUAUGACUUAAUUAUCCACCAACUUAAUUAAUUCAAUAAGUUGGAGGCUAAUUAAGUAUUCACUCAUAAGAAGUAUUACACUGACCUAAGGUAAUAUAAGAUAAGGAGCAUUACACGAGAAAAGAUAACAUCUUAAGAUAUGGAUCGUUAGACGAAAAAAAAAUCAAUAGCUAGUAAUUUAGGCUCCACUUUACAAGUAGCGUUGCAUCGGAGGAGUUAGCUACCCAUCUCAUACACCAUCUUCACCCUCUUACAAUACUGUGAUUAGAUUAACAAAAAGGUCUACAUAAUCUCCUUUUGUUCAAAUUCUUGAUUUCAUAUACACACAAAACCCCAUAUAUAUACACACAUUAACAAGUUUUCUCUGUUAUCACUUUAAAUAAUAUCUUACCAAUGGAAAAACAAGGUGAUGGAGGUGAAGUCCUUCCUGACGGAGUUGAUUCUCCAAAAAAUCAUUAUCAAUCUUCUUUGUCCUCUAACCAUACAUCAGAAGAUCAGAUCUAAGAAUACCCUUUUUAGAGUUUCUUUCUUAGCAUCAACCUCCAAUUGAUUACACUGACUUUGAAUUGGAAGAUUUUUCCAGUUGGCUUAAUGAGAGUGGUCCUGGUGACAAUUAUGAAAAUACAAAUAAUGUUUUGAUUGCUGGAAGUGAAAAUCAGAACAUGACAAAUAUGGAGCAACUUCGAAUAUUUAGAAGUUUCGUCGACAUAGUACUUGGCUUUGCUAGGCUUUUGCUCUACAGUGCAGAAAAAGAUUAAUUGCUUAUAUUGUCAAAUUAUAUUUUCAUUAGAAUAAUUUCUUAUUGGAAGGAAACAAUUGUAUAAUAAGUUUUCAUUUUUAUGCGUUAAAAAUUUGCAUUUCCUUAAUGAAUUCUUGUUUUUGUACUCUUUAUCCUUACAAAUAUAUUUAUAGUAUGCAAAUAUGUAUUGUUCAUUUGUAAUACCAAAAUAAUUUGGUAGUUCAAACGUAAGUAUUAGUAUGUGUUUUAUGUUUACAAUUUAGAGAGUACUGGAUAUAGAAUCUUUGUGAUGUAUAAGAUUAGCUCUAUAUUAAUUUAUAAAUAUUUUUUUUAUGAUCCAACCGUACGGAUGUCGAGAACUAACAAUAUUAGCCAUGUAUAAAAAAAUCAAAAAAAAUUAUGUUUAUUUUGUAUAUUUUUUUCACAAUACUAAUCAAACGUAAAUUUUGUCUUAUUAUAAAUGUAUUUUUUGUCCCGAAGUGUCUAACAAACAACGGUUUUUAUAUGCACCUAUGUUGUAUCAUUGAAAAUGACACAACUGUUAGAAAGUUAUACCCUAAGAGAAUCUAUUGUAUUAAUUAGGCUCCAACAACGCUUUAGGGAAAAUCGGUUGUAUAAAAGUAGUGUAGACAACGGGAUAUGGGAAGAAAACCCUUGUAUAAUAAAUAUUCAUUUUUAAGAGUUAAAAAUUCGCAUUUACUGGAUCAAUUCUUGAUCUAAUGCAGGAAAAACCUAUGACUAUGAAGAACUUGACUAUUUUGUUAUAAUUUUAAUUGGUUAGGACAUUUAAAUGUUUGCACUCUCUUAUGUACGUUUAUUUUCGUUUUAUAGUUAAAGGCUUGUCUAUAAGGCCAUGAUACGAUGCUAACAAAAACACUUGUAUGUUAACUUCUCCGUCACACAACACUAUAUGGAACCCUUGUUUGAACUACUCGUAAACAACACAACAAAUAAAACACUUGUCUAAUUGCAACAACGGUUUCUUGGAAUAUUGUCUGAAGUUUCUUCACACAUCGACGCUAAAAACAGUUGUCUAACGUGCAUCAUUACAAACAAUAUCACUGUUAAGAUACCGUUGUCUGAUUAAAUUUAGUAGACAAUAGUUUUUUAACCGUUGUAGGUCGUAGGUGUUAGACAAUAGUUUUUCGAUCGAGGAUGAAAAUAAAGUGUUGUGUCUUUGUUUCGGCCAACAGUUUUUUGAGCGUCCGUUGUCUGACUAGUGUUGUCUGAUACUGUUUUUGUUGUAGUGCCAUAACUAGCAUAAAAAUUCAACUCCAGUUCUGACAUUUACUUUCCAUUUUAUUUUUUAUACGCAAAUGUAAUUCAUUUCCACUUAGAGAAUGCAGUGUAUGAUUUUGGUUCAUUUAAAGAUAAACAAUUUUAAUGUCGCGUGAAGAACAACACGUGUCAUCACAUUGAUGCAAUACUAGGAAAAUACAAUUAGAACAAUGAACAAUAAAGCUAAUUAAUUCACCAGAAUAUCACCAAUAUAGAAUCACUAUAAGAGCUCGUAUUCAAUUAUGAAACCAGCUACAGGAUUGAAACCCCAAAUUGGUUUAAAAUUGAAAUUAAUUAAAAAGCUAAUGCUAUUGAAAGCUGAAUACGAUGAUGUACAAAAUUGAAGCAAUAUUGAAGUUAACAGGUUUUUUUCAAACCUAAAUAUAAACAUCUAAAGUUGAAUAUCCAGAUCUUAGAUGUACAGAAUUUGCAGUGAAUCGCCUGGCAAGAUUUGUUGAGAUAUGAAAUACCAAAUCCAUGAAUUAGGCUUGGAAAUGCCAAAUCCAAGAAUUAACACCAAUUUACGGCGAAAAACAGCAAUUAAAAGUGUUAACAACAACGAGACAGAACAACGGCAGUGAAGCAGUGCCAUUGAGAGAACAGAUCAGAUUGAAUGACACCGGUGCUAAUUGAAUGAAAACCAGUGUAAGAUGAAGGGAAAACGUAUUAUGUCGAUGAAGUAUAUGGACUGGAACUGUAUGUGGAUUGGUACUAUCUUCUAUUAUUCUUAUCAAAAUAACAUUAGUAACAUUCACUUUUUGUUUGGCAUUUAGAGCUGGGAAAACAAACUCCUACCACAAUCAAGGAAGAUCACUCUCAUCAGAGAGGAAAAUUAUUUACAAGGUUAAAAACAAGUUGAAAGGGAGAUUACGGAGUAAAACUUACUCAGCAAUUCAGUGACAACCUCAGCCCAGUAACAGGCCCAAGCCCAAGGAGAAUACCCCAGGAAACCAGCUAUAAAGAGAAGGAAAGAAGACAGAGGAAGGGGUUGAAAAAUUAGAGGCAGAACCUCUUGCUUGUAAUAGAAAAAGAUAUUAGUGAGAAAUAUAGAAUUUCCUGUAUUCAUCCAAUAUUUGUCGCCAGAAGGAGGGGGUCUCUAGCCAAUACAACAACAGAAUCACCUCAAGGAUGGACGGAGACGAAGGCGCUAGAUCCCGAAACAAACGAGAUCCUGGCUGUGUAGUCGCAGGAAAUAAAUUUAGGGAAAUUAGCAACAGUACCGCUUUUUAUUAUAUUAUUUGCAGUACUACUACCUACCCAAAAGGAUUGCAUAUAUACGGUUCUUCUUUAACUUUAACCAGAAAGUUUGCAUACUUACGGGGCUUCACAUCUACAUCUUCUCUCUUGCAUUUUUCGUUCUUUUUAUCAAGAUCGGCUUUCUUCCACUCUUCUCUCUCCUUUCUCCUCGCACUUUCUCUCCGCCUCCAUCUCUCAUCUCUUCGCUCUCUCUCUAUCUCUUUCUCCUCGUUGGAGGAGGAAUAAUCCGUUGAUCUCCUUAAUGGAGGAAGAGGAGCACGACGUGAUGUAGUUUUCCGAUCUGAUGCCAAAAGCCCCGCGCUGUCAAUCGUCGUCCGAAUCCGGCGAGAAGCUCGCCAGAAAGUGCACAGAUCGAGCCAUACCCACAAACAAAGAGAAAGUGCUCAGAAUGCUCUGAUUCUUCCGAUGAAUAAUUUCUCUGAGGAUUUUGAUUGGAGAGAUAAAUCGAAUAGGUUGCUUUUUAGGUGAUUUUUGAUUUGUUUUUAGUUAAUUUCAUGGUUGCUCUUGUGAUAUUAGUUUUGGCCCCGCAGGGGUAUUUUUUUUUCUACUUUUGCAACCGGUUGCAACUUAUUAUGCAACUAAACGUAAUUUUCAAAAGUUUUUUUUCAAAGUUGCAUUUAUGGUUGCUAGCAGUUGCAGAUAAGGUUGCAUAUGCAACCACCGUAUUUUUGCAAUUUUUUUUGAAAGAUGGUAUUUUUGCAAUUUGUUAUAAAGAAAUGAUAGUAUUUUUGCAAAAAUCCUUUUAGACUUAGGUAUAUAUGAGAAAAGCCCAUAAAUUUAAGGCGAGAGCUCGGUCCAAGCAGACUCUUCGGGAAAGAGCCUCGGGCUAGCUUCGAAGGGGAGCCCGCCCGGUCAGGUCAAAUCCAAUAGGUAGAAGCAAAAGACAAGGUCUUUUGAAUGACAGUACAAACUUGAAAAGAGUUCUGAAUAGUGACCGAUCGUCUUUACCAUGAAAAAUCAAAGCCAAGACUAAGCUCUGGAAAGCACAACUAAAGGACUUGAUAUCCUAGAGAUUGAGCGCCACCUACUUGAAGCUAAGGUCUGCCAAAUGAAAGACAUAAUGUGUCUCAGGACCGAGCUGAAAAUUUGUCUAAGGAAUAUCAAAUGGAGGACCAUGAGCCCUCUUGAAAAACUUCCGUGUACAGUGAGUAUACCUGCAGAGAGGACUCCGAGGGAUCAUAAAACUCUAGGCGUCACAAGAGAAAAAUGCCCUAUGAGGAGAGGAGAACUUGGGAGCCUCGGAGCCGAGGACACGAAUAACCAUGUACCUAGCUAACCCGCCCGCCUCCAGGAAAACAUUGUUAGGAAGCAUGGACUUAACAGGAGCAAGUCCUACCAUUUACCAUUUGCGCUCAACGCACAUUUCAUGAGAUACCCGUUCAUGCUCAACACACAUAUCUUGAGAUGAUCAGCUGACAGACACUUGAAUUGAGCCGAUCGCUAAGACACGAUUUUAUCUUCUUCUUACAGAGACUGGCCUUGCCAAAAGAAAGUCCAUCUUGCAGAGCGUGAUUACGUUAUAAUUUAAUAUAUAUGGAUAAUAUAGAUUCAAGUGUUACUGACAUCCUUCUGUUGUUGUAUAAAUAGUCUAACUCUUAUCAAUCAUACAAUGAUUCCUCAUUUUGUCAUACUAAUCCUUCAAAUUAAUCACAUAGUCCAGUUAAGGUCACCUUCUUGAUCAUUUUUCGGAAUAUUUAUCAACAAUAAUAUUCUCAUUUCUAUAAUUCAUCACAUGUAUACCUUAAAUGACUAGGGACUCGCAUGCUAUUCAUAGAUACUGCUUUAAAAGAUCCUUGGAGGAGAAUCGUGCCUGUUGAGAGAUCCUCUGCACAAUGAACUAUGGUAAGAAUUUAACCAACACACGAUUCUCUUCAAAGAAUUGUAAAAUAGAUAACUUGUUAUGAGAAAUAAAAGGAACAUGCAGAACAUUAGUAAAUUUAAAGGUGGGUAAAGAGGUAAGGAGAACUGGAGAAGGAAUAUAAUGAACCAAUAUGAGAUAUCGGAAGAGAGCACCUGUCGUCAAUGCUGCUUCGGUAUCGUCAACAAACUUGAGUAAAUCAUGGCCAAAGGGAACUGAAUGGAUCUUGGUUUUGCAGGAGAGAUAGUUCAGGGGUAAUUGCUGAAAUUAAUGAGAAUGAAUGGUGCAGAGGGGUCAUUUGAGUUAAAUUAAUGGAGUUAUCCAGGCUGCCCACCAUGUUAGAAUAGCUUAGGUAGGUGGGUUAUAAAAAAAUUGAACUAACAAGAUAGCAAUUUCUCCUAACAAGUUAUAGGUGCAGGACGUGAACAAGCUAAAUAUCUUAGUUAGUACUUGUAAGGAGGCCCGUUUAAAGCCACGAAAUGUGGAACUUACAGUUAAAUAAUUUCUACAUUUCUCCCCAGCACCUCCCUUCCCCAUAGAUUAUUAGAGUAACAGGGAAUAGGGAUGCUCUAACUAAUAAAUUAACUCUCACAAAUUGUGUAGAAAACACUUCUGACCUGUUUCUAUUUCAACAGCUUAUUUAUUGAUUUUAGCAAAUGUUUUUUCUUUUUAACACUUUUACUGACAAUUGUUUUCAUGAAAGCUUUUUUCGGUUCAGGAGAGCAUUUUUCUGGCCAAGGAGGGCAUUUUUCCGGGCAACACUGGUCCGGAGGGCACUUUUCUGGGCAACACUGAUCGGGAGAGCACUUUUCCGGACUACACUUUUUCGGAGGGCACCUUUCAGGGGAGCACUUUUCUGGACAACACAUUUCUUGGCAGGAGUUAUCAACCACACUACCGAAAGGAGCCAUAAGCUUUGGCGUAGGGAGGCAACAUUCUGGGUACUUAACAGCUAAUUUUUCCCGAAGCAUCUUGACAGUGUUCUGGAUGAAAGUGCUCUGUAGACUGGAAGUGUUAAACACAUUAUUAUUAUAGAAACUCUGUAUAUUCAAGUAAACAGCAUUUUGUACUAGAGAAAUUGUUUAGAAAUUAAAAUUUUAGGAAGAAAAUAUUUAAAAAUAUGGAAGAUUAAUAUUACCCCUCCACAUGGUCUCCAAGAAUUUUACCAACUUCUACCAGAGCUUCUCUCCACUUCUCCACUGUGUCGCUGUGUCUUGCCCUAUGCUUUUUAAGCGCAAGGCCGUAAUUUCCAAGUUGGUAUUUAAUAUCUCUGAUUUCAACCUCAUACAAAAUCGGUAUGAUAAAAUACUUGGAGUUCUUACUGCGUUCUAAAAUGAGGACGAGUUCAUCCAGACACCACGUAGAAUAAUUCAAGUGGACUAGUUAAAUGCAGCCAGAGUCAACUAUAAAACCUCAAGUCUCCUCAAACAGUUUUGUAACAAAGAAAUACUGUAAAUGCUAAAAUCAACAAUGUUUAUUUGAUGGAGUACAAUUGCCAGCACAUGAAUAAAAAAUUUGUAAACUAAUAGGAUCUCAAACAGGGAAUCUAAAUAUAUUUUUAAUUAUAUUACUUAUUAUAUGUACUCAAACUCUACUAUAUAGUUUAAACUCUUUUUAGUUAAAAGUCUUUAUGAUUAUAUUAUUUUUAUGUUAUUAAUAUUAAACAUAUUUGAUGUGGUAAGAUUCUUUUGCUUAGUUUUUUUAUUCAUUUACUCAUUUUGACGCAAAACAGGUUCUCUCACACAGCAGCUUUUCAGCAUUUUUCUAACCUAAAUUUUUUUAUUAACCUAUUGAGCACGUUCACGUUCUUUUAACUUUUGUUAGAACAAGAUAGCGCAACAAUUUGGACACUCUUACUAAACUAAGUAGAGACAAGAGUUUAAAAAAAAAAAAGCCUUUGUUGCAAAUAUUGUAAAACAAUGGUUUUCAAGUGACAGAUAACAAGGAAUUCAUGUUAAGUAAGGGAUUCAAAAUUUUUUAGAUAUUUUUUUUAAAUAACAGUAACUCUAUAUGCUUAUGGUCUGAAAGCAUAACAUCAAUAAUUUUAUAAAAAAAACUCUAUUGUAGCUUGUUGUACACAACAAUUUUAGCAAGUACCCUUGUCAUGAGGGUAUUCAAGAAACGAUUUUUGUUUAAAACUAACCAUUCUGUAUGAGCUAUAAAUCAUUGCUAUUGUAUUAUUGUAUUGUUCAUUGUUAUCUUGCAGCUGUUUAGAUAAUUCUUUGUGUUACGCUCACAUAGUUGUAUAGGUUUCCAGACGAUAAUUAAUUACAUUUACUAGUUAUUGGAAUAUUAUUGUCGCAAUAGUUCAACUCUUACUUUAACCAACAUUGUUCACAAGGAAAAUUACAAUAACAAAGAAAGAAUGUCCUUGUUUCUUAUGUCACGAGGGGACUUACGUGUGAUGGAGAUAGUGGUCCAACAAAAUUUUUGAAUUUUUUAACAAUUUUAAUAAUUAAUAUAAAAUUUCAUGAAAAAUAUUCAUAAACAUUAGAAAGUCAUUUCUAUAGAGUGCAACAAUAAACUAUAUUGAACUGAUUCACUCAGUGCUGACAUGCAUACAUAUAAAUUGUCAAGUUAUUAUAUAUAACAUGUAAGUAAUACUACUGAUAGUCUUAAUCACACAAUCUAUCUAGAUCUUCGUCAUUAUAUUUACAGUCAUUUAUAUAUAAAAUUUAACACUCAUAUAUACAAAUCAAAAAAAUGUUUGUUGUGUGUGUGUAUAUAUAAAACAUUGAGGGGUGACAAUGACAUUGAGUUCAAAAAUGUUUGUUGUUGUAUAUAUCGACGCAUAUAUUUUCUGUAUACAAAUUAUAUCACUCUUAAAAAGAGCAUAGACUUUUCAUUUCCACUUACAUAUCCUUGUAGUCAUUGUAUUAGUCUAUGAAUGAAUUUAAAAUUACAUUGUAUUAGUCUAUGAAUGAAUUUAAAAGUACCGAUUUUGCCAAAAAUAACUAGAUGGGCUAGGGUUUCUUGUCGAUGGAUCAACAACAGCUAUAGAAGCCCGUUAAGGAAUGCCUAAAUGUUAAGGCCCAUCCUUACCUCCUAUGAAAACAAGAAGUUUCCACAAGCUCACCAACGAGGACUACUCGCUAGACUACGGAGGAAGACUUCUCUGGUCUUCGUCCACUACUUUCCAAUGAGGAUGGCCCACUAGAAUGCAAAGUAGUGUCUUUAACUUUGUAUACGAAUCCGGCCCAUGUUAAUGACCCAUAGUGAAUUUUGGGUAUAACAACUGUUAUUAGACUUUUCAUAACAUAAUCUCUUUCUUGCCUUUUCCUCAUCAUCGGAAACCCUAUUUUCCCGAUCAACCUCUUCUUCUAAAUUCUUUCUAAAAACAUUCAUUUCAUCUUCAAAUUCCAUUCCAUUACCAUGUUUUGAUUAUAAAAACUAUAACCCAACCACCACCACUACCUUGUAACAUCAAUAAAGUGUUAAGAUGUUUCCGAUAUAUCUUUAAUUUGCGAAUUGGUGCUUGAUAUAUGUCUAAUUUUUCUCCUUUCGCUUACAAAACCCUCGAGCCUCCUCACUCUUGUCCAAUUUUAUCCGAUUCAUUUCUGAUCUACUUGAUUGUACUUGUUAAACUAAUUACAAAGCAUUUGAGAAAUCCGACUUUUUCUGAUUCGUAUCGGUAAGAAUUAGAAAAUAACUAUUUAUGUUUUUCUUAUCUAUUUCGUUUGGAUAGAUGCAGAGUCACAUGUGGGAUCGAGCCUUUUGCGAUUUAAUUACCUGAUUGUUAUGACUUAGUUUCAAUCUUUUUUUAUACAGGUAUUUUUAUAAAAUUAAAAUUAGAUCUAAUGAUUGUAAAAUUGAUCCUCUAGAUUUUAUAUUGAAAAAUUUACUUAUUACGUUCUCUUUCUUUUUUCGAUUCUUGCAUCAAUGGAAGUUAUUAUAAACAAUGAAGAAAAUGCUUCAGGAAGAUUUUUUAUGCACAGUUAACCACCUUCUUCUGGUGUCUGAAAUCCGGGUAAUUUUCUUAUUUUUGCUUAAUUACUUUCAAUACAUGUUCUGUUUGGUAUUAAUACCAAAUUUGUUGAAUUGAUUUUGUUAUAAUUUGUCAUGCGGAUUUGAAUUAAUGAAUUUUAUUUAAAUGAAUUCUAUUUCUAAUGCUUUAAAAAUUGGAAAAAAAAUAUAUAUAUGUAGUAUAGUAUAAUUUUUGGAGAGUUUGUAAAGUUUAAGUAUGAGAACUUAGACUUUGUUUAACAUGUCUUUAAUUUUUAUUGUAUAUAAAUAGAUAAUCAUUUUGAUAUUAUUUAUAAUUUCAUUUAUAUUAUUUAAAAAAAUAAGUGAUGUUAUGUGAGCACUACCUUACACCACAUAUAUUCCCAUCCUUUUGUUGUUGAAAGUAACAAGAAAAUUGUAUAUACAUAUGCUUUCAAGUUUCAUCUUUUGACCCACGAGGCCACGAACCACCACAUUAAUCAUAUUACCUACUCUACUCAAGAAAAAUGUGGCAUAUGAACAAAAAAAAACACACACACAUAUAUAUAUAGGCUCAUGAUCAAAUUAAAACUAAUCUUAAAAUAAAAACUAGAAACCAAUACAAGUUAGUGAUAUUCUUAGUAUUGUCUUUAGGAUUUGGUGAUCUGUGUUGUAGGAAUUAGUGAAAACUUAAUCUCCAGAUAUGUUCCAGCUUAGAAUCUCCAGAUCUGUUCACGUUUUCGAUUCAGAUGGUGGUGAUAUUGGUGGAGAUGGUGGAGGUGAAGGUGGAGAUGGAGGAAGGAUGAUUGUAGCGGAGGUUUGGGUGGCUUGAAGUAGGGGGUUGGAGCGUUGCCGGAAUAGUGGCGGCUCCGUGUUUGAAGUUUAGUCGAGGUGGGCAUCUGAGAAUGAUUCGAGCCGGAGAAAGAAGUAUGAACGGGGCUGAAGGAGGUUAAAGCAGCGGUUAAGAUGGGGCUGGUGAAGAUGGAGGUGGAGGUUGUGUUGUUAGAGAAAUAAUGGAGGUGGAGGUGGAGGUGGAGGUGGUGCUUAUGGAGGGGACGGGCGGCAUAGAGGUGGUAGUGGUUAUGAAGGAGGCGACGAUGGAUGUGGUGAAGAUGGAGGUGGGUUUGGUGAAGAUGGGGGUGGAGAUGGAGUUGUUUAAGAAUUUAGUGGUAUUUGCUUUAGGAUUCAGUGAUAUUUCAGUUUGGUUUUUAGUUUCUAGGAUAUAAACAACUCCAAACUUGACUGGAAAAAAUUGAUUAUGUCAUGGCCAAGUGCACAAAAGCACAAAGUAACUUAGCAGCACCUUAAACAUUAUCAAUUCUAAGAAUGUGAAAAAUGAAAUUAUACACGAUUAGAGGGUAUUAAGUUUAAAAUUUUCUAGGUGACAGAUUAUAUACAAAAAAAGUACACACAGCAUUUGAAUACAAGUCCUUCUCCCUGCCUAAAAAAUGGAUUUGUGCUCUGACCUUAAUCUAACUCUGGAUGAAGAUCUCCAAAAUGAGAAACGAGCUUUACUUGUGUUACUCUUCAGUCCCUUGAAAAUUUUAUGCACAUUAACACAAUUAUUACCUUAUAUUGGCAAACCCAAAUAGAAAACGUAAUUGUUACCUGCAAGUUCUGCUAAUUAGUUCUGAAUUUUUAGGCUAAUCUCCUUAUCUGAGUGGAGCAGUCAGAAAUAAUUCAUGUGACAUUAUUUCGGUAACAGAGGUUAUGCAUUGUGUGAUCACCAUGAAUGAUUCUCAUGAUAUGGCAUGUUGGCUUGCAGGUUUGUGCAGAGUAUGGAGAGAGCAUGUCUUGAUCACUACAAUGUACUAGCAGAGUAUGGAGAGAGCAUGUCUUGAUCACUAUAAUGUACUAACACGGGUUUCAAUUUCAGAUUCAAGGUUGCUGCAAUCUCCUUAGGUUUCCAAAAUUGUAUCCUGAAAGCAUAAUCCCUAAUAAUACUCUCUUUUUUCAUUCCUGUCAUGAUGUUAUUACUACUUAAAAGAUAUUCCUUUUUACAAACUUCUUAUGUACCUCUUUAGUGGAUUCUAAAGUAAUCACCUUGUCUUUGCAGGUGGGAAAAACUUUUGGUAGGCAACUCAGUUUAGUUGUAGAUCUUGAAUGGAAGACAAUUGCGGAAAGCCCCAUAUUUUUUCCUCUGCAUCGGUGAUGACUGAUGAGAAGAAGACAUGUAAGAGUGUACUUCGAUGAUUGUUUCAUCAGCCGUAGUCCCUAUUGUUCUGGAAAUCGUUUUUUCUUUACUGUAGAGCAAAAGCCUAGCAAAGCCAAGUACUGUAUCGACAAAACUUCUGAAGUUCAGAAGCUGCUCCAGUUUCAGCAUAAAAACUCCACUGCCCCUCUCACAUUUACUUGCCAUUUAUUUGACAAGCAAACAUAAUUCCUUUCAAUGUAGAGAAUGCAGUAUAUGAUUUUGGUUCACUCUUGAAGAAUAUCAUUCUGAUCCCAAUUCUUACAGGAAUAAAAUCAAAGAUUUGCUCAGAUGAUGGUAAUUUCACCAAGUAAGAAUGAGAUGUAGGCACAUAACAGAGUCACAAGUAUAAAUUUCGUAAGAAAAAACUAGCACAUGUCAUAUUGAUACAUUUAUUAGGAAAAAUACAAUCAGAAUAAUAAACAACGCAACUAAUUAAUAAAAGUGACUAAUCAGGGAUUCAGAAAGCCAAAUCGGAUAAUACUGGAUAUUAUUUGGUAUUUAUUUAUGAGAUUUUUAUAUUACAUUUUAAAAUUUACUUGAAGAUUUUAAAAAGUGCUUGAUUAUGAGCUUAAUCGGAUAUAUCUGCUUCAACAACGUAUUAACAUGUCACUGGCCUAUUUUUGCACAAGCUUGAGUUAAACAGCAGGAGCAAAGCAAAUUCCAAGUUUUCCAAGUUGAAAAUGUCAUAAAUUCAAAAAUUAACCUCGAUUUACAGAUAAAAUACCACAACCACGAUCUCGUCAAAGUGAAGAUCAUGCAAUUUUCAUACACAAACACAAUGUUUUAACAUUACCGAUAUCUACCAAGCAUUGCAUUUGACAUCGUAACUUGAACGUGGUUCGCAAAUCUUUGUGAAUAGUAGUGAUACAUCAGUGAUCCGACAAGCUUUCGUUUAACUUCGGCAUCAUAAAAGCCCUCGACCUCUUCUUCUCCGCACAGGUCCUUCCCAUUCACAAUCACCAUAGGAAACCUUACCUUGUCAUUUCCAACCAGAUCUUUUAGCUCCCUCAAAUACCUUGGCUCAAUUGAACAGUUUCUCUCCUCAUAUACAACAUUUCCGCUUCUCAAAAUCUUUUUUAAUGCACCUACGGCAUCAGUAACACUAGUAGUCGUGUACAGAAUAAUCUUAUCUUCAGAUGAGGACGAUGAAGAACUGCCUUGUAAAACCGGAACUCGUGGAGUUGGGAGGCGACAUUCUGGGAACUUAGCGGCCAAUCUUUCUCUGAACAAUUUGACAGUGUUUUGGAUGAAUGUGCUUUGUAAUCUGAUAGUAGUAACAAUCACCACUUGUGUAAGAAAUUAGUAAUAAGAGCAGAACAUUUUAAUAUAGUAUAGAACAGAGGAUCAGUUGCAGAAAAUGGAAGAGAAAAAUUUACCCCUCUACAUGCUCGCCAAAUAUAUUACAAACUUCUACCAGAGCUUCUCUCCACUUCUCAACCUUGUCGUUGUGCCUUGCCUUAUGCUUUUCCAGCGCGAGUCCGUAAUUACCCAACUGGUGCCUAAUAUCACGUAUUUCGACCUCAUAAAAAAUGGGAAGUAUAAAAUACCUAGAGUUUCUGUUGCGUUCAAGGACGAGUACAAGUUCAUCAAGACACCAUGUAGAGGCGGCAUAAUUUUUGGAGAAUAUAAUUAUGGCGCUCAUAGAGUUUCUGAUCCCCUCCUUAAUUGUCAAACUUACUUCAUCUCCAACACGUAUAUCAGUUUUGUCCAUGAAGGCUACAAACCCUUCGGCUCUUAAAGCCUCGUAGAGAAAACAUGUGAACUUGUUGCGAGUUUCCCCUCUAAAGCUCAAGAAGACAUGACAAAAUGAAGCUUCGUUAGCCAUGGAGAUUUAGCUCAUUUACAGUUAUAUUAUUAGGAGGGGUUGAAGAUUUGGCUUUCACUUUAUAGCUGAACUCUGUCAUAAGAUGCUCAACACAAAUCGCCAAAUUAGUACAAAAUCUUCGCCACCACAUUUAAGGAGUACUUUGGUUGAUAGAAAAAAUAUAAACGAGGGCCUGCACAAAUGUCCAAAACUAGACAUAUACCGAACAACAGAGUCGUAGGUAAGCACAAAGCAUACACUAUGGAUAUCUUGUUCUUCUCACCAAAAGUUUUUUAAAACGAAUAGAUAUGUUUAUUUUCUUUCUCCCAUUUGCUGCAGACUGCAGUUAUCAAACGUGUAUGUUCAAAACGCCAUAGCAGUGCUAAAUUGCCAACUUUUUUUGUUACUGAUAAAUUUAUGCAAAAGCUUGGGUAAUAGAGGGCCAGUACCACCUGAUUUUUCUAUUGAUUCAUCUAUGCCCUGUUUAGGAACUUAAAUUUCAUUUGAACUUCUUGAUACGAUCAAAUGACAAUUUUGGAUACACACAAGAAAGUUGGAUUUGAAUUUAAAUCGAGGACAUUCAAAAACUAGUAUAAAGCUUUUAAUUUAAAAUGACACCUCAAAUCAUACCAAUUGAAAUCCAAAAUUUAAAGUGAAAUACAUGUUUUAAGACGCAAUCCUAAUGAAACUUAGUAAGUUGUUUCACGGAAGUGACUAAAGUCUAAAACAUCCUCAUCAUUCUUGUUUGUUCUCUUGUUUGAUUUGGCUCUAGACUUUUUUUUUCUUUUGGUGAAAUCACACUUACCUAGCUAAUACAUCUUCUGUGUGAAAUCGUACCUCAAGUUUUCUUUUGAGUUUAAAGCUUUAAAGCUGAGUUAUGUUAAAAUAACAUCAGACUCUUGUUGGGGGACAGAGUAGCAAUAAAUCAAAAAUGUCAUCUGGCUUGACCAAUUCAGUACCUCAAUGGCUGAACGUCCUCGGCAAAACUCAGGCUUCGAGUGGAAGUCUGUUGAUUCUUUAACAAAGGAGGAGUAUAAUGAUAUUUGCCUGAGAGGGAUAUCAACAGUUUAUUACAGAAUUAUAUUAAACACACUCACACACGUAUUAUAUUUUUGAAAAUGCAUGGUAGGACGGCAACAGUUAGGAUGGGACUAGAUUUUUCAAUAUCCAAAUCCAAAUUCUUUGACAAGAUCCUGACAAAGACCUGAAAAAAUUCAAAAACUGGGACCUGAAUCCGAUCCAAAAGAUUUCGGAUUGGAUCAGAUUUUACCCGAAACUCGAAAAUUUGGACUCGAAAUUCAAAGGCAAGUAUGGGAAGAUUUCUGUUGAGCCGGGGGCUUCAUGUUUGAUCAUUCAUAUCUGCAUCUUAUAAAGUACUCUUAUGUUAUCAUAUUAGAGCAUCUCCAACCAUCUAAAGCCCUUGGCUAAAAAGUGAGGUGGCAUACUUAAAAUAAAAAAAUUUAGCCAACAGCUCCAAAAACCCAACUCCAACCAUGCUCAGCUGUUGUCUAUAAAUUUAGCCAACCUCCUAUGGAUGGCUAAAUUUGUCGAACCUCUACAGGUCUGUAAGAAAAUCUGUAGGAAGAUUGUACAUCAUUUAUUACCAUAUUGAACUGAUAUAUUCUAUUUUAACAAUUUAAAAUAUUAAUAACAUACUAUUUUUAAAUUAUAGCCAACCGAUAUAGCCAAUACCAUUGAAACAAAAUGUCUUACAGGUUCAGCAAAUUUUACAUAAUGUCUUACAGGUCCAAUUUAGCCAACGAUUAUAGACAACGCCGUUGGAGAUGCUCUUACAACGUCUUGUUUUCACUAAAUCAAUCACAAAGAGCUAGACUACUAAGAUAUAAUCACAUAAGUCAUAAUUCUGGAUAAAAAAAUUAAAAUUACAAUCCAUGGUUCUUGUACUAUCUAGGGGCUGUAUUCGAUUGAGAUUUUAAUGGAUGUUUUUAAUCUAUGGAUUUUAAAGGAUUGUACUUGAUUUUGAUUUUGUGCGGAUUCUUUGUAAAAUGUAGCAGAGUUGAUAUAAAAAUUUUCAGGAUUUAAACAUAAUGCUUCAAAAUCUGAUGGAUUUUGGUGGGAUUUUAAAAAACUUAAAAUACAAUGAAGAAUCCCACAAAAUCCAUCAUUUUAUGAAGUCCAAAAAAAUCCAUCAGCAUUUGAAUACUAUUAGAUUAUAAUGGAUUUUAAACAAUCCCAAUUGAAUACUAUCGGAUUCUAAAGCAUAAUUUAAAAUUGUAAUUAAAUACCACCACAUUUUGUAGCAUAAUUUAAAAUAUCAGUUGAAUGCCACGAGAUUUUAAUGGAUUUCAAGCAAUCUCAAUUGAAUAACCUCGGAUUUCAUGAAUGAAAAAAAUCACUUGCAAAAAGGGGGGAAAAUUGUCAUCAAACUCAUCACAAUUUAAAAAUAGUUAAAUUUAAACUGUCUGGAAGGGUCUAAAAUAGAGAAUCUUUAACUUCUCUCCGGCUCAUAGGCUCACCCGCCUCAUCUCGGAAUUGGCCAGCCAAGCAAGUAAGAACUCCAUAAUAUACGAUAGAGAGUAAACUUUAAAGUUGUGGCCAAAAUUUACACCGAUUUUCAAAAAGUUAGCUAGAGUUCCAAAUUCUCAUAAAGAUGGCCAAUUUUUGACUCCACUUUUUAAAAGUGCGGCUCCCGUUAAAUAUCACUAACAGAGUAACGGACAUGNAGACAACGCCGUUGGAGAUGCUCUUACAACGUCUUGUUUUCACUAAAUCAAUCACAAAGAGCUAGACUACUAAGAUAUAAUCACAUAAGUCAUAAUUCUGGAUAAAAAAAUUAAAAUUACAAUCCAUGGUUCUUGUACUAUCUAGGGGCUGUAUUCGAUUGAGAUUUUAAUGGAUGUUUUUAAUCUAUGGAUUUUAAAGGAUUGUACUUGAUUUUGAUUUUGUGCGGAUUCUUUGUAAAAUGUAGCAGAGUUGAUAUAAAAAUUUUCAGGAUUUAAACAUAAUGCUUCAAAAUCUGAUGGAUUUUGGUGGGAUUUUAAAAAACUUAAAAUACAAUGAAGAAUCCCACAAAAUCCAUCAUUUUAUGAAGUCCAAAAAAAUCCAUCAGCAUUUGAAUACUAUUAGAUUAUAAUGGAUUUUAAACAAUCCCAAUUGAAUACUAUCGGAUUCUAAAGCAUAAUUUAAAAUUGUAAUUAAAUACCACCACAUUUUGUAGCAUAAUUUAAAAUAUCAGUUGAAUGCCACGAGAUUUUAAUGGAUUUCAAGCAAUCUCAAUUGAAUAACCUCGGAUUUCAUGAAUGAAAAAAAUCACUUGCAAAAAGGGGGGAAAAUUGUCAUCAAACUCAUCACAAUUUAAAAAUAGUUAAAUUUAAACUGUCUGGAAGGGUCUAAAAUAGAGAAUCUUUAACUUCUCUCCGGCUCAUAGGCUCACCCGCCUCAUCUCGGAAUUGGCCAGCCAAGCAAGUAAGAACUCCAUAAUAUACGAUAGAGAGUAAACUUUAAAGUUGUGGCCAAAAUUUACACCGAUUUUCAAAAAGUUAGCUAGAGUUCCAAAUUCUCAUAAAGAUGGCCAAUUUUUGACUCCACUUUUUAAAAGUGCGGCUCCCGUUAAAUAUCACUAACAGAGUAACGGACAUGAGGGUAAAAAUGAGUUUCAAAUUCUCAGAAAAGUGGCCAAACUUUGGUCCGCUUUUCAAAAAUGUGGCCCCCGUUAGGCUCCCGUUAGUGACAUUUAAUGGGAGCCACACUUUUAAAAAGCGGAGCCAAAACUUGGCCAUCUUUUUGGAAAUUUGAAACUCUGGCCAACUUUUUAAAAAUCGGUGUAAACUUUGGCCACAACUCUGAAGUUUACUCUAUACAAUAUCGUCUCCAAUUUAGCCUUGAGUCCUUGCGACUUUCUUUUAGGCACCUCUCAAAAGACCUUGUGUUAUUAAAAUUGUUCUGGUUGCUUAUAUUCUCGAAUCUUGCUUCUGCUUCUUCUUCCUCUUACAAUCGACAUGGGACUAACUCCUAACACUAAUCACGUGCAUCAAUGUGGUUGCAUAGCCUGAGUUACAUUCGAGACAAGUAGUGCUAAUUAUGGACUAGUAUGCUGAUUAGGAGAAUAGGGAACGUGUUAGCGUUAUCCUGCGGGUGUCAUUCACACGCAGUCUUUUGGCUCACAUAGUCACAUUUGAUAUAGUAAAAAAAACUGAGCAGGAAGCUGUUUGGAAUAUCGAAAAACAAAUCAUUGACGUUAAUAUUAAAAAACAGUUGGUGGAGCUAGGUUGGUUCUGUCCUAAUCUUAAUGAAGAUGACCAACUUAGUACCAAUCUAACUGGAAUCGGAAUCACUGAUUGACUUUGCUGAGCAUUGAGAAUUCAGAAGUAAAACCAUAGAAAACUAAUCAACUGUUAUAAUAUUGGAUUCUGGUAUCAUAGAUCAAUUUUACAGUCUCUAUAACUCACAAGUCACAAGUCAACGAGUCCGAGAACUAGAUGCACAUCAUGCUCCAGUGCCAACAACAUCUCGAGCUCGAACUUGUUUAACGAGUCCAGAAAAAUCUCAGGGUCAAUUUCCAACAAAAUCUCGAGCUCGAACUUGUUUAACAGAGUCCAGAAAAAAUCUCGGAGCCAAUUUGUUUGAACUAACAGGUCCAGAAAUGAAGUAAAAUUUUCAUAUACUUAAAAGGAGGAUAGGUAUUGCAUUUGUUUAAGCACCAUAUAGAUAAGUCUAAUUCAUUCUCCAUCUAAGCAAUAUAUGCGGAUAUCUGCAAAUCAAUCAGUGAUGCAACAGGAUAUCCUCUCACUUAAUUUACAGGACUAAAGUAACAAGGCUGCUAUGUAAGUUAAUAUGAUGAGACCGACAUCUUGUUUAUUUAAUCGACAAAUUUGUUUUUAUGAAACAUAAUGUUAACCCUCUUACAUUGUUUAUGGGAUGCCCAGAAAGAAGGUUCCUUUCACACCUAAAAUAAUCAUUUGAAACUACAUUCACCAGAUGCAUAUAUUAUAAGUAGCAGUAGUGGUAAUAGUGGCCAGGCAGAUCAUUCGCCAUUCGACAUACACGAAUGGAGAAAACAGGCUCAUCUGGAAAUCCAAUGGGGAAUGUUCAAGAGGCCUAUUGCUUAGCUGAUUUAGUAGAUGAUGCAAAUUUAGCGCGUUUCAUUUCAUUAAGUAGAGGCGAAACUGCUCAGCCAGAUGGUCAUUUUUGUCACAAUUUCCUUGAUUGUGAUACCAUUAAUGGCUGUUUAGUUCAUAAUCAGUUCGAACCUUUUAUUGGACUUCCAUAUGAUCAUUUCGAUAACCCUCCUAUAACACCAUUUUCUGAUCCACAUUCUCUUUUCAAUAAUUUGCCCAACAGUUACAAUGAACUGAAAGAAGCGCAAGAAGAUGCAUGUGAAUAUUCUUCUGGGACAAUGACAACUACAACCACGUCUGCGCCCAAGAGGAGCAAAAAGGGAGACCGGACAAGAACAUUAGUUCAAGAACAGAGGAGAAGAAGCCGAAUGAAGGACAAGCUAUAUGCGUUACGUGCUUUAGUUCCCAAUAUAACCAAGGUAAGUGCUUAAGUCUUGCAUCAGAAAAUUGAUACUAUUAUUAGUCCAAAUCAUCUGAAACUUAAUGUGUAAAAUGAUACAUGCAGAUGGAUAAAGCCUCUAUAGUUGGGGAUGCUGCACUAUAUGUUCAAGAUUUGCAAAAGCAGGCUAAGAAGUUAAAGGCUGAAGUUGCGAGCCUGGAGUCAUCACUGACAAGAAUGGAGAGGCAACAAGGAGGCAUACAUGACAAUGAAAACAAGAUUCAAAUUGCAGACUUCUAUCAAACAGUAAAAAUGAUAUUACAGGUUAUUUCUGAUUAUUACUGUGUAUCUCUUUAAGCUAUUAAAGCCGCAUAAAAAUGGGGCACAUUUCUAAAACUCUACUCUGAAUCGAAAUGCAGAUACGUGUGUGUCAAGUGGAAGAGAAUGGAUAUUAUGUAAGAGUAGUGUCCAACAAAGGUCAUGGAGUCGCAGCCUCGCUUUACAAAGCUCUUGAUCCUUUAUCCACCUUCAUUCUUCACUCUUCCAACUUGGCUACUCAAAAUGAUACUUUUCUUUCCACAUUCAAUCUGAACGUAAGGCCCCUCUAUUAAAACAUUUUAUACAGCACAAUUUACCAUACAUGCUCUUACUUGAAAAACUGUGUAUGUUGAAAAACCAGGUUAGAGAAGUCGAAUCUGACACGAAUGCACCAAAUAUGAAGCUAUGGGUAGCUGCAGCAUUUCUUAACCAAGGAUUUGAUUUGAAACAACCUCUGUAGGUCUAGCUCUGGACUCGACAUUACAAGUAUGCAGGUGUCCUGUGCACUGUCGACCAUUUGGCCAAGCUUAUUAAUUUGGCCAUCAAACUCGUCAUGCCAUACACCAUCGGACUAAUUUAGCACAAUCUGUGUAUGCCAUAGCAUAUUUGGUUGACUGCUCUACUUUUAAAUGUUGCCUACGGCUUGUGUAGUACACCUCAUUUGCCAGUUUUAUUAUAUCUGCUUGUAGUAAUAUGUUGUCAAAAAAUUCUGAUUUAAGAUAAAGUAGCCAGCCCCUUUCAAUAACAUUCACCAACUCGACCAAUAUUUCUCAUAAAUAUUGGCUCUUUGCCUCUUUCCCAAGAAAAAAAAAGAUUUCAGCUUUCAUGAAUUGCCAACUAGAAGAAGAGGCAGAAGAAGCUGUGAUAUCCGUCGUUAGCAUUGUUCCUAUGGUAAGAUGAAAAACAAUCAGUAUCACCGCUAAUGACAAGCACAGUUUGCGAGAGUCCCCUACAACAAGAGAAGGGUGUGACAUCCCUGGUCCUUCACUAAAAUAAACAGUUCAGUACCAAUAUCUUUCAACACUCGCGAACAUACUGUAAAAAUGAAUUCAACAGCCAAGCAGAACAAUUUUCUAUAUUUGCAUAGAAACACAGUGGUUUUGAUCCCAUUUUUUAUGGCAGGAGUUAUCGAACAUUCUAAAUUCUAAACCAAGGAGAAAAAAAAUUGUUAUGUCCAAUGAUGGUGCUACCACUGAACUCCGCAUGUAGCAUUCUUCUUCCAGUAAAUAUUUCCGGACACAUCUAUCCCAGAAACAGGGACGGAUCUAAGUUUUAAAUUUAUGGGGCGAGAAAAAUGGGCAGGAGAGAGUUGGAGAACACAUACCUCAACUAUGGGAAAAUGUAGUCGUUCCGUAAAUUUCAACAAAUUAAAUAUAAAUGUUCUAUAAUAUUUACUGGGUACAAGUACUCUCAGUCUUUCUACACUUAUUGUGGUUCCGUCCUUGCCCCAAAGUCUCAAAAUUUUGUUACAUAUGUAAAUAAUGUGAUGUUCCACAAGUAUGUGUGGUCAUAUUCAUAUCGAGAUCAAAGUAUAUUCGCAAGUUUUACAAUGUUCAUUUUGGUAAACAGCACUACAGCAGCAUUAUUUAUAUGCUCCUAUUCUGUUCAAGUAUUUUUAGCAAGUUGAUUAAUUAAGCGGUGAAAAAUUUAUUAAUUGAAAGACAAUAAUGCUUAGGGAAAAGUUGAUAGCUGCAAAUUGAACAAAUAAAUGACACAGGAUAGAGCUCAACAUUGAUCAGGCGAAAACAUAAGCAGGAAAUCGAAAUGAAAACGGACUAAAUAAAUACAAACGAGAACGAGAUUAAUCGACCGAAAUAAAAACAACUAUCUAGUAAUCAGUGGUGGGCAAUGGCUCGUGACUGCCACCGAUGAAGAUAAGCUCGUAGAUGAUUCCAGCCAGCUGGCCGCCACCAACGAGAGGUCCGGCCCAGUAGACCCAGUGGUUAGUCCAGUCCCAGCUGACCAGAGCAGGCCCAAAUGAGACGGCAGGGUUCAUGGAUGCCCCGGUGAAGGCACCGCCGGCUAGAAUGUUGGCUCCCACGAUGAAACCGAUGGCAAUGGGUGCGAUGAUUCCGAGGUCUCCCUUCUUUGGGUCGACGGCGACAGCGUAGACGGUGUAAACCAGUCCGAAUGUCAUCACGAUCUCGAACACGAAGGCACUCCACACUGACACGCCCGACAAUGCAAAGGCUGAUGUUGGCUGCAAAACAUUUUCUCACAAGUGUUAAAAAAUUCUCAACAUUUUUUACCUCUUAUUACAAGUCAUAGAUAGCUAAAGGCUAACAUUUCCCUAAUUAUAUUAGCAUAAAAUAAUAAAAUCGGGAAUUUGAACUAAUCCGGAUCUUUACGAUUUAUCCGAAAUUUUUUUCAAUAAAAGAUUUUUCAAUCAGAUCAAAGACUCUUUAAAUAAUUUUAAAUAAAUUAUGAAUUUUUAGAACGAUGUUAUAUAAAAGUAUGGUGCUAAGUGAAGUCACAAUAUGUAAAAUUUUGAAUCCUUAAAAGUAGAAAGCAUAGUUUCUGCUCAUAACAAAUAUACAAUUAUUAAUUUGGCACUUCAGAUAUAUUAACCGGUUAUUAAUAUUUUCACAGUUAAGUAUGUUAGGGGUUAUACCACAUAGUUGCGGGAAGAGCAUAAAACUAAAAUAUAAGCAACAAGAACAACUUUAAUAGUAUGAGACUUUUUGGGAGGAGCCCAAAAAGAAAUCCUAUGGGUGUUGCGCGGCUCAACAAAAUACAUAUCUGCUUGCAUGGACAUGUUUCCCAGGUAAAGCAAAAUAUAUGUUAUUAUGCAAAACAUCUCUCCUUAUACUAUAUAUUAUUAUAUAUGUUCUGCAUGUUAAGCAAAAAUGUUAAAUAGAUACCAGAAACUAAAUUAAUUAAGACAUUGAAUUGAUCAAUUUAAUCUAACGGCCCUCAGAGAGUCACCAUACACGAUUAAAAUACACUCUUAGCUCCCAUAUAAUCCCUUCGUUUUUAGUUUGAUUUCUUCCAUUAAUCGAUGAGAUUAUUUUAAAAUCCGACUUUCACUGGGUUUUUCUCCAUCCCUCAGAUAUUGAUUUACAUACCAUACUACAAGAAAAUGGGUAUAACCUACCAUCAAAUUGGAAAAAAAAUGUAUCCAUAACUGUAAGAAAUGUUGGAAUCCAACCAGUUGUGCUGGUGGUAAUUGGUUGAAUCAGAAAUGUCAUCGAUGGAAAAUGAGACACCCAUAGUCAAUCCAGGACACAUUUGCUGACAAGGACUGCUACCAGUCUUAGACCCACAAGCAUACGUGUCAGUCUAUGUGUUAAGGGUCUCAUACACAUCAGUUGCCACAUCACUUGCCAAUUCACGUGCUUCAUCAUUAUAAAAGUAUUAUGUGAGACGUCAUUUUCUAUCAUAUACUAUUUACUACCCAUUUCAUAUCCUGCCAAGUUAUUGGUAGGAAAUAAUAGUCUUAAAAAUGUUUGAGUAUGGUGGGAAAUGUCCAAGUUGGUAGAAAUUAUCAUAAUUUUUUUGAAUUUUUUAUAUCCUCUAUUCAUAAAAAACCACAAUAUUAUUUCAAACAUUACAAAAUCCAAAACACGCUUUCAUUCACAUCCUAUAAUAAAAUAAAUCAAUCAAUCAUGCCAUUUACCGUCUAAAAUAAACAUUACAAUAUAACUAAUCCAACAUCACCGCCUUAUAACACCAUUACAUGAAUGUUUGUCCAUCAGCUCCUCCAACAUGUUCGUACCAGAACACCUACCACCAUUUUGGAACAUACUAUUAAAUUGUCUGAACAUACAAAAGGUUAUAUAUUAAGUCAAUUUAGAUAACCAUAAGUCCUACCAAAUAAAACACAACUAAAAGUUAGCCAAACGUAUACCAUAAAAAAGUUAGAUAUUCUCCCGAUCAAGGCAUUAACUUAGUUAUCAGAACUACUUCAAGGCUUCCUCAUCAUAGUGCUCGUCUUGGCCACUAGCAUCACAAUCGUCUUCUCCAUCUUUCUCAUCAGAUGCUGCUUCACCGAAAGCUGCUCCAUUUAUACCAGAACCUUCAAUUUCAAUGGCUUCUGCAUCACUGUCCACAUCACUCUCAUCAGUGUAGCCUAUUUCUGUAGUGGUAUCACUGCCAUGAUCAUCCUCAACAUCCUACAAAUUAGCAUGUGCAAAAGUGGACUUGUAGUAAUAUACAUAUAUUGUAGGCGAAAAGUAGGUUAAAAGCAUAAAUUAGAGAAUGUACUAUUUAAUUACAACAACAGUACUGGAGUUAACAACUUAAAGUUUAAACUAGAUACUUUGUUUUGUUGAGAUCAGGUCAUUGCAUUGCAGCUUAACAAUUCUACCAAUUGACAUGAUCAACAUUUAUAUUAUUACUAACUUUUUUUAAAUAGGUUGCUUGCUGUAUGUGUACUAAUACCCUUGGAUACUAAUACCAUUGGAAACAAGGUUUCAUGCUUUUCUCAAAAAACAAAGGGGCAGCUUUGAAAACAAACAAUAAUAUUCAUAAUUUUUUAAAAUUACAACCAUGUUAUAGUUUUAAAUUAUAAGUUCAGAUAUAAUAUUUUUAAACUAAUUAAGGGGGGAGAAAAGUAACAAUUGUCUAUUUAACUAAUGAAUAUUGAAAUUCCUAAAAAAACGUAUUAUUAUUAUUUACCUAAAUAAUUAUUACAAAAAUAUUUAUUAUAAACCGGUAGGAAAUGGGUAGUGCUCGGUAGGAAUUAAAACAGGCCAAACAUAUCUACUUAUAUAUAUAAUAAGGCAACUAAGGGCAAAAAGUAUCAAGAAAAUAGCUGUGAAAUGUCUGAUAUACCCUUAUUCAUCAUAUAAUUACAAGAAUACCAGCCAAAAAAUUCAUUUAAUUCACUAAAAUUAUCUAAUGUUAUUGAAUGCUCUAAUUACACAUAAAAUAAUGACAUUAAUUACGCUCAUCAUCUUACAUUAAAAUUUCAUUUAUAAAAGUAUCACUAACAAAUUUGUGGCUACAAAAAAUUAGAAGUCAUUAAUCAAGCAAUUAAUUCAUGUAAAUUUUAAUCAACUAACACAAAAAAUAUUCACGUGUUUUGAUUUUUGACUUUUUAUUUAAAUUUCGCAAUCAUAAUCGCUUGAGUGAAUCCCAUAAAUUUCAUUUAUCUACACACUUUCAUGUUGAUUCGAUCUUAAACAUUGCUAAUUCUACACACUUUCAGGUUGAUUCAGUCUUAAACAUUAAAAAUUACACGUUGAGUCCAAAUAAUCUUAAGUAUUAUCAAAAUAUUCGAAUCCUCCGUACACUUUAAGUAUAGAGUAAAUUUCAAGGGUGUGGCUGAAGUUUAUACCGAUUUGCAAGUUUGUUGCUAAACUUUAAAAACUACAAAAGUGUGGCUGGAGUUCACCUCCGCCUUUUAAAACUUUGGCUGCCGUUAAGUCCGUUAGAUUUUAGCUGUUAACUCAUUCAGAAAUUAAAAAAAUAAAGGGGUAGAUAUGUAAAAAUAAAAUUGUUUGUGGAAAAGGGGGGAAGAAACAGGGGGCUAGGGUUCACAAUCACCGGGUUCACAAUAACCUUCUCCGCCACCAGAUAGGCAGAGUAACAUCCCACACCGAAUUGCCUAAUCAUGCUCACAUCAGCCCCAGCCUGCAAUGCGCCAUAAGCUCCUUCGUCCCCGAUCUCGCAAUCGUCCCCAAAUUAUUCAUCAAAACUAAAACCAAUCAAACCACAAUCAAAUCAAUAAACAUCAUGUUGUUGUCGUCGUUAAUGUACACAGGAACAAUUGUUAAGCAUACAGACCUCCUUUAGUCAUUCCAACGCCGCUAUCGAUAAUCAAGAGCAUUUUGUUAAUCACUGCACAGAGGAAGUCCCAACCAUCAGUGCUCGAGUCUCCAGGACAAGGAGAAUCCGUGAGAUACAUGAGAGGAUGAAGUGGUAGAGGAGAGUGUGGUGUGGAUAGAGAGAAAAAAAGAGAGGGAGAGAGGAGAAGGAGAGAGGGAGAAGUUAGAACGGAGGACAAUGGCAGAGUGGGUGAGAAAAUAAUGGAGAAAAAGAGAGAAUUUCAAAAAAUCCAAAAAUACCCUCAACUCCGUUAGCUCCGUUAGAGGACAUUUGACGGCAGCCAAAGUUUUAAAAGGCGGAGGCGAACUCCAGCCACGCUUUUGUAAUUUUUAAAAUUCGGCCACAAAUAUGCAAAUCGGUGUAAAGUUCAGCCACAUUUUUGAAAUUUACUCUUAAGUAUAUUAUGACACAUAUAAAACUGCUUAUAAUAAAAUGAAAAUAGGAGCGUGAGAUAGUGGCAGUGAUACAUUGUUCUCUAAUCACAAUCAAACUAUCGAAAAUUAUAUAUGCAUUACAAGAAUUCUUGUAAUAUCUUGAAACUUAAUCGUGAUUUGACAACAUGAGCUAAUAUGUCCAAAUAUGUUUAUGAUCCGUAAUAAAUUUUUAAAAUAUGAUGAUUAAUAUUAUUAUUGCUAAAUAGUAAAUAUUAUAUUUUCACUCGCUUAAACAAAGGAAUCAAACUCACAUAUUUUAUAGAAAAACAGAUAAAUAAUACGCAUGUUCUAAAUAAGAUAAUUACACAAAAUAAGGAUAUAAAAUACAUUAUAGAUUAGCGGCCCGUGCCUUGCACGGGUUUUUAUGCUAGUUUUUGACAUAAAAGACAUUUUCAUAGUAUAUAUUUCCUACCACAAUUGGCAGGAAAUUUUUUGGCGCCUAAAUAGUUAUAAAAAAUAUUUAUUAUAAAUUGGUAGGAAUUGAGUACUACUUGGAAGUAGGGGCGUAAACAAGCCAAACUAUUCGUGAGCUACUCGAGUUCGGAUCGAAAAAUAUUCAAAUUUGAUUUGGUAAUAAUCGAGCCGAGCUCGAGCUCGAGCUAUUUGGAUGUUUUACCGAGCCGAGCUCGAGCUUCAAAUUACUCGGCUCGUAAGGUUCGCGAGCCUUAUCGAGCCUCUAUUAUUUUUUAAUUUUUUUAUUAUAAAUAUAUUUUUACAAAUAUAUUUAAUAUUUUAUUUAUAAUUUAUAUAUUUGAUCGAAUCGAACUCGAGUCGAACCGAUCAUAUUUCGAGUUUUUGUCAAUAUCUGGUGCCUCGAUUCGAGUUUUCGAGCCGAACUCGAGCCUAUCGAACUAUUUACGAGCCGAGCUUCGAACUUGAAAUUAAAGACUCGGUCGAACUCGAGCUCGAGCCGAGCCUGGCAGUGUUCGACUCGGCUCGACUCGUUUACACCCCUACUUGGAAGGAAUUUAAAACUAUAUAAGAUAUAUAUAACGACAAUGUGAAACAAUCUAACAAUAAAGAUUAUUCAAUUGAUUUUUAUGAAUGUCUAACUUAUGUGAUGUCUUGGUAAAAAUAAUUAUUCUAGCCGUGUUUAGUUUUUAUUUCACAAAAUACAAUGUAGUACUUAAAAUUAUAUCUUCAACUUCAUUUCCAUGAUCAAUAAAAAUAUCAGAAAUAAAUUAAAAAGAUCCGAGAAUUUAUAGUUUCAUAACAAGCCUCUAUUCAUUAUAAUUUCUAUGAAUACAACUAAAGGUUCAUGACUCUUUUGAUUGUGUUUAGAACUCAAUGAUAAAGUAAGAGUCACCAUAUAAUCAACAAACAUAUGAAACUAUUGAAUACUACCUAAUCCCCUCAUUGGGGAUAUAUCAGUUAUUCUUAAUCCAAUAAGCAAAUAUACAUACAUACAUAUAUAUAUAUAUAUAUAUAUAUAUAUAUAUAUAUUAACCCAUAUUAGCUCUCGCAGAAUAAGAAGUAGCCAAAUUAGCUCAAUUUAUUCGAACUUUAGAAAUAUGUAUUUUUCUACAAUUAAACACUUAAAAUUAAUUAAUAAUACCUCUUUAUUAACAAAUACUAAAUUAUAGGAAUAAAAUCAUAUAAGUAUAUACUUUAUUCAUAAGUUUAUCCAAAUACCGGAUUUUUAUUUCUCGGGCAUCUUUUCUUGUUUUCGCACAGUUUUCUCAAUCUCUUAUGUUAAUGCGAGAAUGUGGUUAACAACAAAUUACGGAACUUACGUGAAUGUAAGAAGAAUAUCAUGACGAACACGGGACUGAAAGGGAUGUAAAGUUUAGUUCAUCUUGUAUUUGAUCCUUGAGAAAGUACGAGAUUGAUCUCUAGCUACUAGACAAGAAAUCAUAAAAGUUAUACAAGAGGGCUAGCUACGUACGGAGUCAAGUUAUCACAUAGUUCUUUGGAAACAUAUAUCUAGAAAGGCUAGAUUAAUUUGUUCGGUCCAUCAGGGCACAGGUCCAUUAGACCAUGAAAAGUUAUGGUCGAAAAGCCCAUAACUCGCAUGACCCAGGUUUAAGUGGUUAAGAAGGCUGACAUGGAGCGGGUUAGAUAGUGGAUAGCGAUCUAUUAGUGAAAGGAGGUCGCUAUCUAUUAGUGAAAGGAUGUAGAGACCUCGAAAACUAUACUCUUGUGGUCUAAGCUAGAUAGUGGAUAGCGAUAUAUUAGUGAAAGGAGGUAGAGACCUCGAAAACUAUACUCAUGUGUUCUAAGCUAGGACUAGGGGUGAGCAUUUGGUCGUUUCGGUCCAAAACCGGACCGGACUCAAUAGAUCAAGAACCGAACUUUGAUUUUUUCCGGACCGAACCAGAUCGAAAUAUUAUUAUAGUCCGAACUGGAAAUAAUUUGGUUUGGUCCGUCCUAGAAGAAACGAAAUUAUUUUUUUAAAAAUAUUAUAUUAUAAAUAAAGCUAAAAUAAAUGAUUUAUUAAAUUAAUCUACUAUAUCUAUUAUACGAGAACAGGUUGUUCACCUGAGCAAAUUAAUUCUUAGGUUCGGUAAUCCCAAGCCUGCCGAGCCUACUUUCCUUUGCAAAUUAAACCGUGCGUCUUUAUGUAUUACCCAUAUACAUACACACAUACUUCUCUCCCGUUUCAUUUGCCCGAUGCCCUAUACAGCUCCUUCCGCUUGAGCAACGAAUUAGCAUGGAAUUAUAUCACUACAGAUACUCUUCACCUAUUGUGCCUCAUAGCGAAUUACUCCCUCCGUCCCAGCCAUUUGUUUACAUUUGGUUUGGGCACGGAGGUUAAGAAAUAUGUAUAAAGUAGCGGGAAAGAGAAGGAAAAGUGGGAAAAGUGGUGGGACCCAUCAAUUUUUAAUGUAUAAAAGGGAGAUGGUGGAGUAAAAGUUGUGUGAAAAGGAGUAAAAGUAUUGUGAAAAGGGAGGAAAAGUUGGGAAAUGGUGGGACCCAUAAUCUAUUUUUGGUAAGUUUUGGAAUGUAAAGAAUUGGAUGGGACAUCCCAAAAAGGAAACCGUAAAGAAUCUGUUGGGACGGAGGGAGUAAGAUUUUUUCCAGCAAAUUAGGGAUUUUCCAAUUUUAAUUAUCUCAGUCCGUCAGUCGUCGACAACCUUCGCUCAGGCUACAAAGGUGCAUAUUAUUUUUUGUAAGUGCGCAUAAUUAGCUUUAGUUAUUUGUGGCUUUCACCAUGUGUAUAUCGUUAGUUUCCGAGAAUAAAUUUUAGGCAUAUCUUUCGUCUAAUAUUCUUUGAUAUGUAAUCCUCUUCUGUUAAUUUUUGCAGAUAUAUUUUUUCCUUUAGUCAGACGAGUUGGCCAUGAAUUGAGAUUUGAAGCUCUAUGCAUUUAGCUCUGAAAUUUUGGGUGAAAAAGGUCAAUUUUUUUACUUGUUUUGUUUUGACGGUGAUCAUGUAAUCAUCUAGGGUGUGUUAUUGAAUUUUAUAGUACCCAGAGUUAGACUUAAUUGAUUUUGCUUGAAAAGAAUUUUCCUUCUAAUUUAUAGAAAGACUGUGUUGGUCACUUGUACCUUGCUUUGAAAUACUCAAAGUUUUCACCUAUUUGCUGUUUGAGAUACAUGAUUGUACUGUGGUGUUGAUUAAUAUGAUAUCAUGAUUCUUGUCACUUUUUUUUGCUGGUGUGGUGCUUCGUUGUGUAAAAAAAUGCUGGUAAACACUACUACAAAUAAUGCAUUAGACACCGGUCAAACGCCGAUGUCUUUUAAAAAUCCGACCGAUGUCUUCGCGUGCGAUGUUAUAUGUAUGGUAUAUAGACAUCAGUCCUAACCCGAUGUAAAAAUCAUGUUCAGACAUCAGUUUUCUAAAAAAAUUUGAUGUCUUUUGCUGAAAUAUUACCAAUAUAUUGCUUGAUUACAACAUGAAUAAUGAUUUAUUACAAGAUUUGGCACCCUUUGAACACAUACAUCAGAGGGCAAUAUAAACCAUAUGCAUCGUUUUUUUAAAAAAAUUGAUGUAAAAACUAGAUUAGACAUCAUAAGGAAAACCGGACCGAUGUCAAUGAUGUUUUUCACAUCGAUUCUUGUUUAAGGAAUGAUGUAAAUCCUCUAUUCAACAUCGCCCUUUGUAUAUUAGACGAUGUUAACGACUGUUUUAACAUCGAUUCUUAUUUAAGGACUGAUGUAGAUCAGGUAUUCAACACCGCACUUUGUAUACUAUACGAUGUUAAUGGUGUAUUCAAUUUCGCUUUUUGUAUAUUAACCGGUGUAAAAGUACUUUUUAACACCGUUUUUAGUAUAAAAAUGGAUGUAAAAUGGCAUCUUUAGUACUAGAAAAUAGAGUUUUAACACCGUCAUUAAGUUAAGGAGCUGAUGUAAAAGAAUUUUCUAACAUCGGUUUGUUACAACUCUUUGAUAUUAAAGGUUUAUAAGACAUCGUCUUAAAGAUUAAAACUGAUUUAAUAAAGUUUUCAGACAUCGAUUUUUUUAAUUUUUUUAAUAUUAAACAUUUUUUUAACAUCGGUUUGUAACAUACACAUAAUGUCUUUAGUUUAAAAAACAUCGGUUUAAUUUGAUAUUGUAAUGUAAGUGUUCGUUUCAACAUCAGAUACAAGGAAAAAUGUGAUGUCUAUAAACUCAUUUGACAUCGGUUAUAUGUGAACUUACUGAUGUAAUUGUCAUAUACAUUUUUGAAACAAAAAUUAUACCAUGCAUAUAUGCAGCUUCUACACUCUUGCCAAAAACUAAAAGCACACUCUUGCCAAAAACUAAAAGCACACUCUUGCCAAAACUGAAAGCACAAUCUUCUUGCCAAUACCACAACAAACAAAACUAACCAGAAGAACAAUAAAUCUAAAAUUGCAGACACAAAAAAUAUAACCAAUGUACGUACUGAAAUUCACUUUCAUUGCCAAUUACUAACUUCCCAACCAACAAGUAAAAUUCAGCAGUACGUACGCAUCCAAAAUAUAUACCAACUCGAUCCCCAACCAACAACGUUAAAGCAAUUCCCGAACUACAAAGUGCUAGAGCUGACAACAUCCACAUAACAGCUCCUAUAUAUACCAGUUUAAUUAAUUACCAUUCAACAAAAGAAAUUCAAACUACAUCUUGUCCUCAAUAAAUUCGAGAGCCUCCAUACGGACCUCAUCCAGCUCCUCCUCUGUGUAACAGUUUCGAGACCUGACUGCCCACUGAAAAGAAAUAAUAUAAUUUUAAUUAGAAGUUUAAUAAUAUAUUUUCAUUUUAAAUAAAUCAACCUGCAUGCAAGGCUAUUAAAAUAAAUAUGCACCUUGGUCAUGAAAGACAUUUCUUUGUCCAUAACAAUGUCUCUCAUAUAUCUAAGGACCGUAUACCCACAUUCAGUUCCCCCUGGUUGCUUAGGCGAUCCCUUAAUUUGAGCAAUCGUAGUGAUACAAAUAUAUUAAUAAGGUCAUCCAUAGAAAUUAAAAUAAAGAAAAUGAAAUAUUAUAAUGCAGAUGCAUGACUUACCAUAAGAUAGACUACUUUGGGAGUUCUCUUUGCCCUUCCACUUUGAGCAUGGUAACUUGCCAAUGCACUACAAAAAGAUAUCAUGCACUGUAUGAGUAUCCACUUUGAGCAUGAUAACUUGCCAAUACAUAUUGAAUUGCUCAACUAGCAAGCAGAAAAAUCUAAAAUUACUCUAUUAGUCCUCGUUCCAAAUCUGGAAAACGGGUGUUGUGUGGCAAAGGAUUCAGAAUAUAGAGAUCGCCAUCCCAAAUUACAACCAAAAUCCAAUGGGCCCUGUUUUUAUUAUAAAAUACAAACUAAGUCAGAAUUUAAAUAUUUAGACUAAAAAUUAAAAUAUAACAACAACAAAUAUACGUACAUUUGAUUAUGUGGCAUGAGAUAUAGUCGAUAAUAAUUAUCCAUCAACCGUUUGACAACAGCAUUUUGAAAUUCUUUAUUGAGGGUAUAUGUGGAUGCAGGAUCCAAAAAGCCAAACAAGAGCGCGUCAUCCUUCUUCCGGUCCUUAUAACAUAAAUGAUGCAAGUACCUACAUCAUAUCGAAAAUGAAAAUAAUUCAGAUUGGACAAUAUGGUUGUCNNNNNNNNNNNNNNNNNNNNNNNNNNNNNNNNNNNNNNNNNNNNNNNNNNNNNNNNNNNNNNNNNNNNNNNNNNNNNNNNNNNNNNNNNNNNNNNNNNNNNNNNNNNNNNNNNNNNNNNNNNNNNNNNNNNNNNNNNNNNNNNNNNNNNNNNNNNNNNNNNNNNNNNNNNNNNNNNNNNNNNNNNNNNNNNNNNNNNNNNNNNNNNNNNNNNNNNNNNNNNNNNNNNNNNNNNNNNNNNNNNNNNNNNNNNNNNNNNNNNNNNNNNNNNNNNNNNNNNNNNNNNNNNNNNNNNNNNNNNNNNNNNNNNNNNNNNNNNNNNNNNNNNNNNNNNNNNNNNNNNNNNNNNNNNNNNNNNNNNNNNNNNNNNNNNNNNNNNNNNNNNNNNNNNNNNNNNNNNNNNNNNNNNNNNNNNNNNNNNNNNNNNNNNNNNNNNNNNNNNNNNNNNNNNNNNNNNNNNNNNNNNNNNNNNNNNNNNNNNNNNNNNNNNNNNNNNNNNNNNNNNNNNNNNNNNNNNNNNNNNNNNNNNNNNNNNNNNNNNNNNNNNNNNNNNNNNNNNNNNNNNNNNNNNNNNNNNNNNNNNNNNNNNNNNNNNNNNNNNNNNNNNNNNNNNNNNNNNNNNNNNNNNNNNNNNNNNNNNNNNNNNNNNNNNNNNNNNNNNNNNNNNNNNNNNNNNNNNNNNNNNNNNNNNNNNNNNNNNNNNNNNNNNNNNNNNNNNNNNNNNNNNNNNNNNNNNNNNNNNNNNNNNNNNNNNNNNNNNNNNNNNNNNNNNNNNNNNNNNNNNNNNNNNNNNNNNNNNNNNNNNNNNNNNNNNNNNNNNNNNNNNNNNNNNNNNNNNNNNNNNNNNNNNNNNNNNNNNNNNNNNNNNNNNNNNNNNNNNNNNNNNNNNNNNNNNNNNNNNNNNNNNNNNNNNNNNNNNNNNNNNNNNNNNNNNNNNNNNNNNNNNNNNNNNNNNNNNNNNNNNNNNNNNNNNNNNNNNNNNNNNNNNNNNNNNNNNNNNNNNNNNNNNNNNNNNNNNNNNNNNNNNNNNNNNNNNNNNNNNNNNNNNNNNNNNNNNNNNNNNNNNNNNNNNNNNNNNNNNNNNNNNNNNNNNNNNNNNNNNNNNNNNNNNNNNNNNNNNNNNNNNNNNNNNNNNNNNNNNNNNNNNNNNNNNNNNNNNNNNNNNNNNNNNNNNNNNNNNNNNNNNNNNNNNNNNNUUUUGCUUCAUAUGUAUUGACUGGCAAUACAUGAUCUUGAGGAAGAAAUGACCCUAUUGAAGAUAACAGAUCAGUGAAGGCACUAUCACUAAUACCAAACCUAGAUUUCCAAUUUUGUAACUUCAAAAUUGUUUCUAAUUUGGUUGAUUCGCUGCCCUCGAAUAAUGGUUUCUCAGCAUCAGCCACAAACAUCCUGAAAUCCUCGGAAUCAUUAUCAUAAUCCCCUGACUUAUAUGCGGCUUCACAAACACCUAAGGUUUCACAUGUAGCUUUGAACUCGGGGUCAGUACUAGGGCAUUUACUAGAUGGCCUGCUAGUCCUAGAAGAAUUCUCUCCAUGCCAAAUCCAUUCAACAUAUCCAUGACUAAAACCAUUUUCAUAGAUAUGACCCCUAACUAUUUUCACAGAGAAUUUUUUAAAAUUCACGCAACGUGCACAUGGGCAAGGUAUACUCUUUGGGUUUUCACAAUGUUCCUCUGCAUACAUUAAAAACUUUUCGACCCCGAUUUCAUAAUCCAAUGUAUCCCUGUCUUUCAAAAUCCAGUUUUUAUCUAUAUGUUCUUCCAUGGACCAAGUACAACCUACUUAAUUGUCGUUUCAAACAUCAGCAUAUACAUAAGUAACAUAACAGCAUAAACAUAAGUAGCAUAACAGAUCAUUAGUAUAUAUAGUAACAUAGAUUAUUACACAUAUAUUACUUAAUUAUAAGUAUUCACAUAUAUUACAUAAUUAAAAGAUAAUUAAACAUCAGUUCAUUAAUAAAACAUAGCAAUUAUCAAAUCUCAAAAACAAUNNNNNNNNNNNNNNNNNNNNNNNNNNNNNNNNNNNNNNNNNNNNNNNNNNNNNNNNNNNNNNNNNNNNNNNNNNNNNNNNNNNNNNNNNNNNNNNNNNNNNNNNNNNNNNNNNNNNNNNNNNNNNNNNNNNNNNNNNNNNNNNNNNNNNNNNNNNNNNNNNNNNNNNNNNNNNNNNNNNNNNNNNNNNNNNNNNNNNNNNNNNNNNNNNNNNNNNNNNNNNNNNNNNNNNNNNNNNNNNNNNNNNNNNNNNNNNNNNNNNNNNNNNNNNNNNNNNNNNNNNNNNNNNNNNNNNNNNNNNNNNNNNNNNNNNNNNNNNNNNNNNNNNNNNNNNNNNNNNNNNNNNNNNNNNNNNNNNNNNNNNNNNNNNNNNNNNNNNNNNNNNNNNNNNNNNNNNNNNNNNNNNNNNNNNNNNNNNNNNNNNNNNNNNNNNNNNNNNNNNNNNNNNNNNNNNNNNNNNNNNNNNNNNNNNNNNNNNNNNNNNNNNNNNNNNNNNNNNNNNNNNNNNNNNNNNNNNNNNNNNNNNNNNNNNNNNNNNNNNNNNNNNNNNNNNNNNNNNNNNNNNNNNNNNNNNNNNNNNNNNNNNNNNNNNNNNNNNNNNNNNNNNNNNNNNNNNNNNNNNNNNNNNNNNNNNNNNNNNNNNNNNNNNNNNNNNNNNNNNNNNNNNNNNNNNNNNNNNNNNNNNNNNNNNNNNNNNNNNNNNNNNNNNNNNNNNNNNNNNNNNNNNNNNNNNNNNNNNNNNNNNNNNNNNNNNNNNNNNNNNNNNNNNNNNNNNNNNNNNNNNNNNNNNNNNNNNNNNNNNNNNNNNNNNNNNNNNNNNNNNNNNNNNNNNNNNNNNNNNNNNNNNNNNNNNNNNNNNNNNNNNNNNNNNNNNNNNNNNNNNNNNNNNNNNNNNNNNNNNNNNNNNNNNNNNNNNNNNNNNNNNNNNNNNNNNNNNNNNNNNNNNNNNNNNNNNNNNNNNNNNNNNNNNNNNNNNNNNNNNNNNNNNNNNNNNNNNNNNNNNNNNNNNNNNNNNNNNNNNNNNNNNNNNNNNNNNNNNNNNNNNNNNNNNNNNNNNNNNNNNNNNNNNNNNNNNNNNNNNNNNNNNNNNNNNNNNNNNNNNNNNNNNNNNNNNNNNNNNNNNNNNNNNNNNNNNNNNNNNNNNNNNNNNNNNNNNNNNNNNNNNNNNNNNNNNNNNNNNNNNNNNNNNNNNNNNNNNNNNNNNNNNNNNNNNNNNNNNNNNNNNNNNNNNNNNNNNNNNNNNNNNNNNNNNNNNNNNNNNNNNNNNNNNNNNNNNNNNNNNNNNNNNNNNNNNNNNNNNNNNNNNNNNNNNNNNNNNNNNNNNNNNNNNNNNNNNNNNNNNNNNNNNNNNNNNNNNNNNNNNNNNNNNNNNNNNNNNNNNNNNNNNNNNNNNNNNNNNNNNNNNNNNNNNNNNNNNNNNNNNNNNNNNNNNNNNNNNNNNNNNNNNNNNNNNNNNNNNNNNNNNNNNNNNNNNNNNNNNNNNNNNNNNNNNNNNNNNNNNNNNNNNNNNNNNNNNNNNNNNNNNNNNNNNNNNNNNNNNNNNNNNNNNNNNNNNNNNNNNNNNNNNNNNNNNNNNNNNNNNNNNNNNNNNNNNNNNNNNNNNNNNNNNNNNNNNNNNNNNNNNNNNNNNNNNNNNNNNNNNNNNNNNNNNNNNNNNNNNNNNNNNNNNNNNNNNNNNNNNNNNNNNNNNNNNNNNNNNNNNNNNNNNNNNNNNNUGGAAGACUAAAGACUCAUGAACUUGAAAUGGAGCAAAGGAGCAAACGACAUGGAGGAAAAUCAAAGUCUGUUGCUCUGAAAGCUCAAGAGGAAGCUGCUAAAAGCAAAGGAAAAGCUCAUGUCACAAAGUCUGACAUUGAGUCAUCAAACUCUGAUGACUCAAACUCUGAUGUUCCCUCAGACUCUGAAGAAAGUGAUGAUGAGAUGAUGCAGUUAGCAGCAUUGAUGGUGAAAAGCUUCAAGAAGUUGGCCUACAAAAAGUUCAACAAAGGCAAAAGUUUUUCAAGGAAAGACAGAAACUCUGACAGAGUUUAUGACAAGAAGAACUUUAAGAAGAAUGAGGGCAAAGAAGGGAAAGCUGGAAAAGCUGACAAGUAUACCUGUUUCAACUGUGGUGAAAAGGGACACUUUGCAUCUGAAUGCAAGAAAGCCAAGAAGGAAAAAGAAAAAGCCUUUAUCACCAAGAAAGGAAACUGGACAGAUACAUCUGAUUCAGAAGAAGAAGUCAAUUAUGCUCUAAUGGCAAACACUGACAACAACACUGAAUCUCCUGCUAAGGUACCUCACUCUACUCUUGCCUUUGAUACUGAAGAUAUAACUGAGUUAAGAUUGUUUCUUAAAACUUUACAUAUCAGUUUUAGAGAUCAGACUUUAGAGAAUGAAAGAUUAAAAUCUGAAACUCUGAGUGUAAAGAAAAGGAAUGAUUUUCUAGAAAAAGAAUUAGUUCAAAUGUUGGAAGUUCAAAAAGAAAGAGAUGAUGCUGUCAUUGUCAAAGAUGAAUUAUCAAAGAGGUAUGCAUCUCUUCAAUCAGAACUUGCCAAGGAAAGAGAAAUCAUUAAAACAUGGACUAAUUCAGGCAAAACCACUCAGGAUAUCUUAGGUAGUGGAAACUGGAAGAAGGGACUAGGUUACACUGAUAACUCAGAAGCUGAGUCAUCUAAAACAGAGUUUGUUAAAACUCAAAAACCUAAGGUUAAACCUGUUAAAUUUGUUGUUGAAUCCUCUAAGCCUAAACAAUGUAGACCAAAAUCAGAGAUUAACAACAAUUUAAAAUCUGAAAAGCCCAAACAGGUUAACAUAGGACUGAUGACUCAGAAACAGCUUAAACAUAAGCUUAAAGAGGUAAAGUCUGAUGACAGAAACAAGGAGCCUAGGAAAAAUAGAAAUGGCAAAAUUGGCAUAGACAAAAGUAAUAACUACAUGCCUGUUCCAAAUGCACCUAGGAAGACAUGCCAUAACUGUGGUAAUACUAAUCAUCUUGCUAAUUUUUGCAGGAAGAACAAGGACAUUUCUUUAAAGGUUAAUAAAAUNNNNNNNNNNNNNNNNNNNNNNNNNNNNNNNNNNNNNNNNNNNNNNNNNNNNNNNNNNNNNNNNNNNNNNNNNNNNNNNNNNNNNNNNNNNNNNNNNNNNNNNNNNNNNNNNNNNNNNNNNNNNNNNNNNNNNNNNNNNNNNNNNNNNNNNNNNNNNNNNNNNNNNNNNNNNNNNNNNNNNNNNNNNNNNNNNNNNNNNNNNNNNNNNNNNNNNNNNNNNNNNNNNNNNNNNNNNNNNNNNNNNNNNNNNNNNNNNNNNNNNNNNNNNNNNNNNNNNNNNNNNNNNNNNNNNNNNNNNNNNNNNNNNNNNNNNNNNNNNNNNNNNNNNNNNNNNNNNNNNNNNNNNNNNNNNNNNNNNNNNNNNNNNNNNNNNNNNNNNNNNNNNNNNNNNNNNNNNNNNNNNNNNNNNNNNNNNNNNNNNNNNNNNNNNNNNNNNNNNNNNNNNNNNNNNNNNNNNNNNNNNNNNNNNNNNNNNNNNNNNNNNNNNNNNNNNNNNNNNNNNNNNNNNNNNNNNNNNNNNNNNNNNNNNNNNNNNNNNNNNNNNNNNNNNNNNNNNNNNNNNNNNNNNNNNNNNNNNNNNNNNNNNNNNNNNNNNNNNNNNNNNNNNNNNNNNNNNNNNNNNNNNNNNNNNNNNNNNNNNNNNNNNNNNNNNNNNNNNNNNNNNNNNNNNNNNNNNNNNNNNNNNNNNNNNNNNNNNNNNNNNNNNNNNNNNNNNNNNNNNNNNNNNNNNNNNNNNNNNNNNNNNNNNNNNNNNNNNNNNNNNNNNNNNNNNNNNNNNNNNNNNNNNNNNNNNNNNNNNNNNNNNNNNNNNNNNNNNNNNNNNNNNNNNNNNNNNNNNNNNNNNNNNNNNNNNNNNNNNNNNNNNNNNNNNNNNNNNNNNNNNNNNNNNNNNNNNNNNNNNNNNNNNNNNNNNNNNNNNNNNNNNNNNNNNNNNNNNNNNNNNNNNNNNNNNNNNNNNNNNNNNNNNNNNNNNNNNNNNNNNNNNNNNNNNNNNNNNNNNNNNNNNNNNNNNNNNNNNNNNNNNNNNNNNNNNNNNNNNNNNNNNNNNNNNNNNNNNNNNNNNNNNNNNNNNNNNNNNNNNNNNNNNNNNNNNNNNNNNNNNNNNNNNNNNNNNNNNNNNNNNNNNNNNNNNNNNNNNNNNNNNNNNNNNNNNNNNNNNNNNNNNNNNNNNNNNNNNNNNNNNNNNNNNNNNNNNNNNNNNNNNNNNNNNNNNNNNNNNNNNNNNNNNNNNNNNNNNNNNNNNNNNNNNNNNNNNNNNNNNNNNNNNNNNNNNNNNNNNNNNNNNNNNNNNNNNNNNNNNNNNNNNNNNNNNNNNNNNNNNNNNNNNNNNNNNNNNNNNNNNNNNNNNNNNNNNNNNNNNNNNNNNNNNNNNNNNNNNNNNNNNNNNNNNNNNNNNNNNNNNNNNNNNNNNNNNNNNNNNNNNNNNNNNNNNNNNNNNNNNNNNNNNNNNNNNNNNNNNNNNNNNNNNNNNNNNNNNNNNNNNNNNNNNNNNNNNNNNNNNNNNNNNNNNNNNNNNNNNNNNNNNNNNNNNNNNNNNNNNNNNNNNNNNNNNNNNNNNNNNNNNNNNNNNNNNNNNNNNNNNNNNNNNNNNNNNNNNNNNNNNNNNNNNNNNNNNNNNNNNNNNNNNNNNNNNNNNNNNNNNNNNNNNNNNNNNNNNNNNNNNNNNNNNNNNNNNNNNNNNNNNNNNNNNNNNNNNNNNNNNNNNNNNNNNNNNNNNNNNNNNNNNNNNNNNNNNNNNNNNNNNNNNNNNNNNNNNNNNNNNNNNNNNNNNNNNNNNNNNNNNNNNNNNNNNNNNNNNNNNNNNNNNNNNNNNNNNNNNNNNNNNNNNNNNNNNNNNNNNNNNNNNNNNNNNNNNNNNNNNNNNNNNNNNNNNNNNNNNNNNNNNNNNNNNNNNNNNNNNNNNNNNNNNNNNNNNNNNNNNNNNNNNNNNNNNNNNNNNNNNNNNNNNNNNNNNNNNNNNNNNNNNNNNNNNNNNNNNNNNNNNNNNNNNNNNNNNNNNNNNNNNNNNNNNNNNNNNNNNNNNNNNNNNNNNNNNNNNNNNNNNNNNNNNNNNNNNNNNNNNNNNNNNNNNNNNNNNNNNNNNNNNNNNNNNNNNNNNNNNNNNNNNNNNNNNNNNNNNNNNNNNNNNNNNNNNNNNNNNNNNNNNNNNNNNNNNNNNNNNNNNNNNNNNNNNNNNNNNNNNNNNNNNNNNNNNNNNNNNNNNNNNNNNNNNNNNNNNNNNNNNNNNNNNNNNNNNNNNNNNNNNNNNNNNNNNNNNNNNNNNNNNNNNNNNNNNNNNNNNNNNNNNNNNNNNNNNNNNNNNNNNNNNNNNNNNNNNNNNNNNNNNNNNNNNNNNNNNNNNNNNNNNNNNNNNNNNNNNNNNNNNNNNNNNNNNNNNNNNNNNNNNNNNNNNNNNNNNNNNNNNNNNNNNNNNNNNNNNNNNNNNNNNNNNNNNNNNNNNNNNNNNNNNNNNNNNNNNNNNNNNNNNNNNNNNNNNNNNNNNNNNNNNNNNNNNNNNNNNNNNNNNNNNNNNNNNNNNNNNNNNNNNNNNNNNNNNNNNNNNNNNNNNNNNNNNNNNNNNNNNNNNNNNNNNNNNNNNNNNNNNNNNNNNNNNNNNNNNNNNNNNNNNNNNNNNNNNNNNNNNNNNNNNNNNNNNNNNNNNNNNNNNNNNNNNNNNNNNNNNNNNNNNNNNNNNNNNNNNNNNNNNNNNNNNNNNNNNNNNNNNNNNNNNNNNNNNNNNNNNNNNNNNNNNNNNNNNNNNNNNNNNNNNNNNNNNNNNNNNNNNNNNNNNNNNNNNNNNNNNNNNNNNNNNNNNNNNNNNNNNNNNNNNNNNNNNNNNNNNNNNNNNNNNNNNNNNNNNNNNNNNNNNNNNNNNNNNNNNNNNNNNNNNNNNNNNNNNNNNNNNNNNNNNNNNNNNNNNNNNNNNNNNNNNNNNNNNNNNNNNNNNNNNNNNNNNNNNNNNNNNNNNNNNNNNNNNNNNNNNNNNNNNNNNNNNNNNNNNNNNNNNNNNNNNNNNNNNNNNNNNNNNNNNNNNNNNNNNNNNNNNNNNNNNNNNNNNNNNNNNNNNNNNNNNNNNNNNNNNNNNNNNNNNNNNNNNNNNNNNNNNNNNNNNNNNNNNNNNNNNNNNNNNNNNNNNNNNNNNNNNNNNNNNNNNNNNNNNNNNNNNNNNNNNNNNNNNNNNNNNNNNNNNNNNNNNNNNNNNNNNNNNNNNNNNNNNNNNNNNNNNNNNNNNNNNNNNNNNNNNNNNNNNNNNNNNNNNNNNNNNNNNNNNNNNNNNNNNNNNNNNNNNNNNNNNNNNNNNNNNNNNNNNNNNNNNNNNNNNNNNNNNNNNNNNNNNNNNNNNNNNNNNNNNNNNNNNNNNNNNNNNNNNNNNNNNNNNNNNNNNNNNNNNNNNNNNNNNNNNNNNNNNNNNNNNNNNNNNNNNNNNNNNNNNNNNNNNNNNNNNNNNNNNNNNNNNNNNNNNNNNNNNNNNNNNNNNNNNNNNNNNNNNNNNNNNNNNNNNNNNNNNNNNNNNNNNNNNNNNNNNNNNNNNNNNNNNNNNNNNNNNNNNNNNNNNNNNNNNNNNNNNNNNNNNNNNNNNNNNNNNNNNNNNNNNNNNNNNNNNNNNNNNNNNNNNNNNNNNNNNNNNNNNNNNNNNNNNNNNNNNNNNNNNNNNNNNNNNNNNNNNNNNNNNNNNNNNNNNNNNNNNNNNNNNNNNNNNNNNNNNNNNNNNNNNNNNNNNNNNNNNNNNNNNNNNNNNNNNNNNNNNNNNNNNNNNNNNNNNNNNNNNNNNNNNNNNNNNNNNNNNNNNNNNNNNNNNNNNNNNNNNNNNNNNNNNNNNNNNNNNNNNNNNNNNNNNNNNNNNNNNNNNNNNNNNNNNNNNNNNNNNNNNNNNNNNNNNNNNNNNNNNNNNNNNNNNNNNNNNNNNNNNNNNNNNNNNNNNNNNNNNNNNNNNNNNNNNNNNNNNNNNNNNNNNNNNNNNNNNNNNNNNNNNNNNNNNNNNNNNNNNNNNNNNNNNNNNNNNNNNNNNNNNNNNNNNNNNNNNNNNNNNNNNNNNNNNNNNNNNNNNNNNNNNNNNNNNNNNNNNNNNNNNNNNNNNNNNNNNNNNNNNAUGGUACUCCUUUUGAGAUCUUAGAUGUCUAUAUGACAGUGACUGGGAAGACCCAAACAUUUACUGGUAUUAAGUAACUGCCAAGAUUUUAUAAUCUAUGGUGACCAGUCACAAUCUCUGAUUACUGGAGAAAUACUGUUGCAAAAUAAUAUUUAAAGGUCGUGAUUCAUUUACACUGAAAAGCGUCCUUGAAAAAAAAAAUAUAAAUUCGAGAGUUUCGUCCUGACUACAAAAAAAAAAAAAAAAAGGGUAGAUUAUUUUAUUGAUUAUCUUCAGAGUAUGUCCUAGUCUAAGUUUUGAGAGUUUGAAUAAAUUAUUCAAAGUCUACCUUAUAAUUACGAAAUUGUGGAAUUUAUAUUCUCUGAUUUAACAUGACCACACACACAUUUCACAAGCACAUUAUUGAGCUAUGGAUUUUAGAACAAACUCUGAUUUAUUGAUGAAUAUUCUGAAAAUUAUGUCUUUAUUCUGAGGUUCGCAGAAAUUUAUUUUCUUUGUCUUAAAUCUCAGAGUUUAAAAAUUCGAGAGAUUUGAUCUUGAUUUUUUUUUCAAAUAUUCAGAGAAUGUGAAGAGAAUGUGUUUCAAACGGAUGUAUUAUUAGUGGGUUUACAUGCAAAACAUUUUAAUAGGAGAACGUGUAAUCAGCAUUUAUUACUGCGCAUGUUUUACUGCACUCAUGAUUAUCACUCUCGUUUCUCCAUCCCACUAACAUUCAUCUACCAGUUACAUUUUGACAGGUGUCUAAUUGAACAAAAAGCCCUUGCGUGCUCAGUUCAACAAAAUCUGAAGAGUUUUUCAGAUCAGAUUUUAAUGCUUAUUAUUCAAUUUUACACUUACUCUCUACAUUCACUUUCUAAACAAAACUCUUACACUCUGAUCUCUGAAAUUCAAACCUUCGUCUACACACUUCCUCAAACAUCUUCUUCUCAUAAUCUCUGUUCUAAUGGCCACUACAGCUUUUAUCUUGGCAGGUGUUGAAUUUGUUCCUAAUAACUAUGCAGCCAUCCUUGACACUGCUGAGGCCCCAAGAGAUUAUCAUCCCUUUCAGCGAUUCUUGGCACAGAGUGUCAUCGGUACCGCUCUCACCGCUCCUGCAAGACUGUCAGGAAGCCAAAUCAUCAGCUUUUGGAGGUCGGGUACAUAUGACAAUGGUGGUGCAGAUGGAUCACCAUCAAUUGUGUUUUCCUAUAACGGGGAGCAGUAUGCAGUUACUCCAGCAACAGUUCGUCAGGCACUCAACUUGCCAGAACAUUCUGCGUACAUUACCAAUGGAGAUGCAAAUCUCAGAACAAUGAUGCUUGAAUUGGGGUACUACGAAUCUCUGGAUAAACUGGGUCAGUUGAAGCGUCCAUGGCUCAAUAAGGAGUGGAGUUUUUUCUUUGAUUGCAUUACCAGAGCUUUCCAGAAGAAAUCUACAAACUGGGAUGCUAUUCCAAUGGACAUGCUACAGAUCGGGUAUUCUCUGAUCUAUUCUACUGCUUUUGAUUUUGGUAGAUUAGUUCUUAGAAAUAUUGGUGAAAGAAUGCUUGAGAACAGAAAAGUCAUAUAUUUCUCAAGAUUUUGCCAAUUGUUGUUUAAUGCCACUGUUGGAGAAGUGGAUUUUGAUGCUGCAGAUGAGAUCAAACCUUUUAAACUUCAUAAAAGGGCUUUUAAGGAUCUCAUAUCUAAAGAUGAGAAGAGACCAGUUCUCAGGCCUCUGCAAAUCCCAGCUCCAUUCAGGGCAAGGCUGAAUCUUCCUCAGGAACCACAACCACAGCCUCAACAACCUCAACCACAACAUCCAACCUCUCCCACAGUCACCAGAAAACCCAGAUCAUCAACUACAAAACCAUCCAAAUCAACAAAGUCUGAUGACCAACCCUCUACAACAAAAACCAGAACCUCUGUUGGUACACAAGUUCUACAUUUGGUAGAUUAGUGAUUAGAAAUAUUGGUGAAAGAAUGCAUGAAAAUCGUAAGGUUAUAUAUUUUUCACGAUUUUGCCUAUUGCUGUUUAAUGCCACUGUUGGAGAAGUGGAUUUUGAUGCUGCAGAUGAGAUCAAACCUUUUAAACUUCAUAAAAGGGCUUUUAAGGAUCUCAUAUCUAAAGAUGAGAAGAGACCAGUUCUCAGGCCUCUGCAAAUCCCAGCUCCAUUCAGAGCAAGGCUGAAUCUUCCUCAGGAACCACAACCACAGCCUCAACAACCUCAACCACAACAUCCAACCUCUCCCACAGUCACCAGAAAACCCAGAUCAUCAACUACAAAACCAUCCAAAUCAACAAAGUCUGAUGACCAACCCUCUACAACAAAACCCAGAACCUCUGUUGAUACACAAGUUCUACAGACAAAGUCUGAUACACCAACAAACUCUGAAGCUCCAAACUCUGAUGUCCCAGUAAACUCUGAAGCUGCUUCUCCUCCAAAGCAGAAGAAAAGAAGAAGACUUGUUGCAGCAUAUGAAUAUGAUGAUCUAGAAACUGCACAAGUUGCAAACUCUGAACCUACUCCAACAACAGUCUCUGAACCUGUUCACACAAGUCCUCAGAAGACAGCCAGAUUCAAGUUACGGGCUCAAAAACCUGCAAAGGCAAAAAUCCCAGAAACUGACAUCACAGACUUCACUGUUGAGGAAGACCAAACACCAUCUACCACACUACCAGAAACUUCUCAAGCUCUGAUGGUGCUUCCUAUUCAAGCUGUUCCUCUGAUAUCUCCUACAGUAUCUCCUACAACAUCUCCUAAAGCAUCUCCUACAGCAUCUGCAGUAGAUGAAGAAAUAGAGUGUGAUGCACAAGCUACAACUGAAGCUGGAGCAAAUUUGUCUGAUUCUCAAACUCCAUUAUCUGAUCAUGGUCCAAUUCCUCAAUCUCCAAUGAAAAUUCCUGAGGAUGCCAUUGUUCAUGAUACAGCUCCAGAGAACUACAGGUCUGAUGCAGUUGAGGAAACUGACAAAGUAGCUGUGGAAGCUUUACAAUCUCUUGCUCAGACUGGUGAAGAGCCCAUCAAGUCACAGUCUGAAGAUAAAGGAAAAUCUGCUCAGGAUAAUGUGGAGAAAGUUGCAGAUCCUGUUCCUGCAGAUGAAAAAGCAAACUCUGAUACUGAGGAUGAUACCAGUUCAGAUACUGACAAGGAUGACAAUGCUGAAAUCCCUUUGACACAACAGAAAUGGGAGUCUACUAGCCAGUUCAAUGCAAGGCUACAAACUCUGAAUACAGCCUCUGAGCCACUCCCAAGGGAUCUUCAGGUUGAUCCACCAAAUGAAGUCUGGGAUAAACUCUGGUUGAGUCACCAGCACUCCUUGGAAACACCUAAAGCUGAAGAGUUCUUAGCUAUGGCAGAGAAGAAAAUUACAAACUCUGAUGUUAUGUCAAGCCUCAAGGGCACAAUUCUAUAUCUGAAGACAUUUCAUCCUGCUCAUGCCCAGACAUCUAAAUCCAUAGAUAGUCUAAGAACAGAGGUGGCAAAGGUCAAGGAGACAAAUGACCUGGAAAAGAAAAGGACCAUCAAUCCUAUGAAAGAAAGUGUACAGAAGCUGGUCACUGCAAAUGAAUCUCUGGACCAGAUCCACCAAAUGAAGUCUGGGAUAAACUCUGGUUGAGCCACCAGCACUCCUUGGAAACACCUAAAGCUGAAGAGUUCUUAGCUAUGGCAGAGAAGAAAAUUACAAACUCUGAUGUUAUGUCAAGCCUCAAGGGCACAAUUCUAUAUCUGAAGACAUUUCAUCCUGCUCAUGCCCAGACAUCUAAAUCCAUUGAUAGUCUAAGAACAGAGGUGGCAAAGGUCAAGGAGACAAAUGACCUGGAAAAGAAAAGGACCAUCAAUCCUAUGAAAGAAAGUGUACAGAAGCUGGUCACUACAAAUGAAUCUCUUAACCAAAGGAUGACCUUGAUUGAAUCCAAUCAAGAAAAGAUGUCCAAACAGCUUGAAGCUAUCCAAACUUCACUUUCUCUGAUCACAUCCAUUCUGAUUCCUGAUGAGGAUGAUGUCAAAAAGGGGGAGAGAGUAGCUCAAGUCAAAUGCAAGUCUACUACUCAAUCUCUGAAAAGGAAGAAAAAGGAUGAUGAUGAUGAUGCUGAUGAUUUUACAAAGCACAAAAGAUUUCAAGCAGGGACUGGUGGAAGAGUUUCAAACUCUGACAGUCAGAAACAAUCUAAGCAAAGCACAAAGUCUGGUCCAACUCACAACAUCACAUCUGGAUCUAAGCAAAGACCAGUGACUGGAUCAGACAAACCCAUGACUGAUGAAGAGCUUGCUAGAUUGGUUUUUGAACAAGAAAAUCCAGAAGCAAAUUUGGAUUUGGAGUUGAUUGCUGCAGAGGAAGCUGAGCUGAAAAAGGAACAUAUUGAAGCCAUAAACUCUGGAAAGAUCCAAAAGCCUGCAAAGUCAACUACCAAGCCAAAAGAAAAAGGAAUACUGAUCAAGGAAGCUACUGUUGCUGAUCAGAGUUUACCAGUCAAAAAGGUAUACUCUGAAGAUGAAUACACCUCCAAGGGUAAAAGCAAAGUAGAUGAACAUCUGGAGAAAGGCUGGGAAAAGAAGAAGUCUACAACCUCUGACAAGGAUCAAGUUGUAAAGGAAAAGAAAACAGAAGCUGCAAUCUCUGACAAAGCUCAUGUUGCAGAACCUCAAAAAGAAAGAUUGACCUCUGACACAGCUCAAGUCAAUAAGGAAGCAAAGAAAGACACAGUCUCUGACAAAGCUCAAGCUGUGUUCAAACCAACAACUACUCCACUGGCUGGAUUUGCAAAGCCUACUCUGAUGACUGAAAUAAGUUUUGAAAAAGGCUCAAUUAAACCAUUUUCUCAUCAAAAGGCAGGAAGAGAUAAAGGAGGGCUGGGAUCCAAGUAUGAAAAAUUUGAUCAGAGUAUAGGAUCAAGACCAGAUGACCCCUCAUCUCUAUGUGCUCCCAAGACUGGGGUAUUGCAAGACAAAAUGGACAAACUUGAUUCAGUCCAGUUGGAAAAGAAUGACAGAGGAGAUAAUAUCCUUAUCUACUUCAUGUCUGAUGGAACAGUGUUUAGAGUACUUGAAGCAGAUCUAUAUGCUAAACACUGGGAAGAAUUGAGAUAUGUAUCAUACAUAUUUCAAGUAAAGAACAAGUCAGGACAACACAUCUCCAACCUGCUAAAAGAUCAAAUCAGAAGAAAGAUGGGGAUUACAGGAAACAAAAAUGCUGGACCUUUCAUUCCUAAAUACCUCAAUCAUAAAGGACAGCUGGUGGAGAUGAAGAAAAAUUCAGCAAAGAUUGAAACAAUAGGUGGAAUCAGAACUCUUGCAUUUAAUGAAGAGUCUGAUAAAGCUUACAAUAUCAGGCUGGAUAGGGACUUGAAGAAGAACAAGAUCUAUGAUCUCAGAGCUGCAAUUUAUCAAACUGGAGUUUCAGAUCCAGAGCUGAGAGAGAUCAAGAGACAAAUGAUUACAGUGCUUGAAGAAGCUGAAAAAGAACUCCUCAGAGAGUAUCUAAAGACAGCAAAUGGUGUCUAUGCAGCUAAGGAGUAAAGUAUCUGUAAGUUUUAAAAGUUUUCUGUUAUAUAGUUAAACUCUGUUGCAUUUGACUUAAAUGUUUUGACAUCAUCAAUUAUCUGUUAACUUGCACAUAACUUAUUUAUGCACAAGUUGGGGGAGAUUGUUAGAUAUAAUUGAUGAUUACUAAUGUUCUUAAGGUUUGUUUUAGAACAGGAAUCAUCAGAGUUUAAACUGGAAGCUGAUCAGAGUUUAGCAAAGUCUGACAGAGUUUAAUAAAGUCUGAUCAGAGUUUACAUAGUCAACACUCGACAGAGUUUACACGUGGAAAGAGCUCAGAAGCGGAUAUACUUCAAGGAAGGAUAGAAGCUGAGGAGUGAUUUGCUGACUAUGGAAACUAAACAGAAAACUGGAGCAAUCUUUGAUUGAUAGAUUUAUUAGCUGAUUUAUAGGAUAUCAAAUCAGAGAUUGAUUUUGUAACUGUGUCUAUAUAAACACAGAUUAGGGUUACUCUAUAGGAGUUGAGUUAUCGAGUACAUUAUUAAGAACCCUAGCAGCUCUUGGUGAUAGAAUAUAAAUCACUGAGAGAGUUUUUGUAACCAUCAAGUUUUGUGAAUAUAAGAGUUUACUGCUUUUGAUCUCUUAUAUUGUCAUACUGUAUUACAUAUUGUGAUCACUAUAUUAUUAUAUAUAGUGAAUUAAUAGGACCUAACAAGUGGUAUCAGAGCCAGCUCUGUUAAGAUUACUACAGUGAGAUCUUAAACACAAUCAUGUCUGAAAAAUCACAAGCUUCAUCCUUUAGAGUUCCAAUCCUUAAGGCAUCUGAAUAUCCAGUCUGGAAAGAGAGAAUGAUAAUAUUCUUAGACUCUGUUGAUCCAGAAUACCUUGACAGGAUCUUUGAUGGACCACAUAUGCCCACCAAGCUCUCUGUUGGGAUUGCAGAUGAACCUCAAAAGAUGGUUCCAAAAGAAAAGAAAGACCAACCGAUGUUAAAGCCGCGAUGUUAUAUCCACUUUUUCUAGUAGUGAAAUUAUACAAUUUUGCUAUUUCAGUAGUGCAGGCCUUUCCCAGUGGGUGUUGGAUAGCAAACAGUCCAUGUCAUGCUCAUCUUAAACUAAAUCAGCUGGUUAGCUUCUUUUGCUUAGAUAUAAAGGAAGCUUAAUUAAGUCCAUGAGAUUAAUGAUAUGUUAAUUGGUAAAGUGCAUGUGCAUGCUUACCAAUCUUAGUCUUUUUGGUUUUUGUUUUUUUAAUGUAUUGAUGAUAUGUUAGCUCAAAAUACUAGGUUUCGAAGAUCAUUUGUUAUGUUCUAGAGUCGGCAACUGAGAAUAUAAAAGUGUUGACACGCAAAUUGACUGGUGUGCCUAGAAACGACAUCUUUAAAUAUAAUACCUAUACUGGGCAAUGUGCAGCGCAACUUUUUUGAAUUAUUAAUGAUCUUGAGGUGAGAGCUUAAUAAGACUGCUGAGUAAUAAUAUUACUCCAAUGACUUGCAAGGGAAUUUGUAAAUAUAAAAAACAUCCAUAAAACUAUAGCACUUGCUUGACCUCUGAGAAAUGUGUCCUGUAGGCACACUCAUUUGCCUCUAAAGUUGAAACGAAUGCGUAGUCAAACAGAUAAAGAAGAGCACGGAGAAAUUGUUGCCUUAUGCUGGAGUAUUUGGCAAUCUAGAAACAACUUGGUUUGGAAUCAGAAAAAGUGUGAAGUGAAUUUUGUAGUUUUCUCGACAAAGCAGUAUCUUGCAGAAUGGAAAAACACUCAAGUAAUGUCAACACAGGCUCUUUACCAGGAUGUGAAACAUGGUGAUGGAGCAAUUUCCUGGGUGAGACCUAAAAAAGAUGUGGUCAAGAUAACCAUCGACGCUGCGUUAUUUGCUGAAAGCUCUAAGUAUGGCAUUGGGUUAUUAGCUCGGGAUGAUAAAGGAGACGUGAUUCAAGGCCGAUCAGAGGUGUUUCAAGGAGUAGUGCUUCAAGAAUUUGCAGAGGCCAUUGCAGUAAAGGAAGCUCUAAGUUGGGUAAAGGGAAGAGAAUGGAGGGAGGUAGUAGUUGAAUCAGACUGUUUGGCUGUGGUACAAGCUAUCAGGAGUAAUGUCGACAUGAGGUCUCCUUUUGGCAGCUUAAUUAUGGAGUGUCGUUUGAUGAUUUCUGAACUAAACAUAGAUUUAUGUUUUAUUAGACGAUCUGCUAACAUGGCAGCUCACUGUAUCGUGAGAGAGUCAUGUUCUUUUCCAGGUCGAGUAUUCGAUAGGAGGUCUGUUCCCGUUGAAUUGGAGUCUAUUUUGUUGGCUGAUUUGUUUGAGUAAUAUUUUCCUUUUCUGUCAAAAAAAAAGGUUGGUGUAUCGGUUAUUAAAUAAAUAUUUAAUUAAGUACUUAUGCUCACAAGUCAUAAUGGUCUUUUUCUGAGCAGGUAAAUGGAGCAACCUCCUAAGAGAAGAUGCAGCCUAAUAUUGUUGUUACAGGGGAUAUUCUUGAACAACGGAGACUGGCUAAACAAUGUAGCAACAUUGCACGUAGAAUAGGUAAGCAUAACUAAUGUUUCUCUAUGAUUGCCUUUACGAACAAAUUGAUAAAUGCUGAUUAAUUUUCUUGAUUUACCUAGGCAAUUUUCCCUCUGUAUACACUAUAUCAACCGGUCCAUCCGGCACAGCUCCACAGACUGCUCUAUACCAGGUAUUUUAACAUCUAUUUUUUUAGUAUUGGAAAGCAUCGGUGGUUAAUCUUUUGCCGCCUUAUAAAUCUACCAAGCCUUAGGAAUAGCUGAGGUGAUUUCUUUCAGCAAACUUGAGGUGAUUUCUUUCAGCAAACUUAGGGAACUGGUGAUUAUUUUUCAUUGUUGAUUGAAGCUUUGGGUAAGAAUUAUUUUAUUUUCAGUACUUCGUAAUAUCUGUCUCGAGUGAAAUGCUGGGGCUUGGAGGUAAGAACUGUCAGUCACGCUAAUUAGAAUUUUCAAUUAUGGAAGGGGCAACAGGCUUGGCAAAAAUAAGGAAAUAAGGAGUUGAUGUACUUAAGGUUUAGUCGAGAAAUGGACAGUUCAAUUGAAAGAAUAACUUAUAGAUGAUAACUGAUUUUUUAAAAUUAUGCAGUUCCUGAUUUUCGUGGAGACCCAAUCUGUGUAGAGAAAGUUGAAAAAUCCGGAUUAGAGGUCUUAGCUCAUAAUAUUGACACAAUUGAAGAGCUACAAAAUGCGGUCCGAGACCACCGUGCUACUUUUAAGAAAUCUAUUGAUGUUCUAAUAAAAGCCAAAGAAUAUGCUCCGGCUGGGACCCUGACUAAAGCAUCAGUGAUGUUGGGAUGUGGUGAAACACCAGAACAAGUAGUGAGAACCAAGAAGAGGGAAGCAGGCGUUGAUGUGAUAUUUAGUUAUUGCCCAAGUUUUUUGAAUUCCACAAAAUUUACUCUUAGCGUCUGUUGCUGCAUUUGAUCUUGCUCGAAUUCUUUCAGGGAUUCUGCUAUGUGGCAUCUGGACCAAUGGUCCGGUCAUCGUACAAGGCUGGUGAAUAUUACAUCAAGUCCAUGAUAGAAGUAGAUCGAGCUGCAUCAUCAUCAUCAAUUCAUCAUAGUGGUUAGUCAGAAAAGGAUCAAUUAAUCCAGUGCUAAUAUGUCUUUCAUAAAGAAUAAUCAUUGCUUAGUUGUGCACGUGGUCGAGAUACAUGUCAUAUGUUUUGGUGGCACUAAAUGGCAGUUUGUACCUUACCAAUACAAAAUUUAGAAUCGGUACGUAUAUGUUAAAUUCAAUAUGAAUUAUAUGUAAUUUAAGAUGAUGCUAAAUCAUAAAAGAGGUGAAAUUGUAAGAAACAAUUUCAUUUGCAAUCAGGUAACCUGUUGGAAAUAUAUGAAUCAGGGGAUGUUGCUUAUGCUUAUUGGUUUAUGAGGUUCCCUGUAUGUUUGCAUUUUUCUAAUGAAUAUAUAUAUAUAUAUGAUCUUCUUUGUUCUAUCGUUGGUCAAGCAAUUAUUUGUGAUGCAUAUCUUUAUGUAAAUGAUAAACACUAAAUGAGGUGUAUCACUUGCAUGAUGUUUUUUGUUUAGACAUACCUCAGUUGCAUGUGACAAGUUUUGCCUCCUGGCAGUAUCAUACAUUAACUUAGCUGAGGCGCUAUAACUUAAUAUAAAUACUUGUUUAGCUUCUUUGGAUCAUGAUUUCUGUAGAACAUGGUAUCAUGGGCAAACACCUUUGAAGCAGUGUUUGUGAGGACCAUGGACAUGGAGCCCUUAAAUUACAAAAGGGAGAGACGGAGGAGACGCCCCCUGGUCUGUAGUUUUGAACUUUCUUAGGGUUUUACUUGCUAUCAUUUUUUAGACAAUUUUUUCCCUACNNNNNNNNNNNNNNNNNNUUCCCUACAUGUUCAGACAUCUAACUAUAUGGGCUUUGUAAAACAUAUUUUUCCAGUAAUCUUUUUUAUAAAUUGAUUAUUAUCAUCGGUGAAGCUGUUGGUAAAGGCAGCUGGUUUCCUCAGCCUCGGUUCUUUCAGUAUAUAAGAAAGAAGUUGUAUUUUGGCUCGCUAAAGUUUGAUUUUAGUAUAAAAGUGACUUUAUGGCUCUUUCUUUGGAUUAAAGGUCCUCAUCAUCAGUGCCACAUAAAAUAAUCGCCUUGCAGGGUAUUUGCGGAGGCCUCGUGAGAAAGACGCUCAUUUUCAUAGAUUAAUAGUAUACUUGAAGUGUAUUGCUACUAAAGAUUUCUCCUUGUGCUUAACUAGAGACACUCAGACGAGUGAGGGUUUUGUUAUGAAUUACAGUUAGAAAAUUAAAUGUAUAAUAUUUUUUAUAAUUAAAAUUAUAUGUAGUGUGAUUUCUUUUAUUCCGGCCUAUUAUAAUAGAUUAAUUUUUGUUAUUCGUCUAAACUAUAUGUCUAUGUUUAUUAUGUUUUGAUUUAAUAAUUUUGUUUAUUGUAUUAUCUUUUUCCUUUGAAAAGUAAACUUUUUCGUAUUUAAAAAAUAUAAUCAAGUAAUUAAUAAUUUGAAAAUUUCAAAUUAAAGAAGCAUAUUUAGAUCAAAUAAUUAAAACAAAUUCAUAAAUAAAGUCACUCUUAUCUUGAAAAAAAUAUAAAUUAAAAUAAAAACAUCACAAUAAUUAAAAAAAUAAUAUUUGAGUAACGCGUAUAUUAAAAAAAAUUGCUUAAAAAAAUUCUAUAUAACUAAAACAUUCAAGUAUAUAUCACUUCAGCUAUGUGUUUGCCAUUAUAUUAUAAUAUGUUACACAAUACAAAAAACUCACAAACGAAUUAAUUCCGAUACAAUUACGUUAUUUUAUAACAAAUAUUGAGAGAUAAUAUAUGAUUAGCUCAUUCUUGAAAUUAUAAAUGGUAGGCAGAUUUUUAAAGAUAACCAGAUCCAGUUUUGCAAAUUUAUUUACAACUUGGCCAAUUUAGUAGAAGUAUCUAAUAGUAAAAAUAAUUUAUUUUACAUAAUUUAUGGUUCGGUCAUCAUCUAUUUGAAAUAAAUAAAUGAAAUGUUAUUAGCUUUAACAUUCAAAAAAUUCAUAUCAUACUAGAUAGAAAGCUUCAAAUUGGUAAAAGUUCUUGUCCUAGGUAUUACUUAUUAGAAAUUAUAAAAUUGUCAUAUAUGAUUAAAUUAAUUCUACCCUUCAUUACUCAAUAAUAAAGACUGGUUUUGAAACGAUAAACUUAAAUUUUCAUUCAAUACAUCAUACCUUAGAUGAAUUAUCUCAUACCUCCGACUUCCGGAAAAAAAAAUUACAAUUAUCCACAAAAACAAAUAAACCACUAUAGGCAAUUUUAUUUGGACUUCCAUGACAUACAAUACCUUUUAUUGUAGCGAAGGCAAACAUGAGUCAUAUAUAAUUCUUGAUAUCUAUCCAUAACGAUUUCCACCUUCAAAAUAAAGCCACCAUGAUUUCUCGCCAUAUAUUAUAUUCUUUUUAUUCAUACCCUAUACACCCUCUCGGACUUUGUUCGAGUAUAUAGGUCAAAAAAUAUGUCCAAUAGUGCAAAACCUUUACAUCUAUGUAAUUCAAUUUGCUGCUGGAAAUUAAAUGUAUGAAUACACCCUCUGGGACUUUGUUCGAGUAUAUAGCUCAAAAAAAUAUGUAAAAAAGUUAACAUAUGAAGAAAAUAAUCAGUAACUUCUUCCUGACAAUACAUCCUUUUUGUUGAGGACACUUUUAUAUUGAAUAUAUUGUCUCUUCCUUCAUGCAAUAUUUUUUUAAUCGAAUUUGUGUAUAUUUAGACCAAUACGAGUUUCAUACUAGGCCCGUGCCUUGCACGGGCACUAAUGCUAGUUAUUAUAAAUUAAUCACCACCAUUUCACCAAAAAUAGAUAUAAUUAAAUUACAAAUCAAAUAUUAUCAUUAUAACUUACAAGUAAGAUAUGUAUAAUAUAUAUAAUAUAAAUAUUAAUUAAUAUUUUAUAUUGUUUGGGCUAUUCGUCUAUUCGGUCCAGAUCGAAAUAUUUUUUUAAGAACCGGACCGAACCGAAUUUUAUUUCAGUUUAUUCAGUAAAAAAUUAGGAUUGAAGCAGACCGAAUUUGAAUGAUUUAGUUUGAUUUUCCAGUUUGAGUUCGGUUUUGCUCACACCUAACUGGGACUAGUCGUGAGUCUUCAUUCCUGACUCAUCCUCUUAAGGAGUGAGGGGAUUGAAGAAUAUAAGCAGUAUUCUUUAGGAGAGCCGAAAAAGGACUUAGUGUAUAAAGCAUAUUUUCUCCAACUGUGGUCAUCUUGAAGUGAGGAAGCUAGACCGUCCCAAAGAGGCCAAUUAAGUAUGGAGUACCCUGAGCAAGGCCUAGGUUAGCGAGCCCGAUUGUUAGCGAUCUCUACAAGGCCACAUCAUUUCUAGCAACCACCCCUCUCCUUGGGAAGGCAAGAUAAUUUCUCAUACUAGCAUCCCAUUUAUGUAGGACAGUCCAACAUAAGUGUGAACCCAACGGACUUGUGAUAUCCACUAAAUGAGGCAAUGAGCCCAUCUUGAUGGUUUUUAAAUUGCGGGUAUGCCACGACCCAUGACUAGAAAAAAUCUUAUUAGAACAAAACCUUAUACUACAUUCUUAGUUUCAUCCGAUCAUCCCUUCCUCUCCUCGUUAUCUCCGCUUGAAACUCUACCUUCCGCAUCAGUCUCUCCUUCCUAAAUUACCUUCCGCACCCGCUUCUCUUCUUAACUUAUCAUCUUUUUAGUGUAAAAAUUAUAUCACCACCAACCACAGCGAUCAUCGUUUUGAAAUUUUCGAUAUAUCAUAUAUCUGAUGAUUCGUGUACAAUUAAUGCCUAAUCGGUAAGCCAUUAUCAUAUAUUUACUUCUUAUUUUGGAUUUAAUCUUGUUUGUACAUAUUUGGAUUAAAUUGAAUGUUGGAUUUAAUUGAUUUUUGAGUUUCGAUCUUUGAGUUCUGAUCUAAGAUAUAAAAUUUCCAAUAAAGCAUAAAUUGAUCAUGAUGUAAUGUAAUUACAUGAGAGCCUCGGUAUGGCACACUUUAAUCAUCUUUAAUAUUUUAGUAUAAUUAUUUUCUUAAAAUCAUAGAUUGUAUUUAUCUUUGUAUUUUUGAAUUAGUCCAUAGAAUUUUAUAUUGCAAAAAUAAUUUGAUGUUCAUCUUAUUUCAGUUUUAUGAAAGAAUUAUGCGAAAUAAUGAAGAAAAUGCUCCAGUAUCACUUGAAAUUCGCGUCCUUGGGAUAUUGACUGCGCAGGUAAUAUCUUAUAUGGUAGCUAAUAUUUUGCACUAGUUAUUCAUUUUAAGUUUAGUAAAUUGUCUUGUUACAAAUUUUAUUAUAAAUGUUUUAUAUUAAUGGAUUUAUUUCGACAAAAUGUUUACUUUUUAAUUUGUAAACAAAUAUAUAUUUGAUAUGAUAUAAAAACUCAGUUGGUGAGAAUCUUCAUUUCAAUUAACAUGCCAACUAGUUUCAUAAUUUCCAAUUACAAUAUUGAUGUAAGUUCUAUAAUUUUAUAUUGUUAUAUUUAUAUAAUAUUUUACAAGUGGAUCAUAUACUUUAAAGUAACAUUGUGAUGUGAAAAGUGUGACAUUGUGCAUGCAACCACCUCUUCUUUUCAUAUCUUAUCAACCACAUCGUUUUCUUCUAGNCAACCACCCCUCUCCUUGGGAAGGCUAGAUAAUUUCUCAUACUAGCAUCCCAUUUAUGUAGGGCAGUCCAACAUAAGUGUGAAUUGUGAUAUCCACUAAAUGAGGCAAUGAGCCCAUCUUGAUGGUUUUUAAAUGAGCCCGAUUUUUAGUUACUAUGCGUUUAGGUACAAAAUAUUUAUGACUUUUCCAAAUAUUAUAUGCAGGGAGGAUGUAUCAUGAGGUCAUAACAUUUAUACUACUUUUGACUAUAAUUAUCUAUGAAAACAAAUUUUGGCUUAUAAGAUUUUAAAUAAAAAAAUUUAUAUCUUUAAAUGUUACUCUAAGUCCACCAAAUAGAACAUAUGUGACAUGAUAAAUUUACUCCUUUUUUACAAGGGGACAUCUUCAUUUAAGCACUAAUGUUUUUUGAAAUUUUAUUUUUUAAUUUCACUAUUUCAUCUUUAAACCCUCACGCCUUUAUUAAAAUAUGUUAUAAUAUAUUAAAAUUAAAUAUGACAAUUAAGUAAUGUUAGCAGAUCCUCACUUUUGUAAUAAUUUGUUGCUUGGCACAGUGAAGUGAUCUGGCUGUCUGUAGCCAACAUUGGUAGUUCAUCAGCAUUGUCAAGUGGUAUCUCUGACGUCAGUCAAAUCGAAGCUCAAGGAAUCGUAAAACGAAGAAGAAAAAGCAAGAUUGCUUCUGUUGUUUCUGUUUCAAGGCUCAAACCAACAAACAAGAAAAGCAAUACUGUUUCCAGGCGUGUCUAGCGAUCACUCAGAAGAGUGCAUCCUAAAAUGGUCCCUUUAAGUGCCAGAUGCAGCUAAAGCUCAGAAUCGACGAUGGGAACAAUGGAUAGAAUAUUGCUAAUGAUGACAAUUGUUCAGCCUGUCACGAAGGAGGUAGCAUAAUUAUGUGUGGUCAAGCAUUAAAAUUGUAACCAUUCAUUCCUUCUUUGCAAGCAGCAGCAGAAGCUGAGUCAUAAAACUCAACCAGACAUAUCCUUUAGAUUUUCCACUACGUUUUUCAUCAUAAAACUUAAACUCCUUGACCCUCCCAUAUUUAGAUAGAACACUCUCAACUUCCGCAUCAGUAGUCCACCAGUGUAGCUCUCCCACGAAGAGCCUGCUUGCACCAUUCUGAGCCACAGGUGUUGACCCCAAUUUCAAUGCUUGAGAAUCAUGACUCACAUAUGGAGCUAUUGCUUUCUGUCAAGUCUUAAUUUCUUCAAAAUUUGAUGCCACCAGAUUUACUGGUGUAGAUUCAGGAACAACAGUUUCUGGUGUCUGGCCAUAUCCCACAUUCACCGCACCAUUUGGACCAGGCGCCUCAGACGGUUGAGGCUGAAGAAAACCCUCUCCAAUAUUAAGAUCACCAUAAAGUUCAUCGUACUCAUCAUCAUCGCCAAUUAAUUCAUCCUGGCGCUGCAUGAUUUGUGGAAGGGGCCAAAUGAAAAGAGACACGGAAGACUUUAACAAAAAUGAUCUGUAAGUGUAACCAGCGUGAGCGUAUAUGUAAGUUGUUACCUAGAAUAUAAGAAUGCUGUACUACAACUGUAUAUAUGUCAUUGCCAUAAACUUCUUUAACAACUUUAAUAUGUUAAACAUUUCUGUUGUAGCUCAAACUCGUCACCUAAAAUUGAAAAGCCUGAUGCCCAAUGGAGGUUGGUGCUGAGAUUCAACUUGUGAACAGGUAAAUUCAAUAUGCUAAACAUUUCUGUAACGAUUGAGGGAAUUAAACAGAGUAUGUGGUGUAACACCUGAACUCCAGGUUAUUUUUGGUCAACAGCAUUCCUGAGAUCUGUGGCUAGCUAUAAAUUCCAGUUCUAUUAGAGUUCAUAUUUUUGUGCCUGCAGAGAUGUAACUUAAAAUAACCUGCAGUCAUGCUUGAAUAUAGCUAAUUUCUACUUUGUGCCUUCAGAUUGUAAAUCAGGUGUGGGCAUACAUCCGAAGAAACAAGCUACAGAAUCCUAGCUAGUAACAAGAUGCUACUUUGUGAAUUUUGGUUAAGUUGUGUUGUGAGGUUUCUAUUGCUUUGUCUUCGUUCUUGAAGCUUGAAUGAUCAACUUAAGGGACCAACUUCAACGGAGUUCUGUUUAGAAAUGGAUGGACGGUAGGAACUGUGAUGGGCAGCUUCUCGUGGAUCAGCUGUGGCUCUCGUUAGUUUUUUGACCAUAGCACGAAGUUUGAUGGGUCGGCAUGGACAAAGGAGGUGUUUUGGAGCUGUAGAUUUGUGUCAAAACUACUAACAUUAACUAUUUAGCAAAAAAAAAAAAAAAAAACAUUAACUGUUUAUAUCUUUGCUCUUAAUGUACAUAAAGCUGCUAUAUAUGUAGUAACUUAAUUCUCUGCUAUAACACAUUGAUAUUCCACUACAGCGAAGAGGCAAAGAAUGAGAGCUAGUCACAUUUAUUUAAAAAAAUCAUGGUAAAGAAACAGAAAAAGAAGUAUCACAACCACUAAGAGUAUCUCCGAUUGAUCCAAUGGUCCUGAAUACUACUUUGAAAUGUUAAACUCCUACUAAACAUGUCAUGAAGGUUUUCUAUUAUUUUUGCAGAAAGAUAGAGAUGAUUCAGUACUGAUAUAAGCUUUUGCCUGUUCUCAAAAUCAUCUAAACCGUCCACCUCUUCUGCUUUGCACAAGUCCUUCCCAUUCACAAUCACCUUCGGGAACCUUACCUUGUCAUUACCAACCAGCUCUUCUAUAUUGGAAAAUUAACAAUAUUAUUUAUAAUUUUUUAAAAUAUAUAACAGUUAUAGUAUUAAAUUAUAAGUUCAGAUAUAAUAUUUGUAAACUAAGGUAGGAAAAGUAACAAGUGUCUAUUUAACUAAUGAAUGUUGCAAUUCCUCACAAACUGUCUAUUAUACUUUACCUAAAUAAUUAUUAAAAAAAUAUUUACCAUAAACGGGGAGGAAAUGGGCAGUGCAUGGUAGGAAUUAAAAACCGCCACAUAUAUUUUGAUAUAAAAGACACAUUAUAUAUUUCCUACCAAACUUGGUACCGAAAAACCCUAAUGGUAGGAAAUACUUAUUUUUUUGCACCUAAAUAAUUAUAAAAAUAUUUAUUAUAAAUUGGUAGGAAAUGAGUACUACUUGACAUGAAUUUAAAACUACGUAUGAUAUACUGAUAAUGUGAAGCAAUCUAAUAGUACUGAUAAUGUGAAGCAAUCUAAUAGUAAGGAUUAUUCAAUUGAUUUUUAUGAAUGUCUAGCUACUUAUGUUAUAUCUUGUUCAUUUAUCUUGGUAAAAAUAAUUCCUAAUGGUAGGAAAUACUUAUUUUUUUGCACCUAAAUAAUUAUAAAAAUAUUUAUUAUAAAUUGGUAGGAAAUGAGUACUACUUGACAUGAAUUUAAAACUACGUAGCAAUCUAAUUGUAAGGAUUAUUCAAUUGAUUUUUAUGAAUGUCUAGCUACUUAUGUUAUAUCUUGUUCAUUUAUCUUGGUAAAAAUAAUUCUUCUUGCUGUGUUUAUUUUCCUUUCACAAAAUACAAUGCAGUACUUACUAUUAAGAUUCAAGAAUUUAUAGUUUCAUAAUUAACGUACCUCUAUUCAUUAUAAUUUCUGUGGAUACAGUUAAAAGUUCGUGUCUCUUUCAAUUAUGUUCAAAACUCAAUGAUAAAGUAUGAGAAACAAGAAGAAUCACCAUAUUAUGAGACAAACAUAUGAAAUUAUUGAAUACCACCUAAUCCCCUAAUUGAGGAUAAGUUAUUUGUAAUUCAGUAAGAAAAUAUAUAUUAACCCAUAUUAGCUCCCGCACAAAAAAAAGAAAGCCAAAUUAGCUCAAUUUAUUCGAACUUUAGAAAUAUUUUUUACUAUGAUUAAACACUUAAAAUUAAUUAAUAAUACCUCUUUAUUAACAAAAUACUAAAUUAUAGGAAUAAAAUCAUAUAAAAGUAUGUAUAUAUAAGUAUAUACUUUAUACAAAGUUUAUCGAAACACCGCAUUUUUAUUUCUGGGGCAUCUUUUCUUAUUUUCGCACAUUUUUCUCAAUCUCUUAUUUUAACGGGAGAAAGUGAUUAACAACAAAUUAGGAAACUUAAUUGAAUGUAAAAAGAAUAUCAUGGAGAACACGGGACUGAAAGGGAUGUAAAGUAUAGUUGAUCUUGUAUUUGAUCCUUGAGAAAGUACGAGAUUGAUCUCUAGCUACUAGACAAGAAAUCAUAGAAGUUAAACAAGAGGGCUAGCUACUUCCUACGUACGGGUUCAAGUUAUCACAUAGUUCUUUGAAAACAAAUAUCUAGAUAGGCUAGAUUUUGUUUGGUCCAUUACGGCCGAGGUCCAUUAGACCAUGAAAGCUAUCGUCGAGAAGCCUGUUAGGAAUCAAUAAUUUUGAUGAUAACAUAAACACUCUGUAACAUGUUUUAUUUAGAAUCUUUAUCAAAAUUUCAGUUGUAAUUGUUAUAUUUCUUGUCCUUGAGAAUUAUCAACGGAUGGAUAGAAUAGGGUGGCUAAUUGUAAAUAUCCAAUGCCAUGUAAUUCUAUCUAAGUGAAGGAUAUUCAACUGAUAAGAUGUAACUAUUCAACUGAUGAAGACUUGAUCAUGUUUCAACUGAUGAAAACCAAGCUUUCAACUGAAGACAAAGUGUUCAACUGAUGAAGCUGAGCAAUUCAACUAAUGAGACUGGAACAGCAUUCAACUGAUGAAGUCUGUAAUUCGUUCAACUGAUGAAGGAGCUUUCAACUAAGGAAACAAGCAGUUGAAAGUGACUAGAGCUUAAGUCUGACAAAUCACAUGGAUCGAAUUACACUAAAAUAGAAAUGGAAGGCUGAUUAGGACAAUAAAGAAGAAGCAGAAACAUUCUUAUCUCAUGCAAUGCAAUCUGGAUCAAAUCAAGAUGAUGGUCAAAGAUGAAGACAUCAGAGAAAGCUUGCAUAAGACAAAGAUGUGCAGCAUUGUUUAGAUUAGAGUGCAUAAUUUGUAUUCUAGUUAAAAGCCUUGUGAAACUUGGAGUAUAUAACCAAGUUAGUAGUAUCAGUUGAAAGUGUUCGAAUACUUGAGAGAAAAAUCUGAGAGUUAGAAACCAUUCAAGUGAUGAACCAGCAGCUGUGCGAAUUGUAAUCAAUCCACAGAUUCUUCAAUAUAAAAUCUCACGGGUGGAUCAUUCAAUCCACCCGUAUUUUUAAUACUUGGUGUUUUUCUGUUUUAUUGUUUUAAGUGUUCUUGUUCUUGAAUCUUUUAAUUUGUAAUAGAUUGUAUUCAAUCCCCCCCUUCUACAAUCUUUCUCAUAGUUGGUGUAAAAUAACAAAGCCCAUAACUCUCGCAUGACCCAGGUCUUAAUGGUUAAGAAGGCUGACAUGGAGCGGGUUAGAUAGUGGAUAGCGAUCUAUUAGUGAAAGAAGGUAGAGACCUCGAAAGCUAUAAUCAUGUGGUCCAAGCUGGGACUAGUGGUGAGCAUUUGGUCAUUUCGGUCCAAAAUUGAACCGGACUUAAUAGACCGAGAACCGAACUUCGAUUUUUCCGGACUAGACCGGAACGAAAUAUUAUUAUAGACUGAACCGAAAUAAUUUGGUUUGGUCUGUCCGAGAAGAAACAAAAUUAUUUUAAAAAACAAAAAUUUAUAUUAUAAAUAAAGCUAAAAUAUGUGAUUUAAUAAAUAAAUUAAUAUUAAUUAAUCACCUCAAUUUCACCAAAUAUAGAUAUAAUUAAAUUUACAAAUUAAAAAUUAUCAUUAUAACUUGUAAGUAAGAUAUAUAUAAUUUAUAUAAUAUAAAUAUAAAUUAAUAUUAUAUAUUGUUUGGGUUAUUCUUCUAUUCGGACCAGACCGAAAUAUUUUUUUAAGAACCAAAACGAACCGAAUUUUAUAUAGGUGUAUUUAGUCCGGAUCGAAUAGACCGAAUUUUCAAAAAUUAGGAUCGAAUCGGACAGAAUUUAAAUGAUCCGGUUUUAUUUUUCAGUUUCAGUUCGGUUGUGAUCUAACCUUAGGACUGGUCGUGAGUCUUCAAUCCUGCCUCAUCCUCUUAAGGAGUGAGGGGAUCGAAGAAUAUAGGGAGUAGUUUUUAGGAGAGCCGACAAAGAACUUAGUGUAUAAAGCAUACUUUCUCCAAUCGUGGUCAUCUUGAAGUGAGGAAGCUAGACGGUCCCAAAGAGCCCAAGUAUGUAGUGCCCUCAGCAAGGCCUGGGUUAGCGACCCCAAUUGCUAGCGAUCCCUGGAUAUUAAACUGAUGAAGACUGGAUCAUGUUUCAACUGAUGAAAACCAAGCUUUCAACUCAAGACAAAGUGUUCAACUGAUGAAGCUGAGGAAUUCAACUAAUGAGACUGGAACAGCAUUCAACUGAUGAAGUCUGUAAUUCGUUCAACUGAUGAAGGAGCUUUCAACUAAGGAAACAAAGAGCAGUUGAAAGUGACUAGAGCUUAAGUCUGACAAAUCACAUGGAUCGAAUUACACUAAAAUAGAAAUGGAAGGCUGAUUAGGACAAUAAAGAAGAAGCAGAAACAUUCUUAUCUCAUGCAAUGCAAUCUGGAUCAAAUCAAGAUGAUGGUCAAAGAUGAAGACAUCAGAGAAAGCUUGCAUAAGACAAAGAUGUGCAGCAUUGUUUAGAUUAGAGUGCAUAAUUUGUAUUCUAGUUAAAAGCCUUGUGAAACUUGGAGUAUAUAACCAAGUUAGUAGUAUCAGUUGAAAGUGUUCGAAUACUUGAGAGAAAAAUCUGAGAGUUAGAAACCAUUCAAGUGAUGAACCAGCAGCUGUGCGAAUUGUAAUCAAUCCACAGAUUCUUCAAUAUAAAAUCUCACGGGUGGAUCAUUCAAUCCACCCGUAUUUUUAAUACUUGGUGUUUUUCUGUUUUAUUGUUUUAAGUGUUCUUGUUCUUGAAUCUUUUAAUUUGUAAUAGAUUGUAUUCAAUCCCCCCCUUCUACAAUCUUUCUCAUAGUUGGUGUAAAAUAACAAAGCCCAUAACUCUCGCAUGACCCAGGUCUUAAUGGUUAAGAAGGCUGACAUGGAGCGGGUUAGAUAGUGGAUAGCGAUCUAUUAGUGAAAGAAGGUAGAGACCUCGAAAGCUAUAAUCAUGUGGUCCAAGCUGGGACUAGUGGUGAGCAUUUGGUCAUUUCGGUCCAAAAUUGAACCGGACUUAAUAGACCGAGAACCGAACUUCGAUUUUUCCGGACUAGACCGGAACGAAAUAUUAUUAUAGACUGAACCGAAAUAAUUUUGUUUGGUAUGUCCGAGAAGAAACAAAAUCAUUUUAAAAAACAANUGAUGAAGUCUGUAAUUCGAAGUGUAAACCCAACGGAUUUGUGAUAUCCACUAAAUGAGCCCAUAUUGAUGGUUUAUAAAUGGCGGGUCUGCCACGACCCAUGACAAUUUCUGGGAUAAAAUCUUAUUAGAACAAAAAUNCUAAAAUAUGUGAUUUAAUAAAUAAAUUAAUAUUAAUUAAUCACCUCCAUUUCACCAAAAAUAGAUAUAAUUAAAUUUACAAAUUAAAAAUUAUCAUUAUAACUUGUAAGUAAGAUAUAUAUAAUUUAUAUAAUAUAAAUUAAUAUUAUAUAUUGUUUGGGUUAUUCUUCUAUUCGGACGAGACCGAAAUAUUUUUUUAAGAACCAAAACGAACCGAAUUUUAUAUAGGUGUAUUUAGUCCGGAUCGAAUAGACCGAAUUUUCAAAAAUUAGGAUCGAAUCGGACAGAAUUUAAAUGAUCCGGUUUAAUUUUUCAGUUUCAGUUCGGUUGUGAUCUAACCUUAGGACUGGUCGUGAGUCUGCAAUCCUGCCUCAUCCUCUUAAGGAGUGAGAGGAUCGAAGAAUAUAUGGAGUAGUUUUUAGGAGUGCCGACAAAGAACUUAGUGUAUAAAGCAUACUUUCUCCAAUCGUGGUCAUCUUGAAGUGAGGAAGCUAGACGGUCCCAAAGAGCCCAAGUAUGGUGUGCCCUCAGCAAGGCCUGGGUUAGCGAGCCCAAUUGCUAGCGAUCCCUGGAGGCCACAUCAUUUCUAGCAACCACCCCUCUCCUUGGGAAGGCUAGAUAAUUUCUCAUACUAGCAGCCCAUCUAUGUAGGGCAAUCCAUCGUAAGUGUAAACCCAACGGAUUUGUGAUAUCCACUAAAUGAGCCCAUAUUGAUGGUUUAUAAAUGGCGGGUCUGCCACGACCCAUGACAAUUUCUGGGAUAAAAUCUUAUUAGAACAAAAACUUAUACUACAUUCUUAGUUUCAUCCGAUCAUCCUUCCUCUCCUUGUUAUCUCCGCUUGAAACUCUACCUUCCGCAUCAGUCUCUCCUUCCUAAUUUACCUUCCGCACCCGCUUCUCUUCUUAACUUAUCAUCUUUUUAGUGUAAAAUUAUAUAACCACCAUCCACAACAAUCAUCGUUUUGAUCUUUUCGAUAUAUCAUAUAUCUGUUGAUUUCCUGUACAAUUCAUGCCUAAUCAGUAAGCCAUUAUCAUAUAUUUACUUCUUAUUUUGGAUUUAAUUUUGUUUGUACAUAUUUGGAUUAAAUUGAAAGUUGGAUUUAAUUGAUUUUUGAGUUUUGAUCUUUGAAUUCUGAUAUAAGAUAUAAAGUUUCCGAUGAAGCAUAAAUUGAUCAUGAUGUAAUGUAAUUACAUGAAAAGCCUCGGUGUCUCACAGUUUAAUCAUAUUUAAUCUUUUAGUAUAAUCUUUUUCUUAAAAUCAUAGAUUGUAUUCAUCUUUGUAUUUUUGAAUUAGUCCAUAAAAUUUUAUAUUGCAAAAAUAAUUUGAUGUUCAUCUUAUUUCAGUUUUGUGAAAGAAUUAUUCGAAAAUAAUGAAGAAAAUGAUCCAGUAUGACUUGAAAUCCAUGUCCUUGGGACAUGUACUACGGUAAUAUCUUUUAUGGUAACUAAUAUUUUGCACUAGUUAUUCAUUAAGUUUAGUAAAUUAUCUUGUUACAAAUUUUAUUAUAAAAAUUUUGAAUUAAUAGAUUUAUUUCGACAAAUGAUUAUGUUUUUAAUUGGUAAAGAAAAUUUGAUAUCAUAUAAAAACUCAAUUGGUGAGAAUCUUAAUUUCAAUUAACAUGCCAACUAUUUUUGAGAUAAAUACAUCAAUAAACAUAUUAUAAUUUUUUAUUGAGUGAUUGACACUUUGCACCCCUUAUGUUUAGGCACUUUUUCGAGUUCGUCUCAAACAAUUGUUUUUGGCAGUAUGCACCCUAAAGUUUGAAAAGCGCUUCGAUUUGCACCCCUUUGACCACUCUCCGUCCAUAGUUUUUUAAUUUUUUUUCAUGAGUAUUUUGAAAUAUAAUUUUUCAUAAAUGUAAGCCCUCACUUUCCCUUUGAAGUCUCCGCAGGUUUUGUGAAAUCGAGAGUCGAUCCAUUUUAAUGAUUCCGGCUCCAUGUUGCUUUCAGAGUAGGGCCAACUGACUUGCAGCUUAGAUGACCUCUUUGAUGCUUUCCGGAUUAGAGCAUAUAGUUAAGGCAUUCCAUCAUCUUCGUCGUAAACUGCCCAGACUUAAUUGGUUCUCUGCAAAUGAUUCUUUGGUUCUAUCAUUGUCAAAGUCAUGAAAAUGUGAUUCUGGAACCUCCAUAGUCUUCGUUAUAUCAUCGUUGGGACCUUCUGUUGCUGCGUCAUCUAUAGCAUCUGCAGAGCUGUGUUCAUUUUUAUCCCUAGCAGCAUCAUUAAGUUGAUGGAGCUUGUUGAGAAUUGUUGGAAACGUGUAUGGGCCUUAAACCAAAAACUUCGAUAAUAUUAAGAUGCAAACACACAACUUGUAUAUUAAUGUAACACGCAGCUACAAUACUUAUAAUUUUGCUACACACACUAGGCUUCAGCCUUACUUUUCUCUCAAAAGCUUCGGCUCAUAUAAUUUCUCUCUACAACUGCUGUUGUAGUUUUUCUCAGUGUGUUCUAUUUCUUCCUCCUCUAGCAGCCUUAUAUAUAGGUUACAGAUUACAACUUGUAACACAUAUUUAUUGCUGCUCUAGACUUUUAUCAGCCUGCCAUCUUUGACCUGGAGAAUGCUGCAGAUUGUCACCAGCCUGUGUUAAAGAGAGCCCACCUUAUAUCCAGGAGCUAUGUUUCUUUCUUUGAUCUCUCCUGUAGUCCAUACAUUCAAGUCUUCAUUGUAACUAGCUGCUUUAUUUUCUUCCGUUGAUACUACUACAUCGUACAUCUUAUAAACACCCAGCUGUUAUUUAUGACUUAAGUCCUACUUGCUUAACAGGAUAACAUUUGCAUUUAUAUCAGCUGCUAAUAUGGUCUUCCAUGUUAUCCGGUACACACAAGCUGAACUCCAUAACUCACUUAAUAGCCAACCAUUUAUUCCGCAUAUAUUCUUGCAGCCUACUAUAAUUUCAGGAUCACCUAGUUAUUAUAGUUAAUACGAGUUUGAAUUCUAACAAGAAUCAUAUUCCUAGCCUUCUCCAUUAAAAGAUUUUUAAUAUCAUACUUACUGGGAGCUGGCUGAAUUGAUGGUCUUGCUGAGGAAACUAUACUUGAGCCACUUGUACUAAAUCCUGAAACAAUGGACAUACCAGGAUCCGGCUGAAAUGAUUUGCAGCUGAGAAAAUUAACCUUGGGCCAAAUCCUAUAUUUCCCGAUACACUGUACAUACCAGGCACUGGCUGAGUUGAUAGCCUAGCGGAGGAAACUAUCAUCGCGUCAGUUUCUUUUUUUCCCAAUAGUUUGUUCACACCAGGGGCCGGAUGGAUUAAGCAUCUUCCAUUGUUUCCUAAUACAUUUUGGAUACCUGAAGCCUGCUGGACUAACGGUAUAACUGUGGAAACUGAUCGACCUCGCUCCACAUUCUUUAUUUUUCGGUACAUUGUCCACAUCAGGCGUCGGCUGUAUUGAAUUUGUAGCUGCAGAAAUUGAUGUUAAGUCCUCUCCAUUAUUUCCACGGAUAUUGUGUAGACCAGGUACUGGCUGAAUUGCUUCUGUUGCUGAUGGAAGUGGCUUUAGACCAAUUAUGUUUUCUCCUAUAGCAUCAUGAAAAACAGGUUCAGGCUGAGGUAACUGUGUAGAUGAGCUUGCCUGCUUCACAACAGAGGCAUUCUGUUACAGCUGCGCCAUCAGCUUCAAAGGGUGAGGACUUACAUUUAUGAAUAAAUAUAUUUCAAAUACUCAUGAAAAAAAAAUUAAAAUUGUGGGGUGCAAAGUGUAAACCCCACAUCUGUUAACUUUAACGGUAAAUUAAACGGAGUAUGGUCAAAGGGGUACAAAGCGAAGCGCUUUUCAAACUUUAGGGUGCAUACUGCCCAAAAUAAUUGUUUGAGACCAAAUCGAAAAAGCGCCUAAACACAAGGGGUGCAAAGUGUCAAUCACUCUUUUUUAUAAUAUGUUUCAUACUUUCCAAUUACAAUAUUAAUGUAAGUUCUAUCAUUUUAUAUUAUAUACUUUAAAGCAACAUUGUGAUGUGAAAAAUGUGACAUUGUGCAUGCAACCACCUCUUCUUUUCAUAUCUUAUCAACCACAUUGUUUUCUUCUUGUAUUGUAAGAGAUUUUUAGUUACUAUGCGUUUAGGUACAAAAUAUUUAUGACUUUUCCAAAUAUUAUGUGCCGGGAGGAUGUAUCAUGAGGUCAUAAUAUUUAUACUAUUUUGACUAUAAUUAUCUAUCAAAACAAAUUUUGGCUUAUAAGAUUUAAAAUUAAAAAAUUUAUAUCUUUACAUUGUGCUGACUUACAAAUAUUUAGUGUAUGUAUAAAUAUUGUUAUUAUUUCAUGAGUAUUAAAUGUUACUCUAAAUCCAUCAAAUAGAACAUAUGUCACAUGAUAAAUUUACUCCUUUUUACAAGUGGACAUCUUCAUUUAAGCAUUAAUGUGUUUUUUGAAAUUUUAUUUUUUAAUUUCAAUAUUUCAUCUUUAAACCACAUGCUUUCACUAAAAUAUGUUAUAAUAUAUUUAAAUUUUACAAUUAAGUAAUGUUGGCAGAUCCUCACUUUGGUAAUACUUUGUUGCUUGGCACAGUGAAGUGAUCUAGGAAUUACUCAGGACUGGGAUGCUAUCAGUGACAAUUUUAAGCUGUCUGUAGGCAACAUUAGUAGUUCAGCAUUGUCGAGUUGCAUCUCUGACGUCAGUCAAAUCCAAGCCCAAGGAAUCGAAAAACUUAGAAUUAAAAGCAAGAUUUCUUCUGUUGUUUCUGCUUCAAGGCUCAAACCAACAAACAAGAAAAGCAAUGCUGUUUCCGGACAUGUCUAGCGAUCACUCAGAAGAGUGCAUCCUGAAAUGGUACCAGUUUCCUCCAAACCCUUCAGCCAAUACAUAUUUGUUGGAUGGUAGGUCUUCCAGAUGCAGCUAAAGCUCAGAAUAAUUAAAGUUCACCGUACUCAUCAUCAUCGCCAAUCAAUUCAUCCUGGCGCUGCAUGAUUUGUGGAAGGGGCCAAAUGAAAAGAGACACGGAAGACUUUAACAAAAGUGAUCUGUAAGUGCAAACAGCGCGAACGUAUAUGUAAGUUACCUAGACUUUACAAUCAUCAUGAUGAAUGUAAUUACAUGAAAAACUCGAUGUGACACACUUUAAUGUGAUGUUCAUCUUAUUUCAGUAUUUGUGGGAAGAAUUAUCCGAAAUAAUGAAGAAAAUGCUCCAGUAUGACUUGAAAGCCGCGUCCUUAUCCUUGACAUAUGUACUAAAUAGGUAAUAUUUUUAAUGGUAGCUAAUGUUUUGUACUAGUUAUUCAUUUCAAAUUUAGUACAUUAUCUUGUUACAAAUUUUAUCAUAAAAAUUUAAAUCAAUGAAUUUAUUUGGGCAAUAAUUAUGUUUUUAAUUGGUAAAGAAAUAUAUAUAUUUUUAUUGGGAAAAUUAAUUCUAAAGUCCCUGAACUUUAGGCACUUUUUUUUCUAGGUCCCUGAACUAUAAAUGUCAAUUCAUAAGUAAUUCAACUCUUGAUUUUUUCCUACCCGGGUCUUUCCCGUUAGAUCUGGUUUGACGCCGUUAGUUUUUCCGGCGAACUUGGUCGGAAAAACUCAAAUCCGGUGAGCUCGAAUUUUCCAACGAGGCUAAUUUGAACACUAAAAAUCACGAAAAUUAUAUAAACAUGCUCAUAAUCACACGAUCUAUCAAUCUACAUCAUUAUAAUUCGAAAAAAAGCUAUUAAAAUGAAAACUAAUAUUCAACUCAAAAUUCGGAAAUUACCAAACUAAAUUUUGAUGGUAUAGAUGGAUAGGGGAUUGAAAAACGAGCAAUUUGAUUACUCAAGCUUCAAAUUUGGAUACCGGAAUCACCUUCAAAGUUAUCUUUGAUUCUCAUGAACUUAAGAAGAACUAACGGCGUCAAACCAGAUCUAACGGAAGGACCUAGAUAGGAAACAAUCAAGAGUUGAAUUACUUAUGAAUUAACAUUUAUAGUUCAGGGACCUAGAAAAAAAAGUUCCUAUAGUUCAGGGACUUUAGAAUUAAUUUUCCCUAUUUUUAUUUAAGCAUUAAUGUUUUUAAUGUGAUGUUCAUCUUAUUUCAGUAUUUGUGGGAAGAAUUAUCCGAAAUAAUGAAGAAAAUUCUCCAGUAUGACUUGAAAGCGGCGUCCUUAUCCUUGAGAUAUGUACUAAAUAGGUAAUAUUUUUAAUGGUAGCUAAUGUUUUGUACUAGUUAUUCAUUUCAAAUUUAGUACAUUAUCUUGUUACAAAUUUUAUCAUAAAAAUUUAAAUCAAUGAAUUUAUUUCGGCAAUAAUUAUGUUUUUAAUUGGUAAAGAAAUAUAUAUUUUUAUUUAAGCAUUAAUGUUUUUUAAAUUUUUUUAUUUCACCGUUUCAUCUUUAAACCACAUGUUUUCAUUAAAAUAUAUUAUAGCAUAACUACAAAUAAAUAUUACAGUUAAGGAAUGUUGGCAGACCCUUUCACUUUGUAAUACUUUCUUGUUUGGCACAUAGAAGUGAUCUGUGAAUAUCUUUUACAGAGUCAACCAAGAUGUGAUUUUCUUUACAAAACUCGAAAUGGUUAAAGAAGUUAUGCAUCUAAUUGAAUGCAAGGGUUAUGAAGUUCAAGGUAAGCAUUUAACUGAUUCUCAUGUGUACACUUGUCUUCUAACCCGAAUAUCACGUGACUGAAAAAUUGAAGCACUCUUUUUGUAAUCAGGUCUGCAUGCAUUUUUCUUAAUGAUGUUGAUCAGUUCAGAAUGCGUUGGCCAAGAAAAAGUAAUAUCAAAGUCAAUGGUACGUAACGCUCAACCAUGUAUAUGUAUAAAGGGUUAACGCACUAAUUAGAUCAUUUAGCUUCAUUUGAAUAUAUAGGUGGAUCACCUACAAAUUUUUGGUCUCAUCUGCACCCCUCAUUUCAUAUUAAGUUACAUUUUGAUAAGUCUCAUUUUUGCAAUUAUAUAGAGUGUUCUUUAUGGUAACUGGUUUUGUCCAUCCUGAUAGCAGGGGAAAUGGAGAAGGUAAUAGCCGAAAGAGGAUUCAUUUUGGCAGUGCUGCAUGAUUUGUGGAACUCCAUCUGCUAUCUGAUCCGCUGGGUCUGGCAAUGGAACUCCAGAAUCUGUAUACUUCUCAAUCCGUUAGUCCUCGAGGAAAGUUUAACUCGAUCUUUUGGCACCAGAUUUACUGGCGUAGAUAGUAGAUUCACCGCCCCAUUUGGACCAGGCGCUUCAGACGGCUGAGGCUGAAGAAAACCCUCUCCAAUAUUAAGAUCACCAUAAAGUUCAUCGUACUCAUGUUCAUCGCCAAUCAAUACAUCCUGGCGCUGCAUGAUUUGUGGAAGGGGCCAAAUGAAAAGAGACACGGAAGACUUUAACCAAAGUGAUCUGUAAGUAUAACCAGCGUGAGCGUAUAGGUAAGUAACCUAGAAUAUAAGAAUGUUGUACUAGAACUGUAUAUAUGUCAUUGCCAUAAACUUCUUUAACAACUUUAAUAUGUUAAACAUUUCUGUUGCAGCUCAAACUCGUCGCCUAAAAUUGAAAAGCUUAAUGCCCAAUGGAGUUUGGUUCUGCGAUUCACCUUGACGUUGGAUGAAGAACUGCCUCGUAAAACUAGUCUUUUAGGCUCUGGGAGCCAGCAUUCUAGGAACUUGGCAGCCAGUGUUUCCCUAAACAAUUUCACAGUAUUCUGGAUGAAAGUGCUCUGUUGCCUACCGGAAAACCAAAUACAUUAUCAUCCAUAAAUCCAUAAAUACAAUAAUAUGUCUUGACAUGUCGAGAAGUAUAGGAUUCCUGAACUAAUUACCAAAAGAAACCAUGGUAUUAUACAAUCAAGAAAGCUAAUAUCAGAAAACUAGGGUCGUGUUCCUCUUAGAACCCUUGGCCUAAGAAUCCUUAGAAACUUCUGGUAUUAAUAAGGGUUAUGCAGCAAACUGCACAUGUAAAAUGUUUCGUGUUUAUGUAUAAUAUUUUAAAAUUAUUUUUGAACAUACACAACCAAUGCAAAAAACAUGUAUUCAGAUUUAGAUCCUGAAAAUCUAUUUAAAAUUUGAGCUUCAAGGAUGAGGUCUCUCUUGAGCGCAACCCGAGAAAACCAUGGUAUUAUAUAGCAUGAAACGUUGAAUAAUUGAGAAAAACUGGAUAAUAAGAUUACCCCUCUGCAUGUUCUCUAAGAAUAUUGCCAACUUCUACAAGGGCUUCUCUCCACUUCUCCACCUUGCAUUGUGCCUCGCUUUAUGCUUUUCUAGUGCGAGUCCCUAAUUUCGCUGGUGUUUCGCGAAUUUAAACCUAAAAAAAAAGUGGUAUGAUAAAAUACCUGGAGUUCUUGUUGCGUUCAAGGAUGAGAACAAGUUCAUCAAGACAUCACGUAGAGUAAGCAUAAUUCUGGGAAAACACAAUUAUGGGCGCUUAUAGAGUUCUUGAUUCACUCUUUAAUUGUCGAAUACACCUCAUCUCCGACACGUAUGUCACUCUUGUCCAUGAAAGCUACAAAGCCUUCGGUUCAGCCUUUAAAGGCUCAUGUAGAAAGCAUGUGAACUUGUUGCGAGUUUCCCCUCCGAAGCUCAAGAAAACAUGAGAAAAUGAGGCUUCUUUAAUCAUGGUGAGAGAGCUCUUAGUGAAUAAACUAAUUUUUAGGAGGCUUUAAGAUCUGUAACCAUAACAUGGAAAGUCAACUACAUUGUAAACAUUGUCAGAAAAAACUUCUGAUAUAAAUUGACAAAUUAGUUGAAAUUCUAUGCUAAUAAAAUACAUCUAUUUAACGAUGGAACAAGUCAUUCUGUGGAAAUUGUACUCAUAUUAUGAUUAGCUGGAUUGCUUCCAAAAGGCAAACUAAAUGUGGGAACUCAACUAGGUAAAAUUUCACUUCAUCUCCUGCAUCGCAUGCAUGUCGGUGGUCAAAGAAACUUUACAUUCUGUGUGACCGGUCAAAGAAUUUCACCUCCCCCAUUUUUUUUCGAGGAAACUUUACAUUCUGUGAAUAAGAUAAUGUUCUAGAUGGAGCAGCAUGUAAAAUGUCCUCCAGAACUCAUUUCAAAUUUCUAUUUGCAGUCCAACUUGUUUCAAUACAUACAAUUAUUUUUUCAUGUAAAUUAUUAAAAACACUUUAUAUUAUCAGAUUUUGUUUGUAUAUUGAAUAUUCAUAGUCACACUUGUAGACAGAAAAUAGAGAGAAAGAUGAUUUUGAGAGGAAGAUUAAGUAAAGGAUAAAAAGGUUAAUGGGCAUUCAAAAUAGUUGUAGUCUUGACUCUUGUAUCAUAUUGUAAAAAAAUUGAUAAUAAAUUAGUUUUGAAUUGAAGUUAUUUAUCCUAAAAAUUCUAUUUGACUUCCAAAUUGACUAAACUUUUAUAAUGUAACGAUUUUCCCACCAACAAAAUUAAAUUAUUAAUAAAAUUAUUCAUUUUCUUUUUUGAAACUCGAACAAUUUAAUUUACGAAACACUUAUAUAACAUUGCUAGUAUGUUUCAGGAUUCAAAAAAUAAGGAGUUCAUAUUAAUAUUAUUAGUCAAAUCCAUAUUCAUACUUUAAAUAAUAAUAAAUUUAAUAAUUAGGGAAUUUACCAAAACUACCACUUUUUCUAGGGGUUUUUUGCGAUUUUACUUUCUUUUAAAAAUAUAUGCAUAAAUAUUAUGCCCUCCGUCCCAUUUUAUUUGAACCACUUUCCUUUUCUGGAUGUCCCAAAAAUAAAAAUAAUGAACCUUCUAUUUUACAACAUCUUUUUAAGAUUAUUACAACCACACAUUCAUAAACUACACUCAUUUAAUAUAUAUCCACUAACUCUCUUUGUGUGGUUGAAAAUGAGUCAAUCAUUCCUUACUUAAAAAUCACGCUGCUCAAACGAGCUCAAACAAAAAUGGGACAGAGUGAGUAACUUUUUAGAUAAUAUUUGCAAAAAAACGAUCUGCAAAUAGAUUCAACCAGAUUUAAGUUUAGUUAAUUGGCCUCGCAAGUGGUUGUAUACAAUAUUUUUGCAAAUAUUUUUAAAUAUUUGGUAUUUUGUAAAAUAUUUGAAAAAGAUAUAGUGUUUUUGUAAAAAAUAUUUUGGACUUAGGUGUUUUUGAGAAUACCCCAUUUAACUAUUGGACCAUCUCUUGCUUGUUGAUAAAUUUUGCUUUCUUCGUGGAGAUGUUAAAAUGUCCGAUUAUAAUCUCUAGAACUUCAAUUAUAGUCUAAACAAAGUUUAGUGGAUAAAGUGUUCAUAAGAUCUGAAUUUCACUCUAACCUAUAUUAGCUCUUUCACAAAAAUUGAGAGAGUCAAAUUAGCUCAAUUUGUUCGAACAUUAGAGAAUAUAUCUUUCUACCAUUAAACAGUUCUAAAAAUAAUUUUUAAUAACUUAUUAUUAACAAAAUACUUGUAUCAUGAAUAAAAUCAUAUAAGAGGUUGUAUAUAUAUAAGUAGGCUAGUGAUUAAAUCUCAAAUACAAACUAAAACCCCGUUUCAAAAUCACUAUUUACAACUACAUAAAUCACUAGUUUAUACUGCAUUAAUCACUGUUUUAUAUAGUAAAAUCUACAACUUUUAUUUUUCAUAAUUCAGAAAAUCUACCUAUUUUAACUAUUAGUUGUCGAUUAUUAAUGAUCAAUUAUAUGGUAAUACGAGGGUCAUAAUAGUAGUAAGUGAUGAAAGGAGGCGUGUGAUGGUGGUAAGUAUUCGCUAAUUGUGGUAAGUUAUGGUGGCAAGCGGCGAUGACUAUUAGUGAUGGUAGCCAGUGGUGUCCAGUUAUAAAAAAGUGUUGAUAAUGGUGGUAUAUAUAUAUAUAUAUAUAUAUAUAUAUAUAUAUAUGGGCAUGUUCCACAACCAAAGGUGGAUAAAUAUUAAAAUAUAUCCAACUUAUUUAUAACCGUCCAUUUAGCAAUGGACGGCCAGGAUUAAAACACAGCUACGCGAUUUAAAAAAGCGUAUACGCUAUAUCAUAUAGCGUAAAACAGGUCAGCCAAACCAUCCCCGUUUUUCCUUCUGGGUUUACGCUAUAUCAUAUAGCGGAGCCGGUUUAUUUUAGCGGAACCGGGUUUCGUUUCAUAUAUUGUAUAGCAUAUUGUGGAUAUUGAACAAAAAUCAACGAAAAUAACCCUAACCACCUCCGAAAACCACGAUUCUAAGGCGAUUCAAGGCGAUUCAAGGCACGUUCUAGUGAUUCAAGGCGAUUCAAAGCUAAUUCAAGGUAUGUAUAUGUCCGAUUUGUAUGUAUAUGCGUGUAUUUGUGUAUGUAUAGGUUUUUGUUUUCUUGUAUGUAAGAUUUGAUUUUGCUUUAUGAAUGUUUAUAUACAUCAAUGUAUGUGAAGUUUGAGUUUUUUAGCUUGAUUUUCUGUUCGAUGUUGUGUUUUUUGGUCGAAGUAUGUAGAAAUUGGUGAAGUUGAAUUUUUUAGUUUAAUUUUGAGUUUGAUUAAUUGGGUUUGAUAGUGUAGAUUUUGGAAAAGUUAGAAUUUUAGUUUGAUUUGGAGUUUAAUAUCGUAGAAUUUGGUGAAGUUGAAUUUUUUUUGUUGGAUUUUUGGUUGGAUAUUGAGUAUGAUAGUGUAGAUUUUGGAAAAGUUGGAAUUUAAUUUUGAUUUGGAGUUUAAUAUUGUAGAAUUUGGUGCAGUUGAAUUUUUUUUCUUGGAUUUUUUGUAUGAUAGUGGUGAUUCUGGAAAAGUUGGAAUUUGAUUUUGAUUUGGAGUUUAAUAUUGUAGAAUUGGUGAUGUUGAAUUUUUUUGUUGGAUUUUUAGUUAGACUUUUGAGUAUGAUAGUGGUGAUUUUGGAAAAGUUGGAAUUUGAUUUUGGUUUGGAGUUUGAGUAUGAUAGUGAUGAUUUUGGAAAAGUUGGAAUUUGAUUUUGGUUUGGAGUUUAAUAUUGUAGAAUUUGGUGAAGUUGAAUUUUUUCGUUGGAUUUUAUUUGGAUUUUGAGUUUGAUAGUGUAGAUUUUGAUAAAGUUGGAUAUUUUAGUUUGAUAUGGAAUUUAAUUUGGAGUUUGGUUUGUUGACGUUGAGAAUAAUAACAUGAUCUAAUUUUAUUUGUAGAUAUGGCGAAUGAUUAUUAUGGCCCAGUCGAUGAUUCUGUACUCUAUGACCAAGCUAAUCACAUAAGCACAACAAUCUGGAACGGGGGGUUAAGAGAAAAGUUGACAAUCCGUCAGAGUACAUCUAAUCUCGGCGAAUGGAAUUUACAUGAUUAUCAAGUCCACCUAUUGCGGCAAUGGGGAUUUGGGAUGUUUGUCAACCCAAAGUCGGUUAUGCAGAACGAUGUUUCCUUGAUCACAGCUUUAGUGGAGCGUUGGAGACCCGAGAUCAACACCUUUCACUUCACUUUCGGGGAGAUGACUGUGAUCCCCUCUACAUGUUCUCCAAGAAUAUUGUCAACUUCUACAAGGGCUUCUCUCCACUUCUCCACCUUGUCCUUGUGCCUCGCUUUAUGCUUUUCUAGUGUGAGUCCAUAAUUUCCUAGCUAGCUUUAUGUAUAAGAGCUCGUUUGCCGGACUUCAUGACUUAUAACUUAACGUGACUUAUGUAAUAAGCUGGGAGUUUAAAAUAUAUGUUUGAGUAAUUUUGACUUCUUAAGGACUUAUGAGUUAUUAAAAAUAUAAUAACAGAAAUAAAAGUGAUUUAUAGGUAAUUCAUGUCUUAUGAGUAAUUUUUUUUUUAAAAAGAGUUUUAAAAAUUCAACUCACCGAAAAAGUACCUCAAACUAACUUGUGGCUUCAAGUCAGUUUCUGACUUGAAGUUGGCUUCCAACAUAUUACACAAAUGGAUAUUUUUCAGCCUAAAGUUGAAAAUAAUUUUAAGUUCCGACUUUAAACCGGACAAACAUGCUCGAAAGAAUACUUCCCAAGCCUGGGUCAUCUUUAAGUGAGAAAGCGAGGUAGUCCCAACGAGUCCAAGUAUGGAGUGUAUUCUAGGGGUGGUAAUAUUGGACCCGACCCGACAACCCGACACGAAUUCGACCCGUAAAAUACGAAUUCGGAUUGGAGUUUUUCGGGUUCGGGUCGAAUUCGGGUUGACCCAAAAUCCACCCAGAAAAAAGGGACAUUUUCAAGUUGAUUUCGGGUUACCCGAAAUUGACCCGAAAAUUAAUAUAUAAUAUAAAUAUUAUAUAUAUUUAUAUUAUUUAAAAAUAUAAAAAUUAAUAUAAUUUAAAUAUUAUAUAUAUUUAUAUUAUUUAUAUUAUUUUUAUAAUAUUUAUUAGUUAAAUUUUAAUAAAAACUUAUUUAAUUAAAUAAAAAUUAAUUUAUUUGGAUUAAAAUAAUAUUUAUUUAUUAUUUAAUAAAUAUAUCUAUUAAUAAAUAUUAAUUUUCGGGUCAGGUUCGGAUUACCUGCGGGUAAUGUGGGUCUAGUUCGGGUUGGGUAUUCUGACCCAUUAAAAUUUCGGGUCGAGUUCGGGUUGGGUAAAAUUUUUGACCCGCGACUGUCAACUCGACCUAAACCCGACCUGAAACCCGAAAUUGCCAACCUUGUGUCUUCAACACAGCCUAGGUUAGCAAGCCCAAUGACUAGCGCCCAAAUAAUUUUUCAUAUUAGUGAUCCAACAUAAUUGUGAACCGAAGUGAGUUGUGAUAUCCACUAAAUGAGCGCAUCUUAAUGGUCCUUCAAUUGUGGGUCUGCCAAGGCCCAUGAGAAUAUCGGGAGUAACAUCUUAUUAGAACAAAAACCUAACCUAAAUUCUUAGUUUGAUACACCAUCUCUUCCUCUUCUUGUUAUCUCCGCUUGAAAGUAAAACUCUACGGUUCGCAUCAUCCUCGCCUUCCUAAUUUAUCAUUCUCACCCGCUUCUAUUAUCAACUUAUCAUCUUUUUAGUGUAAAAAUUAAAUCAACGCCAUCCACAACAAUCAUUGUUAUGAUAUUUUUCGAUAUAUCAUGUGUCUGAUGAUUUGUGUCCAAUUCAUGCAUAAUCGGUAAGCCACUGUCAUAUAUUUACUUCUUAUUUUGAAUUUGUUUUUGUUUGUACAUAUUUGGAUUAAUUAAUUGAAUGUUGGAUUUAAUUGAUUUUUGAUCGUGUUCUGAUCUUUGAGUUCUGAUCUAAGAUAUAAAGUUUUCGAUAAAGUAUAAAUUGAUCAUGAUGAUUGUAAUUACAUGAAAGCAUCAGUGUGACACACUUCACACUUUAAUCAUCUUUAAUCUUUCAAUAUAAUUCUUUUCUUAGAAUCAUAUAUUGUAUAUAUCUUUGUAUUUUUUAAUUAGUUCAUAAAAUUUUAUAUUGCAAAAAUAAUGUGAUGUUCAUCUUAUUUCAGUAUUUGUGGGAAGAAUUAUCCGAAAUAAUGAAGAAAAUGCUCCGGUAUGACAUGAAAGCCGCGUCCUUGUCCUUGAGACAUGUACUACGUAGGUAAUAUCUUUUAUGGUAGCUAAUGUUUUGUACUGGUUAUUCUUGUCGAAUUUAUUACAUUAUCUUGUUACGAAUUUUAUCAUAAAAAUUUAAAUCAAUGAAUUUAUUUUUGCAAUAAUUAUGUUUUUAAUUGGUAAAGAAAUAUAUAUUUUUAUUUAAGAAUUAAUGUUUUUUGAAUUUUUUUUAUUUCACCGUUUCAUCUUUAAACCACGUCUUUUAAUUAAAAUAUAGUAUAAUAUAUUCUUAGUUUAGCCCAUUUGUAGGAAGGGAUGUUCCUAUUGUUAGGAAUUGUUCCACAUCGGUAGUUGAAAGGGGAGAAGGCUAGAAUAUAAGCAGCGAGAACAACUCUAAAUAAAAUGAUGCCUUUUGGGAGGUGCCCAAAAACAAAGCCGUGCAGGCUCGGCCCAAAGUGGACAAUAUCAUAUUAUUGUUGUGUUAGGUGAAAUGACGAAGAGUUAAACAGUGAAAUAAACAUAAAUGAGACUACCAUCUAAUUAGACUUAUGUAUGGUCAAGAGCUAGUUAAAUUUAUAUUAAAAGAAAGAGUGAUUGACACUUUGCACCCCUUACGUUUAGGCGCUUUUUGAAAUUGGUCUCAAACAAUUGUUUUUGGCAGUAUGCACCUUAAAGUUCGAAAAGCGCUUCGCUUUGCACUCCUUUGAACACUCUCUGUUUAAUUGACCAUUAAAAUUAACAGAUGUAGUGUUUACACUUUGCACCCCACAAUUUUAAUUUUUUUCAUGAGUAUUUUGAAAUAUUUUUUUUCAUGAAUCAGAAAAUUGUUUAUCAUACAGUAAUUACCUUUCUGUGCUUAUGAAUCAACUUUCCGAUGCAGAUGCUCAAGAAAAUCCAGGCCUGAUGACUUUGAGAAGCACUGAUUUGUUGCCAUCCAGUUGGAUGGUUGUUGCCUGGUAUGUAAUCUUGUUGCAGAAAGAAAAACAUCAUAGAUGCAGUGUUGACAUGAGUCUAAUAGCUAGUUUGAGAACCCUAAAAUUACUAUAUAUGUUUUCUAUUUUGUCGGAUUUAGAGAUAAUUCAAAUUUUCCCUUCCAAGUCGUCAUUGCUAGAAUGCCAGAAAAAAAUGAUAAUUUUUAAUAUUUUGCGCUCUUUAUUUGUGAAGCAAGCGUUUAACCUGAGUAAGGAGAAUUGUCGUCUGUGGUAACUAUCAUUUAUAAUCGUUGUCACUUCGCCAGAAUUGUUGAAUAUUAUAAUUGUCAGAUUGGAAGAUUUAAACUAGGGCAGAAAUUGUGACGUGUAGCUGGCACAUGAAAUUUUAUUUCUUGCAUUAGGAACAGAAUAGGUAUAACACUUAUUCGCUACAAGAUUAAUUAUUAACAGAUCUUCUUGCUUCUCUUUAGGUACCCUAUAUAUCAAAUCCCUGUUAAACGAGUUGUGAAGGAGUUAGACUUAUCUGCAGCCUUCAUUACAUUCCAUACAUUGUCCUCCUUCCAUCAAGGUAAAAGGAUAUCUGCCACGCAGUUAAUUAGCUAGAUCUCCCUUUUGGUUUGUAUUAUAUGAGUCAGCAACAAACAUUACAUUUCUAAUUUUCUUCAUUGUUAUGCACCCUAAAGUUCAAUGAUGACUCCAGGCUCACAACUUUACGCUGUAUGUAUGUGUGUGUUUUCGCGAGAUAUGCUUAAUAUAAAUCAGUGAUAUGUUAUGUAAAAAUUAGUGAUUUCUGUAGUUAAAAAUAAUUAUAGGAAACUGACCAGAAACUUGUUUUUAAUUUUUGGGCUAAUUUGGUUUGUAUUGGAGUAGGACUUAUAUACUCUAUUCCACACACCCCAUUGUUAUUUCUCACGCAUCUUUUCUUGUUAUCGCACAUCCUUUCAAUCUCUUAUCAAAAUAAAAAUUAAUUCUACAUUCAUCAUUUCAUACAAUCGUCCCUUCAUCUUCUUAUUCUCUCUGUUACAAAUUCCACCUUCCGCAUCAGCCUUUGGUUCAUAAUUUACCUUCCGUGAGCUGAACUAGCCCAUGACUAGGGUGGGUUGCAGCCCAGCCCAAAACAUAUUUUUAUAAAAUUUAUAUAUAUAUAUAUAUAUAUAUAUAUAUAUAUAUGUAUAUAUGUAUGCGGGCCCAAUAUAGUUUCGGUAGCCCAAAAAAUCAAAACCUAAUUCGGUAGUGCAGCUAUGCUUCUCUAGCAAACUAAACCUAAUUCUAGUCUUCAUAGCCCACAUAAUUAUAAUCGCCUCUACUCCGCCGCUGCCGCUUUUUCUCCGAGCCUAGGCGGAUUCCAAAUCCUGGUUCCGCCCCUAGUUCUGUAUCAGCCUCUCUUCUUAAUUUAUCUUUUUUAGUGUAAUCACUACAUCACCAGCAUCCACAACAAUCAUUGUGAUAAUCUUUUCAAUAUAUCAUAUAUCUCACGAUUUGUGUCCGAUCCACGCCUAAUGGGUAAGCCAUUACCAUAUAUUUACCUUUAUUUCGGAUUUAUUUUUAAUUUUACAUAUAUGGAUUAAUUAAUCCAAUGAUGGAUUUUAUUCUUGAGUUUCAAUCUAAGAUAUAAAUUUUCCAAUUAAGCUUUAAUUUAUAUUCUUCUUUUUUUAGUGUAACCACUAUAUCACCACCAUCCACAACAAUUAUUUUCUUGAUGUUCUCGAUAUAUCAUAAAUCUGACGAUUGGCGCCCGAUUAAUUCAUGCCUAAUCUGUAAGUCAUUGUCAUAUAUUUACUUCUGAUUUUGGAUUUAUUUUUAUUUGUACAUAUACUGGUUUAAUUGAAUGUUGAGUUAUGAUUUUUGAGUUCUGAUCUAGGAUAUGAAGUUUCCAAUAAAGUCUCAAUUAUCAUCAUUUUAGUAUAAACACUACUCCUUCCGUCCCAUGUGAUUGUUUGUGUUCACCGUUUGCACGCAUUUUGAGGUUCCUAUAACGUCUCAUUCCAUAACCUUUUUUUUUUGAAUAAAAGUUUAAAUGACAAAAUUUUAUUCAAGGAAUUUUUUAAAAAAUUAUUAUGAAACAAUACUUUAUAGGAGUUUCAAAAUGCGUGCCAAAAAGUAACAUAAACAACGUGCUAGGACAGAGAGCGAGUAUAACGAAUAGAGCUGCUUGUAAAAUGUCCUACACAACUGAUUUCAAAUUUCUAUUUACAGUAUAGCUUGUUUUCAAUAUAUAGGAUAUGAUUAUUUUUUCAUGAAAACUAUUAAAAGCACUUUAUAUUAUUAGAUUUUGUAUUGAAUACUUAUAGUCACACUUGUAGACAGAAAAUAGAGUGAAAGACUUUGAGUGGGAGAUUAAGUAUAGGAUCAAAGAGGUUAAUCGGCGUUUAAAUUAGUUGUAAUCAAAGAGGCUAAAAACUCUAUUUGACUUCCAAAUUGGCUAAAUUCUUACAAUGUAACGAUUUUCCUACCAACAAAAUUACACUGUUAAGAAAAUUAUUCAUUUUCUUUUUUGAAACUCAAACAAUUUAAUUUACGAAACACAUAUAUAAAAUUUCUAUUAUGUUUCAGAAUUCAAAAAAUAAGGAGUUCAUUUAUUAUUAUCAGUCAAAUCCAUAUUAAUAUUAUAAAUAACUAAUAAAUUUAAUAAUUAGGGAAUUUACCAAAACUAUCACUUUUUCUAGGUUUUUUUUGCGAUUUUACUAUCUUUUAAAAAUAUUUCCAAAAAUAUUAAUUUUUUAGAAAAUAUUUGCAAAAAUACGAUAUGCAACUAGAUGCAACCAAAUUUUAGUUUAGUUAAUUGGCCUGGCAGGGAUUGCAAGUAUGGUUGCAUCUGGUUGCAAGUAUAAUUGCAUGUGGUUGAAUACAGUAUCUUUGCAAAUAUUUUUAAAAUUUUGAUAUAUUUGUAAAAUAUUUGAAAAUGAUGUGGUGUUUUAGUAAAAAAUAUUUUGGACUUGGGUAUUUAUGAGAAAACCCCAUUUAACUAUGUGACCACCUCUUACUUGAUAUUUCUUCGGGAGAUGUUAAAAUGUCCAAUUCUAAUCUUUAGAACUUCAAUUAUAGUCUAAACAAAGUUUAGGAGGUAGAGUGUCCACAAAAUCAAAAUUUCACACUAACCUAUAUUAGCUCUUUCACAUAAAAUGAGAGAGUCAAAUUAGCUCAAUUUUUUCAAAAAUUAGAAAAUAUAUUUUUCUACCAUUAAGCACUAAAAUUGAUUUUUAAUAAUUUGUUAUCAACAAAAUACUUCUAUCAUAGGAAUAAAAUCAUAUAAGAGGUUGUAUAGAUAUAAGUAUAUAUUUCAUUCCAGACACCCCAAUGUUAUUUCCCAUGCAUAUCGCACAUCCUUUUCAAUCUCUUAUCAUAAUAAAAAAAAUCAUUCAACAUUCAUCACUUCACACAAUCAUCCCUUCAUCUCCUUAUUCUCUCUAUUUAAAAUUUCACCUUCGGCAUCAGCCUCUGGUUCAUAAUUUAUCUUCGGUACAGGGCCAGAACUAGCGUGUGGCAGCGCGGCCCAAAUUUUUUUUUUUUUAUAAAAUUCUAAAUAUCUUUGCUGAGUUUCAGCCGAAGUAGCCCAAAAAUCCAAACCCUAUUUUAUGCUUCUCUAUAUAAACACCUCGGUUAUCUCUAUUCUUCACUGCACAGUUAAAACCGCCACUACUCCCCUGCUGCCGCUCUGUCUCCAAAUCCAGGUGGAUUCUAAAUCCUGAUUCCGCCCCUGCUUCUCUCUUCUUAAUUUAUCAUUUUUAGUGUAAUCACUACAUCACCAUCAUCCACAACAAUCAUUGUAGUGAUCUUUUCAAUAUAUCCUAGCUAGCUAUAUCUGACAAUUUGUGCCCGAUCCACGCCUGGGUAAGCCAUUGCCAUAUAUUUAAUUUUUAUUUUGGAUUUAUUUUCAGUUUUACAUAUUCGGAUUAAAUCCAAUGAUGGGUUUUAUUUUUAAAUUUCAAUCUAAGAUAUAAAAUUUCCAAUUAAGCCUAAAUUUAUCUUCUUCUUUUUUAAUGUAAACACUAUAUCAACACCGUCCACAAUAAUCAUUUUUAUGAUGUUCUCGAUAUAUCAUAAAUCUGACGAUUUGUGCCUCAUUAAUUCAUGCCUAGUCUUCAAGUCAUUGUCAUAUAUUUACUUCUUAUAUAUGGAUUUAGUUUCAUUUGUACAUAUAUUGGUUUAAUUGAAUGUUGGGUUAUGAUUUUUGAGUUUAAGAUAUGAAGUUUCCAUUAAAGUCUUAAUUAUCAUCUUUUGAGUAUAAACACCAAUUCCACUGGCUCAUGUGAUUGUUUACAUUCAUUGUUUGUAAGCGUUAACAACCCUCUGUUUGUCUAGCCGUAGAUUACCCGCAACAGUUUGGGACUUCCCAGCUUUAAAAUGUAUAGAAGUACGUGGCGGAGAAUUACAUAUUCUCUGCGCCUGUUAAUAUACAGAAUCAAAGCAUAUGUAAGUUACCUAGAAUAUAAGAAUGCUGUACUAGAACUGUAUAUAUGUCAUUGCCAAGUAAAAUGAUUAUGAGAUUGUUGGAUAUAAUAUAUGUUUUCAGAAAUUCUUCUAAAAUCCAAAAUUUAAAAGUAUUUUACUGAAGUCCUAACCACCCUACAUCAACUCUAUGAUUCUUAAACUUAAUUUAGCUAGAGUGUAUAAAAACACAAAAUCACUUGCAAUCUGCUAAAAUUCAUAAAUUGUUAUUAAUUUUUUAAUAUCUGAAUUAAGCACCCCUCUUAUUGUCUAAUUUUGACUUCUUUUUUUUUUUUUGUCAGGUGUCUAAUUUUGACUUUAUUCCUUCUGAAUGUGUUCAAUUUGUAUUUUCAGAAUGCUAUUAACAUUUAUCUUAUGUCCCUGCAUGUAUAUCAAUGUCAAAGUAAAAGGAAGGAAUAUAAAUGAAGGAACAAAUUGAGAAAAUCAAAUUACAAGAUGAGACUCUGAGUUGUCUACUUUAUUAAGGCAGUAAUGAUAAAAUUUAGUAAAAAAACUGACACAAUACCCUAAAAGAAAUACGCUAUAGGUUCUCCUACCAAGAUAUAAGUUCGAUCCUGGCUCAACUGAGAACUAUUAUUAGAAGAAGUACAAAUUGAAAUCAGUAUAAUUAGCCAGAAAGAUUAAGACCUUCCAAGAACUCUUCAUCACAUUCCAAAGCCGUCAUGAAAUGCGGAGGCAAGCAAAUAUCAAGAUCCAUGCUUCCUCCUCCUUCAGUCCCCGGAUACAAUGAAACUUUUCCAUCAAACUUAUCAGCACAUCCGCUCCGAAUUGCCACAGCUUUUCCAAGUCCGAAUUCAUUUCCAAACAUGUCAAACCGCGGUGAGCCUCCAAUCAUAAUGCUACACCGAUCAAAAAAUUGCCCGGGUUGGUAUACCGAAGGACUCUGCAGCCAAUCUGCUAUGAAGUUCUUUAAUGCCUUAUCAUCUUGUUCAGCCACAGUUUUGUGCACUAGCAAAGCAGCCCACUCGAAAUCAUUUAUCAGCAGGUUUCCUGCUGUAGUCGUAGCUCUCACCACCUGAAUACAGUUUCCAAAGUAAUUCUGUGACAAUGGAGGAUGUAAUCUUGCUCUGUUAUUCAUAGCCAGUUUGCAACCUGUGAUCUGAUCAUGUGGUAAGCCUCGAACACGAGUCAUACAUCUCCACAUUAAAGCAGACAAGGCCUGUAAACUUGAUAUCGUAGUGCUUUUGUUUAUGCAUUUAGCGUUUGCCUUUGCUUUGAGCCUUGCCAAGGCUGCGGCUUGAAAUUGAAAAAUCCUUUGUUUAAGCUCUGGAGCAUCGUGCCUGCUUAAGAAUUGAUCGGUAUGAGUGAAAGGGAGGCUAAUAACAGGAUCAUAUCCGUCAGGGACCCAGCGUUCAUGAAUAGGUGGCCGUGUGAUUUCUAAACCCUGAUCAUCAAUAUCUUUCAUAAAAACUUCUGAUAAAGUGUUGAAAAAAUGCCAGUAAGAGGUGCCAUCAAUGACAGAGUGGUUAAGCGAGCAUCCAAUGAAAACGCCAUCUUUUAGCUCGGUGACUUGAACAGUUAACAACGACACCUUGUGACCAUCGUGAUUAAUUGCCCUGUUAUGAUAAAAAAAAGAUUCAACGACUGAAGGCACAUAAGUUGGUGACAGAAUAUCAGAAAUCAUCAAGUCCACUUUCGCGUGGACAAAUCUAGCACCAGGGCUAUUAACACAAUCUAUAAACACCACAUAAGACUGCGGUGAUUCUUCCUUUUUUGUCACAAGGCGACCUGCAAGUGGAUAAAAAUGCACAAGAGUAACAGAGAGGGAUUUUUUAAGCUUCUGCACAAGGACCUCAACUGAAUUUUCUCGAUCAUUUGUUACCAUCGGUUUCUUAAACAAAAGACCCUUUUGGAUGUAAUAAACUGAGAGCAUGGCAAGAUCAAAGGGCCCUAAAUGAAAUGGGUGUUUUGCCUUUUGGGGCAAAUCAGAUGGUCUGAUCAAACAUUCUGAUACGAGCUCAACUGUUUCAGAGUACAUUUUGUUCUAAGAAUGAGAAAGUGGCUUAUGCAGCUUAAGAGACUCCAGCUAUUUAUCUAUCCAUGUAUAUAUUUUACUUAAUGUUAAUACUUCUUCUGCUCCAUUCAUUUUUAAACAUUUUCUUUUUCUGGACCUGAGAUCUAAUGAUAUAUAUCCUCAAAUUGUCUCAUCACUUCACCAACUUUUCUUACAUUCUUUCGCUGAAUUAUAUUUUUUUUAAUCUAUGUGUCCUACCCAUUUGUAGAUGUAUAUUGUCUCAUCACUUCACCAACUAAUAAUGCUCUUCACAGUAGAAAAACUGCAAGAUGUAGAUGCAUGUGUUAGAAAUUCAAACUCUCCGAUAAUAUAAUACAGCUACGGCGACUGUGUUCAGGGAUAUAAAUGGAAGCAGCUCCGUGUGUGUAACGCAGCAGCAGUAUAAUACAAGACUUAUCAGUUUGCAUACAAGCCUCAAGCCUGUAAAUAGUAGAGUUCCUGUAUAAGAUGAACCCAUAUAUAAUUAGCAAAAGAAAGUAAAAAUGAACUUAUAAUUGCUUGGAACCAGUGUUAGAAAAAAGGAGAAUCAGAAUUAAUCGAUGAAGUUACGGAACAAGCAUUAAUUGAAGAUUAAUUAGAUUGAUCAAAGUCUAAUCGGAUGAUUAAUUGAAUAAUCAAAUAUUUAAUCAAUUCAGUAAGUUACCAAACAGGGAUUAAUGAGUGAAUUUUUUUAACUUUUUUUGUGUCAAGGGAUUAAUAGGUCUUAGAACAGAGCUUCGAACAAAUAAACUUGCAAACUGGCACGUGAAUAUUAGGGGGGCUGCAAGAGUUAUUCAACCUUGUCUUUAUAUUCCAUAAAGGCGAGCUGGUCAAUUGUUUGUUCAUAAUAAUAAAUACGAUCUUCUACCUCUUAUUUUCUUAUAAUUUUUUCACUAACACAAAUUUUAGGAUAUAUAUCAAAUAUAGCUGUAUAAUUUAUUUCAAAAAAAUUCUUGUAAUAAAAAUAUUUAAAUAUUAAAUUUUAUUCAAAAAAUAAAUAUUUAAAUAAUUUAUAAAUUAUAUCUUAUAAAAAUUUGAAAUAUUAUUCCUCAAAUAAACUACUCCUAAAAAGACACAGGGGGAUUGAGUAUAAGACGUAUGGGAUCGGCCAAUUCAAUAUGCAAUUACAGAUCUUUGAUUAUUUUUUUUUGACAAAACAGAUUUUUGAUUUUUUAAUGUUCAAAUAUGUUGUGUACUUCCGUUAAAAGGGUCUUGUUUCGGGACAACCGUAUGUGAGAGAGGGCUUAUCUAACACACUCGGAGCUGUUGGAUCUAUAUUUUAAGGGCUCAGAUUCAAUCUAAGUUUUUAAUGAAUCCGCUCUUUAUAUCCGCGGACCAUAAAAGUCGUAUUCCGCGAAUAAUAUUCGUGGAAAGGCGAACUCUCGUUUCGUGGAUAUUUAUAGCGGAUCUAUUAAAAAAUGAGACCCGUAUGUCAUCCGAACACACAGUUGUCAGGGAAAAGCACUCCGUCAAAACUAAAAAUAUGUCGUACAGAUUUGGAGUUGGUGGGUCUGCGCAAAAUAAUACUAGUAGAGGAAAGUUGGUGACAUAUUCUUAAAAUACUGUAUUUGGCAAAGAUUUAUUUUACAAAAUAAGAUUUACGUAAAAUAUAUUUUCUUUUAAUUCUUGUGAAUUUAAAUAUUGAAAAUUAAGUUAUUUUAUAUUUAUUAUCCAACAAUAAUAUAAGAGCUUAUUUCGGGAAAAAAAAUAAAAUUUUAUAUAUUUUUUUCAAAAAUAAAUUCUUAUUUCUUUUUUUUUUUUUGAAACGAAUAAACUCUUAUUUCUGAUUUAAAAUUACUCAAACAUCUCAUUACUAUUAAAUCGAAGGCGAUUGUAAGGACAAGUAUAACACAUAAUUAUUUAUAACAUAUACUCAUUCCGUCUCACUAGGUUGUAUACAUCGAGGAAAGGAGAGCCCGCACAUAUUUUAACGCUACGUUAAAUUGUAGUUGAAUAAAUAAUUUUUACCUUUUUAUUUAAAUAAAAUUUAAUGUUUAAAUUUUAUUAAAAAGAAAAAAUCAUAAAUAAAUUAUGAAAAUGUCAUUAUAUUUAUUUUAAAAUACGUGUCAAAUAUGGAAAGAGAAUUUUUAUACAUGUGAAUGGGAAGGAGAGGACCGGUGAAUAUAGAAAUGAACACCGCUGUCCUCAAAUUCAAGUGUCUUAGUUAGAACUAGUUGACAAGCCGCGCCUUACGGCGGCCUAUAAAAAUUAUAUUAAUGAUUCAAUAUUAAUAUUUGUAGAAUAAAAUAAUUUUGUGGCUGUCUAUAAAAUGUAUAUUAAUGUUUUAAAAUUAAUAUUUGUAGGAUAAAAUAAAUUUUAUAUUACAAAAAUCUUGAUGUAAUACCAAUACUAAUAUAUAAAAUAGCAAAAUUGGAAUAUAAUUCAUGGUGUAUAUACGUAUUAACAAUUUAAAGCACGACGAAUCUUAAUUUUAUUUGUGUUUUUUAAAAAAGUAAUCAUGUCAUACAUUGUCACCUUCCUCCAAUUUUUUAGAUUGAUUGUGCAUAAAAACAUCUAACUUAAAUCCGUGAGAUAGCGGUCUAUAAUUACCCAACAACCUUUAUUUUUUAAUAUUGUAUAAACAGCCUUCACUUAAAAGUUGAACGUAGCAAACAGAUUAUGCAUGAAUAAUUUUUUCUUGUAUACAAAGUAAAUCAUAUAAAAAUUAACAACAACAAACAUGUCUGAUGAACAAAACAAAUAUUAUAAAAGAAUAACCAACAAAUAUACAUCACUAAUAGUUAAUUAAUUUAUUGAUAUCAUCCAUCAAUAUCAUAUCAUGUCAAGACUAUAUUUUUUUCCCGUGCUUGGAUUUGUCGACUCCCACAUAGCGAUCUAUAUGUACCUUUGCUUGCAACAACCUUUUUUAAUACUUUAUAAACAACAUUCACUUAUCGUUGCAGAAGAACGGCACCACUGAGUUGGAAAUCGAGCAAGAGAACUAUCAUCAGAGAAAAGUAGGAUUGUGGUAGUAAAAGAGAGGUGGUUGUGUUUAGAUGAUCCAAAACCCUACAAUUUACAGGGGUAUUCAUAGGUGCAGAGAGACUUGUAUGCUACCUUUUUUAAUACUGUAUAAACAGCCUUCACUUAUCGUUAUUUAUAGGUGCAGAGAGACUUGUAUGCUACCUUUUUUAAUACUGUAUAAACAGCCUUCACUUAUCGUUAUUUAUAGACGGCACCUUCGAGUAAGAAAUCGAGCAAGAGAACUAUCACCAGAAAGAGGUAGGGUUGUGGUAUUGAGAGAGAGGAGGUUGUGUUUACAUGAUACCAAAAUCCUACAAUCUAUAGGGGUAUUUUAUAGGUGCAGAGAGACUUGUGUGCUACUCUUCCCCAUAAUUAAAUAAUCUGAAACAAAAUCAAAUUAAAACUUUCAAGCUACUAUAUUUCAUAAAUUAUCUGAAACAAAAUCAGAUUCUGAAACUUGCUUCUAAUAUACCUGAAACUAAAAAAGGUACUUCUAAUUUUUGAUAUUUUUCAUCAAAAAGUUCCGCAAAAUUAGAAAAAUAGAACGGAGCAAUGUGAGAGACGCCACCUACACGCCCCUCGCUUCUCCUUUAUAUAAGUAUAUUGAUUAACUAAUUAACUAUUAUAAACUUUAGCUUAUAUUUAUAUUACAUAUUUUAUAUAUUUAAAUUCAAAACUUUUGAAACACUUAAAUUUAAGGGGUUAAAACAACAUUCAAAUAUAUAAACCUUGACACCUCUGAUCAUUUACAUAAAAUAAUUUAUCUUAUUUAUAAAAAAAUCAUAAUUAAUAACAAAUUACUUAUACGAAAAAAAUAUGUUAUUUUAAUAUACUUAGUUUUUGUCUAAAAUAAUUAUUUAUUUUCAAUUUUUGUUAUAAAUAUAAAAUUUUAUUUGAUGUAUUUUUCUGGCAACACUGAGUUAUAAGGAUGUAAUUGAGCGGAGUCAAGUCAAACACUAAUAGGCUCAACUCGAGCUUGAAUAAAAGGUUCGGAAUUCGAGCUUGACCUCGAGUUUGACCGAGUCUUUAAUUUCAAAACUCGACUCGUAAACAGUUCGAUAGGCUCGAGCUCAGCUGUAUGUGUUUGAGUCUUGCGGAGGUGCCCCACCCAACUUGUAGCUUAAAAUUAAAAAUAAUAAUUAAAACCGACCUACACAAAAUAUCUGAUAGAAAAAUCGACUGACACUUAAAGGUCGGCUUACAAAUAAUGACAUCAUUUUGCUGAGUUGACAAGAUUUUGAAAAAAUUAAACCGAUCAAAGCCACUUGGUCGGUUUUAAUGUUGCACACGAAGACGUUUCAUGUUAAGUGACAUAAAUGACCACCUGAUUUAGUAUUGGUCGAUUUUGUCAUGACUACAAAAAUCCAGCUUUGAUUUUCAUUUUGUUGAAAAAGUGAACAAAACACAGAUUCCAAAAGGGAAUAAAAAGAAGAAAAGGGAGAAGACGAGGAGGGGGGAGGGGCGGGAAGGACAGAGAAUCAAAUAUCAAAACAAAGAAGCUAUUUUUCUUAAUUCAUGUUUAUAUGCAUGUCACUUAUUUCAAUUUUUUUAGAUAACUUGUGUUAUAUGUGAUAUUCAUGCAUAUGUAUAUAUAGAUUCAUGUAGAUGGCCUGAUCAAAGUUGGAUAUGUAUAAACUACAAAAAGGUAAAUUACUGCCAAAGCUAUGUGACUGCCAAAGCUCAUUAGCGGCCACUCUAACCAUUACUUAGCCCAGCAAAUCAACCGUAUUAAAAGACAGUGGUCGGUUUUACAAAUCAAAGAUCAAGCAAGAAUAAACUCGACCACUUAUCAGUCAGUUUUAGUGCUUAUCACAACGAACUGGAAUAAACUCGACAAAUGGUUUAUAACCGACCCCUGUCAGUCGGUUUUAUUGAUAAACCCGACCACAAUGUCAUAACCGACCACUUUCUAGUCGGGUUUAAUGCUUGCCAAAACCAACUGAAAUAAACAUAAUAUUAGUCUGUUUUAUUCUUUGUGUAAACUUUGACCGGUCAAUCCUGCGCAACUUAUAACAUACCACAACACGGUCAAUUAUAUUGACCCAUGUGGAACUCUAUUUUCAUGUGGUAAAGUUGGACCCACAAGUUGGGAGUUUUUGUUUCAAAUUAAACCGAGCAUAACGUUAGUUGGUUUUGUUAGUUAAACACACCAAGUUGGCUAAACCGACCACCUUAGUUGGUCGGUUUAGCCAGUAAAACCGACCGUUUUUAUAUAAAGUAUAUCACUAUUGAAAAUUUCUAGUUAUUUACUCGAACUUGCGUAUCUUAGUAGCCAUUGGUCUAGUCUAAGAAUUAACCCGAAAAUACCUAAUCUUGAAAAUACCUUGUGAUUGUUCCUUUAAAUUACAUAACAUAAAGAAAAUCAAGUCAUAUUAGUUUUAAUAAAGUUAGAAAAUUAAUAAGAAAGAGAAACGGUAGUAACAUCCCAUGGCAAGGUAUUGAAGAUACUUGAUCAAAACUCUUGCUUUAAUAAUGUCUUGCUAGGAAAAUAACACUGAGAAAGAGGUAAUGUCCUCCUUUCUAAUGGCGUAAAGGCCUCAGAUUUGAUGGAGCUAGUGAAUCAACAAAAAGUUUGAAUUUUCUCACAAUUUUAUCAAUUAAUAUAAAAUUUCAUGAAUAAUAUUUUAUAAAAAAUAAAAAGUCAUAUCUAUUUAUAAAGGACAGUUGGAUACUAUUUUAAACUACAACUUCAAAUAUGUAUGACAAUUUACUAAUACCGACUCGACUUGCCUUUAAAUAGAUUUCUCAUUCACAAUUAAAUCUAUAAAUAAUAUUAACAUUAUGAAAUAAGCAAUUAUUCUAAUGAAAAUAUAAUUUGUAAUAAUAUAUGUAUGUAGGCAAUUGCUCAAAUAGAAACCACUAAAAUAAAAACUAAAAUGGAAACCAAGAGAAAUUAUAUCUAAAGGACCUCACUCACCUCCUAUAUGUCAUCACCCACCACCUAUAUGUCAUCACCCACCUAGGGCCCACCCUCACCCCCACUCAAUCCAUCCGGGCCCGCUAGGGCCUCGCCAAGGCUCCUCACAUGCCCUGGACAGGCUCUAGACAGUCUUAAAGAGUCAAACCUUGACCCCACCAUGGUCCCACUAGGCCCCGACCCGGCCCUAUUAGGCCCCACUUAGACGUCGUCUAGGCCCAUCUCGGGGUUCAUCCCCGGUCUCAAAACCCGCAUCAUUCUACUUAAUCGCAUUGGUUUCCAUUUAGUUUCUAUUCUAGUAGUUUCUACUGGAGUAGGACCCUAUGUAUAUAUAUACACACAUAUGUAUACAUGAUUCUAACUCGUGUAUAUAUAUAUAGACACAAACACACACGCGCAAAUGCAGUGUCGGAUCUAGGAUUUUAACAAGAAGGGGGUUUCAUUAAUAUUAAAAGCAAAUGAGUGAAGUUGAAUCUUGCGGAAGGGAGGACGCAACGAAGUAUUGACUACCGAAGUCGAGCAAGAGCAGCAAAGCAUUAUUUGUUUUCUUUUAAUUCAUUCACUUCACCCGUGAUAGCGAGAGAACGUUAGGUAUAAUAUAGUAGAUUACUUAGUCAAUGGACUGGGUUUGCAAUAAAAAUGGGCGGGUUCAAAAUAAUUGGGAUGGGCUCGUUUAUAAAAUACACCAAUUUUAGAAAGAAAAUUGAAAUUACUCUAUGGACUCAGGGGUGGGCUCUCAAGCCCCUUGAGCCCCAUAUGUAUCCGCCACUACGCAAAUGUAUACAUAAAUUCAAUGCUAGCGCUAUUAUUAUUUCAUUAACAUCUUCUCUUUUCCUUUUCACAACCUUUUAAAUAUCUUUAUGAAGAAACUCUUGUAACAAUCGCCUUUCGCAAACCUCUAUGCAUUUGUUGUCGACCGAUUUAUAGCUAAUUUGUGAAUCGGCGCCUAAUAUAGCUUAAUUUUUCUUAUUACAUUUACGAAACCUCCGAUCCUCCUCACUUUUGUCUAGUUUUAUGCAAUCUAUUUCCGAUCUAGUUGUUAUACUAAUUACAAAGCAUCUGAGCGGUGUGACUUUUUUCAGAUGCAAUCGGUGAGCUCAUUAAAUUAGAAUUCAUUUAUAUUUUUUUAUCAGUUUUGUUUGGAUAGAUGCAUAGAUUUAUAUUUGGGGUUGAUGCUUUUGAGUUUCGAUGUAGAUCUGACGUUUGUAAAAUUGAUCUCUUAAAUUUUAGAUCGUAAAAUUAAUUAUUAUGUUCUUUAUUUUUUCCAGCUCUUGCAUAUAUGGAAUAGUUAUCAUAAACAAUGAAGAAAAUGCUUCAAGAACAUUUCAUUCUCAUCACCUUCUUUAGAUGUGGGAAUCGAGGUAAUUUUUUAUUAUAUUGGCUUAACUACUUUUUUAUAUAUGUAUUACAAAUUAUUAAUACCAAAUUUGUUGAACUGAUUUUUUUUCAUAUUUUGUCAUAAGGAUUUAAAUUAAUAAAUUUGUUUAGACAAAUUAUAAUGCUUUUAAAAAUGACAAAGAAAUGUAUAUUUAGUAUACUAUCAUCUUUGGAGUGUUGCUAGUGAAGAGAACUUAGACUUUUAUUAACAUGUGUUUGCUUUGUAUUAUAUAAGAAUAGAUAAUCAAUUUAGUAAUCUUUUCAUAAUUUUUACUUAUAUUAUUAAUAUUAAAUAUAAGUUUUAUUAUUUCGAAAAAUAAGUGAUCACCACGACACACCAAGUACGUUAUCACACACAUCUUGUUGGAGUAGGUACAAGAAAUUUUUAAUUACUCCACAAACACAUAUGAGAUAUGUUAAAUAAAAAUUGGUUGAUUUAGCUUGUUCCAUGAAAGUGCAAAUGAGAAUUGGAAAAAGCGGCCUCCGAACUGUAUGUAUUCUUCUUUCUGUGAAUCUUUUAGUUUACGGGUUAUUAAGUUUAAAAUAUUGAUCACGAUUUUGGAUCCUUACAAGCAAAGAAGUUGACUGAUCUUCAUCUAACACAUGUCAUUGCCAAUCGCCAACAGGCCUGUAAUUGUUAAAAGGGGAAAAGAUAUCGUUGAGGUUAAGCCACAGGUACGUGUCUCUCAUCUCCCACUUUCCUCUACAUUGUAUAAUAAUUUACUUAACUAGCAACACCUGUAAUAUGUCGGAUGUAAGCAAAGGCUUGGUCACAGAAAAGGUAAUCUCGACAAUGGUUGGUAAUGGCAAGGCCCCUGGUUCAUCCUCUGCAUUGGAGAUGAUUGGUUAGAUGAAGACAUGUAGAGUGUAUUUGGAAGAUUGUUUCAUCUGCAGUGGUCCUUGCUGUUCCGGAAAUCUUUUUCUGCACUGUAGAGAAAAAGCCUAGCAAAGCCAAGUACUAUGUCGACGAAACUUCUGAAGUUCCGAAGCUGCUCUAUAUUUGUCAUGUUCUGAUUUUCACUUCCAGCAAUCAAAACAUUAUUUGUAUUUUCAUAAUUGUCACCAGGGUCCGUAUCAUUGAGCCAACUGGAAAAAACUUCCAAUUCAAAGUCAGUGUAAUCAAUUGGAGGUUGAUGCUCACAAGGAAACUUAGAAAAGGGUAUUUUGAUCUUCUGAUGUAUGGUUAGGGGACAAAGAAGAUUGAUAAUGAUUUUUUGGAGAAUCAACUCCGUCAGGAAACACUUCACCUCCAUCACCUUGUUUUUCCAUUGGUAAGAUAUGAAUCAAAGUGAUAAAUGAGAAAACUUGUUAAUCUGUGUAUAUGGGGGUUUGUGUGUAUUUGAAAUCAAGAAUUUGAACAAAAGGAGAUUAUGUAGACCUUUUUGUUAAUCUAAUCACAGUAUUGUAAGAGGGUGAAUAUGGUGUAUGAGAUGGGAGCUCCUCCGAUGCAACUACUUGUAAAGUGGAGCCUAAGUUACUAGCUAUUGAUUUUUUUUCAUCUAACGAUCCAUAUCUUAAGAUGUUAUCUUUUCUCGUGUAGUGCUCCUUAUCUUAUAUUACCUUACGUCAGUGUAAUACUUCUUAUGAAUAAAGGUCUACACUGACGUAAGGUAAUAUAAGACAAGGAGCAUUACACGAGAAAAGAUAACAUCUUAAGAUAUGGAUCGUUAGAUUAAAAAAAAUCAAUGGCUAGUAAUUUAGGCUCCACUUUACAAGUAGCGUUGAAUCGGAGGAGCUAGCUACCCAUCUCAUACACCAUCUUCACCCUCUUACAAUACUGUGAUUAGAUUAACAAAAAGGUCUACAUAAUCUCCUUUUGUUCAAAUUCUUGAUUUCAUAUACACACAAACCCCCAUAUAUAUACACACAUUAACAAGUUUUCUCUGUUAUCACUUUGAUUCAUAUCUUACCAAUGGAAAAACAAGGUGAUGGAGGUAAAGUCCUUCCUGACGGAGGUGAUUCUCCAAAAAAUCAUUAUCGAUCUUCUUUGUCCCCUAACCAUACAUCAGAAGAUCAGAUCUGGGAAAUACCCUUUUCUGAGUUUCCUUCUGAGCAUCAACCUCCAAUUGAUUACACUGACUUUGAAUUGGAAGAUUUUUCCAGUUAAUUGGCUCAAUGAUACGGGUCCUGGUGACAAUUAUGAAAAUACAAAUAAUGUUUUGAUUGCUGGAAGUGAAAAUCAGAACAUGACAAAUAUGGAGCAGCUUCGGAACUUCAGAAGUUUCGUCGACAUAGUACUUGGCUUUGCUAGGCUUUUGCUCUACAGUGCAAAAAGAUCCUUGGAGAAGAAUCGCGACUGUUGAGAGAUCCUUUGCACAAUGAACUAUGGUAAGAAUUUAACCAACGCACGCUUCUCUUCAAAGAAUUGUAAUAUAGAUAAAAUGUUACGAGAAAUAAAAUGAACAUGCAUGCAGAACAUUAGUAAAUUUAAAGGAGGGUAAAGAGGUAUGGAGGAGGAAUAUAAUGAACCAAUAUGAGAUAUCGGAAGAGAGCNUGUCGGAAGAGAGCACCCGUCGUCAAUGCUGCGCAGGUAUAUAUGAUCAACAAACUUGAGUAUCAUGGUCAAAAGGGAACUGAAUGGAUCUGGGUUUUGCAGGAGAGAUAGUUCAGGGGUAAUAGUUUAAUGCAAUUGCUGCCCACCAUGUUAGAAUAGCUGAGGUAAGUAGGUGAAAAAAGAUUGAACUAACAAGAUAGCAAUUUCUCCUAACAAGUUAUAAGUGCAGGAUGUGAACAAGCUAAUUAUCUUAGUUAUUACUUGUAAGGAGGCCCGUUCGAAGCCACGAAUUGUGGAAACCAAAAUCUAUUGUAUCACAUAAUAUAUUACUUUUCGAUGCUCUAACUAAUAAAUUAAAUCUCAUAAAUUGUGUAAAAAAACACUUUUGACCUGUUUCUAUUUCAACAGCUUAGUUAUUGAUUUUAGCAAAUGUUUUUUCUUUUGAACACUUUUAAUGACAAUUAUUUUCAUGAAAGCGUUUUUCGGUUCGGGAGAGCAUUUUUGUGGCCAAGGAGGGCACUUUUCCGGGCAACACUGGUCCGGAGGGCACUUUUCCGGGCAGCACUGAUCAGGAGGGCACUUUUGCGGACUACACUUUUCAGGAGAGCACCUUUCAGGGGAGCACUUUUCUGGACAACACAUUUCUCGGCAGGAAUUAUCAACCAGACAACCACACUACCAAAAGGAGCCAUAAGCUUUGGCGUAGGGAGGCAACAUUCUGGGAACUUGACUGCUAAUUUUUCCCGAAACAGCUCCACAGUGUUCUGGAUGAAAGUGCUCUGUAGACUGGAGAAAUGAUAAACGAAACACAUUAUUAUUAUAGAAACUCUGUAUAUUCAAGUAACACCAAGUAUUAGAGAAAUCAGUACUUCGGUGAAUAAGCUAUAAGAAAUGUACAGCAUUGUUUAGAAAUUAAAAUAUUAGGAAGAAGAUAUUGAAAAAAUAUUACCCCUCCACAUGAUCUCCAAGAAUUUUACCAACUUCAACCAGAGCUUCUCUCCACUUCUCCACCUUGUCGUUGUGUCUUGCCCUAUGCUUUUUAAGCGCAAGGCCGUAAUUCCCAAGCUGGUAUUUAAUAUCUCUGAUUUCAACCUCAUACAAAAUCGGUAUGAUAAAAUACUUGGAGUUCUUUCUGUGUUCUAAAAUGAGGACGAGUUCAUCCAGACACCACGUAGAAUAAGCAUAAUUUUGGGAAAAUAUAAUUAUGGCGCUCAUAGAGUUUCUGAUCCCCUCUUUGAUCCUUAAAUCCACUUCAUCUCCGACACAAAUAUCCGUUUUGUCCAUGAAAACUACAAAUCCUUGAGCCCUCAAAGCCUCGUACAAGAAGCAUGUAAACUUGUUGCGAGUUUCCCCUCUGAAGCUCAAGAAGACAUGACAAAAUGAGGUUUCCUUAGCCAUGUCGUCAGCUUCUUCCGAAUCAAUGAUUAGGAUAGAUAGAAGAUUUAACUAGUAUAAUGAUGAUGAGGCAAGUUCGUUCUAUAAAGAAAUGAUCUUCUCACAGCAAUAUUAAUUAUAUUGUAAUUUGAACAACAAUUAGUCUGAUGAAGCUUCCACAAAGUUACCUAACUGUGGUAACCAACCGCGUUAGUAUAUUGUGAGACUGCGAGAUACAUAAAUGCACGCGGGUGGGCUUUGGCCGAUUCAAGUGUACUAGUUAAAUGGAGCCAGGAGUCAACUAACGUCCAGUCCCCUCAAACAGUUUUGUAACAAAGGAAUACUGUAAUAUGCUAAAAUCAACUAUAUUUAUUCGAUGGUGUACAAUUGCAAGCACAUGAAUAAAAAAUUUGUAAACUAAUAGGAUCUCAAACAGGAAAUCUAAAUAUUUUUUUCAUUGUAUUACUUAUUAUAUGUACUCAAACUUUACUAUAUAGUUUACACUCCUUUUAGUUAAAAGUCUUUAUAAUGAUUAUAUUAUUUUUAUGUUAUUAAUAUUAAACAUAUUUGAUGUGGUAAGAUUCUUUUGCUUAGUUUUUUAUUCAUUUACUCAUAAUUGACGCAAAACAGGUUCUCUCACACAACAGUUUUUCAGCUCUAACCUAAAAUUUUUUAUUGACCUAUUGAGCAGUCAUUUGAUUGGAUUGAAUAUCAGACAACGUUCUUUUAACUUUUGUUAGAACAAGAUAGCACAACAAUUUGGACACUCUUACUAAAAUAAGUAGAGACAAGAGUUUUUUUUUUUAAAAAAAUCUUUGUUGCAAAUAUGGUAAAGCAAUGGUUUUUAAGUGACAGAUAAUAAGGAAUUCAUGUCAAGUAAGGUAUUCAAACUUUUUUAGAUAUUUUUUUUAAAUAACAGUAACUCUAUAUGAUUGUGGUCUGAAAGCAUAACAGCAAUAAUUUUAUAAAAAAAGCUCUAUUGUAACUUGUUGUACACAACGAUUUUAGCAAGUACCCUUGUCAGGACGGUAUUCAAGAAACGAUUUUUGUUUAAAACUAACCAUUCUGUAUGAGCUAUAAAUCAUUGCUAUUGUAUUAUUGUGUUGUUCAGUGUUAUCUUGCAGCUGUUUAGACAAUUCUUUGUAUUAUGGUCACAUAGUUGUAUAGGUUUUGAUACGAUAAUUUAUAAUAUUUACUAGUUAUUGGAAUAUCAUUGUCGCAAUAUCAACUCUUACUUUAAACCAACAUCUUUUCACAAGGAAAAUUACAAUAACAAAGAAAGAAUGUCCUUGUUUCUUAUGUCACGAGGAAACUUACGUUUGAUGGAGGUAGUGGUCCAACAAAUUUUUUAAAUUUUUUAACAAAUUUAAUAAUUAAUAUAAAAUUUCAUGAAAAAUAUUCAUAAACAUUAGAAGGUCAUUUCUAUAGAGUGCAACAAUAAACUAUAUUGAAUUGAUUCUCUCAGUACUGACAUGCAUACAUAUAAAUUGUCAAGUUAUUAUAUAUAACAUGUAAGUAAUACUACUCUUCGUCAUUAUAUUUACGGUCAUUUAUAUACAAAAUUUAACACUCAUAUAUACAAAUCAAAAAAAUGUUUGUUGUGUGUGUAUGUGUGUGUGUGUGUAUAUAACAUUGAGAUUGAGGGGUGACAAUGACAUUGAGUUCAUAAAUGUUUGUUGUUGUAUAUAUCGACGCAUAUAUUUUUUGUAUACAAAUUAUAUCACUCUUAAAAAGAGCAUAGACUUUUCAUUUCCACUUACAUAUCCUUGUAGCCAUUGUAUUAGUCUAUGAAUGAAUUUAAAAGUACCAAUUUUGCCAAAAAUAACUAGAUGGGCUAGGGUUUCUUGUCGAUGGAUCAACAACAGCUGUAGAAGCCCGUUAAGGAAUGCUUGGAUGUUAAGGCCCAUCCUUACCCCUUAUGAAAACAACCCAUCAGAAUACUGGAUAAGUGAUCCAAAAUCAAGUGUAUGAGAAGUUUCCACAAGCUCACCAAACGAGGACUACUCAGACUACGGAGCAAGACUUCUGUGGUAUUCGUCAAUCCAAUGAGGAUGGCCCACUAGAAUGCAAAGUAGUGUCUUUAACUUUGUAUACGAAUCCGGCCCAUGUUAAUGACCCAUAGUGAAUUUUGGGUAUAACAAUUGUUAUUAGACUUUUCAUAACAUAAUCUCUUUCUUGCCUUUUCCUCAUCAUCGGAAACCCUAUUUUCCCGAUCAACCUCUUCUUCUAAAUUCUUUCUAAAAACAUUCAUUUCAUCUUCAAAUUCCAUUCCAUUACCAUGUUUUGAUUAUAAAAACUAUAACCCAACCACCACCACUACCUUGUAACAUCAAUAAAGUGUUAAGAUGUUUCCGAUAUAUCUUUAAUUUGCGAAUUGGUGCUUGAUAUAUGUCUAAUUUUUCUCCUUUCGCUUACAAAACCCUCGAGCCUCCUCACUCUUGUCCAAUUUUAUCCGAUUCAUUUCUGAUCUACUUGAUUGUACUUGUUAAACUAAUUACAAAGCAUUUGAGAAAUCCGACUUUUUCUGAUUCGUAUCGGUAAGAAUUAGAAAAUAACUAUUUAUGUUUUUCUUAUCUAUUUCGUUUGGAUAGAUGCAGAGUCACAUGUGGGAUCGAGCCUUUUGCGAUUUAAUUACCUGAUUGUUAUGACUUAGUUUCAAUCUUUUUUUAUACAGGUUAUUUUAUAAAAUUAAAAUUAGAUCUAAUGAUUGUAAAAUUGAUCCUCUAGAUUUUAUAUUGAAAAAUUUACUUAUUAUGUUCUCUUUCUUUUUUCGAUUCUUGCAUCAAUGGAAGUUAUUAUAAACAAUGAAGAAAAUGCUUCAGGAAGAUUUUUUAUGCACAGUUAACCACCUUCUUCUGGUGCCUGAAAUCCGGGUAAUUUUCUUAUUUUUGCUUAAUUACUUUCAAUACAUGUUUUGUUUGGUAUUAAUACCAAAUUUGUUGAAUUGAUUUUGUUAUAAUUUGUCAUGCGGAUUUGAAUUAAAGAAUUUUAUUUAAAUAAAUUCUAUUUCUAAUGCUUUAAAAAUUGGAAAAGAAACAUAUAUUUAGUAUAGUAUAAUUUUUGGAGAGUUUGUAAAGUUUAAGUACGAAAACUUAGACUUUGUUUAACAUGUCUUUAAUUUUUAUUGUGUAUACAUAGAUAAUCAUUUUGAUAAUUUUUAUGAUUUCACUUAUAUUAUUUAAAAAAAAUAAAUGAUAUUAUGUAAGCACUGCUUUACACCACAUAUAUUCCCAUCCUUUUGUUGUCGAAAGUAACAAGAAAAUUGUAUAUACAUAUGCUUUCAAGUUUCAUCUUUUGAUCCAGGAACCACCACAUCAAUCACAUUAUCUACUCUACUCAAGAAAAAUACGGUAUAUGAACAAACAUACAUACAUAUAUAUAAGCCAUAUAUAUAUAUAUAUAUAUAUAUAUAUAUAUAUAUAUAUAUAUAUAUAUAUAUAUAUAUAUAUAUNNNNNNNNNNNNNNNNNNNNNNNNNNNNNNNNNNNNNNNNNNNNNNNNNNNNNNNNNNNNNNNNNNNNNCGUAGAUUACGUAUAUUCUGCAACCAUAGAAUGGUAUAAAAACAUUGCAAAAUGUAUGAAACUUGUUAUUUUGUGAAAUACAUUCUAUAAAUAUCACUAUUUCAUGAAAAAUAUUGAAAAUCAUUUAUGUUCGACAAGUAGAACACAUAUGUUCUGUAAUAUGUAAAUAAUAAUGUUCGACAAGUAGAUCUCAUUCUUUGGAUCAAAAACAUAUCAAACAAGGGUGUUGAAAAUCUGAUGCUUAGGAAUCAAUCACCAUUUGUCUGCAAAAUGCCCUCUUAUUUCUUCUCCUGUCUGCAGUUAACUGAUUUGUGGCUGGAGAGCUGCAUAUUAAACCCACCCCUUGGGUUUUCGGGAUUUAGUAAGCUAAUAAGUGUAGACCUUGAGCAUGUGACAUUCAGUGCUGACAUGACAUUUGGCACUCAAGUCCAAGAUUUACGGAAAAUUACAAUAACAAAGAAAGAAUGUCCUUGUUUCUUAUGUCACGAGGAAACUUACGUUUGAUGGAGGUAGUGGUCCAACAAAUUUUUUAAAUUUUUUAACAAAUUUAAUAAUUAAUAUAAAAUUUCAUGAAAAAUAUUCAUAAACAUUAGAAGGUCAUUUCUAUAGAGUGCAACAAUAAACUAUAUUGAAUUGAUUCUCUCAGUACUGACAUGCAUACAUAUAAAUUGUCAAGUUAUUAUAUAUAACAUGUAAGUAAUACUACUCUUCGUCAUUAUAUUUACGGUCAUUUAUAUACAAAAUUUAACACUCAUAUAUACAAAUCAAAAAAAUGUUUGUUGUGUGUGUAUGUGUGUGUGUGUGUAUAUAACAUUGAGAUUGAGGGGUGACAAUGACAUUGAGUUCAUAAAUGUUUGUUGUUGUAUAUAUCGACGCAUAUAUUUUUUGUAUACAAAUUAUAUCACUCUUAAAAAGAGCAUAGACUUUUCAUUUCCACUUACAUAUCCUUGUAGCCAUUGUAUUAGUCUAUGAAUGAAUUUAAAAGUACCAAUUUUGCCAAAAAUAACUAGAUGGGCUAGGGUUUCUUGUCGAUGGAUCAACAACAGCUGUAGAAGCCCGUUAAGGAAUGCUUGGAUGUUAAGGCCCAUCCUUACCCCUUAUGAAAACAACCCAUCAGAAUACUGGAUAAGUGAUCCAAAAUCAAGUGUAUGAGAAGUUUCCACAAGCUCACCAAACGAGGACUACUCAGACUACGGAGCAAGACUUCUGUGGUAUUCGUCAAUCCAAUGAGGAUGGCCCACUAGAAUGCAAAGUAGUGUCUUUAACUUUGUAUACGAAUCCGGCCCAUGUUAAUGACCCAUAGUGAAUUUUGGGUAUAACAAUUGUUAUUAGACUUUUCAUAACAUAAUCUCUUUCUUGCCUUUUCCUCAUCAUCGGAAACCCUAUUUUCCCGAUCAACCUCUUCUUCUAAAUUCUUUCUAAAAACAUUCAUUUCAUCUUCAAAUUCCAUUCCAUUACCAUGUUUUGAUUAUAAAAACUAUAACCCAACCACCACCACUACCUUGUAACAUCAAUAAAGUGUUAAGAUGUUUCCGAUAUAUCUUUAAUUUGCGAAUUGGUGCUUGAUAUAUGUCUAAUUUUUCUCCUUUCGCUUACAAAACCCUCGAGCCUCCUCACUCUUGUCCAAUUUUAUCCGAUUCAUUUCUGAUCUACUUGAUUGUACUUGUUAAACUAAUUACAAAGCAUUUGAGAAAUCCGACUUUUUCUGAUUCGUAUCGGUAAGAAUUAGAAAAUAACUAUUUAUGUUUUUCUUAUCUAUUUCGUUUGGAUAGAUGCAGAGUCACAUGUGGGAUCGAGCCUUUUGCGAUUUAAUUACCUGAUUGUUAUGACUUAGUUUCAAUCUUUUUUUAUNGGAAAAAUUGAUUAUGUCAUGGCCAAGUGCACAAAAGCACAAAGUAACUUAGAAGCACCUUAAACAUUAUCAAUUCUAAGAAUGUGAAAAAUGAAAUUAUACACGAUUAGAGGGUAUUAAGUUUAAAAAUUUAUAGGUGACAGAUUAUAUACAAAAAAGUACACACAACAUUUGAAUACAAGUUCUUCUCCCUGCCUAAAAAAAAGGACUUGGUACUCUGACCUUAAUCUAACUCUGGAUGAAGAUCUCUAAAAUGAGAAACGAGCUUUACUUGUGUUACUCUUCAAUCCCUUGAAAAUUUUAUGCACAUUAACACAAUUAUUACCUUAUAUUGGCAAACCCAAAUAGAAAACAUAAUUGUUACCUGCAAGUUGUGCUAAUUAGUUCUGAAUUUUUAGGCUAAUCUCCAUAUCUGAGUGGAGCAGUCAGAAAUAAUCCAUCUGACAUUAUUUCGGAAGUAGAGGCUAUGCAUUAUAUGCGAUCACCAUGAAUGAUUCAAGGCUGCUGACUUGCUGCAAUCUCCUUAGGUUUCCGAAAAUUGCNNNNNNNNNNNNNNNNNNNNNNNNNNNNNNNNNNNNNNNNNNNNNNNNNNNNNNNNNNNNNNNNNNNNNNNNNNNNNNNNNNNNNNNNNNNNNNNNNNNNNNNNNNNNNNNNNNNNNNNNNNNNNNNNNNNNNNNNNNNNNNNNNNNNNNNNNNNNNNNNNNNNNNNNNNNNNNNNNNNNNNNNNNNNNNNNNNNNNNNNNNNNNNNNNNNNNNNNNNNNNNNNNNNNNNNNNNNNNNNNNNNNNNNNNNNNNNNNNNNNNNNNNNNNNNNNNNNNNNNNNNNNNNNNNNNNNNNNNNNNNNNNNNNNNNNNNNNNNNNNNNNNNNNNNNNNNNNNNNNNNNNNNNNNNNNNNNNNNNNNNNNNNNNNNNNNNNNNNNNNNNNNNNNNNNNNNNNNNNNNNNNNNNNNNNNNNNNNNNNNNNNNNNNNNNNNNNNNNNNNNNNNNNNNNNNNNNNNNNNNNNNNNNNNNNNNNNNNNNNNNNNNNNNNNNNNNNNNNNNNNNNNNNNNNNNNNNNNNNNNNNNNNNNNNNNNNNNNNNNNNNNNNNNNNNNNNNNNNNNNNNNNNNNNNNNNNNNNNNNNNNNNNNNNNNNNNNNNNNNNNNNNNNNNNNNNNNNNNNNNNNNNNNNNNNNNNNNNNNNNNNNNNNNNNNNNNNNNNNNNNNNNNNNNNNNNNNNNNNNNNNNNNNNNNNNNNNNNNNNNNNNNNNNNNNNNNNNNNNNNNNNNNNNNNNNNNNNNNNNNNNNNNNNNNNNNNNNNNNNNNNNNNNNNNNNNNNNNNNNNNNNNNNNNNNNNNNNNNNNNNNNNNNNNNNNNNNNNNNNNNNNNNNNNNNNNNNNNNNNNNNNNNNNNNNNNNNNNNNNNNNNNNNNNNNNNNNNNNNNNNNNNNNNNNNNNNNNNNNNNNNNNNNNNNNNNNNNNNNNNNNNNNNNNNNNNNNNNNNNNNNNNNNNNNNNNNNNNNNNNNNNNNNNNNNNNNNNNNNNNNNNNNNNNNNNNNNNNNNNNUUUCCAAUUAUGAAGAGAAGUUCACUUUAUCAUUUCUUGCAAAUCUUGAACAUAUCUUUCAACAAAGCACCUCGGCAACUAGCUUUCAUCUUUUCAUGUGCAUUUAGUUGGUGCAGGUUAAUUCUCUUCAUAUUUGGGGAAAACACACCAGCUUUUAAUCUGUACAUUAGUGUUGUAAAGAUUGUCUUAAUUAUCAUCUUUUUAGUACCAAUAUUACUCCCUCCAUCCCAUGUGAUUGUCUAUGUUCACUGUUUGCACGCAUAUUGAGACUCCUAUAAAGUAUAGUUCCAUACCUUUUUUUUGAAAAAUGUUUAAACGUCAAACUUUUAUUCACGAAAAAAAAAGUUUAAAAAUUAUUAUGAAACUAUUAUAUACUUAUAUAUAAUAAGCGUAAGGGAGAUAAUUUGGUCGCAUGGUCCUAUGGUCCAAAAACUUAUCAUCCGUUGGAUCGUAUAUUGAACAAAUAAGCACCGUUAGAUUAGAACAAAAUUAAUUUCUAAUUCUAUAAGGAAACUGACAUCUACUUGCAUGUUUAUAAUUCCUUUUCUGAAUCCAAAACAAAUUCUGUCUUUCAUGUGUUUUUGAUUUUUUUUAAUCCAAAAUAAAUAUUUCCCACAAAUUUUAAUUGUAGAAUCGUAUAAAUCGCAUUGUCACAAAAUUAUUUUUAUCCAUCGGAUCGUAUAUUGAACGAAUAAACACCGUUAGAUUAGAACAAAAUUAACUUCCGUUCCGUUCCAUAAGACAACUGAUAUCUACUUGCAUGUUUAUAAUUCCUUUUUUGAAUCCAAAACAAAUUCUGUAUUUCACGUGUUUAUGAUUUUUUUAAUCGAAAAUAAAUAUUUUCUACCAAUUUUAUUUGUAGAAUCAUAUAAAUUGCGCCGUCACAAAAUUAUUUUUAUCUAAUAUAUUUUAAAAUUAAUAAGCCCGAUUUAUGUGAGGAACGAAUACAAAAACUUUUCUAUAAUCCAAAACAAUUGCAUGUUUAUAAUUCAUCUUCUUAAUUCAAACAAAUUAUGUUUAUUAAUCUCGAACCAUAAAAAUUUUUAGAAAAAUAUUUUAAUCACAUUAUAAUAAUUCUAAUAUAAAAUACAUUUAUAAAUAUAAUAUAAUAGGAGUUGGCGUCACAUAUUUUACUUAAAAUAAUUUAAAAUUUGAUAGAAAGAAUUUAAUAGUUUGGCAUGAUACAUACAAUAUAGUACCUUAUUAUUUAUAAAUUAAAUUUUUUCGCACCAUUUAAAAUAUAUUAAAAAGUUUAUAAAUAAUUAAAAAGCUCCCGUGCCUUGCACGGGCUAUAAGCUAGUACUUUAUAAUAGCGUCAAAAAUUGGUGCCAAAAAGUACUUCCUCCGUCCUCGGAGUUAUAUACGUUUAGUUUGGAUACGGAGAUUAAGAAAAGUGUAUAAAGUAAGAUAAAGUAGUGGGAAAGAAAAAGAAAAGUGGGUAAAGUGGCGGGACCCAUCAAUAUUUAAUUGAUAGAUUUGGAAAAGUGGAUGAGAGUAGUGGGUGGUUGAGACUUUUAUAUUAUAAAAUGUUACUAUUUUAGGAAAGUUUUGAAAUGUAUAGAAUUAAGUGGGAAAUCAAAAAAGGAAAGUGUAUAGAAUUCAAAAGGACGGAGGGAGUAAUAUAAAGAACCUUCUAGAGGGAGUAUAACACCACCAUCCCCAAGAAUCAUUGCUAUGAUGUUCUUGAUAUAUCAUAUAUUUGACGAUUUGUGCUUGAUUCAUGCAUAAUCAAUAAGUCAUUAUCAUAUAUUUAAAUCUUAUUUUGGAUUUCUUUUUCUUUGUACAUAUUUGGGGUUAAUGGAAUGUUGGGGUGUGAUUUUUAAGUCCCAAUCUAUAAUAUAAAGUUUUCAAUAAAGUAUAAAGUGAUCAUGAUAUAAUUAUAUAAAAGCCUUAUCAUGACACACUUUAAUCAUCUUUUAAUUUUUUGUUAUGGUUCGAUCUUUUCUUAAAAUUAUAUAUUGCAUAUAUCAUUGUAUUUUUAAAAUUGGUCCUUGAAAUUUGAUAUUACAAAAAUAAUUUAAUAUUCAUCUUAUUUCAGUAUAUGUAAAAGAAUUAUUCUAAACAAUGAAUAAAUUGCUCCAUCAUGACUUAAAAUGCCUCCUUCAUCAUGUGCUAAGCAGGUAAUAUUAACUUUUAUUGUAGUUAUUAAUACUAAUCUGUUUUAUGAUGAAGAACUUAAUAAAUUAAAUACUUGUAACCAUGUGUUUGUUUCCCCUUGCUAUUGUUAAAAUGUGUGCACAUAUUACGUACAUAUGUACAUAGUAGUGUAUAUUUACUGAGUGUAACGCAUGUAUUUGUUGCAAGAAUGUUAAUUUAAAAUCUUUCCUAUAUAGAGUGUUCCUUAUGGUGACUGGUUAUGAGAUUCAGGUAGGACUUGGGAUGUAUUCGUAUAAGAAUCAGCCAGCUGCCUUGCAGUAUGUGGAGAAGCAAAUGCUCUCCACGAAGAGCCUGCUUGCACCAUUCUGAGCCACAGGUGUUGAAUCAUGACUCGCAUCUGGAGCGAUUGCUUUCUGUGAGGUCUUAAUUUCUUCAGUUAGUCCUCCAGGAGCGUUUAACUCUUUUGGCACCAGAUUUACUGGCGUAGAUUCAGGAACAGUUUCUGGUGUCUGACCAUAUCCCACAUUCACCGCACCAUCUGGACCAGGCACCUCAGACGGCUGAGGCUGAAGAAAACCCAUUCCAAUAUUAAGAUCACCAUAAAGUUCAUCGUACUCAUCAUCAUCGCCAAUCAAUUCAUCCUGGCACUGCAUGAUUUGUGGAAGGGGCCAAAUGAAAAGAGACACGGAAGGCUUUAACAAAAGUGAUCUGUAAGUGUAACGAGCGUGAGCGUAUAUGUAAGUUACCUAGAAUAUAUUAAUGUUGUAUUAGAACUGUAUAUAUGUCAUUGUGCUCCAACCUCAUGUAUGCCAGUAAGUUUGGAUCAUUUUUGGUGUUAAUGGUUGCAAUGUGUGUUGGGUGAGACAUAUCAUUUUUUUUGAAUAAUUUUUGGUGUUAAUGGUUGCCAUUUAAUUGGGCAAACAUUUGACUUUGAUGUCUUUUGAAAUAAAUAAUUCUUUGUGAAUUUUUGAAACCUCUACCAAGAUCUUUUUAACUAUUUUGUUUCGAUGAUUUUGGUUAUGGUAACAUUUCAGUGUGCCAGCUUAAUAAAGAGGUAGUUCAGGGAUGAAGCAAAGUACGUUUUGUAACACCUGAACUUAAAAUGCAACUUAAAAUAACCCGCAUUGCUGAUAAUUAUGGCGAAUUAUCAUCUGAAGAAACAAGCUACAAAAUCCUAGCUGGUAACACAAGAUGCUACAUUGAGAAUUUUCGUUAAGUUGUGUUGCAAGGUUUCUAUUGCUUUGUCUUCAUUCUUGAAGCUUGAAUGAGUAAGUUAAGGGACCAACUUCAACGGAGUUCUGUUGUGGAAUGGAUGGAGGUGGGAACUGUGAUGGGCAGCUUCUCGAGGAUCGGUUGCUGCUCUGGUUAGUUUAUUUGGACCAUAGCACGAAGUUUGAUGGGUUGGACUUGGAAUGGACAAAGAAGGUGUUUUGUAGUUGUAUUUAUGUGUCAAAACUACUAGCAUUAACUAUAUAUUACUGGCACAGGAUCUGCUCACAACUAUCACUGUAGAGGUGCGGGCCAUGAGUAGCUUCAGCUUCGAGUCUUCGACCACUAAAAUUGAGCCACUUGUUACAGCAAAAAUCAAGGUUUUGGCUCGAUUAGAGGUGAGAAUUUGGUGCUCAUAAUGUACUUCAUGUCUAAUAAAGCUAUGACCAUACAAGUUCAAUAAGAAAUUAUUAGACUUCCACAUUCUACAACGAGUGUGCUGAAAUAUAAAGAAAAAUCCAUUCAACAACCAUUAAACUAAUGCAAUAGUUUCUCCAAGUGAAUAGCUCCACAAAAGCAGUCAACAACUGCAAAAAAUAUUACAAAACCUUCAAUGGGAGGGAAGUCUUAAAAACCUUCCCCAUGAGUUGAACUCCUUCUGCCAAAUGGAAGGCUUUUCACUGCUCUUUCGGUGACAUGAAGCAUAUUCAAUACCAACAUAAGCUUUUGCUUGUCCUCAAAAUCAUCUAAACCCUCUACCUCUUCUUCUCCACACAAAUUUUCCCAUUCACAAUCACCAUGGGAAACCUCACCUUUUCUUUACCCACCAGCUCUGCUAGCUCUUUCAAAUAUAUAGGCUCUAUUGAACCGUUUCUCUCCUCAAAUACAACAUUUCCACUCAACAGAACCUUCUUUGCCAACCCAUUUGCGCCUAGGCCAUUGUUAGCACUCGUUGUGUAAAGAAUUACCUUGUCGGUAGAUGGCUCAUUUCUGGACAAGGAUGAUGAAGUACUGCCUCGUAAAACUAAUCUUUCAGGCACUGCGAGCCGGCAUUCUAGAAACUUGGCAGCCAGUGUUUCCUUGAACAAUUUCACAGUAUUAUGGAUGAAAGUGCUCUGUUGCCUAACGAAAAAGCAAACACAUUAUCAUCAAACAAUCCAUAAAUAUAAUAAGCAACCAUGGUAUUAUACAAUUAAGAAAGCUAAUAUCAGAAAACCAUGGUAUUGGUCCUUUUUAGAAAUUAGAGGUUAUAGCUGUUAGCGGAUUGAAUUAGAUGUUUUGACUAGAUGAUGAAAUAGAUGUUUUGACUAGCGGAUUGAAAUAAUAUAUAGUUUCUUGUAAAUCUGUUUGGUAAAUAGCUGAUUGAUUAGCUUUUUCUGAUACAAACCAAAAUCUCUAACCCAAAAAGUUCCUCAAAGUAGGUUUUUAGAAUUUGUUUUUUAGAUCCAAACCUCUAUUUCAAUCCUAUAACUAUCAAAAACUAAUAUUAGCGGAUUCUAGUGAUCAAACCUCUAACUUCCAAACUGGGCCAUUAUGUAGCAUGAAACGUUGAUUAAUUGAGAAUAAUAAGAAAAUAAGAUUACCCAUUUACAUGUUCUCCGAGAAUAUUGCCAACUUCUACGAGGGCUUCUCUCCACUUCUCCACCUUGUCAUUGUGCCUCAUUUUAUGCUUUUCUAGUGCGAGUCCAUAAUUUCCUCGCUAGUGUUUGAUAUCGCGAAUUUCAACCUAAAAAAAAAAGUGGUAUAAUAAAAUAACUAGAGUUCUUACGUUCAAGGAUGAGAACAAGUUCAUCAAGAGACACAUAAUUCAGGGAAAAUACAAUUAGGGCGCUCGUAGAGUUUUUGAUUCCCUCUUUGAUUGUCGUCUUGUUGAAAACACCUCAUCUUCGACACGUAUGUCACUCUUGUCCAUGAAAGCUACAAAGCCUUGGGCCUUUAAAGCCUCAUAUAGAAAGCAUGCGAACUUGUUGCGAGUUUCCCCUCUGAAGCUCAAGAAGAUAUGAGAAAUGACGCUUCUUUGAUCAUGGUGAGAUAGCUCCUAGAUUAGCAGGAGGCUUUAAGAUCUCUAAACAUAACAUGAAAAGUCAACUACAUUCCUACACAUUAUCAAGAGGAAAAAUAUUUUUUGAUAUAAAUUGACAAAUUAGUUGAAAUUCUAUGCUAAAAAAAAUACAUCAAAUUAACGAUGGAACGAGUUAUUCGGCGGAAAUUGUACUCAUAUUAUGAUUAGUUGGAUUGCUUUGAAAAGGCAAACUAAAUGUGGGAACUCAACUAGGUAAAAUUUCACUUCAUCUCCUACAUCGCAUGCAUGUUGGUCACACGGUCAAUGAGUUUCACCUCCCCCGUUUUUUUUUUCCGGGACAGUUUACAUUCGGUGAAUAAGAUAAUUAUUAGGGGUUUUCUUGUAAAUACCCAAGUCCAAAAUUUAUUUUUUUAAAAAUACUACAUUUUUCCCAAAUAUUUUACAAAAAUACCAAAAUUUUGAAAAUAUUUACAAAACUACUGUAUGCAACUAUACUUGCAACCCCUGCGGGGCAAAUUAACUAAAGUUAAAUCAUGUUGCAUCUAGUUGCAGAUCGUAUUUUUGCAAAUAUUUUGUAAGAAGUUAGUAUUUUUACAAAUAUUUUCGAAAGACAGUAAAAUUACAGGAAAAAAAACCUAGAAAAGUGGUGGUCUUGAUAAAUUGCCGUUAAAAAUUCUAGAUGGAGCUGCUUGUAAAAUGUCCUACACAACUGAUUUUAAAUUUCUAUUUACAGUCUAGCUUGUUUUCAAUAUAUAGGAUAUGAUUAUUUUUUCGUGAAAACUAUUAAAAGCACUUUAUAUUAUUAGAUUUUGUAUUGAAUACUUAUAGUCACACUUGUAGACAGAAAAUAGAGUGAAAGACUUUGAGUGGGAGAUUAAGUAUAGGAUCAAAGAGGUUAAUCGGCGUUUAAAUUAGUUGUAAUCAAAGAGGCUAAAAACUCUAUUUGACUUCCAAAUUGGCUAAAUUCUUACAAUGUAACGAUUUUCCUACCAACAAAAUUACACUGUUAAGAAAAUUAUUCAUUUUCUUUUUUGAAACUCAAACAAUUUAAUUUACGAAACACAUAUAUAAAAUUUCUAUUAUGUUUCAGAAUUCAAAAAAUAAGGAGUUCAUUUAUUAUUAUCAGUCAAAUCCAUAUUAAUAUUAUAAAUAACUACUAAAUUUAAUAAUUAGGGAAUUUACCAAAACUAUCACUUUUUCUAGGUUUUUUUGCGAUUUUACUAUCUUUUAAAAAUAUUUCCAAAAAUAUUAAUUUUUUAGAAAAUAUAUGCAAAAAUACGAUAUGCAACUAGAUGCAACCAAAUUUUAGUUUAGUUAAUUGGCCUCGCAGGGAUUGCAAGUAUGGUUGCAUCUGGUUGCAAAUAUAAUUGCAUGUGGUUGCAUACAGUAUUUUUUCAAAUAUUUUUAAAAUUUUGAUAUAUUUGUAAAAUAUUUGAAAAUGAUGUGGUGUUUUAGUAAAAAAUAUUUUGGACUUGGGUAUUUAUGAGAAAACCCCAUUUAACUAUGUGACCACCUCUUACUUGAUAUUUCUUCGGGGAGAUGUUAAAAUAUCCAAUUCUAAUCUUUAGAACUUCAAUUGUAGUCUAAACAAAGUUUAGGUGGUAGAGUGUCCACAAAAUCAAAAUUUCACACUAACCUAUAUUAGCUCUUUCACAUAAAAUGAGAGAGUCAAAUUAGCUCAAUUUUUUCAAAAAUUAGAAAAUAUAUUUUUCUACCAUUAAGCACUAAAAUUGAUUUUUAAUAAUUUGUUAUCAACAAAAUACUUCUAUCAUAGGAAUAAAAUCAUAUAAGAGGUUGUAUAGAUAUAAGUAUAUAUUUCAUUCCAGACACCCCAAUGUUAUUUCCCAGGCAUAUCGCACAUCCUUUUCAAUCUCUUAUCAUAAUAAAAAAAUCAUUCAACAUUCAUCACUUCAUACAAUCAUUCCUUCAUCUCCUUAUUCUCUCUAUUUAAAAUUUCACCUUCGGCAUCAGCCUAUGGUUCAUAAUUUACCUUCGUCACACGGCCAGAACUAGCGCGUGGCAGCCCGGCCCAAAUUUUUUUUUUAUAAAAUUCUAAAUAUCUUUGCUGAGUUUCAGCCGAAGUAGCCCAAAAAUCCAAACCCUAAUUUAUGCUUCUCUAUAUAAACACCUCGGUUGUCUCUGUUCUUCACAGCCUGCACAGUUAAAACCGCCACUACUCCCCUGCUGCCGCUCUGUCUCCAAAUCCAGGUGGAUUCUAAAUCCUCAUUCCGCCCCUGCUUCUCUCUUCUUAAUUUAUCAUUUUUAGUGUAAUCACUACAUCACCAUCAUCCACAACAAUCAGUGUAGUGAUCUUUUCAAUAUAUCCUAGCUAUAUCUGACGAUUUUUGCCCGAUCCACGCCUGGGUAAGCCAUUGCCAUAUAUUUAAUUUUUAUUUUGGAUUUAUUUUCAAUUUUACAUAUUCGAAUUUAAUCCAAUGAUGGGUUUUAUUUUUAAAUUUCAAUCUAAGAUAUAAAAUUUCCAAUUAAGCCUAAAUUUAUCUUCUUCUUUUUUAAUGUAAACACUAUAUCAACACCGUCCACAAUAAUCAUUUUUAUGAUGUUCUCGAUAUAUCAUAAAUCUGACGAUUUGUGCCUCAUUAAUUCAUGCCUAGUCUGCAAGUCAUUGUCAUAUAUUUACUUCUUAUUUUGGAUUUAGUUUCAUUUGUACAUAUAUAUUGGUUUAAUUGAAUGUUGCGUUAUGAUUUUUGAGUUUCGAUCUAAGAUAUGAAGUUUCCAUUAAAGUCUUAAUUAUCAUCUUUUGAGUAUAAACACCAAUUCCACUGUCUCAUGUGAUUGUUUACAUUCAUUGUUUGUAAGCGUUAACAACCCUCUGUUUGUCUAGCUGUAGAUUACCCGCAACAGUUUGGGACUUCCCAGCUUUAAAAUGUAUAGAACUACGUGGCGGAGAAUUACAUAUUCUCUGCGCCUGUUAAUAUACAGAAUCAAAGUAUAUGUAAGUUACCUAGAAUAUAAGAAUGUUGUACUAGAAGUGUAUAUAUGUUAUUGCCAAGUAAAAUGAUUAUGAGAUUGUUGGAUAUAAUAUAUGUUUUCAGAAAUUCUUCUAAAAUCCAAGAUUUAAAAGUAUUUUACUGAAGUCCUAACCACCCUACAUCAACUCUAUGAUUCUUAAACUUAAUUUAGCUAGAGUGUAUAAAAACACAAAAUCACUUGCAAUCUACUAAAAUUCAUAAAUUGUUAUUAAUUUUUUAAUAUCUGAAUUAAGCACCCCUCUUAUUGUCUAAUUUUGACUUCUUUUUUUUUUUGUCAGGUGUCUAAUUUUGACUUUAUUCCUUCUGAAUGUGUUCAAUUUUUAUUUUCAGAAUGCUAUAAACAUUUAUCUUAUGUCCCUGCAUGUAUAUCAAUGUCAAAAUAAAAGGAAGGAAUAUAAAUGAAGGAAUAAAUUGAGAAAAUCAAAUUACAAGAUCAGACUCUGAGUUGUCUACUUUAUUAAGGCAGUAAUGAUAAAAUUUAGUAAAAAAACUGACCCAAUACCCUAAAGAAAUACGCUACAGGUUCUCCUACCAAGAUAUAAGUUCGAUCCUGGCUCAACCGAAAACUAUUAUUAGAAGUACAAAUUGAAAUCAGUAUAAUUAGCCAGAAAGAUUAAGACCUUCCAAGAACUCUUCAUCACAUUCCAAAGCCGUCAUGAAAUGCGGAGGCAAGAAAAUAUCAAGAUCCAUGCUUCCUCCUCCUUCAGUCCCCGGAUACAAUGAAACUUUUCCAUCAAACUUAUCAGCACAUCCGCUCCGAAUUGCCACAGCUUUUCCAAGUCCGAAUUCAUUUCCAAACAUGUCAAACCGCGGUGAGCCUCCAAUCAUAAUGCUACACCGAUCAAAAAAUUGCCCGGGUUGGUAUACCGAAGGACUCUGCAGCCAAUCUGCUAUGAAGUUCUUUAAUGCCUUAUCAUCUUGUUCAGCCACAGUUUUGUGCACUAGCAAAGCAGCCCACUCGAAAUCAUUUAUCAGCAGGUUUCCUGCUGUAGUCGUAGCUCUCACCACCUGAAUACAGUUUCCAAAGUAAUUCUGUGACAAUGGAGGAUGUAAUCUUGCUCUGUUAUUCAUAGCCAGUUUGCAACCUGUGAUCUGAUCAUGUGGUAAGCCUCGAACACGAGUCAUACAUCUCCACAUUAAAGCAGACAAGGCCUGUAAACUUGAUAUCGUAGUGCUUUUGUUUAUGCAUUUAGCGUUUGCCUUUGCUUUGAGCCUUGCCAAGGCUGCGGCUUGAAAUUGAAAAAUCCUUUGUUUAAGCUCUGGAGCAUCGUGCCUGCUUAAGAAUUGAUCGGUAUGAGUGAAAGGGAGGCUAAUAACAGGAUCAUAUCCGUCAGGGACCCAGCGUUCAUGAAUAGGUGGCCGCGUGAUUUCUAAACCCUCAUCAUCAAUAUCUUUCAUAAAAACUUCUGAUAAAGUGUUGAAAAAAUGCCAGUAAGAGGUGCCAUCAAUGACAGAGUGGUUAAGCGAGCAUCCAAUGAAAACGCCAUCUUUUAGCUCGGUGACUUGAACAGUUAACAACGACACCUUGUGACCAUCGUGAUUAAUUGCCCUGUUAUGAUCAAAAAAAGAUUCAAUGACUGAACGCACAUAAGUUGGUGACAGAAUAUCAGAAAUCAUCAAGUCCACUUUCGCGUGGACAAAUCUAGCACCAGGGCUAUUAACACAAUCUAUAAACACCACAUAAGACUGCGGUGAUUCUUCCUUUUUUGUCACAAGGCGACCUGCAAGUGGAUAAAAAUGCACAAGAGUAACAGAGAGGGAUUUUUUAAGCUUCUGCACAAGGACCUCAACUGAAUUUUCUCGAUCAUUUGUUACCAUCGGUUUCUUAAACAAAAGACCCUUUUGGAUGUAAUAAACUGAGAGCAUGGCAAGAUCAAAGGGCCCUAAAUGAAAUGGGUGUUUUGCCUUUUGGGGCAAAUCAGAUGGUCUGAUCAAACAUUCUGAUACGAGCUCAACUGUUUCAGAGUACAUUUUGUUCUAAGAAUGAGAAAGUGGCUUAUGCAGCUUAAGAGACUCCAGCUAUUUAUCUAUCCAUGUAUAUAUUUUACUUAAUGUUAAUACUUCUUCUGCUCCAUUCAUUUUUAUACAUUUUCUUUUUCUGGACGUGAGAUCUAAUGGUAUAUAUUCUCAAAUUGUCUCAUCACUUCACCAACUUUUCUUACAUUCUUUAGCUGAAUUAUAUUUUUUUUAAUCUAUGUGUCCUACCCAUUUGUAUAUUAUUCAAUGGGCCGGAGGGAGUACAUUACUAAUAAUGCUCUUUACAGUAGAAAAACUGCAAGAUGUAGAUGCAUGUGUUAGAAAUUCAAACUCUCCGAUAUAUAAUACAGCUACGGCGACUGUGUUCAGGGAUAUAAAUGGAAGCAGCUCCGUGUGUGUGAGCAGCAGUAUAAUACAAGACUUAUCAGUUUGCAUACAAGCCUCAAGCCUGUAAAUAGUAGAGUUCCUGUAUAAGAUGAACCCAUAUAUAAUUAGCAAAAGAAAAUAAAAAUGAACUGAUAAUUGCUUGGAACCAGUUUUAGAAAAAAGGAGAAUCAGAAUUAAUCGAUGAAAUUAUGGAACAAGCAUUAAUUGAAGAUUAAUUAGAUUGAUCAAAGUCUAAUUGAAUGAUUAAUUGAAUAAUCAAAUAUUUAAUCAGUUCAGUAAGUUACGAAACAGGAUUAAUCGGUGAAUUUUUUUUUUAUUUUUUUUGUGUCAAGGGAUUAAUAGGUCUUAGAACAGAGCUUCGAACAAAUAAACUUGCAAACUGGCACGUGAAUAUAAGGGGGGCUGCAAGAGUUAUUCAACCUUGUCUUUAUAUUCCAUAAAGGCGAGCUGGUCAAUUGUUUGUUCAUAAUAAAUACGAUCUUCUACCUCCUAUUUUCUUAUAAUUUUUUCACUAACACAAAUUUUAGGAUAUAUAUCAAAUAUAGCUGUAUAAUUUAUUUCAAAAAAAUUCUUGUAAUAAAAAUAUUUAAAUAUUAUAUUUUAUUCAAAAAAUAAAUAUUUAAAUAAUUUAUAAAAUUAUAUCUUAUAAAUAUUUAUAAGAUAUUUAAAUAGUUUAUUCCUCAAAUAAACUACUCCUAAAAAGACACAGGGGGGUUGAGUGUAACACGUAUGGGAUCGGCCAAUUCCAUAUGCAAUUACAGAUCUUUGAUUUUUUUUUUGACAAAACAGAUUUUUGAUUUUUAAUGUUCAAAUAUGUUGUGUACUUCCGUCAAAAGGGUCUUGUUUCUGGACAACCGUAUGUGAGGGAGGGCUUAUCUAACACACUGGGAGCCGUUGGAUCUAUAUUUUAAGGGCUCAGAUUCAAUCUAAGUUUUUAAUGAAUCCGCUCUUUAUAUCCGCGGACCAUAAAAGUUGUAUUCCGCGAAUAAUAUUCGCGGAAAGGCGAACUCUCGUUUCGCGGAUGUUUAUAGCGGAUCCAUUAAAAAAUGAGAUUGAAUCUGAACUCUUAAAAUAAAAUAUAGAUAUAAGGCACCGUAUGCCAUCCGAACACACAGUUGUCAGGGAAAAACACUACGUCAAAACUAAAAAUAUGUCGUACAGAUUUGGAGUUGGUGGGUCUGCGCAAAAUAAUACUAGUAGAGGAAAGUUGGUGACAUAAUCUUAAAAUACUGUAUUUGGCAAAGAUUUAUUUUACAAAAUAAGAUUUAUUUAAAAAAUAUUUUCUUUUAAUUCUUUUGAAUUUAAAUUUUGAAAAUUAAGUUAUUUUAUAUUUACUAUCCAACAAUAAUAUAAGAGCUUAUUUCCGGAAAAAAAAUAAAAUUUUAUAUAUUUUUUUCAAAAAUAAAUUCUUAUUUCUUUUUUUUUUAAACGAAUAAAUUCUUAUUUCUGAUUUAAAAUUACUCAAACAUCUCAUUACUAUUAAAUCGAAGGCGAUUGCGAUUGCAAGGACAAGUAUAACACAUAAUUAUUUAUAACAUAUACUCAUUCCGUCUCACCAGGUUGUAUACAUCGAGGAAAGGAGAGCUCGCACAUAUUUUAACGCUAUGUUAAAUUGUAGUUGAAUACAUAAUUUUUACUUUUCUAUUUAAAUAAAAUUUAAUGUUUAAAUUUUAUUAAAAAGAAAAAAUCAUAAAUAAAUUAUGAAAAUGUCAUUAUAUUUAUUUUAAAAUACGUGUCAAAUAUGGAAAGAGAAUUUGUAUAUAUGUGAAUGGGAAGGGAGAGUACCGGUGAAUAUAGAAAUGAACACCGCUGUCCUCAAAUUCAAGUGUCUUAGUUAGAACUAGUUGAGAAGUCGCGCGUUGCGGUGGCCUAUAAAAAUUAUAUUAAUGAUUCAAUAUUAAUAUUUGUAGAAUAAAAUAAUUUUGUGGCUGUCUAUAAAAUAUAAAUUAAUGUUUUAAAAUUAAUAUUUGUAGGAUAAAAUAAAUUUUAUAUUACAAAAAUCUUGAUGUAAUACCAAUACUAAUAUAUAAAAUUGCAAAAUUGAAAUAUAAUUCAUGGUGUAUACACGUAUUAACAAUUUAAAGUACGACGAAUCUUAAUUUUAUUUGUGUUUUUUUUAAAAAGUAAUCAUGUUCAUACAUUGUCACCUUCCUCCAAUUUUUUUAGAUUGAUUGUGCAUAAAAACAUCUAACUUAAAUCUGUGAGAUAGCGGUCUAUAAUUACCCAACAACCUUUAUUUUUUAAUAUAUUGUAUAAACAGCCUUCACUUAAAAGUUGAACGUAGCAAACAGAUUAUGCAUGAAUAAUUUUUUCUUGUAUACAAAGUAAAUCAUAUAAAAAUUAACAACAACAAACAUGUCUGAUGAACAAAACAAAUAUUAUAAAAGAAUAACCAACAAAUAUACAUCACUAAUAGUUAAUUAAUUUAUUGAUAUCAUCCAUCAAUAUCAUAUCAUGUCAAGACUAUAUUUUUUCCCGUGCUUGGAUUUGUCGACUCCCACAUAGCGAUCUAUAUGUACCUUUGCUUGCAACAACCUUUUUUAAUACUUUAUAAACAACCUUCACUUAUCAUAGCAGAAGAACGGCACCACUGAGUUAGAAAUCGAGCAAGAGAACUAUCAUCAGAGAAAAGUAGGAUUGUGGUAUUAAAAGAGAGGUGGUUGUGUUUAGAUGAUUCAAAACCCUACAAUUUACAGGGGUAUUCAUAGGUGCAGAGAGACUUGUAUGCUUCCUUUUUUAAUACUGUAUAAAUAGCCUUCACUAAUCGGUAUUUAUAGGUGCAGAGAGACUUGUAUGCUUCCUUUUUUAAUACUGUAUAAAUAGCCUUCACUAAUCGGUAUUUAUAGGUGCAGAGAGACUUGUAUGCUUCCUUUUUUAAUACUGUAUAAAUAGCCUUCACUAAUCGGUAUUUAUAGGUGCAGAGAGACUUGUAUGCUUCCUUUUUUAAUACUGUAUAAAUAGCCUUCACUAAUCGGUAUUUAUAGGUGCAGAGAGACUUGUAUGCUUCCUUUUUUAAUACUGUAUAAAUAGCCUUCACUAAUCGGUAUUUAUAGGUGCAGAGAGACUUUAGUGCUACUAUUUCCCAUUAUUAAAUAAUCUGAAACAAAAUCAAAUUAAAACUUUCAAGCUACUAUAUUUCAGAAAUUAUCUGAAACAAAAUCAGAUUCUGAAACUUGCUUCUAAUAUACCUGAAACUAAAAAAGGUACUUCUAAUUUUUGAUAUUUUUCAUCAAAAAGUUCCGCAAAAUUAGAAAAAUGGAACGGAGCAAUGUGAGAGACGCCACCUACACGCCCCUCGCUUCUCCUUUAUAUAAGUAUAUUGAUUAACUAAUUAACUAUUAUAAACUUUAGCUUAUAUUUAUAUUACAUAUUUUAUAUAUUUAAAUUCAAAACUUUUGAAACACUUAAAUUUAAGGGGUUAAAACAACAUUCAAAUAUAUAAACCUUGACACCUCUGAUCAUUUACAUAAAAUAAUUUAUCUUAUUUAUAAAAAAAUCAUAAUUAAUAACAAAUUACUUAUACGAAAAAAAUAUGUUAUUUUAAUAUACUUAGUUUUUGUCUAAAAUAAUUAUUUAUUUUCAAUUUUUGUUAUAAAUAUAAAAUUUUAUUUGAUGUAUUUUUGUGGCAACACUAAGUUAUAAGGAUGUAAUUGAGCGGAGUCAAGUCAAACACUAAUAGGCUCAACUCGAGCUUGAUUAAAAGGUUCGGAAUUCGAGCUCGACCUCGAGUUCGACCGAGUCUUUAAUUUCAAAACUCGACUCGUAAACAGUUCGAUAGGCUCGAGUUCAGCUGUAUGUGUUUGAGUCUUGCGGAGGUGCCCCACCCAACUUGUAGCUUAAAAUUAAAAAUAAUAAUUAAAACCGACCUACACAAAAUAUCUGAUAGAAAAAUCGACUGACACUUAACGGUCGGCUUACAAAUAACGACAUCCUUUUGCUGAGUUGACAAGAUUUUGAAAAAAUUAAACCGAUCAAAGCCACUUGGUCGGUUUUAAUGUUGCGGAUAGGGCACGAAGACGUUUCAUGUUAAGUGACAUAAAUGACCACCUGAUUUAGUAUUGGUCGGUUUUGUCAUGACUACAAAAAUCCAGCUUUGAUUUUCAUUUUGUUGAAAAAGUGAACAAAACACAGAUUCCAAAAGGGAAUAAGAAGAAGGAAAGGGAGAAGACGAGGAGGGGUGAGGGGCGGGAAGGACAGAGAAUCAAAUAUCAAAACAAAGAAGCUAUUUUUCUUAAUUCAUGUUUAUAUGCAUGUCACUUAUUUCAAUUUUUUUAGAUAACUUGUGCUAUAUGUGAUAUUCAUGCAUAUGUAUAUAUAGAUUCAUGUAGAUGGCCUGAUCAAAGUUGGAUAUGUAUAAUCAGCUACAAAAAGGUAAAUUACUGCCAAAGCUAUGUGACUGCCAAAGCUCAUUAGCGGCCACUCUAACCAUUACUUAGCCCAGCAAAUCAACCGUAUUAAAAAAAAACAGUGGUCGGUUUUACAAAUCAAAGAUCAAGCAAGAAUAAACUCGACCACAUAUCAGUCGGUUUUAGUGCUUAUCACAACGAACUGGAAUAAACUCGACAAAUGGUUUAUAACCGACUCCUAUCAGUCGGUUUUAUUGAUAAACCCGACCACAAUGUCAUAACCGACCACAUUCUAGUCGGGUUUAAUGCUUGCCAAAACCAACUGAAAUAAACAUAAUAUUAGUCUGUUUUAUUCUUUGUGUAAACUUUGACCGGUCAAUCCUGCGCAACUUAUAACAUACCACAACACGGUCAGUUAUAUUGACCCAUGUGGAACUCUAUUUUCAUGUGGUAAAGUUGGACCCACAAGUUGGGAGUUUUUGUUUCAAAUUAAACUGAGCAUAACGUUAGUUGGUUUUGUUAGUUAAACACACCAAGUUGGCUAAACCGACCACCUUAGUUGGUCGGUUUAGCCUGUAAAACCGACCGUUUUUAUAUAAAGUAUAUCACUAUUGAAAAAUUCUAGCUAUUUACUCGAACUUGCGUAUCUUAGUAGCCAUUGGUCUAGUCUAAGAAUUAACCCGAAAAUACCUAAUCUUGAAAAUACCUUGUGAUUGUUCCUUUAUAUUACAUAACAUAAAGAAAAUCCAGUCAUAUUAGUUUUAACAAAGUUAGAAAAUUAAUAAGAAAGAGAAACGGUUGUAACAUCCCAUGGCAAGGUAUUGAAGAUACUCGAUCAAAACUCUUGCUUUAAUAAUGUCUUGCUAGGAAAAUAACACUGAGAAAGAGGUAAUGUCCUCCUUUCUAAUGGCGUAAAGGCCUCAGAUUUGAUGGAGCUAGUGAAUCAACAAAAUGUUUGAAUUUUCUAACAAUUUUAUCAAUUAAUAUAAAAUUUCAUGAAUAAUAUUUUAUAAAAAAUAAAAAGUCAUAUCUAUUUAUAAAGGACAGUUGGAAACUAUUUUAAACUACAACUUCAAAUAUGUAUGACAAUUUACUAAUACCGACUCGACUUGCCUUUAAAUAGAUUUCUCAUUCACAAUUAAAUCUAUAAAUAAUAUUAACAUUAUGAAAUAAGCAAUUAUUCUAAUGAAAAUAUAAUUUGUAAUAAUAUAUGUAUGUAGGCAAUUGCUCAAAUAGAAACCACUAAAAUGGAAACCAAGAGAAACUAUAUCUAAAGGACCUCACUCACCUCCUAUAUGUCAUCACCCACCACCUAUAUGUCAUCACCCACCUAGGGCCCACCCUCACCCCCACUCAAUCCACCCGGGCCCGCUAGGGCCUCGCCAAGGCUCCUCACAUGCCCUGGACAGGCUCUAGACAGUCUUAAAGAGUCAAACCUUGACCCCACCAUGGUCCCACUAGGCCCCGACCCGGCCCUAUUAGGUCCCACUUAGAUGUCGUCUAGGCCCAUCUCGGGGUUCAUCCCUGGUCUCAAAACCCGCAUCAUUCUACUUAAUCGCAUUGGUUUCUAUUUAGUUUCUAUUCUAGUAGUUUCUACUGGAGUAGGACCCUAUGUAUAUAUAUACACACAUAUGUAUACAUGAUUCUAACUCGUGUAUAUAUAUAUAGACACACACACACGCGCAAAUGCAGUGUCGGAUCUAGGAUUUUAACAAGGAGGGGGUUUCAUUAAUAUUAAAAACAAAUGAGUGAAGUUGAAUCUUGCGGAAGGGAGGACGCAACGAAGUAUUGACUACCAAAGUCGAGCAAGAGCAGCAAAGCAUUAUUUGUUUUCUUUUAAUUCAUUCACUUCACCCGCGAUAGCGAGAGAACGUUAGGUAUAAUAUAGUAGAUUACUUAGUCAAUGGACUGGGUUUGCAAUAAAAAUGAGCGGGUUCAAAAUAAUUGGGAUGGGCUCGUUUAUAAAAUACACCAAUUUUAGAAAGAAAAUUGAAAUUACUCUAUGGACUCAGGGGUGGGCUCUCAAGCCCCCUGAGCCCCAUAUGUAUCCGCCACUACGCAAAUGUAUACAUAAAUUCAAUGCUAGCGCUAUUAUUAUUUCAUUAACAUCUUCUCUUUUCCUUUUCACAACCUUUUAAAUAUCUUUAUGAAGAAACUCUUGUAACAAUCGCCUUUCGCAAACCUCUAUGCAUUUGUUGUCGACCGAUUUAUAGCUAAUUUGUGAAUCGGCGCCUAAUAUAGCUUAAUUUUUCUUAUUACAUUUACGAAACCUCCGAUCCUCCUCACUUUUGUCUAGUUUUAUGCGAUCUAUUUCCGAUCUAGUUGUUAUACUAAUUACAAAGCAUCUGAGCGGUGUGACUUUUUUCAGAUGCAAUCGGUGAGCUCUCAUUAAAUUAGAAUUCAUUUAUAUUUUUUUAUCAGUUUUGUUUGGAUAGAUGCAUAGAUUUAUAUUUGGGGUUGAUGCUUUUGAGUUUCGAUGUAGAUCUGACGUUUGUAAAAUGGAUCUCUUAAAUUUUGUCAUAAGGAUUUAAAUUAAUAAAUUUGUUUAGACAAAUUAUAAUGCUUUUAAAAAUGACAAAUAAACGUAUAUUUAGUAUACUAUCAUCUUUGGAGUGUUGCUAGUGACGAGAACUUAGACUUUUAUUAACAUGUGUUUGCUUUGUAUUAUAUAAGAAUAGAUAAUCAAUUUAGUAAUCUUUUCAUAAUUUUUACUUAUAUUAUUAAUAUUAAAUAUAAGUUUUAUUAUUUCGAAAAAUAAGUGAUCACCACGACACACCAAGUACGUUAUCACACACAUCUUGUUGGAGUAGGUACAAGAAAUUUUAAUUACUCCACAAACACAUAUGAGAUAUGUUAAAUAAAAAUUGGCUGAUUUAGCUUGUUCCAUGAAAGUGCAGAUGAGAAUUGGAAAAAGCGGCCUCCGAACUGUAUGUAUUCUUCUUUCUGUGAAUCUUUUAGUUUACGGGUUAUUAAGUUUAAAAUAUUGAUCACGAUUUUGGAUCCUUACAAGCAAAGAAGUUGACUGAUCUUCAUCUAACACAUGUCAUUGCCAAUCGCCAACAGGCCUGUAAUUGUUAAAAGGGGAAAAGAUAUCGUUGAGGUUAAGCCACAGGUACGUGUCUCUCAUCUCCCACUUUCCUCUACAUUGUAUAAUAAUUUACUUAACUAGCAACACCUGUAAUAUGUCGGAUGUAAGCAAAGGCUUGGUCACAGAAAAGGUAAUCUCGACAAUGGUUGGUAAUGGCAAGGCCCCUGGUUCAUCCUCUGCAUUGGAGAUGAUUGGUUAGAUGAAGACAUGUAGAGUGUAUUUGGAAGAUUGUUUCAUCUGCAGUGGUCCUUGCUGUUCCGGAAAUCUUUUUCUGCACUGUAGAGAAAAAGCCUAGCAAAGCCAAGUACUAUGUCGACGAAACUUCUGAAGUUCCGAAGCUGCUCUAUAUUUGUCAUGUUCUGAUUUUCACUUCCAGCAAUCAAAACAUUAUUUGUAUUUUCAUAAUUGUCACCAGGGUCCGUAUCAUUGAGCCAACUGGAAAAAACUUCCAAUUCAAAGUCAGUGUAAUCAAUUGGAGGUUGAUGCUCACAAGGAAACUUAGAAAAGGGUAUUUUGAUCUUCUGAUGUAUGGUUAGGGGACAAAGAAGAUUGAUAAUGAUUUUUUGGAGAAUCAACUCCGUCAGGAAACACUUCACCUCCAUCACCUUGUUUUUCCAUUGGUAAGAUAUGAAUCAAAGUGAUAAAUGAGAAAACUUGUUAAUCUGUGUAUAUGGGGGUUUGUGUGUAUUUGAAAUCAAGAAUUUGAACAAAAGGAGAUUAUGUAGACCUUUUUGUUAAUCUAAUCACAGUAUUGUAAGAGGGUGAAUAUGGUGUAUGAGAUGGGAGCUCCUCCGAUGCAACUACUUGUAAAGUGGAGCCUAAGUUACUAGCUAUUGAUUUUUUUUCAUCUAACGAUCCAUAUCUUAAGAUGUUAUCUUUUCUCGUGUAGUGCUCCUUAUCUUAUAUUACCUUACGUCAGUGUAAUACUUCUUAUGAAUAAAGGUCUACACUGACGUAAGGUAAUAUAAGACAAGGAGCAUUACACGAGAAAAGAUAACAUCUUAAGAUAUGGAUCGUUAGAUUAAAAAAAAUUAAUGGCUAGUAAUUUAGGCUCCACUUUACGAGUAGCGUUGAAUCGGAGGAGCUAGCUACCCAUCUCAUACACCAUCUUCACCUUCUUACAAUACUGUGAUUAGAUUAAUAAAAAGGUCUACAUAAUCUCCUUUUGUUCAAAUUCUUGAUUUCAUAUACACACAAACCCCCAUAUAUAUACACACAUUAACAAGUUUUCUCUGUUAUCACUUUGAUUCAUAUCUUACCAAUGGAAAAACAAGGUGAUGGAGGUGAAGUCCUUCCUGACGGAGGUGAUUCUCCAAAAAAUCAUUAUCAAUCUUCUUUGUCCCCUAACCAUACAUCAGAAGAUCAGAUCUGGGAAAUACCCUUUUCUGAGUUUCCUUUUGAGCAUCAACCUCCAAUUGAUUACACUGACUUUGAAUUGGAAGAUUUUUCCAGUUAAUUGGCUCAAUGAUACGGGUCUUGGUGACAAUUAUGAAAAUACAAAUAAUGUUUUGAUUGCUGGAAGUGAAAAUCAGAACAUGACAAAUAUGGAGCAGCUUCGGAACUUCAGAAGUUUCGUCGACAUAGUACUUGGCUUUGCUAGGCUUUUGCUCUACAGUGCAAAAAGAUCCUUGGAGGAGAAUCGCGACUGUUGAGAGAUCCUUUGCACAAUGAACUAUGGUAAGAAUUUAACCAAUGCACGCUUCUCUUCAAAGAAUUGUAAUAUAGAUAAAAUGUUACGAGAAAUAAAAUGAACAUGCAUGCAGAACAUUAGUAAAUUUAAAGGAGGGUAAAGAGGUANNNNNNNNNNNNNNNNNNNNNNNNNNNNUGUCGGAAGAGAGCACCCGUCGUCAAUGCUGCGCAGGUAUAUAUGAUCAACAAACUUGAGUAUCAUGGUCAAAAGGGAACUGAAUGGAUCUGGGUUUUGCAGGAGAGAUAGUUCAGGGGUAAUAGUUUAAUGCAAUUGCUGCCCACCAUUAGUCAGGGCCGUAUUAAAAAAGUUUGAACUAACAAGAUAGCAUUUCUCCUAACAAGUUAUAAGUGCAGGAUGUGAACAAGCUAAUUAUGUUAGUUAUUACUUGUAAGGAGGCCCGUUCGAAGCCACGAAUUGUGGAACUUACAGUUAAAGAAUUUCUAAAUUUCUCCCCAGCACCUCCCCCCAUAGAUUAUUAUAGUAACAGGGAAUAGGGAUGUUAAAAACCAAAAUCUAUUGUAUCACAUAAUAUAUUACUUUUCGAUGCUCUAACUAAUAAAUUAAAUCUCAUAAAUUGUGUAAGAAAACACUUUUGACCUGUUUCUAUUUCAACAGCUUAUUUAUUGAUUUUAGCAAAUGUUUUUUCUUUUGAACACUUUUAAUGACAAUUGUUUUCAUGAAAGCGUUUUUCGGUUCGGGAGAGCAUUUUUGUGGACAGGGAGGGCACUUUUCUGGGCAACACCGGUCCGGAGGGCACUUUUCCGGGCAGCACUGAUCAGGAGAGCACUUUUGCGGACUACACUUUUCAGGAGAGCACUUUUCUGGACAACACAUUUCUCGGCAGGAAUUAUUAACCACACUACCAAAAGGAGCCAUAAGCUUUGGCGUAGGGAGGCAACAUUCUGGGUACUUAACAGCUAAUUUUUCCCGAAGCAUCUUGACAGUGUUCUGGAUGAAAGUGCUCUGUAGACUGGAAGUGUUAAACACAUUAUUAUUAUAGAAACUCUGUAUAUUCAAGUAAACAACAUUAUGUACUAGAGAAAUUGUUUAGAAAUUAAAAAUUUAGGAAGAAAAUAUUUGAAAAUAUGGAAGAUUAAUAUUACCCCUCCACAUGGUCUCCAAGAAUUUUACCAACUUCUACCAGAGCUUCUCUCCACUUCUCCACCUUGUCGUUGUGUCUUGCCCUAUGCUUUUCAAGCGCAAGGCCGUAAUUCCCAAGCUGGUAUUUAAUAUCUCUGAUUUCAACCUCAUACAAAAUCGGUAUGACAAAAUACUUGGAGUUCUUACUGCGUUCUAAAAUGAGGACGAGUUCAUCCAGACACCACGUAGAAUAAGCAUGAUUUUGGGAAAAUAUAAUUAUGGCGCUCAUAGAGUUUCUGAUCCCCUCUUUGAUCCUUAAAUCCACUUCAUCUCCGACACAAAUAUCCGUUUUGUCCAUGAAAACUACAAAUCCUUGCGCCCUCAAAGCCUCGUACUAGAAGCAUGUAAACUUGUUGCGAGUUUCCCCUCUGAAGCUCAAGAAGACAUGACAAAAUGAGGUUUCUUAGCCAUGUUGUCAGCUUCUUUCGAAUAAUAAUUAGGAUAGACAGAAUAGAAGAUUUAACUAGUAUAAUGAAGAUGAAGCAAGUUCGUUCUAUAAUAAAUUGAUCUUCUCACAGCAAUAUUAAUUAUAUUGUAAUUUGAACAACAAUUAGUCUGAUGAAGCUUCCACAAAGUUACCUAACUGCUGUAACCAACCGCGUUAUUAUAUUGUUAGAGUGCAAGAUAACUCCUCAAACAGUUUUGUAACAAACAGUUUUGGCCGAUUCAAGUGGACUAGUUAAAUGGAGCCAGGAGUCAACUAUAAAACGUCAAGUCUCCUCAAACAGUUUUGUAACAAAGAAAUACUGUAAAUGCUAAAAUCAACAAUGUUUAUUUGAUGGAGUACAAUUGCCAGCACAUGAAUAAAAAAUUUGUAAACUAAUAGGAUCUCAAACAGGAAAUCUAAAUAUUUUUUUAAUUAUAUUACUUAUUAUAUGUACUCAAACUUUACUGUAUAGUUGUAUGGUCUGAAAGCAUAACAGCAAUAAUUUUAUAAAAAAAAGCUCUAUUUGUAACUUGUUGUACACAGCGUUUUUAGCAAGUGCCCUUGUCAGGAGGGUAUUCAAGAAACGAUUUUUGUUUAAACUAACCAUUCUGUAUGAGCUAUAAAUCAUUGCUAUUGUAUUAUUGUGUUGUUCAGUGUUAUCUUGCAGCUGUUUAGACAAUUGUUUGUGUUAUGGUCACAUAGUUGUAUAGGUUUUGAGACGAUAAUUUAUAACAUUUACUAGUUAUUGGAAUAUUAUUGUCGCAAUAUCAACUCUUACUUUAACCCAACAUCUGUUCACAAGAAAAAUUACAAUAACAAAGAAAGAAUGUCCUUGUUUCUUAUGUCACGAGGAGACUUACGUUUGAUGGAGGUAGUGGUCCAACAAAUUUUUUAACAAUUUUAAUAAUUAAUAUAAAAUUUCAUGAAAAAUAUUCAUAAACAUUAAAAGGUCAUUUCUAUAGAGUGCAACAAUAAACUAUAUUGAACUGAUUCACUCAGUGCUGACAUGCAUACAUAUAAAUUGUCAAGUUAUUAUAUAUAACAUGUAAGUAAUACUACUGAUAGUCUUAAUCACACAAUCUAUCUAGAUCUUCGUCAUUAUAUUUACGGUCAUUUAUAUACAAAAUUUAACACUCAUAUAUACAAAUCAAAAAAAUGUUUGUUGUGUGUGUAUGUGUGUGUGUGUCUAUAACAUUGAGAUUGAGGGGUGACAAUGACAUUGAGUUCAGAAAUGUUUGUUGUUGUAUAUAUCGACCUAUAUAUUUUGUGUAUACAAAUUAUAUCACUCUUAAAAAGAGCAUAGACUUUUCAUUUCCACUUACAUAUCCUUGUAGCCAUUGUAAUAGUCUAUGAAUGAAUUUAAAAGUACCAAUUUUGCCAAAAGUAACUAGAUGGGCUAGGGUUUCUUGUCGAUGGAUCAACAACAGCUGUAGAAGCCCGUUAAGGAAUGCCUAAAUGUUAAGGCACAUCCUUACCACCUAUGAAAACAACCCAUCAGAAUACAGGAUAAGUGAUCCAAAAUCAGGUGUAUGAGAAGUUUCCACAAGCUCACCAAACGAGGACUACUCCCACACUACGCAGCAAGACUUCUGUGGUCUUCGUCCACUACUUUCCAAUGAGGAUGGCCCACUAGAAUGCAAAGUAGUGUCUUUAACCUUGUAUACGAAUCCGGCCCAUGUUAAUGACCCAUAGUGAAUUUUGGGUAUAACAACUGUUAUUAGACUUUUCAUAACACAAUCUCUUUCUUGCCUUUUCCUCAUCAUCGGAAACCCUAUUUUCCCGAUCAACCUCUUCUUCUAAAUCCUUUCUAAAAACAUUCAUUUCAUCUUCAAAUUCCAUUCCGUUACCAUGUUUUGAUUAUAAAAACUAUAGCCCAACCACCACCACUACCUUGUAACAUCAAUAAAAUGUUAAGAUGUUUUCGAUAUAUUUUUAAUUUGCGAAUUGGUGCUUGAUAUAUGUCUAAUUUUUCUCCUUUAGCUUACAAAACCCUCGAGCCUCCUCACUCUUGUCCAAUUUUAUCCGAUUCAUUUCUGAUCUACUUGAUUGUACUUGUUAAACUAAUUACAAAGCAUUUGAGAAAUUCGACUUUUUCUGAUUCGUAUCGGUAAGCAUUAGAAAAUAACUAUUUAUGUUUUUUAUCUAUUUGUUUGGAUAGAUGCAGAGUCACAUGUGGGAUCGAGCCUUUUGCGAUUUAAUUACCUCAUUGUUAUGACUUAGUUUUAAUCUUUUUUUAUACAGGGUUUUUUAUAAAAUUAAAAUUAGAUUUAAUGAUUGUAAAAUUGAUCCUCUAGAUUUUAUAUUGAAAAAUUUACUUAUUAUGUUCUCUUUCUUUUUUCGAUUCUUGCAUCAGUGGAAGUUAUUAUAAACAAUGAAGAAAAUGCUCCAGGAAGAUUUUUUAUGCACAGUUAACCACCUUCUUCUGGUGUCUGAAUUUCGGGUAAUUUUCUUAUUUUUGCUUAAUUACUUUCAAUACAUGUUCUGUUUGGUAUUAAUACCAAAUUUGUUGAAUUGAUUUUGUUAUAAUUUGUCAUGCGGAUUUGAAUUAAUGAAUUUUAUUUAAAUGAAUUCUAUUUCUAAUGCUUUAAAAAUUGGAAAAGAAAUAUAUAUUUAGUAUAGUAUAAUUUUUGGAGAGUUUGUAAAGUUUAAGUAUGAGAACUUAGACUUUGUUUAACAUGUCUUUAAUUUUUAUUGUGUAUAUAUAGAUAAUCAUUUUGAUAAUUUUUAUAAUUUCACUUAUAUUAUUUAAAAAAAUAAGUUAUGUUAUGUGAGCACUGCUUUACACCACAUAUAUUCCCAUCCUUUUGUUGUUGAAAGUAACAAGAAAAUUGUAUAUACAUAUGCUUUCAAUUUUCAUCUUUUGAUCCAGAAACCACCACAUCAAUCAUAUUAUCUACUCUACUCAAGAAAAAUACGGCAUAUGAACAAACAUACAUAUACAUAUAUAUAUAGGCCAUAUAUAUAUAUAUAUAUAUAAACAACUCCAAACUUGACCGGAAAAAUUGAUUAUGUCAUGGCCAAGUGCACAAAAGCACAAAGUAACUUAAAAGCACCUUAAACAUUAUCAAUUCUAAGAAUGUGAAAAAUGAAAUUAUACACGAUUAGAGGGUAGUUUAAAAAUUUCUAGGUGACAGAUUAUAUACAAAAAAGUACACACCACAUUUGAAUACAAGUCCUUCUCCGCCUAAAAAAAGGGACUUUGUACUCUGACCUUAAUCUAACUCUGGAUGAAGAUCUCCAAAAUGAGAAACGAGCUUUACUUGUGUUACUCUUCAAUCCCUUGAAAAUUUUAUGCACAUUAACAAAAUUAUUACCUUAUAUUGGCAAUCCCAAAUAGAAAACAUAAUUGUUACCUGCAAGUUGUGCUAAUUAGUUCUGAAUUUUUAGGCUAAUCUCCAUAUCUGAGUGGAGCAGUCAGAACUAAUCCAUCUGACAUUAUUUCGGAAGUAGAGGCUAUGCAUUAUGCGAUCACCAUGAAUGAUUCUCAUGAUAUGGCAUAUUGGCAUAUUGGCUUGCAGGUUUGUGCAGAGUAUGGAGAGAGCAUGUCUUGAUCACUAUAAUGUACUAGCAGGGGUUUCAAUUUCAGAUUUAAGGCUGCUGACUUGCUGCAAUCUCCUUAGGUUUCCGAAAAUUGCUUCCCUGAAAGCAUAAUCCCUAAUAAUACUCUUUUUUCUCAUUCCUCUCAUGAUGUUAUUACUACUUAAAAGAUAUUCUUUUUUACAAACUUCUUAUGUACCUUUUUAGUCGAUUCUAAAGUAAUCACUUUGUCUUUGCAGGUGGGAAAAACUUUUGAUAGGCAACUCAGUUUAGUUGUAGAUCUUGAAUGGAAGACAACUGUGGAAAGCCCCAUAUUUUUUCCUCUGCAUUGGUGAUGACCGAUGAGAAGAAGACAUGUAAGAGUGUACUUCGAAGAUUGUUUAAUCAGCGGUAGUCCCUGUUGUUCCGGAAAUCUUUUUUUGCACUGUAGAGCAAAAGCCUAGCAAAGCCAAGUACUGUAUCGACGAAACUUCUGAAGUUCAGAAGCUGCUCUAGUUUUAGCAUAAAAACUCCACUGCCCCUCGAACAUUUACUUUCCAUUUUUUGAUACGCGAACAUAAAUUUCUUUCAAUGUAGAGAAUGCAGUGAAUGAUUUUGGUUCACUCUUGAAGAAUAUCAUUCUGAUCCCAAAUCUGUGCAAGAAUAAAUAUGGAUGUGGAAACCCACACUUCUUACAGGAAUGAAAUCAAAGAUUUGCUCAGAUGAUGGUGAUUUCACAAAGUAAGAAUACGAUGUAGGCACAUAACAGAGUCACAAGUAUAAAUUUCGUAAGAAAAAACUAGCACAUGUCAUCAUAUUGAUACAUUAUUAGGAAAAUACAAUCAGAAUAAUGAACAACGCAACUAAUUGAUAAAAGUGACUAAUCAGGGAUUCAGAAAGCAAAAUCUGAUAUACUGGAUAUUAUUUCCGGUAUUUAUCCAUGAGAUUUUCAUAUUAAAAUUAAAAGUUUAUUUGAAGAUGUUAAAAAGUGCUUGAUUAUGAGCUUAAUCGGAUAUAUCUGCUUCAACAACAUAUUAACAUGAUACUGGCCUAUUUUUGCACAAGCUUGAGUUAAACAGCAGGAGCAAAGCACAUUUCAAGUUUUCCAAGUUGAAAAUGUCAUAAAUUCAAAAGGUAACCUCGAGUUACUGCCACAACUAGGAUCUCGUCAAAGUGAUGAUCAUGCAAUUUUCAUUCACGAACACGAUGUUUUAACAUUACCAAUAUCUACGAAACAUUGCAUUUGACAUGGUAGCUUGAAAGUGGCUCGCAAAUCUUUGUGAAUAGUAGUGAUACAUCAGUGAUCCGAUAAGCUUUUGUUUAACUUCGGCAUCAUAAAAGCCCUCGACCUCUUCUUCUCCGCACAGGUCCUUCCCAUUCACAAUCACCAUAGGAAACCUUACCUUGUCAUUUCCAACCAGAUCUUUUAGCUCUCUCAAAUACCGUGGCUCAAUUGAACAGUUUCUCUCCUCAUAUACAACAUUUCCACUUCUCAAAAUCUUUUUUAAUGCACCUGCAACAUCGGUAACACUAGUAGUUGUGUACAGAAUAAUCUUGUCUUCAGAUGACUCGUGUCUUGACGAGGAGGACGAUGAAGAACUGCCUUGUAAAACUGGAACUUGUUGAGUUGGGAGGCGACAUUCUGGGAACUUAGCGGCCAAUCUUUCUCUAAACAAUUUGACGGUGUUUUGGAUGAAUGUGCUUUGUAAUCUGAUAGUAGUAACAAUCACCACUUGUGUAAGAAAGUAACAAGAGCAGAACAUUUUAAUGUAGCAUGAAACAGAGGAUCAGUUGCAGAAAAUGGAAGAGAAAAAUUACCCCUCUACAUGCUCGCCAAAUAUGUUACUAACUUCUACCAGAGCUUCUCUCCACUUCUCAAUCUUGUCAUUGUGCCUCGCCUUAUGCUUUUCCAGCGCGAGUCCAUAAUUACCCAACUGGUGCCUAAUAUCACGUAUUUCGACCUCAUAAAAAAUGGGAAGGAUAAAAUACCUAGAGUUUCUGUUGCGUUCAAGGAUGAGUACAAGUUCAUCAAGACACCAUGUAGAGUCCGCAUAAUUUUUGGAGAAUACAAUUAUGGCGCUCAUAGAGUUUCUAAUCCCCUCCUUAAUUGUCAAACUUACUUCGUCUCCAACACGUAUAUCAGUUUUGUCCAUGAAGGCUACAAACCCUUGGGCUCUUAAGGCCUCGUAGAGAAAACAUGUGAAUUUGUUGCGAGUUUCCCCUCUAAAGCUCAAGAAGACAUGACAAAAUGAAGCUUCGUUAGCCAUGGAGAUUUAGCUCAUUUACAGUUAAAUUAUUAUAAGGGUUUGAAGAUUUGGCUUUCACUUUAUAGCUGAACUCCAUCAUAAGAUGCUCAACACAAAUCGCCAAAUUAGUACAAAAUCUUCGCCAACACAUUUAAGGAGUGCUUUGGUNACUUUCGUUAAUAGAAAAAAAUAAACAAGGGCCUGCACAAAUGUCCAAAACUAGACAUAUACCGAACAACAGAAUCAGAGGUAUGCACAAAGCAUACACUACCGAUACGUUCUCUCUUGUUCUUCUCACCAAAAGUUUUUCUAAACGAAUAGAUAUGUUCAUUUUCUUUCUCCCAUUUGCUGCAGACUGCAGUUACCAAACGUGUAUGUUAAAAACGCCAUAGCAGUGCCAAAUUGCCUACAUUUUUUGUUACUGAUAAAAUUAUGCAAAAGUUAAGUAAUAGAGUGCCAAUAUCACCUGAUUUUUCUCAUUCACUCUAUUGAUUCUUCUAUGACCUGUUUGAGAACUUAAGUUUCAUUUGAACUUCUGGAUACAAUCAAAAUGACAUGUUUGGGUACACAAAAAAAAGUUGGAUUUGAAUUUAAAUUGAGGACAUUCAAAAACUAAUAUAAAACUCAUAAUUUGAAAUGACACCUGAUAUCAUAAAAAUUGAAAUCCAAAAUAUGAAAUGAAAUACAUUUUCUCAAAAGCAAUCGUAAUGAAACUUAGUACUCUAAGUUGUUUCACAAAAGUAAGUCUAAAACAUUCCCAUCAUUCUUGUUUGUUCUUUUGUUUGAUUUGGCUUUAGACCCUUUUUUUCCUUUGGUGAACUUUUACUUAGCUAAUACAUCUUCUGUAUGAAAUCAUACCUCAAGUUUUCUUUUGGGUUUCAUUUUAAAUUUAUAAGCUUUAAAGCUGAGUUACGUUAAAAAUCAUCAGACUCUUGUUGGGACAGAGCAGCAAAAAUGUCAUCUGACUUGACCAAUUCAGUACCUCAUGAAUGGCUGAACGUCCUUGGCAAAAUUCAGGCUUAGAGUGGAGGUCUGUUGAUUCUCCAACAAAGAAGGAAGUAUAAUGAUAUUUGGCAGAGAGGGAUAUCAACAGUUUAUUAGAAAAUAUAUUGAACAGUAAACACAUGCACUUGCACACAAAUUAUUUUGUUUGUUAACAUGGGAUGGCAACGGAUUGGAUUGGACUGUGUUCUUCGAUCUCCAAAUCCAAACUCAAAUUUUUUAACAAGAUCCGGACUCGAAAAAAUCUGAUAAACCUGAAUCCGAUCCACCGAAUUUCGGAUCAAAAUUUACCUGAAACUCGAAAAUUUGGACUCGAAAUCAAAGGCAAGUAUGGGAAGAUUUCUGUUGAGCCGGGGGCUUCAUGUUUGAUCAUCCAUGUCUGCUUAAGUACUCUUAUGUUAUCGUUUACAACGUCUUGUUUUCACUAAAACAAUCAAAAAGAGCUAGACUACUAAGAUAUACGCAAGUCAUAAUUCUAGGAUAUAAAAAAAAUUACAAUACAUGGUUCUUCUAUGUAUUUUUAAGAUUGUCAUCAAACUCUCUUGCAAAAUGAGAAUAAACUUGUCAUCAAACUCAUCACAAUUAAUUAAAAUAGUUAAAUUUAAACCAUCUAACAGGUCUAAAAUAGAAAAUCUUAACUUCUCUCCGGCUCAAAGCCCACCUGCCUCAUCCCGGGGUCGGCCAGCUAAGCGAGGCAUAACUGAUGUUGUCCAAUUUGGGCCUCGUGUUAUUAGAGUUGUUCUGGACUUCUGGUUGCUUAUGUUCUAGCUUCCUCUCCCUCUCAUAACCGAUAUGAGACAACUCCUAACACUAAUCACCAACAUUAGAUGUGGUUGCAUAGCCUGAGUUACAUUCGAGACAAGUAGUGCUAAUUAUGGACUAGUAUGCUGAUUAGGAGAAUAGGGAACGUGUUAGCGUUAUCCUGCGGGUGUCAUUCACACGCAGUCUUUUGGCUCGCAUUUGGUAUAGUAAAAAACUGAGCAGGAAGCUGUUUGGAAAAUCGAAAAACAAAUCAUUGACGUUAAUAUUAAAAAACAGUUGGUGGAGCUAGGUUGGUUCUGUCCUAAUCUUAAUGAAGAUCACCACCUUAGUUAUUAGUACUAAUCUAACUGGAAUCGGAAUCACUGAUUGACUUUGCUGAGCGUUGAGAAUUGAGAAGUAAAACCAUAGAAAACUAAUCAACUGUUAUAAUAUUGGAUUCUGGGAUCUAGAUCAAUUUUACAGUACCUAUAACUCACAAGUCAACGAGCCCGAGAACCUGCUGUAUACAACAUGCUCCGAUGCCAACAAAAUCUUGAGCUUGAACUUGUUCAACGAAUCCAUGCUUAAGUUGAUCGUCACGAAUUCCUAUUAAAGACUCGGAAACAAAUAUCAUGAAAUGUAACAUCACAUCGUUAGAUAAAGAAUAUUUAGGCCUCCAUAAGCACAAGCAAAUAAUUAAUAUAUACCAAUUUGCUAGUACUUUUGGGCCGACCCGUGGUGGGUGGUUGGGUCCAUUAUGCAUUCAGUUGUGAGUUUGGACAUCGGGCAGGGGGUGUUUGUACUUUGUAACAUCCUACAUCUCCCUCCAUUCCAAAAUAAUAGUCGUACUUUGGAACAGAUGGAGUAUUUUUUAUAAAGAAAAUCUCAGAGCCAAUCUGUUUGAACUCACAGGUCCAGAAAUGAAGUAAAUAUUUCAUACACUUGAAAGGAAGAUAGGUCCUGCAAUAUUUGUUUAAGCACCAUAUAGAUAAGUACUUACCAGGCCACCAGCAUUAUUAAGCUACUUCUCCAAUCCAAGCAAUACAUGCGGAUAUCUGCAAAUCAAUCAGUGAUGCAACAAGAUAUCCUCUCACUUAAUUUACAGGACUCAAAUAACAAGGCUGCUAUGUAAGUUAAUAUGAUGAGACCGACAUCUUGUUUAUUUAAUCGACAAAUUUGUUUUUAUGAAACAUAAUGUUAACCCUCUUACAUUGUUAAUGAAAUUCCCAGAAAGAAGGUUCCUUUCACACCUAAAAUAAUCAUUUUAACUACAUUCACCAGAUGCAUAUAUUAUAAGUAGCAGUAGUGGUAGUACUGGCCAGGCAGAUCAGAGCAUUCGCCAUUGGACAUACGCUAAUGGAGAGAGCAGGCUCAUCUGAAAAUCCAAUGGGGAAUGUUCAAGAGGCCUAUUGCUUAGCUGAUUUAGUUGAUGAAGCAAAUUUAGCGCGUUUCAUUUCAUUAAGUACAGGCGACACUGCUCAGCCAGACGUUCAUUUUUGUCACAAUUUCCUUGAUUGUGAUACCAUUAAUGGCUGUUUAGUUAUUAAUCAGUUCGAACCUAGUUUUGGACUUCCAUAUGAUCAUGUCGAUAACCCCCCUAUAACACCAUUUUCUGAUCCACAUUCUCUUUUCAAUAAUUUGCCCAACAGUUGCAAUGAACUGAAAGAAGCAGAAGAUGCAUGCGAAUAUUCUUCUGGGACAAUGACAACUACAACUACGUCUGCGCCAAAGAGGAGCAAAAAGGGAGACCGGACAAGAACAUUAGUUCAAGAACAGAGGAGAAGAAGUCGGAUGAAGGACAAGCUAUAUGCGUUACGUGCUUUAGUUCCCAAUAUAACCAAGGUAAGGUGCUUAAGUCUUGCAUCAGAAAAUUGAUAUUGUUAUUAGUCCAUAUCAUCUGAAACUUAAUGUGUAAAAUGAUACAUGCAGAUGGAUAAAGCCUCUAUAGUUGGGGAUGCUGCACUAUAUGUUCAAGAUUUGCAAAAACAGGCUAAGAAGUUAAAGGCUGAAGUCGCAAGCCUGGAGUCAUCACUAACAAGAAUGGAGAGACAACAAGGAGGCAUAAAUGACAAUGAAAACAAGAUUCGAACUGCAGACUUCUAUCCAACAAUUAAAAUAAUAUUGCAGGUUAUUUCUAAUUAUUACUCCGCAUCAUUUUCUAGGACUUUUUAAGCUACGAAAGUCGCAUAAAAAUGUGUCACAUUUCUAAAACUCAACUUUGAAUCGAAAUGCAGAUAAGUGUGUGUCAAGUGGAAGAGAAUGGAUAUUAUGUAAGAGUAGUGUCCAACAAAGGUCAUGGAGUCGCAGCCUCGCUUUACAAAGCUCUUGAUUCGUUAUCCACCUUCAUUCUUCAUUCUUCCAACUUGGCUACUCAAAAUGAAACUGAUACUUUUCAUUUCACAUUCAAUCUGAACGUAAGUUCCCCCCCUCUAUUAAAACAUUUUACUCAGCACAAUUUACCCUACAUGCUCUUUUAAAACUGUGUAUGUUGAAAAACCAGGUCAAAGAAGUCGAAUCUGACAUGAAUGCACCAAAUAUGAAGCUAUGGGUAGCUGCGGCAUUUCUUAACCAAGGAUUUGAUUUAAAACAACCUCUGUAGGUCUAGCUCUGGACUCGAUAUUACAAGUUUGAUGCAGGCGUCAUGUGCACUGUCGACCAUUUGGCCAAGCUUAUUAAUUUGGCCAUCAAACACGUCAGGCCAUGCACUAUGGGCCUAAUUUAGCACAAUCUGUGUAUGCCAUACUCCCUCCGUCCCAGUGAAUUGUAUACAGUUUCCUUUUUGGGACGUCCCAUCAAUUGUAUACAUUCCAAAAGUAGUAAAUUUUUAUAAUAUAAAAUAUCAUUACACCAACUACUUUCCUCCACUAUCUCUAUUCUAUAAUAAUAUAAACACUAUUACACCCACUACUUUCCUCCACUAUCUCAAAUCUAUUAUUAAAUAUAAAUGGGUCCCACCAUUAUACCUACUUUUCAUCUAACUUUACUCAUUUUUUACACAAUUUCUUGGUCUCCGUGUCCCAGCCAUUUGUAUACAAAUGACUGGGACGGAGGGAGUAACAUAUUUGGUUGGCUGCUCUACUUUUAAAUGUUGCCUACACCUGCUUAAUUUGUUAGGCUUGUGUAGUACACCUUAUUUGCCAGUUUUAUCAUAUCUGCUUGUAGUAAUAUGUUGUCAAAAAAUUCUGAUUCAAGAUAAAAUAGCCAGCCCCUUUGAAUAAUAUUCACCAACUCAACCAAUAUUUCUCUUAAAUAUUAGCACUGUUCCAAGAAAAAAAAAGUUUUCAGAUUUCAAGAGUUGCCGAAUAGAAGAAGAGGCUUGUGAUAUCCGUCGUCAGCAUUGUUCCUAUCGUAAGAUGAAAAACAAUCAGUAUCACCGCUAAUUACAAGCACAGUUGCGAGAGUCCCCUACAACAAGAGAAGGGUGUGACAUCCCUGGUCCUUCACUAAGAUAAACAGUUCAGUACCAAUAUCUUUCAACACUCGCAAACAUACUGUAAAAAUUAAUUUAACAGCCAAGCAGAACAAUUUUCUACAUUUGCAUAGAAACACAGUGCUUUUGAUCCCAUUUUUUUAUGGCACGAGUUAUCAAACAUUCUAAAUUCUAAACCAAGGAGGAAAAAACAUCGUUAUGUGACAUGGGCGGAUCUAGGAUUUUAUGUCCAAUGAUGGUGCUGCCACUGAACUCCGCCUGUAACAUUCUUCUUAGUUCUUCCACUAAAUAUUUCCGGACGCAGCUAUCUCAAAAACAGGGACGGAUCUAAGAUUUUAAAUUUAUGGAGACAAAAAACAUGAGCAGAGGGAGUAGGGGAACACACACCUCAACUAUGGGCAAAAGCUGUCGUUCCGUAAAUUUCAACAAAUUAAAUAUAAAUGUUCUAUAACAUUUACCCGAGACAAGUACUCUCACUACACUUAUUAUGGCUCCGUCCUUGCCCCAAAAUCUAGAGUUUUCAAAAUUUUGUUACAUAUGUAAAUAAUGUGAUGUUCCACAAGUAUGUGUGGUCAUAUUCAUAUGGAGAUCAAAGUAUAUUCGCAAGUUUUACAAUGUUCAUUUUGGUAAACAGCACUACAGCAGCAUUAUUUAUAUGCUCCUAUUCUGUUUAAGUAUUUUUAGUAAGUUUUGAUUUUAUUGAUAUGAAUCAUAUAUCGGAAACAAGAUUUCCAAACAGCCCCCAACAUCUUGAAGAUGAGCCGAGACUUGAAAUCACAUUAUUUUUAGUUCCCUGCCUCGUUAACGCCCAGGGUGAUAUCCAUCUCUUGAAGAAUCUGGAAUUUAAUCAAAAACAGUAACACUUUCAAGUAGCAGCAGUGAUGGACAAAAAAUUCAAACUCCUUGAUUCGGAGUGUUUGAAAAUCUGUACGUAUGAUAAGCUUAGCAGUCUGUCCAAACUAGUAGUAUUGUGCAUGCCUGGAAACACAUGGGUGAUGGGCCCAGACGUGACACCCCAUUCUGCUUUUGCUAUUCCUGGACCCAUUUCUAUUAUUGCCAUCUCUCCUUGCUCCAUCCUUCGGCCCACCAUCCUGUUACCUUUUGUUAUAUUCACAUUUAUCUUUUUUCUUUAUUUCGUUUCGAAUAUUACCUAGCACAUUCUCCAUGUUACGACGUUCGGCAUUGAUUGAUUGCUACGUGAAAAACGAAAACAGCAUGCUUGUCACAUCUCCGAAUUACUUUUAAAAUUGUAAUAUAUAUUACAAAAAUAUAAUUUAAAUAAGUAUUAUAAUAUUUUACAGUACAAACGAUUUAUCAAUCCAAACAACAAUUCUCGUUCCACCAAACUGGUUUACGUUCAUUGUUGCACGCAUAUUGAGACUUCUGUAGAAGAUAGUUUCAUAACAUUUUUUAAUUUUUAUUUUUUGAAUAAAAAUUUACGCGUCAAACUUUUAUUCAAGAAAAAGAUAUUAUAUAAAACAUUAUAAAAUUAUAUUUUAUGAGAGUCUCAGAUGCGUGACAAAAAUUAACGUUAAAAACUUAACCGGACAAAGGCAAUACUAAUUAAGCGGUGAAAAUUUUAUUAAUCGAAAGACAAUAAUGCUUACAGAAAAGUUGAUGAUUGCAAAUUGAAGAAAUAAAUGACACGGGAUAGAUAGCUCAACAUUGAUCAGGAAGAAACACAAGAAGGAAAUCGAAAUGAAAACGGACUAAAUAAAUACAAACGAGAACGAGAUUAAUCGACCGAAAUAAAAACAACUAUCUAGUAAUCAGUGGUGGGCAAUGGCUCGUGACUGCCACCGAUGAAGAUAAGCUCAUAGAUGAUUCCAGCAAGGCCGCCACCAACAAGAGGUCCGGCCCAGUAGACCCAGUGGUUAGUCCAGUCCCAGCUGACCAGAGCAGGCCCAAAUGAGACGGCAGGGUUCAUGGAUGCCCCGGUGAAGGCACCGCCGGCUAGAAUGUUGGCUCCCACAAUGAAACCGAUUGCAAUGGGUGCGAUGAUUCCGAGGUCACCCUUCUUUGGGUCGACGGCGACGGCGUACACGGUGUAAACUAGUCCGAAUGUCAUCACGAUCUCGAACACGAAGGCGCUCCAUAUUGACACGCCCGACAAUGCAAAGGCUGAUGUUGGCUGCAAAACAGUUUUUCACUGGUGUUAGAAAAUUCCGUACAUUUUUACUAAAACUCGAAUUCUCGACCUCUUGUUACAGGUCAUAAAUAAUUAAGUCUAAUUCAAUUAGUAUAAAACAUGAUUGCGAGAAAAUCGAAAAUCAAGACUAAUCGGUUGAUGGGCUUAUGAUUUAUUGAAAAUUUAUGAGAGAUUUUAAUAAAUCAAGAACUUGUUAAAAUCAUAGAUUAUCAAAAACGUUUUAAUAAAUCAGGAUCUUCAAAACGCGGUUAUAAAAUAAUCUGGUGCUAAGUGAAGUCACGAUAUACCAAAUCUUCAACCUAACCCCUUUAAAUUUUUGUCCUCGUGUUCCUCCUACCGUGUACUUUAAAAUUUAUUACAAUAUAGAGGUGUCCCCAUCACUAAAUAAUCUUUAAGAAUUUAAAAAUAUUUUGUACUAAAGUCGAUAUAAGAAAAAUAGAAGGGGAUAUAAACUCACCAU